rnacentral:lncRNA from 1 species
AGACAAAUCGAGUCCCUUAUUUUAUUAUUCAUAUCCAUAAAAAGUAACCACUAUGCUAGUCCCCCGAACUUAGCAUAAGACGGUAAUUUAAAAAAAGAAAAAAAAAAGAACGUUUCUAGACACCAAAACGAAAGCAAAACAAACACAAAGCGAGACAUACAAACAAAUUUUAUGCUACUGCAUUCAAGCAGAAGCCAUCAACUGUUCACGACGAAGUUUGAGAGCAACCAAUAGUUCAUCCCGAUUAGGAAGAUUUUCUUCAAUCACAGGGACUUGCUUGAAAGUUUCAAUCCAGGCAUGCAAGUGAGGGAAUUUGUGUGAUUCAAAUAGUUUAGCGCCCACUAUAUCUUCAAUGACUUGCAACCAAUAAACAAUUGAACCAAACGCUAGGUCCACUAAGCCAAUAUUGUCUCCAUUGAAAAAUUUCUUCUCUCCCAAGCCAUGCUCUUCAACUGUUUGUAGCAUUUCCAAGGCUUCCUUCAUUGUGUUUUGUAGUUCUUGUCCAGUGCUACGAAACAUUUUCCAAACAGCAACACCCUGCCACAAAUAUUUUACAUCUGAUUUUAUCACCGACAUGAUUAAUUAAUAAUAUGUAUAUAAAAGUAAAAAAUCGUUGGACGAUAUGUACACGUGUCACAAUAUCCUUUAAUUAGAGGUUUAAUAAGUUAAUUAAGAGAGUUCAACCACUGAGUUGUAAAAUCCUUUAAUUCACUUUCUCUCAAUGCUUCAAAAAUCAUCAAAAUUCCCCGUGAAGUUAAAAACGGUUGUGUUAACUUUAACUUAUUACAUCUUUUCAUAUUGAAGGAUAAAACAGUGAAGACACCAGAAAUUGAAAGUUUAGAGAACUUUUUACAAAUAAAUAUGAAGGAGACCCCUGGGUGGCUGGGCUCGACUGGCUAUGAAUUCACUUCCGCCAUCACCCGAGUUUGAGUAUAUAUGGAGAGUAAGAGUUAGUGUUUGGUGGGUGGAUUUCGUUAUCCUCGUCACCUCAUCUAGAUCUUAAAGUAAAUAAAUAAAUAAACACAUUUGAAAAGAAUGAACUUAAUCAUAAACGUGUUUGCCAGAGUUGUGAGCGAACCUUGUCUUCGGCGAAUUUAAUCCAGAAUCGAGCAAGAGCUCUAUCAUAAGGAUUAUUUGGCAUCAAGGGAUUCUGUGGCCACGUCUCUUCGAUGUAUUCGAGAAUAACCAUGGACUCACAAACUGGUUUUCCGCCAUGGACAAGCACUGGGAUCUUCUUGUGAACCGGAUUGUGCUUCAAAAGCAAAGCACUUUUGUUUGAGAGAUCUUCUGCAACAAAUUCAUAUGGCACGCCUUUCAAUUUCAGAGCCCAAAUUACCCUGUAAACAAAUGGACUCAGCAGGGUUCCAUGAAGCUUCACUUCAGCCAUGAUAAUUCUAAGAUUGAAUUUGAAUUAUCGGUUUUUGUGAUCGAUGUUGUGUAUGGCUGUUAACUCAUUACAUAUGUUUCUGAAUUUAUAGUGAUUUAUGGUAUGCACUUUCUUGAGCAGAAAGCUUCAAUUUUCCAUUAAUAAAACGAUUAAUGAUGAAUUCAAAGAACUGGUGCGAUGACUUUAAUUAAAUAUUUUUUUACGCUGUGUGCAACCGCAUUUUGAGGUUAAUUUAAAGGAUAUUAUUUUCUCCUGAUCAAAACUUUUAUAUAAAAAAAUAAUUAUGUGAUUGGUAGUUAUUAAGUAAAAAUAAAAUAAAAAAUAAAUUUUGAACGUAAAUAAAUAAAAAUCAUAUAUGUUAUAAAGAUUUUUUAAAACUCAAAUAAGUGCACCCAAUUCCUAAUUUAAAACGCUAGCCAAUGAGAUCAAUAAUUUGGUCAACCAGUCAGAGAUAACCAUACAAUAAUUAAUCAAAAAUUUGCCAUUUGUUUUACAUUUAAGACCUUUGCGUCAUGCAUGAUGAUCAAUUGAUCAUGACAUGGAUCAAUUAGUCAACAAGACAUUUGCCUUUUGUGCAUGUAUCCACAUUGGACACAAAUAUAAUUUGUUAUAAAAAAAUUGGACUAAAUUAUUUUUUAAUAUAUUUUUUUAAAAUAAUACAUCUGAUCCUAGAGGGCCUGUUAUUUAGUUCGUAAAUCUUAUAACAGGACCCAUGAUUUUUUUUUUUUUUAAAAUCUUAUGGGUCCCCUAUUAUUUAAUUUGUGGAAUUGACGGAGGUAACUUACAAUUUCAUUUUUGUAAUUUACAGCUUUCAAUAAAUUCAGAUAAUAUUAGGCGGUAAAAGUCGGCCAAGCUGGAGGAGUAGAUCUAUAAAAUUUGCUAGCACUUUGCACUAUCUGUUUGGUGCCCAGAAACACACAUAUAUAUCAUCCACUUUUUAUUUAACGCUGGGUUUUUUUCGACCCAUAAUAAUUUCUCUUUCCACAUCAACUUUUUAAUAAAAACUUUUAUUGUCAAGAUAAAUUGUUAGUAAUUACUUCACUAAUCCUCCCUUUUUUUUGGGCCAAUUUCUCUUUCGCAACUGACAAAAUUUAAUUCACAUCAUGUGAUAGUAUGAUUGCAAAUAAAUUUGAAGUUAUCUCUCGCAAGUUAUUCAAAAAUACAUUGACAUAUCUUGUGUAUAGAACUAAAGAACAAUAGCAAAACCAAUAUCCUUUAGCCGAUCGCUGCUAUUAGGACGGCAAAAUUAGUAGUAAAUAUGUAAAUUUGUCUAAACCCAUCUACAAAAUUCUGUCCACUGCGAAUAAUUUUGUAGGUUGCGGAUAAGUUUGAUAUUUUAAAUUUAAGUUCGUUGCAGAUUACGGAUGGAUUCAAUAUUGAGAAAAAAAUUGGCGGGUGUCUGCCGCUAGCAUUUUUUUAAUUAUUUAUGUUUUUAAUUUUAAUCACAAAGAUUGUCUUAAAAAAAAUUUAAUCAUAAAAAUAUAAUAGUUAAAGAUAUUACUCUAAUCUUCCAAAUUCCUAAACCUAACCUAACUCAUGACAGUUGCACACCCUACUCCUUCAAGUAUGUAUGUAUGUAAAUGUAUACACACGCCCACACACACAAAAUUAGCUUUUAAUAAGUAGAUUUAGUAUUUUUCAAGUUUAAUAUUAAUGAUAUUUUAAUUUAAUUUAAUUACUUUUGUUUGUUUCGCUUUAAUGACUUGAACUUAGUAAUUGCUGGCUAAGAUUGGAUUUUUAUUUAUCUAAUUAAUGGUCAAUAGUUGUCCAAAAUAUAUUUGUUAAUAUUGUUGACAAUACUUAUAUAUUGACUGAAAGAUAGAGCAAGGCAUUAAUUUUAGUAAUAAUUAUUUGCCUACAACAAAAAUAUUUUGUGUUAGAAUGAUAUAUUUUGUGUAUUUGUUUUAAUAUUGAAACUUUAAUUUCUCUUUUAUAUUGAUAAAAUCUAAAGUUGAGUAGUUUAUGUAGAUUUUUUAGUCUGUUACUAUAAAGUUAUAUUUUGAAUUAUAUAAUUUAAAUUAUUAAAUAUAAUUUUUUAAUAUUUAUAAUUUUAAAUAAAAAAAUUUAUUAAAAAAAAAAACUACUACAUGUUAUGGGUGGAUUUGCUAAUUAUUAAAAAUUAUAGCGAACAAACUAAAGAAAAAAAGAGGCAACCGGUUACGGGCGAAUUUAAUAAUGACAAACCCAUAAUAAGCAAUACCAUUACCAUCGGCAGCUUCUAUAACGCAGGGCCGGCGGCGGUCUUGAAUUGUUAGAAGUUGCAACAUUAAUUAGCAAAAUUUUCUGCGUCAUCCCUGAAGUAUAGCAUAGAAUUAGAUAUAUCCCCUUGUUUUCAAAAUUAGUCUCUUAUUCCCAUAUGUUGUUUACUUAAUUUUUUUUUUCAUUUCAAUUGGAUUUAUAACUUCGUAAUGUUGCGCCUUGUAAAAUGUAUGCUUAAAACGCGUGCUUCUUAUUUUUUAUAUACUGCUAAGAGAAUUUGAGAAUAGAAAUAUAUAAAAUGGUGUCUCAUUUAUUAAUUAUUUAUAUCCUCUAAAUAGCACCUAACAUGCAAGCUCACUUCAAUAGCAAAAUUAAUUAAACAAAAAAAAAAAAAAGCAUUUUUAACACCAGUACAAAAACAUAACGAGUGUAAAGGAAGACUCAUUAACUUAUUUUAUGAUAUUAAAUUCACGCAGAUACCAUCAAUGUUUCUCGACCACGUUUGAAAGAGACCACCAACUCACGCUGAUUUGGAAGAUUUUCUUUAAGUAUAUAAGUGAAAAUUAUUACUCUAGUCUUCAAAAUUCUUAAACCUAAUCUAAGUCAUUACAGCCGCAUGCCUUGCUCCUUUUAUUAUAUGUAUAUAUUUUACGAUGAAUACAAUAACUUUCAAUAAGAAGAAUUUUAUACUUUUCAAGCUUAAUAUUAAUGAUAAUUUAAUUUAUUUUAUUUUAAUUACUUUGAAUUGUUUUUGUUUAAUGACCUGAACAUAUUGGUUGUUUGCUAAAGUUGAAUUUUUAUUUGUCUAAUUAAUUGACGAUAGCAAUUGUAUAAAAUUUACUUAAAAAGAUAAAAUCUUAGUAGAUUACAGAAAGAUUUAGUAAUGACAAACAUGUAGCAGCCAAUACACAUUACCAUCCCCAACUGCUAUAAUGCAGGGCCAUGGGCAGUCUUAAUUGUUAGAAUGUGCAAAAUUAAUUAGUAAAAUGUUCAGCGGUAUCCUUGAAUUUUGGCAUAGAAUUAGAUAUAUCCCCUAGUUUUCAAAAUUAGUUUUUGAUUCCCCUGUUGUUUACUUUAUAUAUAUAUAUAUAUAUAUAUAUAGUAGUUUUAUGGUCAGGGAUUUUAAAGUGCGGGAAAGUCCGGGAAAACUUUAAAACCGCAUGGUUUUCAAGGUUUAAAACUGUAAGUCUUUAAAACCAUGCGGUUUUAAAGGUUUCCUGCACUUUCCCGUACUUUAAAAUUCCGGACUGAAACAUAUUUAUAUAUAUAUAUAUAUAUAUAUAUAUAUAUAUAUAUAUAUAUAUAUAUAUAUAUUUCACUUGGAUAUAUAACUUUGUAAUGUUGCGCCUUAUAAAAUGUAUGCUUAAAAUGCAUGCUUAUUACUUUUUAUAUGCUGUUAAGAGAAAUUGAGAAUAGAAAUAUGUAAAAUGGAGUUUCAUUUAUUAAUUAUUUAUAUCCAUUAAAUAGCACCCAACAUGUAGUUCGUCUCAAUAGUAAAAUUAAUUAAACGAAGCAAAAAGAUUUUUUUUAGCAUCAGUACAAAAAUAAAAAAAAGCACAAAGCGAGAAUCACAAACUUAUUUUAUGAUAUUACAUUCACGCAGAUGUCACCAAUAUUUCCCGACGACGUUUGAAAGCGAUCACCAUCUCAUGCUGAUUUGGAAGAUUUUCUUCAAUUACAGGGACUUUCCUGAAAUUUUCAAACCACUCAUGCAAGCUUGGGAAUUUGUGAGAUUCAAAUAGUUUCACUCCCAUUACAUCUUCAAGGACAUGCAGCCAAUAAGCAAUGGCUUCAAAUGCUAGGUCCGCUAAGCCAAUAUUGUCUCCAUUGAAAAAUUUCUUCUCUCCUAGGCCAUGUUUUUCAACGGUUUGAAGCAUUUCCAAGGCUGCCUUCAUUGCAUUCUCCAGGUCUUGUCCAGUGCUGAAAAACAUUUUCCAAACAGCUACUCCCUGCCACAAGAUUUUAUAUCUAAUUCUUAUCACCACAUGAUUAACAAAAGAAAUUAGAUAAUAUGUACACACGCGUCAAAAUAUCUUUUCAAGGCUAGACGUUUCAAACUGUCAAAGUAUUUAGGAGAGUUUAUCCACUAAUUUUUAGACUAGUUUAGUAUAACUUUUCAAAGCUUAUUUAAAUAGAAUUUUUAUUAGUAAAACUUUAAUUUUUAUAAAAAAAAUUAAUUAUUUAAUUGUUAAUGAAAUUUAAAAAAAAUUUGAAAUUACUUUAACAGAUAAAUUUUUAAAGUUAUGUUACGAAAUAAAUAAAAUAAGAUUAUAAAAUAAAUGAUGAACAUUUUAAACAAUUUAACUUUUAAAAAAAAUUCCUCAAACCUCUAUUUCCAAAAGUUUAAAUUUAAACUUUUACUAGUAUAGGCAAAAGAAUUUAUUUAAUCCCAAAAUGUUCUACUAAAAAUAAAACUAAACAAUAAUAAAAAAUUUAAAAAGAGUUUUUUUUUUAUUAAAUAAACACUUAUGAGUAAUAAAUAAGCCACAUCAAACAAAUACUCAAUGAUAUAAAAGGAAGAAGAUAAAAAAAAAAAUCCUCUUAUUAUUUUAGUAAAUUAUAAUUUUGCUUUCAUGUUUCAAAAGACCUUAAAAUUCUCCCUAUCGCUAAAACAAUUAUAUUUUAAUAUUUUACCCUUGAUGUGGUAAAAUCCACGAUUAAUUAAGAAAAAUUUCUAAAGGUAAAAAAUUUAAAGUAAUUAACCGCAUUUUUUUGAUAACUUUCUCUAAUGUAAAAUAAAAGGCUCAUUGAGCUUAGUCGGCCGUGAAUGCAUUUUGCACAUGCGAGGACAUUAGUUUGAGCAUUAAUAGAAGAUAAAAAUUAAUGUUUAGAGAGUCAUAUUUCUCAUAUACAAUGAAAAAUUAAAGUAUAUAAAGAAAUCCGACAAGAUUAAUUAAAUUUACAAACGUGUUAGCAAGAAAAGUUGUGGUGCGAACCUUGUCUUCGGCAAAUUUAAUCCAAAAACGAGCUUGAGCUCUAUCAUAAGGAUCACUUGGCAUCAAGGAGGGAUUCUGUGGCCACAUCUCUUCAAUGUAUUCGAGAAUAACCAUGGACUCGCAAACUGGUUUUUCGCCAUGAACGAGCACUGGUAUCAUCUUGUGAACUGGAUUAUACUUCAGAAGCGAAGCACUUUUGUUGUAGAGAUCUUCUUCAAUGUAUUCAUACGGGAUGCCUUUCAAUUUCAGAGCCCAUACCACCUUGUUGCUAAAUGGACUCGCCCAUCCCCCGUGGAGCUUCACUUCAGCCAUGUGUCUAAGAUCGAAUUUGAAUAUGUUUGCGGUUGUUUUGCUUAGCUGAUGAGUUAUUGCAUACGUACAUCUGAAUUUAUAAUGAUUAUUCAUUAAUAUUGGAAUAUGGAGUGCGCUUGCUUGAGCAGGGAGCUUCAUAUUUCCAAUUUAUUUAAUAAAACGAUUAAAUUAAGUUGAAUUCAAUGAACUAAUGCUGCGACUUUUUAACAAUUCUGUUAUAUAUUCAACGAGAAGAGGUAUCGUAUUUGACGGGAAUCUCUUGAAACAGUGCUGAAUGAACAAGUAAUCUUAUUUAAUUUGGUCAACUGGUCAGAUAUGGCUUAAUUAUAUAUUUGGCGUUUGUUUUAGGUGCCCAGCUAGCCCUGCUGCUGUGCUUUUGACUUUACCAUGGGGUGGAGUCGUGGAGAUAUCAUCAUCCCAACUGAAGACAUAUUAUGAUAUUCUCCUGAAAACUUUGUGAGACUCAUUUACUCUACAAUUUUAGCAUUUUAGGCCAAAUAACUUCAUAUAAAUGACGUUUUGUCCCCCGGCUCCAUCUCUUCUAUAUAAAUCCGAACACCUGAAAAAUGACGAGACCGGAACAACUCUCCCUCUUAAGUCUAUGCAAAUUUUACACACCAGAGAAAGAGAGGGAGAGGGGCAGCCAUGAGAGACAACGAUACAGAAAAGAAUAUGGAAGAGAGUUUAUUAAUACCAAAAGAGAGUUUAUCAUCAACAUCCACAACAUGGGAUUUGUUGAGUGGAGAAGUGAAAAAGCAGGGUUACAUAGCAGCACCAAUGGUGGCAGUAACUUUAUCACAGUAUUUGCUUCAAGUUGUUUCCAUGAUGAUGGUUGGUUAUCUUGGUCAACUUGCUCUUUCUAGCACCGCCAUGGCCAUCUCUCUAGCUAGCGUCACCGGCUUCAGCGUCCUUGUGAGUCCUACAAUCCAUAUAUAGUUAUAUACACAAGAUUGUUUAUUCUUUCUUUUGAUAGGUAUUUGCAUCAUUGCAUGUGGGAUUUAAACAAAUAGAUGUGCCAAAUUUCUGAUGUUAAAAAACAUGCAAUUAACUAAUACCCUGUUUUUAAAAAUGCCAUUAAUUUUUAAAGGACUUGAUUUGCUCUUUUUUUUUUAAAAAAAAAAAUUCUACAGCUAACUUGAAUUGUGUAAUAUUUUCUUUGAAACAGUUAGGAAUGGCAAGUGCUCUGGAAACAUUAUGUGGGCAAGCAUAUGGAGCUCAGCAAUAUCAAAGAAUUGGAACUCAAAUUUACACUGCAAUAUUUUGUUUAUUCUUAGUAUGUUUUCCGCUUUCCUUUCUAGGGAUUUACAUGGGAAGGCUGCUAGUUUUGGUAGGCCAAGACCCCCAGAUUUCACACGAAGUAGGCAAGUUUAUAAUCUGGCUUCUUCCAGCUCUGUUUGCUUAUGCAGCAAUGCAGGCGCUUAUUCGAUAUUUUCAGUCUCAAAGUUUGAUCAUUCCCAUGUUCUUAAGCUCCUAUGCCGCUCUUUGUUUGCAUAUUCCCAUCUGUUGGGGUUUGGUAUUCAAGUCUGGACUGGGAAACCUUGGAAUUCGAGAGUUCUUCCAAUUUGCUAUCCCUUCUGCAGUAAUGGUUUGGUAUGUUAAUUAUCUUCUGGAGUUUCAUUUUCCCUUCUCAUAGAUAUCGUAGACACGUCAUAAAUUUUCAUGCAUCUUCUUUUGUUUAUAAUUUUGCAGCCUAGAAUGGUGGUCGUUUGAAUUGCUCAUUUUAAUGUCAGGGCUGUUGCCUAACCCACAGCUUGAAACUUCAGUCCUAUCUGUAUGGUAUGUUGACAUAUCUUUGUAUGUCAAAGUUCUAUACAGAGAAGCACCUACCAAAAGGAAAUAUAUUUUUUUUCUUUUUUUCCCCGACUGCUCAUUAUUUGUCAACUUCUUUGGGCAGUCUCAGUACUAUUCAAACCCUCUCUGCAAUCCCAUAUGGACUUGGUGCUGCAGUGAGGUUUGUUCAUAACAAUCAUUUAAAUAAUAAUUGUUUUAUAUCAACUAAUUAGCAGAUUAACCAUUAUUUCCUUCUAUAGUACUAGAGUUUCAAAUGAACUAGGAGCUGGGAAUGUGCAAAGAGCCCGUGUAGCUGUCUAUGCUGUGGUCUUUAUGGCGGUCAUGGAGACUAUCAUAGUAAGUGCAUCUCUCUUUGCCAGCCGGCGUGUUUUUGGUUAUGUUUUCAGCAAUGAGGGACAAGUUGUGGAUUAUGUCACAACCAUGGCUCCUCUGGUUUGUUUGUCUGUCAUCAUGGAUAGCUUACAAGGAGUCUUUUCAGGUUAAAUUAACUUCUUCAACUCUGUCAAUUGCUAAAUAGUUCUCUUUAAGUAGAAAUAAAAUUUUUCAGGUUUCUAAAUUCUUUUUAUUAUUUUUAAGGUGUUGCAAGAGGAUGUGGGUGGCAGAAUAUAGCUGCUUUUGUGAAUCUUGGGGCUUAUUAUUUGUGUGGAGUCCCAACUGCUGCCAUUUUGGGUUUCUGGUUAAAGUUUAGAGGAAGGGGCCUAUGGAUUGGGAUACAAGCUGGUGCUUUUACACAAACACUUCUGCUUGGCAUCAUAACAACAUUUACAGAUUGGGAAAAACAGGUCUGUUUCUCAACAUUUAAUCCCUUAAAAAUUAGAGAAGCUUAUUGGACUAUAUAUGUAAAUAUGUAGCAAUUUUUUUUUCCCAAUAUGUAUCUGAUACCUUUCGACUGAAAGUUCAAGAUUAAAAUCACUCAGCUUGAUCUGAAAUAGUUAGUAUUAUCAUCUUAUGCAGAAAUGGUUUUGCUCAUUGAGAAAAUGAUAUUCAAUAACACAGAUGCAAACUCAUUUGAAAAUUUUGCCAUUGAGAAAAUGAUAUUCAAUAACAGACAUGCAAACUCAUUUGAAAAAUUUGCUUUUUUGCAAGAAUUGAUAACCAUUUUCUAGUUUGUUAAUUGUUACAAGUUCUGUGUUUCUAAGGGGUUUCUCAUGUUGCAGGCAAGUACAGCAAGGAAAAGAUUAUCAAAGGGAAGAUCUUUAGAAGAUAAUAGAAUAGUAUGUGAGUGAGCAGAGUCAAUCAAUGAGCUGAUAUAUACAUUGUCCAGUUGAAAGAGAUAAUCAUUGCUUGAGAAAAUGAGCUGCUCAUAUGUCAAUUGAUGGCCAAGAAGGUUCCCCAAUCUGAUCUAUGGAGCAUCGCAUUUCAUAAAACUCUGUUUCUAGAGAAAAAAAAAAAAAAUUAACAGCUUCUUAGGAUUGGAGCAUCAGGUGACUUAGCAUUUCCAGUAUGAAAGAAUUAUAAGAUAGAUGAUGCUGCAAAAAUGAAUAGAGAUAAAAUUAAGCAAGAGAAAAUGUUUGAAUGUUAUUAAUGAAACCUUUUCCAGUGAUUGUAGAGAUAAUUUUCUUUGUAUUGAAACUUUCAGCAUCUGAAAGAUAAGGAAAAUAUUAAAAGAAAAAAGAAAAUUCUUAAAUCUUUUCCAUGUCACUCCAGCAAAGUUGAAUUGUCAUUCUAAACCCUAUACCAAAAUGUAAGGUGGCCUGUGGCCUAUAGGUAAUACACAAUUUGACAACCCCAUAUAUUUAGUAAUCUAGGUGGAUGCCAUUUAUUUAUUUUUUAUUUAAUUUUUUUUCAUUUUUAAUGCAAACAACGCCUCUUUCAUUGUGGCAUUGGAAUAUAUAGAGAUUUGUACACUGAUUUUGGACCAUAAUUCACAAAUAAUGCGACGCAUAUCUUUCUUUCAGUACUUCUUCAGGAGGAUAAGAUACAGACAUUGUUGUCUUUUUACCUGAAGCAAGUGCAUGUGCAUGAAUUGUUGUUGUCUGUUAAUCUGCUGCCACUUUGCUGCCAAAAAACUUGAAAAAUAAACCAGGAAAAUUUUCAAUAAGCAAAGUCAAACAACUAACCCCUGUUUAAGUAAUUUUCCGAAGAAAACUUUUAAACACUCAAAUAAAGCACUCAAGUAAAGUAUUUCUGUCACAUUAGCUUUCGAGUGAGGUUUGAUUUACAUUUAUAUCAGAUAUACCAAGUGUUUUUUAUUCUUUUAAUUAAUGUAUAUCACAGCUUGGAAAUUCUAAAAAUUAAUCAUGCUUAAUCUUGAGCAACAAUAUCUGUAAUCAUCAUACGAGGUCAAAGGUGAAGGAAAAGAAAAAGAAAGAGUUAGUUUUAUGUAUAUAAGUGAAAGGAUCUGUUAUAGAGUAUUUCUGUUGCAUGGUUUUCGGAGGGAUAGCAUUGUCCACAGCAUUUGGACUUUGCUUCUGAUUCAAUGGCAUUUAGAAUUUGGUUUCCGCUGAGAUCAUAUACAGCUUGAUUCUGAUAUCUUCCAUUUUGGAGGGAUUCAGAUAAAUUGAAGAAGUUUGAGGUUCCAGUUCAAAUUGGUAAUGCUGCAGAUAAUAUAUAUAAUUUUGUAGAGGUUUUCUAACUUUUAUUUUUAGUAAUGUAUUCAUGUCCUGUCAUUCUUCUUUCUGCUUAAAUCCAGUUGCCCAUGUUGGAAUUUCUUUUCAGCUUUUGUAUUCUUUUUCCUUUUUGUUCAAUAAUGCUAUAGACGAUGCUCUACCAUUUAAAAGAUAUAAAUAAAAAAAUUUAUAAAUUUUUACUUUAUCAAGGUGUGAAACCUUAUAAAAUUUAUAAAUUUAACUAAUGAACAGAAUAUUUGGAGUUGUUAUACGUGGCGUUGUUAUACCAGAACUACAACAGUUAAGAUUGUACUUUGGACCAGUAGUCCGCAAGUUCGGGUUUCCAGCCGAUAUACCUCUGUGAUUAAAACUUUAAAAACAUUUUCUUCUCGGGUUAUAUAACCCAAAACAGACUUUCCUUUAGUCUAAAACAGGGUACCAAACCAGAUAAGAAAUUAUCAAAAGUUUUCUGAUGCACAGGAUCCUUGCAAAAGGCAAGUGCAGAGCAUACUUCCUUAGGUUUCAAAAUGAACAAAUUUAAUUCUUUAUUCCUUUUCUUUCUCUAGAGAGCUUCAUUUGCAGAGAGAGGAGAGAAGUUUAAGGAUUCAUAGUGAUAAAAACACACGAGAGUUUAUUGCUUCGAACUUCUAUCUUACAAGAGAUGAGAGAACUCAUUAUAUAGGAGAAAUCUCAGGAAGAUAGGACAGGACCCCUAUCUUUUACAAAAGCAAAAGUAAAAGGUACAUCAUGACACACUUUUAAUUAUUACAAAGGGACAAGGAUGCUUUAAUAAUGAAAGCAUGACUUUGGACAAAGCAAAAGUAAAACUUAAAGUAAAAGCAAAGCAAGAUGCAAUAAUUAUAUAGGACAAAACACAAAGGGACACAGCAUUUAUUACAUGAAGACAAACUACUUUAUGGAGAGGAGAGAUUCAUGUAGUCAUCUUCAGAGGAACUUUCUGUUGUGUCUGGGUCCGUGUCACCAGAGUGAUGAGGGUUUGGGAAAAAAAGGUUUGGAGAGCUUUUGAUGUUUACAGGAGGGACCACGGCAAGGUGGGUGAGGGCAAUUAUAGUCUCUUGGAGUACACCUUGGAGUAUACUUUGGAGAGGUUUGGGUGGCUUUGUCAACUUUGGAGGUUUGGGCUGGCCUUUUGGAAGGUUGGGUUGAUGGACCUGCUUCGAAGGGUCCGGGUUCAUCCAUUGUUGGUUGGGGAAAUGGUUGUAAGUGUUGGCUUAGAGGAAGAAAUGCAUCCCAUGGAUCUUGGGAAUCCUGGAACAGGAAGUCAGUGUAGUCUGGUUUUUCUUCCUUGAUAAUGAUACCUGUGGACUUUGGUUUGGAUAUAGUGGACGGAGUAGGAAUCAUGAUGAGGUCAUGUUGUGGACCUAAGGAGGUGUGGAAGAUAUCUCGGUGUAGAGGAGUCUGGUGGUUCAAUUGACAAAGAUAAUUGUACAGGGUGGUCUGGAUUUCAUUGUCAAUGAUAGCUGGAUGAGGGGCAGUAAACCAUUCAUAAACUUGAUCUUGAGUCCAAAAGAGGUUUGUGUCUGGAUGUUGGAAAUAUGGUCGGUGAAUGAUAAAAAUGGAUGUGAACAUUUGGGCUUCAGAAGCUGGUAUACGGUCGAGAUUGUAGAUCUCUGUUAGUUGCUGUAACUUUUUUCUCCACCAUGGGAUGGGAGAAUACAAUUCCAGUAAUAUCCAGAUAAGAGAAGUGGCUUUUUUCGGGUCGAGGAGAUGGGAUAAGGUAGGAGCAAUUGGUAGGAUGAGCUUGGUAGCAUAAAGAACAGUUAGGCACCAGAGGUACCAUAACUCGUCUUCAGUGAUUUCUCUAGAUGGAUCAAGGGUCAAACCUGUCAGGAACAGAUUUUCUGGGUGGAAAGUGGAAAAUGGAAAGGAGUCGGCCAUAAGGUAGGCUUUCAUGAAGAAGCGAAAAACAGCUUUCCUUGCAAAUUCCUGGAUAGCAAAAACAGAGGAUAAUGGUUUGUUAAGGGGAAAAGUCUUUUUGGUGAGAGCUUCUGGUGGAAGAGAGGUAGCCAUGAAGAUGAUAGGAAAAUGGUAUGCUGUAGAGAUGACGGUGAGAGUGUGUUCUGGUUUGGAGAGUCUGGAGAGCAUAUCAGGGAUGAGGUUCUGGGAUCCCUUUAUAUGCUUGACAGAGAAGUCAUAUUUGAAAAACCAAUCUUUUAAUCGGAGUAGCAUCUUUUCUGGAACAGUUUUACCUUUGAAGUUGAGAAUAUUAGGGAAAGCUGAACUGUCCAUUCGGAUAAGGAAGUGGUGUCUAAUCAGAUGGUACUCAAAUUUCUUGAUGUCAUUCUUUACCGCUAAGAUUUCUUUGAACACGCUAUGGUAGUGUUUCUGUGUGUCAGAAAAAUGUCCACUAGCGUAAGCGAUAAAGUGUUCUUUUCCAUCGAGUUCUUCAAGGAGGAUGGCACCCCAAGAUUCAUCACUGGCAUCUAUCUGUAAGAUGCGCUUUCCAUCUGCAAUUAACUUUAAAGGAGGCGGAUUUUGCGCGAUUUGUUUGAGAGUAGUGACAGCACGUGUGUGGUCAUCAUUCCACUCAGCAGGUUUCUUUUUCAAUAAAGCCGAGAGAUGAUGAGUGUAGUGGUCCACAUGUGGGAUGAAGUCUCUGAUGUAGUUGAUAAUCCCGAGAAACUGUUGAACUUGCUUUUUGGAAAGUUGUUGAUCUGGAAAGUGAAGCAACUCUUGAGCGAUGUGCUUUCCUGGCUGGUAAUGGCCAUCUUUAAUGAUCAUACCAAGAAAUUCGAUGGUAUCUGUGGCAAUGGUGCUUUUCUUGGCAGACAACAUGAUUCCAUGACUGUGGACAAGAUCAUAGAACUGGCUUAACAGCUGGUGAUGUUCAUCAUGUGAACUUGAAAAAAGCAAGAUGUCAUCAAUAUAAAUCAAUGCAUGAGACAGGAUAGGCUGAAAGAUCUUGAUCAUGGAUUUUUGAAAGAUAGAUGGGGCAGUUUUGAGGCCGAAGGGUAAGACUGUCCAUUGGAAAUGGGCAUUGGGAAUGCAAAAGGCAGUCUUAUAUCGUUCAGAGGGUUCGAUGCCUAAUUGCCAAAAACCUGACUUUAAAUCAAAUUUGGAAAAGAUCUGGGCAUUUUUUAGAAAAGUAAACAUGCUUUGUCGGCGGGGUAAAGGAAAUUUGUCAUCUUGCAAAAACAUGUUUAGGGGAUGAUAGUCUAUGACUAGGCGUUUUUUCCCUCGAACAAUUUCAGAAUGCUUUUCGACAUAAAAGGCUUGGCAAGCCCAUUGGGAAUUUGUGGGCUCGAUGAGACCUUGGACCAACAAUUGAGAACAUUCAUGUUGGGCUAGGAGUAAGUCAGACGGACUCAUUCCUGGAUGGGUAGCCUUGGUUGGAUUGAUGUCUUCAUUGAGUUUGAAGGGUAACUUAACAAAGAAGGACUUAUUUUUCCACAAAGGAUUUGGAUGGGUGGACUCAGAAUGAGAUUCUGGACAAAAACUCAAAAGUUUGGUUGAAAGGUCCUGGUAAGACUGAGGGGUUUCGGACAGAUUGUAAAGUUUCAGGAUGUCUGUGAAUGGUUUGAACAUGGACUUGACUCGAAUUCCAUUGGGAAUGAUUUGAAGGUGUUUGAUCUGGUGGAGGAUGUCAAAUCCUAACAAGAUAUCCUUAUUAGGAAGGGUUGAACCAAUAACUUUGGUCCAAAUGACACAAUUGGGAAAGAUUUGAAUACCAAUGGGUUUUUUGGUAAUCAAUGAGGUGGUGAACAAUUUGCCGUUGACAGCUUUGAAAUGUUCUUCAGACUGUAUCCAAUAGUCUGGUGGAAGAAUGUGCGGAUUAAGCAUGCUGCGUUGGGCUCCAAUAUCAAUAAGACCAAUUGCUGGAAUGGGCCUUUGGAAUUUUGAGGGCAAAAUCUGGAGUUUGAUGGAAGGUAUAGGAACUGUAGUGUCAAGGGACAAUAACUGUUGAUGAAAAAUGACUUAUGACUGAUCACUGUCUAAAUCAUCAGAGGACUGCUGUAGUGCGAACACGGUUUCAUCAUUGGGUUCAUCUUGUUCAGAGAAAUAGAAUUCCAGUUCAUCCUUUUCUAGGGAGUAAUCGGUAGUAGCUUGAAGAUGUUCAACAAGGCGAAUGGAUUUUUGUCUUUGGUUGAGACACUCUUUGGCAAAAUGACCCUUUUUCUUGCAGAUAAAACAUCUGAUGGACUUUCGUCUUUUAGAGUCUCGGGAAGAAGAAGACUUCUUUCUGAAGAAUCUGUAAAGUUUUCUGGACCUGCGGGGUUUGGAUGAAAAUUCUAGGGUUUUGAAUUUUCGAAAAUGCUUUUUCUUUUUGGAACUACAAUCACAAUUCUUCUUUUGUUUGCAUUUGAUCUACAAAUAAGGCUUUUUGCAGGCACUUCUGAAUGGUUCAUUGUCUUUCAACAGGUCUUUGAAAAACUAUUUUUGUUCACAGAGUUUAUCAAGACAUGUCUUGGCAAGCUGAAAGAUUUUGCCAAGAGAGAUGUUGUCAAUGACAAGAUUGGAGGCGGUGAGCUGCCGCUGUAUGUCUGGUUGGAGUUCUUCUGGAAGGGAAGCCAGAAAGACAUGCUUUAGUGUAGGCUCAUUAAAUCCAUUAAGCUUAUAGAAUAACAAGGACAUGCGUUUGUAAUGGAAAUCAAGAUCCUUAGCAUUGAGGGAGCAGCAUUUCAUGUUAAGAUAGUCUCGUCGGGCGGCUUUAAAGGCCGCAGCUGGGUCUCCGAGAAAUUGAUCAUUAAGAAUGGCGAGAGCACUUGAGACUUCUGGUAAUUGGACAAACUGUAAUUGUCAGUAUUGGCCUAAUGAAUCAAACCAAUCUCUUAGAGCACCCGUAAAACGAGUAGCAAAUUCUCUAAGGACUGAUUCAGUUGUGGCUCCUAGGUGAAGCAUUUGGAGAUCAAUCCAGGCAGACAUUUCAUUAAGGCGGUCACGCCAUUUGUAAGAUGGGAUAUCAUCAAAGGUGAACCAUGGACCAUUUGAUGAUUUAUGACUAGAUGAACUAGUUUGGGCCGGAGGAGGCUGAUGUGUAGCAGAAGAUUCAGGCAUUUUUUCUUCAACAUCAGAAGGAAUGUCAACAUAUGGUUCUGUCCGGGAUGACUGACCUUGGGUAUGUUGAUCAGGUUGAGCCAUUAGAAUCUUGGUGAUAUCAGCAUAAGAGUUUUCAGAGUCACUGGUGGAUGCUGAAGAUUCUGUGUCAGUCUCAGUGUGGCUAUCUGAAACGGCUAGAUUUGAAUCAGAAGUUUGGUCAUCGGUGGAAGAUGAGUGGUCAACUGUGUGGGCACUGAACUGGUGCAUGGGUUCUUUAUCUUUGGAUUUAGUAGGAGGUUGAGAUAAGGGUGGUUCAGGUGGUGAUGGUGAGGCCGGUGUAUAUCCUGGGGAUUGGUGGCCAGAGGUAGGAUUGGAGGAUGGGUGAAUUGUGACGGGUCGUGGUUGAGGCUUCGGCUUUGAUUUAGGUUUUGAUGGUGGUGGCAAUGGAUGUUCUCGAAAGAGUGUAUGAGUCAUACCAAAUAACUUGGAAGGCUCAUAUUGUCUAACAAGGGAAAGUAUAGAGGCAAAAGGAUGAUAAGUGGGACCAAUGGAAGGAAUGAGAGGUGAAGAAGUAAAAAGGGACGGACGUUGUUUUUCAGACUCAAUUUGGCAAAGCUCAACUUUUAGGCGUCUGAUCUCUCUUUCUUUUUGGUCAAAUUUUGGGCCAUAAUAGCGAUGGGCAAGCAUGGUUCGUAACUCAGAAUCAAGUUGAGCAAUUUUAGACUGCAGGUUUUGGUGGAUCUGCUGCAUCUGUGUAGAGAUAGAGUCAACUUUUGUCUCAAGUUGUUCAGUUCGCAAACUGAUUUUUUCAACUUUUGAGUUGAUAUUCAACAAAGUAUCAUUUUGAGCUCUAGCAUUGUGAGUUUGCCAGUUGAGGACUGACUCAAAAGGUUUGGAUGGUUCAAGAUGACCAGUUGAAGUUAUGGGUGAAGGGAUAAAAGGUUUGGAUACAACAUUUCGUUGGGAAUCUGUGUGGGUGUCUAAAGGAGGGAAGGAAGAAGAAUAUUCUGAAGAAGUAGAUGAAAACAUCAUACAACUCAGUGGUGGAGGUAGAUCUGGGAUUGGUGAUGGAAUCUCAUAUUUGCAAUGCUUUACAAUCCAUUUGAGUUCUUUUUGGUAAAUUGGUAAAGGAGCUGGUGGCGAUGGAGGGUCUUUUGGUGGUUUAGGGGGACUGUGGUGGCAAGAGGUAGAAGAUUGUUUCUUUUUGGUUUUGCUUUUCCUUUUGGUAACAUAAUCAUCGUCCUCUUCCCAAUCAUCCCAGCAGGGACAAUCUGGGUCACAGUUGCCUGAUCCAGGGACAUCCCAUAGGAAAUGUCCAUUGUGCUUGGCUGGAUAAACAGGGUAACCUUCAGAAUUGAACCCUGUAAUAAGCAGAUCUUCCUGGGCUGUUUGAACAGCUGUGAUCAUGGAGGAAUAUGUAAAAGAGAGCCGAGGGGGCUCUUGAGGAGCACUGGGAGGUGGUUUAAAUGUCAUUCUGACCGUUCCAUCUGGUCGACGUUCAAACAUGCUCUCAGAUGUCUAAACUGGAGCUGUAUUGUUAUGGAACUGUUCAUAGUUGGAGAUCCAUUCAAGUGGCAUAAGCUUGAUGAGCUCAUGGCGAGGAAUUUGUCUUGGGAUCUGGAUGAUGGUUGGGAUUUGGUCAGAUUCAGCUAAUACCAUGAAGGCAUCAGAAUGGUGUUCUAGAGUGGGAAGAUCUAAGGCAUGAUUUUGAAGCCUAUAGACCAGUUGAUGGUGUAUGGUGGCAAUUUUGGCAGAGGAAAUCUGUUCAGCACCUUGGAUCUGAACUUGAACUUUCAAGGUUGUGGGUAGAUUGGUAUAUGUUCAUUAGUUAAAUUUAACUAAUGAACAGCAUAACAAAAUAUUUGGAGUUGCUUAAUACCAUAGAAAAAAAAGCAGAAAGAGAUGUUCAAGAACAAAACACAAAAAUUUUCAUCAAGUGGAGCAUCGAUCAUGCCAGCAUAAUAACAUAAUUACAUAAUGCUCGAAGAGCACCCAAGACCUUCUGAAAAAAUAAUAUAACUUAAAAUAUCAAAAAACACAAAUAAUUAAUUGAUUAUCCAAAUAUAUAAACAAACCUAGCUCACAAUGUGAAAUAUAUUAAAACAGCAACCAUAAGAUUUUCAAACAUUUAAAUUAACGGUGAUGAUAUUUCCACCCCGUGAAUUUUAUAAAUCCACCCAUUUUUAAAAAAAUUAUUAUAAUCAGUUCACAUUAUUUUUUAAAAAUUUAAAUUAAGAAGAAAUUAAAAAAAUUGAUAUAGAAUUUAUAAUUUUAUAAAAUAAUGUAAACUUAUUGUAAUUAUUUUAUACAGGUGGACUGGGUUUAUAAAAAUAGCGGGGUGAAUAUACUUACACCCUUGAAUUAAUAGUUAGUAUAAAUUUUAGAUACCUCCCCUAAAAUUUGACUUUGCUACACUUAGAGAGAAUGUAAACAUAUAUUGACAAUGGAAAAUGCUACUUUUCUCGGGUCAAACUCCGAAUUAAAUUAAAACGACGCUGUUUUGAUUUCUUUUUUUUUCUUUCAUUCUCUCUAAAACGACGCCGUUUUAACUGGCCUCAAAUUGCUCUCUCUCUUCGUCACACAAAUCCUUUUUCUUUGUCUCUCUUCCCCUUCGUUUCAGCUUGGUUAAGGUAAAAUCAACAACAGCCCAAAUUGCUCUCUUUCUCUGUCGGUGGUGGUGCCUUCUGUACAUUUAUCCUGGUACACGUCCCCCAGACCACCACCCCGUUUCCUGUGUUUUUGUUCCAGAUCUCUUACAGCCUCCUCUAUAUUGGUAUUGUUUUCACCAAUAUCCUUACCAUUAAUACCAUGAGAAUCAUUGAAAAGCUCUUCUGUUCCCCAUCGUAGAAUAUCUUCCACUUCCUUUUGAGAUCCAGAUUUAUUGACAAAAAUAUGAUCAAGCAUUAAUUUCUUUUUUGCAAGCUGCAAGAUGCGCUCCUCAACACUGGCACCGACAACAAGCCUAUAUACUAAAAGUCUAUUUGAUUGUCCAAUUCGAUUUGCCUGAUUCAUGGCUUGAAUAUCAGCAUGCAGAUUAAAAUCAGAAUCAUAAAUUCAUCUGUGAAAAAAUAAGAACUCUGAAAAAAUAAGAGAGAACGAAGAGAAAGAGAGCAAUUUGCCUUAACCAAGCUGAAAACAAGGGUUAAAACGACGUCGUUUUAGCUUGAAUUAAAAAAAAAAGAUAUUGAAACGACGUCGUUUAUUGUUUUCGGGAUUUGACUCGGAAUUUGACCCGGGGUAGGGGUAAAUAGCAGAACUCAUUGAUAAUAUACCCCCUAGUCGUGUAUAAGAGUUAGGCACUGGUUAGGUAGUUGAGGGCAAUAACGUACAUGUUGCAUAUUUUUUUAUUUUUAAAUCUUACAAAAGCUGUUGUACUGUAACUAAUUAGACAAGAGCAGCGAAAAUGCAUACAGUGCUUUGAAGCUGGGGAAGCCCAAGGGGAUAGUAACCCAUUUUCAUUGUCAAUGCCUAGCUUCAUUUCUUCUUUUUCUCAGCAUAACUUGAUGAGUGCUUAGCUUCAUUUCGAAGGUCGUGACACCAACUGAUUUUAGCAAAAGCAGAGAUACUUUGUGAUGCAAUAAGCUAACAAGUUUCUGAAAUCAACUAUGUUUUGAACCAAAUUCCGGCGACGACCAGCAGCUGAAAAGCCGGUGAUUAAAGGGCAAUCUAGGUGCGUAAUUCUAUCAAAGCUUAAAAUUGAAGUUAGGUUUUAUUAUUUUCUUGCAUUUUGUUGAAAUUGCUGUUAGUUAGGUGCUUUAUUUUUAGUUCAAAUUAAUUGAGAAAAAUGUUUAGGGUUUAUAGAAAUUGAAGUAGUGACCGAAUAUAUCGGAAUUGAUUUUUGAGUUGAUAGUCACUCGACAUGUUGUGUAAACUAUGAAAAUGAUUUAUUUUUUGAUGAUUUUGGACUCUGGUUUUUGAAUGCCUGCUGAAAUUUGCUUGAUCUGUUAUUAAAAUUGAGAAAAAUCCAAUCUUUUUCUAAGAAUGCAGAGGUGUUGCUGAGAAAACGCUUAUGGUGUUGUUUUGUUUCUUUUUUUAUUUUACAAGUGUGCAGUUCAUGUAAGAUUGAGACAGUUGCUCUUGUUGCUUUUUGAUGUUUGUAUAGACUAAUUCCAAUCACUGAUUUUUGUUGGAAAAUGGAUGCUAUUAUUUUUCCUUUUCUUCGUGUAAAAAAUUGUACUUCCGUUCCCAACAUAAAAUUCAGAUGCUUGCCUAUUACUUUUUGAGGUUGUUAUUUAGGUGUAAGAGAUAUAUUAGUUAUAGAGCUUGUAGGCAGUUGGUUUAUUGAAGAACUAGUACAGUUGAGAAAGUGUCUUUUAGGUCAUCCAUUUUAAUACACAUAUUAACAGAUUUAAUUACAUAAACACAAGACUUCAUUUGUUUAUCAAAGUAGUACUUUCUGAUGCUUUCAUAUAAUGAAUGCCAAAGAGAUGUCAUUUGCAAAAAGGUCAUUUGCAAAAAGGCCAUUUGAAUGUACCAACUGCUAUCCUUGUAAACCUCUAUUGUGAUUCUGUUAUCAUUAUAUGUUGUUUAAUGAUCUGAUGAUUUCGAGAUAUCAAGAUGAGUUUAUUCAUACAAUAAAUGUUGUCAUUAGGUUCAUAAUUAUUGUAGUACAUGUUCAUUUAGCUACUUUAGGUACUGCUACAUGCAUUUAUUGUAUAAUGCCUACUUAGCAGCCAUAACUACACCCAUUGUUGAAGCCACAGCAGCACAAAUGAGAAAAAAAACAUGUUUAGGAACAACAUUGUCUUUAUAUCAUUUAAUUUUACUCCAUUUUGUUGUGCUUUUUGCAUCAGUGACUUCAAAUCCUUCCUAUCCUUUUGCAUACUCAUCAGCAGUUCAUAAUUUGCUUGACAUGUUCCUAAACCAUCAAAUAUAACACCUUGGUCGAUAUCAUAGCCACAACCAUUUUUUCUAUUCAUACAGCAAUAAUAUAGCUUGUUUGGGUUGUCAUCUGAUUCCGCUACCUUCAUAGCAGCUAUUUUGUAGCAUUUACUAAUCUUGUUUGAAAAUCAAAUGAAUUUAAAAUAUUCUCAUUUAUUGUUUUUUGUAGCGUUCACUAAUCUUCUGAUAUUCAGUAUUGUUUUUAUAUAAAUUAAUUUAAAAUAAUAUCAUUUAUUUGUCUUAUUAUAUGAUUUUAGACUAUCAAAUUAUUUGUUUUAAGGGGCAUUUUGGUCUUUUCAACACUCAAUUGAGUUUUGUCUUAUUAUAAGAUUAUGUAAUGUCAACAACAAUUAUCAUAAGGGUAUAAUAGCCUUUUGACCCCCCCCCCUCCAGGCGCCAAAAAAAAAAUCGCCCCAAAUAUAAAGAUCAUCUACAGUGUCAAAUAAUUUUGAAGGGCAUUAUUAUACAUUCACUCAACUACCUAACGGGUGCCUAACCUUCAUACAUGGCCGGGGGUAUGUUGUCAAUAUAUGGAUACAUUCUCUCUAAGUGUAGCAAAGCCAAACCUCAGGGGUGGUUUCUAAAAGUUUUCCUAAAUUGUUAAUAAUUUUAUACAACAGAUUCUUGGAUACCCCUCAAGUUCACUUAUUCUACGUCAUGGCUGACUUUCAAGAAAUUAAAUUCUACAUUAUGACCCCUAGGGAAACAACGUCGCUAAUAAAAUUAUAAAAUACAUGUGUGUAAUAGUAGUCAAACCUAAACCUAUGUCGUUUAGCAAUUUACAAAAUGAGAAAGACGACAAAAGCCAAGCGUUAGAGUGGCAGCGAGCCAACGAGACAAGCUCAAGUUCACAGUGUUUUUGUUGAACCUUCUGAAGACCCAAAACUCGAGGUUUGUUUUUACGUUCCCUAAUCGUUUGACUACAUUUUUAUUCUGUGCUACGUUCGUUAUGAACUGUUCAGGCUAAGUGUUCGACGAAAUUCCUAAGUGAGUAUAUAUAAUGGUUUGCUCUCGUAUUUAUUCUGUUAUAGAAUGUUUUGCUUUGGGUGGUUAAAUAGAGGAGAUUAGACAUUGAACUUUAUGCACUUGUAUGUUUUCAAGUAAUUGUUUGCUGAGGCACAUGUACUUUGAAUGGCUUCAUUCAUCUACAGAGAUAUCAUAACAUUUUUUGCUUAGUGUGAGUCUUAUUGUUGUUAAUUUGUCCAAAGUGAAGGCUUUUUUAACUUUUAUUUCUUUGAUUUAUUUAUUUAUUGUUUUGUCGAAGUUCUGUGUCUCAACUUUUAUUUGAUAAGUUCUUUCAGACUACUAAUUAGAAGAAAAAAAUGCUAGAGAGUGAGUAUGAGAGGGAAUGAUGUUUGGGCAAGGGGUGAUUGGUUCACUUGGCUCAUAAAGGACCUCAACUAUAAUGACAUGUAUCAAUUUCGCAGCCUAAUUGGAAGGUAAGCUCAUUUCUUGAUUUCCUUCAAUUUUCACUUUCAUUUUACUGUUUUCAAGUAGCAGGUAAUCUAAAUAAAAGUAAAAUCAGUAGUGAUUUGCUUCAAGUGCAUAUGGAUAGUAUAUCACAUGUGAGAAGAUUGUAUUUGUUAUAUGAAAAUCCUUAAUAACUUUAAUUAAAAAAUAUAUUCUCAAACCUGAUCGUGGAAUGUACUAUUUCUUAAUAUCUGAGUUUGGAUCAACACAUUUUUUGCCAUGCAAUUUGACAAGUUGUCAUGUCCUCAUAUUCUGCACUAUUAUAAGUUUUGCCAAUCUGCAUAGGUGUUUAAUAGAUUGAGUUAAUCUAGUUUCGAGAGCAUGCCUAACUAAAGGGCAUCAAGUUUCUAAGUGAGGGCAAGCACAACUAUAAUUAUCUAUUUCAUAUCCUCCCUAUCAGCGGGGCAGGUCUGUUACCUCUAAAUUCUUUCAAUAACUUGGGGACGUUAAUCCUAUUAAUGACAGCCACAUAUUAUAAGUCAAGAAAACUGAUUUUUUGAUUAUUGAAAAAAUCAAAUUUUUUGUAUUAUUCUAUUUAUGAUCUCAGUAACCUACAUGUUGCGAUUGUCUUGUAUGGAUCAUUGUUUCUCUUUUAAGCUGUUAUAGUGACAAUUUUUAGCUCUUAUUGCAGUUCUUAAAGUCAUUGCAAGCACAUGCUCUGUCGAUCUCCAUAAAUUCAGAUACAUAUGCAUAGUUAGCUAUUCAAAUAACCACACUGGUAUUUAACUUCGAUAUUCAGAAAUAUUGCUGAAGUGAAGCUUCAUGGGGCAUGGGCGAGUGCAUUUUGUUACAGAGUGAUAUGGGCUCUGAAAUUGAAAGGCAUAGCAUAUGAUUACAUUGAAGAAGAUCUCUCUAACAAAAGUGCUUUGCUUUUGAAGCAUAAUCCAGUUCACAAGAAGGUCCCAGUGCUUGUUCAUGACGAAAAAUCAGUUUGCGAGUCCAUUGUUAUCCUUGAAUACAUUGAGGAGAUGUGGCCACAGAAUCCCUUAAUGCCAAAUGAUCCUUAUGAUAGAGCUCUGGCUCAUUUUUGGAUUAUAUUUGCCUAAGAUAGAGUUUGCUUCAGAACUCUAGCUAAUGCGUUUAUAAGUUCAUUAUUUUCAUGUUUAUUUGUUAUUAGAGAAAAAGAUCAGUAUCCCUGAUUGUAUGUCAAAAUUAAUUAUUUGUUCUUUUAUGUUUUAAAACCUAUCAAAAUCUCCAUUGUCGUUCAAAAGAUUCUGUUAACCUUCAAUUUUUUUGUCUUUUACUAAUUUUACCUCUGGAAAAAUUUUUAUUAAUAGGAAGUUGAAAGUUUAAUAGAAUUUUUUUAACGGCAAGGGAAAUUUUGAUGGCUUUUGAAAUAUGAGGGAGAAAAGGAUUAAUUUACCAAAACAACAUUGUGGUUUUGUUGUUCAUUUACCCUUUGUCAUUCAAUGUAGUUGUUAACCUCUAGUAUAAGGGUGCUUGACAAAUGACAAGGAUAUGUAUUGUCCAAGUCUUUUAGUUCAUACAUAUUAUUAAUCAUGUGGUGAUAUUUUGGCAGGGAGCUACUGUUUGGAAAAUGUUUCGUAGCGUACAAGAUCAAGAGAAUACAAUGAAAGAAAUCUUGGAAAUGCUAAAAACCGUUGAAGAACAUGGCUUAGGAGAGAAGAAAUUUUUUCAUGGAGACAAGAUUGGCUUAGUGGACAUAGCAUUUGCUUCCUUUGUUUAUUGGUUGCAAAUCAUUGAAGAUGUAGCAGGAGUGAAACUAUUUGAAUCUCACAAAUUCACUCGCUUGCACGCAUGGUUUGAAAAAUUUAAACGAGUCCCAGAAAUUGAAGAGAACCUUCCUAAUUGGGGUGAACUAUUGGUUUUUUUCAAACGUCGCCGUGAAAAGUUGGUGGCCUCUUCCUCAUUGCAUUAGCACAAAAUUCGUGCAAUUGUAUUGUUGUCAAGAGGCCGCUCUUUGCUUAGUUUUUGAUUAUCUUGUGUGCUCAAUUGGGAGGCCGCCGCUUUGCUGGGUACUUUCGUAUGGAUUUGAGUAAUAAGGGGGACUUGACUUUAUAUUUAUGAAUUAUUGCAUGUAUUUCGUUAAUUAUUAAUGGACUACUAACGGUUAUGUAUUGUUUGGGAGGAAGUUUAAAUGCUGAUAUAUACUAAUGACUUGAAGAAAAGUCAACUUAUUUGAAGUAAUAUAACUCUAAAAAAUCAGAAGAAAAACUCUUUGUGGAAAAAGAUAGUUCUGGUAAACAUGCCCAGCAUUAAAGGGUAUUAUCGAAACUUAAAUGUGAAUGGUUAGAGCCAACAUGUGAACAGUACACCAUUAUGAAAAGAAUAAUUUUUUUUUCGCUAAGAAUAACGAGCCAAUAGGACUUUAGUGAUUUUUUUUAGAUCUAAUUUCUUGAGAGACUUCUUCAUCUUCUUCUUCCUUUAUGGUUGGGGUUUCUUUCUCCAUUUUAACACCACCAUGGUAAAUUUUAACCAUCUAUCUCCCAAAGAAGCCUUUUCCCUUACUCUUCUCCUGGAAAACUCUCAAAUCUCUAUAAAACUCGUAUCUCCCUCAUGUCAUUAUUCCUCAUAAACAACCUUUAAUAAAGUUUUGUCGAUAUUAUAAUGCAAAUUAUGUAAUACUUCAUUUAUAUAGUGGAUUGGAGAUGAGUUACUCUUAUGGAUGUAGAUCAAAGGGCCGAACAAUGUAAAAUCUUAUGUGUUCUCUAUUGUUUAUGCUUAUUUUCUAUUUAUUAGGAUGAUGAUAAUACUCAAAUCGUAUUCCAUACAUGAGCUCAUAUAGAGGCAUAGCACGAGCUCUACUGAGCUCCCCAAAUAAGCUCUAUAGUUAAAGCUAUCCUCGAAUUCGCUAGAGCUACUUCCUAAACUCUCUUGAGCUCCCCAAAUCAACUCUUUAAACUAAAUCCCAUGAGCUCCAUAGAGCUUACCUCCCAAAACACUUCAAUUUACCUCAGUUCACCUUCCAGAUCACCACUACUAGAAAAAUAAGCUUUACUGAUACUAAUUUAGUGUCAGUAAUUACUUUUCCUGACACUUAUUAAUUGUGUCAAUGAUGCUCAAGCCAGAACACACUGACACUAAUUUUUAGUGUCAGUGAUUAUUGUGUUAGUAAUUAGCGUCAUUAUAGUAUCACUUAAAUAAUGACACGAUGGUGUUAGUAUUUGAUGAUAUUAUUUAUACGUCAGUGAUUUAUGUGACUAUAGUAUCAAGAGCACACUGAUUCAAUAACAUCAAAAGUUAUUAUUGUCAUUUUAAAUAUUUAGUGUUAAUAUUUAAUGAUAUUAUGCUACUUUUGGUUAAUAGUAUAUUUUUAUUUUUAUUUUUAUUUUCCUGAUUGUUUUACAAUCAAAAUAAAACUCAAAAUAUAUUAAAUAUACCAAAUCUCACAACACAAUUCAUAUAAUAAACAUCCCAAUACAUCACUUACAUUAAUAUAAUUUAACUACAUCAUUGUCUGGAAAAGAAAAAUAUAAGUACCAAAUUGAGUUUCGACCAGUUCUAAACAAUAGAAUACAAAAUUAAGUUUCAUCAAACAUUAACCUACAAAAUUAAGCAGAAGAAUGUCACUGAAUAUCCACACAUGGCUUCAUUUUUUUCCCACCUACAAGUACAUAAAAUCAAUUAGUACACCUCAAAAAAUAAGUCUUGGAUAUUUGGAAACAAUAUAUAAAGUGCAACCAUUUUUCCAGUACACUAAUAUUAAUUUGAAAUAUUUUUGUUUUUCGAAAAUUACAUGGCAUGCUUAUCUAAUGAAAACCUUAUAAAUUAACAAUGAACAUAUGUAUUAAUUUGAAAGCAUUCAACUUACAAGUAAUCCUGAUCAAUCUUAAAUUGUUGGAAUGUCCUCUAGUUGACCAGCAACUGAUGCUCCACCUAUAAAUUAGAGAGACAUUUAUAAGAAACUGUGGCAAUCUUAAACAAAGAAAUGUAAAUUUCAAAACUGUGUAUAAAGAAAAUCACAUAAAUCUAGUAGUGCAUUCCGCAUAUUACAUGAUCAUCCGGAAGCUGGUUCUGCCCAAUCAAAUGUUCAUCACUUAAUUAAUCUAGAGAAACCAAAAUUAAAAAUUAAAAAAUAAAAAUCUAGCUACCACUUUUCCAAUCACUAUUAUUAACCUCUCUUAAAACGUAAGCGAGUAACAAGCAGUAGAAGAUGGACGAGUAAAAUUAGAUAUUUAGAAGGUUUAUAAUUAAGCACUUAUAAUAAUAAUUCAGACAAAAUCCCAAAAUUGAAACAAAAGAAGCUUUGAAAUUAAAACAAGAGAGGAACAAGUUAGAUGAGCCAUAAUGACUUUUUAAUUAGCCAAGCUAAUUCAUAAGUUAAGUAACUAAUAAAAAUUAAGACUUAAAUUAAAAAUGUCUUCAUUUUGUUUAAUUAUCGUAUAAUUUUUUUUUUCUCAUGUCUAAAGCAUAUUUAGAGGGAGAGCUCAAUUUUACAACCUACUUAUGAAUUAAAUUUUAUCCACACAAAAGGGGGAAAAAACACCAAGCUAAAGUUUUAAUUAAAAGAAUAGUGAAAGCAGAAAGCAACGUGAUUAAUUAAGAAUUUCAUUUAAUUUUACUCACAAAUUGAUGUGUUAUAUAUCUCUAUGUGUGUGUGAGUGUGCGCACGCGCAUACAUAAAAGACCAUGCAUUACAGAGUUAGUUUUUUUACUAGUACUGUUGACGAGGGAACAAAUCUCUUUUAUCAUGGAUAAUGUGUAGAGAGAUGAGAGAGUAGUGUUGUGUUAUAAAUAUUAAUUGUCAAACAAAAUAUUAUUUCUUAAGAGAUCUGACUUUCUCAACAAAGUGCUCAAAAACCAAUAAUUGUCAAGGAACACGUUGACCGUUGAUAAGGCUUUUAACUAGAUGCCUUAAGCAACAACUUUAAUAAAUAUUACUUUUUCAGAUUUCAAUAAGUUGUAGUUGGCAAAAAAAAAUAUAACAUUUAAUCAUUAAAUAUUAUCCAAGUCCAACCCAACAAAAUAAAAUCAAGGAGCAUUAACAGAGGUCAACUAGCUCCCACCGCCCUGGGCAUAUUUUUUACAGUUUCUUGUGAUUAUACUUGUUACAACUACCAUGUCAUAGUUAUUGAAGAGAUAACUUUAGAUUCGGAAGGAGAGGGGAAAAAAGUCAAAAUUAGACCACAAAGAAGAUAGUUCUCAGAGGAAAUUAAAAAGGAAUUAUAAGACUCAUAUUAUGUAAAUGAGCGGCCUACAACACGUCAGAGUUGCAAAAUACUAAAAAGCUUGCAAUAAGGACCCAAAAAAGAGAGAGAGCGAGAGAGAUAUAAAAUUAGCAUCUCUAAACAAAAUGUUGAAUAAUAGUUUGAGAAAUAUUUCUUUCUCCUACUUUUCCAUAGUGAUGGGACUGAGAAUUAAGAUCAAGUAAAGAAAAUUAGGCAUAAUUAUUGUAAAAAAAAUAAAAGACCAUCAAAACAUAGCAGACAUACAGAGAUCACCAACAGCAAGCAUGGAUAUGAAAUUAAAACAACUAAACAAAAAGUUAAUUAUUUUAGUAAGUAGACUGAACUAACCAUAUGAUUCUUGCCACUAUAAUAACCAUAAGAACCUGACAGUCAUGAACACCAAAGCUUGUGAUUUUCUCUAGCCAGGAGCCCACCUGCACUGAAGUCCAUAGGUACAACAAUAUCCAAAAUAAUAAUAAAAGCCAUGAUGGAGUUUUAAAAAGUUCAUAAUUCGGUUUUAGAACAAUUGAUGGAUAAACUUAAAAAUUUGAAGUACACCAGUCAGUUUGAAGUACUUCAUACAACUUUCAUAUAUAAAAUAUAAAUGUGAAAUAACAUGUUCACAGUGGAGACCAGUCAGCUGCUGGAGAAACUAUUGCCUUGCUUUACAUAUACAGAGCAUCCCAUGCUCAUUAUCAUGGAAUGGUGUCCUAUUGUCUACUACUCAAAUUAUGGACUAUUACACAAGUACCGAUCAAAGCUUUUGUUCUCAAUCUUAAAACAUAUCACAUAAAGUUCAAACAAAAAAAGGGCCAACUCCUAACACAAUCCACCAAUAAACUCCCCUUUAAACUUCCAUCGUACUAUGGAAUGACAAAUUGUUGCAAACUCCAAAAUAAAAAGGCUCAACAGAGAACAAAAACAAGAACUUAUUAAUCAGGCAGCUAAGCUAAAACAUAUCCAAUUUCCAUAAGCCCACAUAGGAUCCUCGUUUAUAAAAUAAACCCCAUUUCGCUUAAAGCCACAAGACUUAAACAAUAAUUUAAAUCAAUACGUAAAGAAAAGUGCGACCUUCCAAAUAAACAUGAAUUUCUCAACAUCGUCAACAGCCCAGAAAAUUAAAAUUACAAAAAAUAAUCAUAAGCUAAAAUAAAACAAACCCAGUAAUUAAAUUGACAAAAAAAUAUUAAGCCAUUACCAAUUGUUAAAAUAAACCUCUCUGCCUUUAAAGUCGUUGAAAUCCUCCUCUACAAUUCUAGGCAUAGGCGAACCUUCUAUAGCAAACAAAUUAACUAACUUCUCAACAAUUAUCUCAAAUUCAAGCAAAUGGGUUUCGAGUAGCGAACAAAAAAAGUGAAAUUUGAGCAGGAAAAUAAAAAAACUCUGAUGAAAGAAGCCUCAAUUAGGGUUUCGCUUUGUUUUUCGAUUUGGGGAAAAAAAGAAAAAGGAAAGAGAAGCCUCAAUUAGGGUUUCACUUUGUUUUCGAUUUGGGGAAAAAAGGAAAAAGGAAAGAGAAGCCUCAAUUAGGGUUUCACUUUGUUUUUCGAUAUGGGGAAAAAAGAAAAGAGAAGCCUCAAUUAGGGUUUAGCUUUUCAUUAUCUGUCUGAAUUAAUUGAAUUGAGUUUGCAAAUGGACAACUGGAAACAAAAGAGAUCGAGAAGAGAAAAAGGAAAAAGAGAAGGAGAAAGCAAGAUAGUGAUAGGGUUUGGUUCAAAUAUUUGCGUCCAGAAACGAAAUAAAGUUUCCAAGUCUGGGUUAUAUUUUGCUUUUGUUAUUUUAAUUUUGUUUUUUAAUUUAUUGCUGCUAUUAUAUCUUAAUUCUACAAGGUCCAAUGGUGUAUUGUCCAUAUGUUAAAGCUUUGAAUUUUAAAAGUCCUAGGUUCGAGUUGGAGUUAAAGCAAAUUUUAAUGAUUUUUUUUUAAUCUUUAAUGCUUCAAUGUCAGUGAUCACUGAUGUUUAAUUUACUGACACAUCAGUAUCAAUAAUUUAUGAUACCUAUUUCUUAAAAGCGGAAAAUGGUGCAUAUGUACACAAUUACUGACACUUUUUACAAAGUGUCAGUAGCUAAGUGUCAGUAAAAGUCAUUUUUGUAGUAGUGCACCUUAGUUAUUUCUUUUGUCCUUAACAGCAGAAAAACACACCUAGAUUUUUACUAGCUCAAUCUCCCCUCAAAUAUAAAUUUAUUUAUUUAAAUUAUAUUUAACCUUGUUCAGGUGAGGACAACCACUAAAUGAUUCAAAUCAGAUCCUAGAGAAAAUCCGGUCAAAACAUGUAUCUAUGUAUAAUAUUUAACAUCACCCUAACAAUCAAUACGAAUGCACUUGGAUUUAUUCUUAAUAGUACACAAAGUGGAAAAAGCAUGACAAGCAACACUCGCACACUCGAGGCUCAAUAUAAGUACGAACGUCAUAAUUCCAAGCAACAAACAAUGACCAUCAUUACUAAUUUUUUCUGAAAGCCACCAAAUUGGAAAAGUACUGCCAAGUAAUUAAUUAACGACUGCGACUUGCCAGAUUAAGCUUAUCCAAUGCUGAGAGUUCAUUAUUCUUCGAGGUUUGGUUAUUGUAAAUGUCUUUUAGAGUAAUUGCAGGAUAGAGCGGAGGAUUUUCUUCUGAUAGCAACUCUUUAAUUGGACCAUAUCGUCUCGAGCAACUAUUAUUCAUGAAAAAACUUCCGAUUGAAAUUCUGGAGUCUUCCUUAUUUGAUAACACUCUAUGAUAGGCACUCUUGAACUUAUCGUUGGUAAUCAGCUGCAUAAACACGAACACGUUGGUAAUCAGCUGGAUAAACACACACUUCAUAUAAACCAUAAUUAAGUUAUCUGAUAGAGAUUCAUGCUCGGGUGUAGACGUUCACAUAAUUUUGUAAGGACGAUUCUUUCACAGUAUUGUGAAAGAAUUGUGUCCGCACAAGAUUUAGUGCGAACGUCCCACUUGAGAAUUUUCAAUUUGAUGGAUAGUAUUUCUUAAUAAGCUAUCUAACACACACUUGCCUGCAUCAUGUAGCCUAAGUUUACAACUAGAGUUCCCGGAACAGGGGCAAUGUCAAACCAUUGAUCUUCGUGAAAGACUUGGAGGCCACCAAUUUGAUCUUGUAUGAGCACAGUGACAAAUCCAGGGUCAGAAUGUGUUGCUAUGCCGAUGGACAAUUAUGGUUGAGGGCAUUCAGGGUAGUAACCAUUCCCAAUAGUCAUUUCCUCUACACAACCUAUGUCUUUCAGGUAAUUGGGGUCAAGCCCUAAAGCUUCGGAUAGAAGUUCAAACAGUGUCCCCUGUUUUCCACAUUAGGUUGUUGUAUGCGAUCAUUAUCUCUCUGCAAAUUACUAAAGACAAAAAAUAAUCACUACUAAAAGAAAGGGAGAAUGACAUUUCGACUUUUAGAAAUUAUUUUUUUAUUGGGGUAACAACUAGAUGAAAUGAGAGUAAUAAAAACUUAUUAGGAACCCAAGUGAUGCAAAAAGUUCUAAGAAAGAGGCAGGUGUUAUCCACUGUAAAAGAAAUAAAAUCUAUUGGUCAUCGUCCACAUACCUGCAAGCUUCAGGAAAAUCUUCAGGAUUUGAAAAAUCGCGACCCACAACACAACUCAAAUUAUCUUUCCAAAAGAGGGUUGGUGCACUAUACAAAUUUAAAUUUGAACAAUAUUUAAUUUUUUUGGAGUAAUCACGAGAAUAAUAUUUCUGCUUAACCUCAACAUCUUGUUGAAAAAACCAAUGGAUCCCAUCAAUGGCAUGAUCCAAAUGCUUGUUGGGAUUCCAUGAUUGAUCACUUGAAAGAAACCCCACUUCUCACGAGCACUUCUAAUUUGGUCAAUUACCUGAGAACGCAAACUUGAAUCCCUGUGUAUUCUUUUAAGGUCUAUGAUAGGGAUGCUGAUUUUGGGGUCCCUGCAGAUUGGCUUAUCAUCAAACUUAUGUUUAGUGUGAUGAUCUUGAAUGAUGAUCUGUGGAAUGGUUGUGAUCCCAGCAUCUACGAGUCCCUUAACACCAGCUUUCGUGUCAUCAAAAGCUUUCCACUCGCUAACUCUGUCACAAGUAAUGCUUCCCAUUGCUUGGUGAAUUGUCUUUUACCUGGUGAAUUAUGAAGUACAAAUGCUGACUUGCGGGUGAUUGCUUUUGGUAUAUGCCGUUUAUAUGAAUAUGAUUCCUAGCUUGCCACGUGCAACAUGUUGAAAUAUAACGAUAGCAUGAAGAUGUGGAAAUUUGUAAAAUUUGAUCCUGCGUUAUUUAUCAUGAUUAAAUUAAUUAUAAAUUAUCAAUAAUAGUCAAUUCCGGGGACCACCAACUACUGGGUGGCACAUCACAAUAAUAAAUUAUCAAUAAUAGUCAAUUCUGCAUUAUUUAAUAUUUAUGUGGAUAAAAUUUCAAUUAGCUACACUACAUUGUUGUUUGAUAGUUAACGUUUCACCUUCUCCAUUUGUAAAUAUUAUUAUGGACUUAUAGUGUGGCUUAAAAGCUAGAUCUUAAAUGAAAAGAAAGCUUUAAUGGUGAAAUAAAAAUUUAAAUAAAUGAUAAAGGGAUUAAAGGUUAACCUAAUGUUAACAAAAAUAACUGCAAAAUAUACAUGUUUUAUCAUGUUAAUUGAUGUUUUUCCAUUAUGCACAUAAAAAAGAUCUAUUUUACAAUUGUUUCUGUUGGCGUUGGGGCAGAUUUUUUUUUAGUCUAAUUAAGUAUAUCAUAAGUUAAUAAUAGUGCGUAUUUUAACUUUAAUAAAUUUGGCCACUUAGAUUUUUAAUUUUGACUCCUUCCCUAAUCAAUCAAGAAAAAGAAUGCUUUUCUCCAUAAAAAUUAAAAUAGAAAAUUCAGCAAGGACAUAACUGCGGAGAUGUUUGAUCCUGGAUUUAUAUAUCAAAGCAACAUCAAAAUUAUAAUAAUACUUCCUUGUUACCGAGAAGAGAUAUAUUCAAGAGCACUAGCCUUAUAAAGCCUUAACAAUACUAAACUACCUACAUGGAAUCUAAUGCGUACAUGCAAUGCUUUCUAAAGUGAAACUGUCGCUUGAAAAUAGAAUUCAUGUUCAGCAGCCUCCCUCUAUCCGAGCUCCAAUUUUAUAACAAGGAAGCUAAAUAAGAUGAUUUAGAUGGCAUCGGCAUCUGUAGUAUCGUUUGUCUGUAGUCCCUCAUUAUCUACGAUCUGAUCGCUCCCUAUAGUAUUGUUUGUCUGUAGUCCCUCAUUAUCUACGCUCUGAUCACUCCCUAUGUAGAGGAUCGACAAGAGAAAAUUGUAGCACACGUUCACAGCACUAAUAACUGUUAAACUCUUAUAGUACUUGUCAAUCCUACUAUAAUCCAAGGUUUCAGCAAACUCGCCUUUGUUUGCCAAAAUGAAAAAGAUGUUAAAAAUGCUUCCAAUUCCGACGAAAAAAUAACUUAUUGCUGAUCCAUGGUACUCCAUCCGUUCAGGAAAAUGAGAGCUCGAGUAUUCAUCACAUCCAUACCAAGCAAGCCCUUCCAUAAGACCUAAUAGACAGAAUUGUGGAACAAGCCAAAACAUGCUCAUAUUUUCCAAUUGUUUGAGCUUUUCCAACCUGCGAACCUCAACCUGCCAUGCCACUACACAGCAAACUGUAGUCAUCACCAUUCCAAUGAAUGUUCUCAACACUUGAGCUUGUCUCUUUUUAGUUUUUGGAACAAAAUUGGAAAUUAAAUUUUUUGACAGAUAAGAGAUCGUUGCACGAAUUAUCCCUUUAAAAGUUCGUAGAAAGAUUAAGUAUCUUUCAGAAAUCAUGUUGGCUCCCUGCUCAGGAAAAAAUGUAUUUCCUGCUGACAGAACCAAUCCAAACACAAUGAAGCUAGACCACAAUGGCAACAAUUUAAGAAGAGAUUUUGACUCCCUGACCUGGGCCACAGUGCAAAGUGUGCCUGCCUCUUCUUGUUCGUUAGAAGUACUUGAUGUCUCUAUAAUUGCCGCUUUGUCUAUCCAUCUGCAAUUCAAAGAAUUAAUUUAUUGGUAAUUUUUUAGGAAAAUAGAAAGCGACAGCUCAUGGUUUGGCAAAAUGAUCACACAGACGCGUUUAUGAAUACGCCCUUUUGGACAAAUCUUGGAGGUCGGUGUGACUAUUCCCGAACACAAAAGGGUAUUAAUGUGUCCAUAAAGAGGUUUAUAUAAUUAUUAAUAAAAAUAAGAGGGUCUCCCCGACAAUUUUGCCAGACCACGGGCCGGGUGUGGGUGUAUACAUGUUAGGCAUAUACCUGAGUAAUUUGAUUCUGGGUGACAAGUGUAAUACGUUUCCCUCAUCAUUACUGAAGAACAGCUCCGGAGAAAGAGGAUAAUUGAGAUGCUUUUUCUUCAGGGAGGUUUUAAUAACGCGGAUUAUAGCAAAACGGUCAAUAGGAGGUAUUUGUCUACUAUGAUAAAAGGGAAUACCCGACAACAAGAGGAUCAAACUGCCCCCCAUAAACAACAAUGUGAACAUGAAAGUCUUCUUCCAUGUCUUAAUAUUAUUUGCAUAGAAUGCCGCAGCUGCACCACAGCACCAGGCAAACCGCCACCACACUCUUUUCUGAGCCAUUACUUGAUCCUCAUUUGAAUUUUCUGUUCUCCCUCCUUUACCAUGUUCUCUUAAUUGAUCGGCAAGAAAUGGUCCCAAAAGAGGCGCCGCUCCAACUUCACCCACUGCUAACAGGAUAAUUCCUAUCAUGUUGAGUAGCUCAAAGUUGGUUUCUGAAAAUUCUCUGGACGCUGUACAGAACAAUAGCCCCAAUGCCUGAAACGAAAAUUGUUGGAACUAAUUCUAUAGCAUGACAUUAUGAUCCUAGAAAUGCUUUUCUUAAUCAUUAUUAUAAUCAAAGUGGAGCCAAAAUGAAUUAAUGUCACAUCAAUUGUAAUUUAACUAUUGAGAUCUCUAGCAUUAUUUUUAUAAGGGUAAAGCUCCUAAUAUCCUCUUAUUAGGUAUGUGUGUGUAUAUAUAUAUAUAUAUAUAUAUAUAUAUUUUUUUUUUUACAUGCUGUGAAAUUUAACAUUUACUGCAAAAUAAUAAAUUUUUAAUUCAGCUCAAAGUACUAUAAAGUCCUGGGUCCGCCCCUGAAUAUAUAUAUUGCUUGCAAUGAUAGACAUAUGUUUUAAUUUCGUCUCUGUUUAGAAGUUUAGCAAAUUCAAAACAUAUUAACUUACAAGGAUGUAGGAGACAGUUGAAAAAAUGAGGAUUCUGAGAGGACGAAUGGCAUAACACGAAAUCCAGGCGGCAACAAUCGUAAGAGUUGCUAAUAUUACAUCCUGAACACUCGUAAAUAUUGCAGCUUUCUGAAGUGUGAAUACUUUUGAAUAUUCGGAGUCGGAGAAGUAAGUUAUCAAGACGCCCACUAUAGCCAAGUCUACGAGUUUGCGGCUUAUCAACAAACCUGGAAUCAAAAUAAUCAUUAGAAAAAAUGUUCGUGCUCACUAAAAAAAGCUUACACAUGAGGACUGCAAGAACAACGUGAGAGAACUAUUGUCAUGUUUUUAUAAUUUAGCCCAACCUAAUCAAAGAUCUUAAGUACACCUCUCUUAACUGAAAUUAUUCUAGGGGAUUAUCUAUUUAGGAAUCUCAAAGUUCAUGAGCUCUUAAUACAUACACACAUACAUAUACAUACAUACAUCAUCAUGUUGUUAAAGUAAUGAUGUUAGUAAAAUACAAAAAAAAUAUAUGUACAUGUAUUAAAUUGUAUGGUUUAACAGUAUUAGUACAAAUAAAUAAAUUACAUGAUUUUGUAGUGCAUUGAAAAUUAAUUCUAUUAAACUAUACAAUUUACUAGUGUGUCUCCAUUAAAAAAAAUAAAGACCCUCAUAUAUAUAUAUAUAUAUAUAUGUAUACAAGUUUAUGUUCUGAAUAAAUACAUUUUUAAAAGAUAGGAUUACCUAAGGCCCCACAUGCAAAAUUACCUGACAGAAAUGCAGCAGCCUUACAAAAGCAGACGUAAUAUCGUACCCAAGUUAUGAACCUGUUUUGAAGCUUCAACAGCUGAGAAAAUGGAAACAUUGUAGUUUCUGAAACUGCUUUUAUCUGCAAAGACUUCUACUUGUGAGUUGUGAAUCCCGAGACGAUGAAGAUUUUGUAAUUAUGCCAAAGUCUUUUAGGUAGUUUAUUCAAAUUAAAAAAUAAUAAGUCGCACUUCAAGACCACCUAUUGGUCACAUCAAGACCACCAUUUGGUCACAUAAGUCUUCUUUUUUUUCUUGUGACUUUCAUCCAGCUACGGUCCAACAGGUGCACCGUGCCCCUCUUUUUGACAGCACCCCUUACUUUCUUCUGUAUUUAUAGUUUAUUAAAGUAAUUUCUUUUUCCUCUUUCUUUCACCCCUCACCUUUACAAUCUUCCAAUUUUUUCCAUUUUCAAUUAAACCUGUAAUCAACCAAUUGCAAGCAAUAAGAAAAAAGUUGGCAAGCUAUUUGCUCUAUAAUACACAAGUAAUUAGGGGUGGGCAAAAUAUCCGACCUGAUCCGACUCGAAAAAUUUUAGAUUCGAAUCGGAUCGGGUUGUUAAUAUAACCCGAUCGGAUGAAAUAUUGCAAACCCGAUCGGGUUGUGAUCGGAUCGGAUAAAACCCGAUCCGAUCCAAAAACCUGAUCGGGUUGCUAAAAAAAAAAAAAAAAAUCUAUGGCCAAACACACACACACGGCACACAGCACACCACACAUAAUCACACAAAUCAGUGAAAUCAAAUACUCAAAAGGUUACACUUUACAGUUUACACAAACACAAAACACACAAAAACAAAAAAAUCACAACACCCAACCCGUGAACCCACCCUCAAGAAGCAAGAAAACAUUCUCUCCUUCCCGCAAUCUGCUGCUGCCGUGUUGCGAGUCCGGCCAUCUGCUGCUGCGUCAGCGAUCUGCUGUUGCCGUGCUGUUGUCAUGCUGCUGCCGUGUUGCGUCCAGCCAUCUACUGUUGCGUCCACGAUCUGCUGCCGCCGUGCUGCGUCCACGAUCUGCUGCCGCCGUGCUGCGUCCAGCCAUCGCGAGGAAACUGCUGCGCGUCCAGCCAUGCGCAAGCUGCUGCUGCACGCCCACCGAUCUGCUGCCGAAAACCCAGCCGCCGAUCUGCUGCUCCAAGGCUCAAGCUCCAACCCGACCCGAGUUUCUCCCUUAGUCCCUUAUGUGUUUUGAAUUUUGAAGCUUUCAUGGUGUAUUGGUAUAUAUGUUUUGAAUUGACCCGUUUAAUUUGACCCGAAUUGGUUUAAUUUGACCCGAAUUUAAUAUGAUCCAUUUUUUAUUCGAACCGAUUCAACCCGAAUUCAACCCGAUUUUUGACCUGAUCCGAAUAUAUAUCGGAUCGGAUCGGGUCGGGUUGUAAGUUCGGGUUGUAUUCGGAUCAAUGUUUGCACAACCCGAAUAACUCGAAACCCGAUCGGGUUGACCCGAACCUGACCCGAACCCGAUUUUGCCCACCCCUACAAGUAAUAAUGAAUUGAAGUUUUUAUAUAAAAAAAUUACAUAGAUGUAAUUUUUUUACGCACACUAUUUAUCAUCUACAAUGAAAUUAACAUGUAAGUAAAUUGCUUUUUUUAUCUUUUAUUAUAUGUAUUCUUCCCCUUUCUCCCCCGUAUGUCUUUUCAUUUUCUCUUUGAAUAAUCUAACCUAAGGCUUUCUAAUAAUUGGUUUAUUGUUAUUAUUUUUAUAAGUAAACCUUCUCUUUGUUAUGUCAAUAGGUUUAUUUAAAAAAAAAAAAUUCGUAAAUGACCAAAAGUGAGAACCUUAAUAAAAAUUCAAAACCUAUCUUAGUUUUUGUUGUCUUUGUUAAUGCAUCUUGCAUGUUUGAUGUCUUAAUUAUAACUUGUGAGAGUAAGUACUGUAAUACAAUGAUGAUUAAUGAUUAUUACUAAGAGUAUUCAGAGAAAAAGAAGUUGGUGUAAAAUUUUAUAAACUUUGAGUUUUCUAAAUUUUCACUAAACAAUAGGGAUUGCAUUAUUAAUAACUAAAUAAACACAUCCAUAACCUUGAAACUACAUUUGUGUAAGUUCUUUCUCUUUGUAAUGGUUACGAAGACUGACAAUUUUCUAUUGAAGUUAUUUAUACAUGUAAUUCUUUUUCAGCAUGUAAUACAUUUAGGAAAUGAGUAAUGAUUAAGUACAAACACUUUUAGAUAAACAAUGUUGUACGAACUUAUGUGAUAUUUUUUAGAAAAAAGGAUCUGAACAUCCUUAAGAUUUUAAAAAAUGGUCAUUUAUACUUUGAGUUUUCAAUACAGAACAUCAAGACACUUUUUGACUAUAGUAUUCUUAAUAGAUAAUAACAAAAAAUAUUGAAUUUAAACAUUUUAAUAAAUAUAAAUAAAAUUUAAAUAGUUUAAUAUGUCUAGUAGACUAAUAAUAUUAGAAAUUUCUAGUAGACUAAUAAUAUUAGAACAUUUCUUAAUAUGUAAAUAAUUUUUAAAAGAUAAAUUAGUAUAUUUAUUUUAAUAAUAUAUUUUUACUUAUUAUAAAAAUUGUAAAUAAAUCUUUAGGUUAGAUAGAUUUUAAAUUUAAUAAAAUAAAUGUCAUGUACUAAUAAUAUUAAAACUAUUUUAUAUAAUAUUGAAAAUAAUUUAAAUUUUAAAUUUUAAUAUUAUCUUUCGAUUUAUUUUGAAAUUUAGUUUAAUAUAAUUUAAUGUUGUAAAGUAUUAAAAUAUUUUAAAAAUAUUGAAAUUAUUUUAAAAUGUAUAUAUUGUUACAUUUAUUUUAAUAUUAUACUUCUAUUUAUUAUAAAAUAUUAAAAAUAAUAUUUUAAUUAAAAGGGAGUUUUGGUGUCUCUUACUGAAAAAUAGAGUGUACAUAAUCAUUUUUUCAAAUUUUCAAGGGUGUACAUGUCAUUUUUCUUACUUUUUUAUAAUCAAUUGAAUAAAAAAAAAGUCAUUUGGCCACAUAAAUUAUUUCUAAUUUAUAUUUUCAAUCAACAAAUCAUAAUGUGUCAUAUCUAUUUGUAUAAGUAUUUAUGAACAUAAAAAAUUAAGUUUAGGCACUAGUCGGGUUGGAAAUCAACUCAUCCAAACCCAUGUAUAGUGCUAGUUGGGUGAGUUGGACUUAUCUCGAAGACCCAUUUUCUGUCUUUGAAAUAUCAAUAUGAAAUUAAAAUAAUUAAAAAAUAAUUUAAUUGAAACAACUAAAGAUAGAAUACAAAAUUACAAAUAAUAACUAUCCCUGAAACUUCAUUGUUAAUAAAAAUAAUUAUUUGUAUAGGAUCCUAAUUACACCAUAAAAAGUAAUAGGAUGAAUUCAAGAGUUGGGUUUGAAAAUUUUCAACACCUAGUAAAUAUAGUGCAUUUUCUCCACCCCUAUGAAAUUAGGGGUUGGCUUUCUACUUGAUUUUAAGUAGCGAAAAUGAUCAAAACUACCUUAUUGUUUGUUGAAACUAUAGGGUGAAUUUAAGAGUUGGGUUUGAAAGAUGCAAUAUGCUCAUAUGUAUAUAUGAACAUAUUGCAUCUUCACUAUCUUAUCCCCAGAAUUUUUGCACCAAAUCGUGGUAUAAGAAUAAAAAUUCGCAACUCGAAUCAACAAAGUAUAUCACUAAGUUAUUCUGCAAGCCGCCAAAUUGGAAAAUGUCCCAAAUAAUUAAUUAACCACAGCGACUUGAUAGCUUAACUUUUUCCAACGCUGAGAGUCCUUCAUUCUUCCCUAUUGAGGAUUGGUUAUUGUAAACGUCUGUUGGAGUAACAUGGGGAUAGUGCGGAUGAUUUUUUUCGGAUAGCAACUAUUUAAUUGGACCAUAUUGUCUCGAGCAACUGUUAUUCAUAUAAAAAACUUCCAAUUGAAAUCGUUGAGCCUCGCCUUCUUGACAACACUCUGUGAUAGGCACUCUUGAACGCGACACUGGUAAUCAGCUGCAUAAACAUAUAAAAGAACACUAUAAUUAAGUUAUAUGAUGGAUUCAUAAUAGUCAAAGUUGUGCAUAACAUCUACUUGCCUGCAUCAUGUAGCCUAAGUUUACAACUAGAGCCCCGGAAACUGGGGUAAUAUCAAACCAUUGAUCUUCACAAAAGACUUGGAGGCCACAAUUCGAUCUUGUAUGAGCAUAGUGACAAAUCCAGGGUCAGAACGUAUUGUUACGCCAAUUGUCAAUUUCGGAUGAGGGCUUUCUGGGUAGUGACUAUUCCUAAUAGUCAUUUCCUCUACAGAACCUGUGUCUUUCAGGUAACUGGGGCCAAACCCUAAAGCUUCAGACAAAAUUUCAAACAGAGUGAAUUAGCAAUUGACGUUGUUGGAGAAAAAUCAAUUUUUAUUUUUUUUUUAAAAAAAAAACUUUUUAGAGUCGAUCUCAUACAAUAUAUAAGAAUUCAUAAUUUAGAAAUUAUACCUUGAAAAUAUGAGAAAAUGAACAAUCUUUGCUUUUUCUACUGAAGUGAAACUAGGCUCCCAUAUCACGAUUUGUCACCACCACACCUGUUAGAUCAUAAUCUGUCACCACCACGCUUGUUAGAUCACGAACUAUCACCAAUGAUUUUCUAGAUUAUGACUCAGGUUUGAUCUGCACUUGACGUGUGGGUGCUUUUAUCACUACCAAUAGCAACUAGUAUGAGAAAAUUUUUCUCUCAAGAUUAAAGAGAAAUAUUCUUUUUCUCUUAUCUGUAUAAUGUGGCCUUAUAUCUUUUCAAGAGAAAAUAAGCCCUUUUAUAUCUUAUCUAGUGGAAAUCCUAAGCUCUAUAUUUUUUAUUUUUUAAUUCUAUUAACACAAGGCCCCUUACACAUAAGCAUAUUACAUGGAGCCUCCUACUAAAUAAUAUAUUUAGGCUUUUAACCCAAAUAGCUAAUUAUCUUACUUAUUAAUCCAGUAGCGGCGCAGUCAAUUAAAUGAGCUAACCCAAAGAUCAUUUGAGAACAUACAAUAGUGGCUACAAUAAUUAGGCAUGUAAUCAAACUAGCCCAAUUAUUUAAUUCUAAAUCUACUCCACUAAAAGAUUGGAACUGACUUCCACAAUUGUAUGCUUGAAUAAUAAUUCAUCCCAAACAACAUUGAUUUCUUUACUGCAUAAUCCUUUGUACCACAUCAUUAAUUAAAUUGAUAUCUCAACUGUCCAAUCAAUUUAACUACAUCUUGUUCCUUGAUUCUUACUGGUUUUCUCUAAUGAUCAUUUUCAACAUACUAAAUAUGUCGACACACUCUGACCAAAGAAUUCUAUGAUCAAGUGCCGAAAACCUAUCAAGAGAUGUGUUGUACAAAUUCUAUAUUGUCAAUCUAUAACUCCAAUACUCAUAAUUGGUCUCAUCAAGAUACCGGAUAAUCUUGACUACAAGUAUGUGUCGUGCCCAUUGGUAAUUCAAAUGGAAUAACAAUUAUAAUCAUGAAAUCAUAAUUAACUCAAGAUUAAGAUUGCAGUAAAAUCCACGUCUAUGAGAUUUAAUAAGUCUGACAGUAAUUACAAAGUUAAUUAAAUCUCAUAUGUUAUCUUGUUCAAUGUAGUCUUACUAUAUCAAUAAAUUCAUACAUGAAUAAGACAAAUCAUUCAAUGAAUUCAUUACAGUCUAUACCUAAAUAAAGUGCCCAACUUUAUUUAUCAACUGCGAAUUAAAUUUAUUUAAUCAUAAGAUAACUUGUAUUUAUGUCUUCUAUAAUCCACAUGGUGAUUCUUGUACAAAUUUAUUGAACUCGCAAGUGCACGAAUAUAUUGUAGAAUAGAUUAAUGGUGACAAGUGUCGAUCCCACGAGAAAGUGGAUUUUAAUUAUGUGUAAAAUUAAUUUUCUAUGAGGGUGGUUGGAUUUGUGGUGAAAAUGAUUUGGAAUAUUCUAAACAUUAAAUUAGAAUGGCAGGAAUAAAUUAAAGGAAAAUCUAUUGAAAUAAAGCACUUGGGUAUCUGGAUCUGCAUUAACAUGCACCAUGUGCUAAAUAUUCCUUAGUAAUGCCAAUUAAAUCAUGAGGGGGGUUUCUACUCCUCAUGAACCACACUCUAAUCAAUAUGGUGUUAAGGGCUUAUUGUGGCAAACAAUAAUAACCUUGUACUAGGGAGUCGGUUAAAUCAGUGCAGUAUCCAGACAAGAUUAUUACUAUUUGUCGACGAAAAGUCAAAAUAUCAACAAUAAUUAGAGGAGAAGAGAAAGUAAAUUUACUAAAUAAAGCCCAUGACACAUGUUGAGACUUCACCAACCCAAACUUGAAAGAAAAUUAGCUACUUAUAAUUGAACUAAGGGUAAAAUGAGAAUUUAUUAAAAUACAUAGAAAAUACAAGAUGGAGAAGGAAUUACAGAAAAUAGGCUCAAAAAUGAAUUCAAAAAUGCCAAAUUAGGGAGGAGCCCCCCUUUUAAUAGAUACACUGAGUAAAUCAUGGCCAUCAGAUUAAAAACAUUUUGGACGCUCAAGAUUGCGCCACGUCAUCGGUCAACAGUACGUGGUUUGACCACGUGGUUUGGUUGUAAAUAAUCUCGUGUAUAUGCAUGUACCGUACGCACUAUUUUUUAUCCACUAACAUGCUGCCACGUCACCGAUCAACAGUACAUAAGAAUUUUAGUCUAAUAAAAUCGUGACAUCUCAUCAGUCAAUACCACAUCAUCAGUCAAUGCCACGUCAUCAUUUUGUAUAUGUGAAUAGUGUCGUGAACAGUAACAUGGAUAGUAUCGUAUCUGUGAAUAGUACCGUACAUGUGAACAAUUCCAUUUUUCCUUUUAAACUCCUCCUAAGAUUUUCGACUGUCCUGAUCUCAAAAGUGAUGUCUGUUUUGCUGUAUGAUCUCUCGUUCAUUGUGAAAUGACCAUGAUGCCCCUAAAAUACAUAAAAUAUUUAAUUAUAAUAUAAUACACAUAAUUAAAUCAUAAGGAACUUAAAUACAUAAAAGUAUGAAUGUUAGUGAAACUUGAAGUGUAAAAUGACGAUUUUCUCCUUCAUAAAUAUACACUUUCUAACACUCAAAAGUGAUCACAUAAAUACAUAUAAUAUGAUUAAAUGGACUUUAAUCAAAAUAUUAAUGCAAUUAAGAUAUUUGAAUAAAAUACCUUAUUUAUUUUAUUAAUCAGAAAAAUUGUUUAUUACAAUUAAAUAAACACUUAUGCUUUUAAAGAGCAUAUUUUCCCAACAGGCGUAUCUCAUAAAGCCAACUUCGGUGGUUGGGGUAUCCUGCCGUGCAACACUGUAUCUCUUAUAGUCAACUUUUACGACUUGGACAAUUUGUAUUUUACCGAUUGUCCAUUGAAUUAAUUUGUUUUUGCUGAAAAUGAAUAUUAAAAAAAGAUUAAAAUAAAUAAAAUUAUAAAUAAUUAAAAUCACAGAUUGUCCCAGACCACCAAUAAAACCUCUAAAACUAAAAUUAUAAGCUCCUCCGUAAGAUCCACCAUUAUAUUUCUUAUUACCACUAGCAUUCUUUCAAGGAUUAAAAUGGUUUUGAGUUACAUUAGCUAACAAGUUAUGUGUGACAUCACUAGCAAUUUUACCUCUUGUCUGUUCAACUCUAUUCUCCUGAUUUAGCAGUAAAGAGUAAAAUUCAUCAAGGCUGAUCUUAUCACCUCCAGCUAACACACUGAUAACUAAAGACUCAUAAUCAGAUGAAUCUAGUCUAGUCAAAAUAUAUUGAACAAAAUCACUUAACUCAACAGAUUUUCUAGCUAAAGCCAGACUGUCAGACAAUCUCUUCAUUUUAACAAAGUAAUCAAUCAUAGACAUUGAUCUUUUUUUGAGUGUUUGAAUAUGCAUCUUAAAGGCAUUAUUCUAGCUUGAGAUUGUAAAGUAAACAUACUUGUGAGUGUAUCCAAAAGCUCUUUAGCAAUGGAGCAAUGAACGAUUGUAGCGAGUAGAUUUUGCUGAAUAGAUGACAACAUCCAACUCAAAACUAAUUGAUCUGUCUUCAUCCAGGCUGUGUAUGCUGGAUUGACCUUUCGAUUUUCAGUAAUAGUUGAGGACCAACUUCAGUGCUAGCUAGUGUGAGAAAUUACUCCGAACAAGUUUGAUCACCAUUAAUGAAAUUAUCCAGAUCGUUUCCUUUGAUGGAUGUUAAAACCUGAGUUUGUCAGACAAUGAAAUUAUUAUGAUCUAGCUUAACAGGAUUGAUAAAACUAUAGGAUCCAGAAAAUUGAUUAGAACUGACCAUUGUAGGCUCUGAGAUCAUGAUAGAAUUUGUAAUAUAUAUGUCUGGAAAGCAAGAAAAUUAAGGAGAAAAAGAUAGAAAGAAAAGAAGAAGAAUUUAGAAUAUGUUAAUUGUUCAUUACAUUACAAAUGUGAUUAUAGCCUUUGUAUUUAUAUUAAGUGAAAUGCUUAACUAUAAUUUGUUAUAACUGGAAUAGGUGCUAAACAGUUCGUUAGCUAGAAGGCUGAGAUGGCUAACUAAUUAUUCCACGUUAGCAAGAGCACUCAUGUAUGGUCCUCAUCCGUACUGUAAUUAUCAUACUCUGUAACAGUUCUUCUACAUCUUCUUGCUCUUCAGGACCAAGUGUACUUCGUGGGUCUAUAAUUGCUGCUUUGUCUAUCUAUUUGCAAUUCAAAGAAUUAAUUUAUUGGUCAUUUUUUUAGGAAAAAAGAUAACGAAACAUAGUUGUUUGGUAAAAUAGUCAUGUGAACUCUUUCUUCAAAACAUAUAUAAAAACAAACCUUGGAGAUCAGUAUUGUCUAUGUGAUAAUUUCUAAAAAUAAGAGGUCUACCUGACAAUUUUUUCAAACCAUGGGAUGUUGGUAUAUACUCUUUAAGUAUGUACCUUAGUAAUUUGAUUCUAGGUGACAAGGGUAAUUCAUUUUCAUCAUCAUUACAGGAGAAUUGAUCUGCAAAAGAAGGAAAAUUUAGAUGCCUUUUCUUCAGGGCAGCUUUAAAAAGACAGAUUAUAGCAAAACCGUGAAUAAGAGGUAAUUGUUUACUAUGGUAAAAGGGAAUACCCAACAGCAACAAGGCCAAACUGCUCCCAUAACCAAUAUUGUGAACCUCAAAGUCCUCCGUCAUGUUUCCAGAUUAUUUGCAGGGAAUGCUGCAACUACAUUACAACACCAGGCAAGCUGCAGCUAUACUUCUUUUUGAGCCUUUACUUAUUUCUCAUUUGGAUUUUUUGUUCUCCCUUCAUCACCAUGUGCUCUUAAUUGAUCGACAAGACAUGGUCCUAAAAGAGGCCCCAUUCCAAAGUCACCCACUGCUAACAAGAUCAUUCCUAUUACGUUGUGUAGUUCAAAUUUAGUUUCUAAGAAUUUACUGGACGCUGUAUAAUACAAUAGCCUUAAUGCCUCCAACAACAAUAGUCGGAACUAAUUGUAUGGCAUAACAUUAUGAUCCUAAAUAUGCUUCUUAAUCAUUACUAUAGUUAGGAGCGGAACAAAAUUGAGAUUUAGGGGGCCAAGUGUAAUUAAGGUAAUUAUUUCAGGAUUAGAGAGUAUUAGUUAUUUUCUGGGGUUAGGAGAUGGGGUUCACGUUUAUGAAGCCACCAUAUAAAGAAAAACAACUAGUUUGAAAGUUGAAAUUACAAAUUUAUAUAGUGUGAGAUUAUUUCAACCUACUAAAAUAUAUGUUAUUUUAAAGACUAAUGAGCUUGCGGCUUUGAAAAGGUUGGAAUGUUAUUUGGUUGGAGAGGGACUCGGUUUCAACUUUAACUUGUCUUACGAGUACCAAAUUCAAGCCGUCGUAGCAUCUGCAUAUCAUAUAGUUGAAUUGUUUGAGAGCCUAAAAGUCAAAUAUUGUGGAUCAUAUCAAAUGCCAAAUGUUGGAUAAUCUUUUCCAAAUGUUGGAUAACAAGAAAAGGGAUGCACACAAGACCGCUGACUGAAAAUAGAAAUAAUUGGACAAAUAAAGCCCAAACCACAACUCAUCAUAAUCUUUUUGUUACUAAUGGAAGCUAAAAGCACCUGAGUUAUCAACUAUUCACAUUUUCUAUUAGAUACUGAUGCUUGAUACAUUCAUCAUGAUAUCCAGAAACAAUAAAAUUAAGCUAGUACAAAGAUAUCUAAAUGAAGAUGAUAAUAUCAUAGGCAAGAUAUGGUCCAAUUGAUUAGGAAAAUCAAGCUAAGGUAAUUUUUUUUAAUACUAAAUGCUUAAUUAAAAAGGACAUCAUUAUAUGUUUUAUACAUGCACAAAUUGUCAUUUAUUUGAGGCAUGUCUAAUAUUUAGUAGAGUGACAAAUAUACUUGAAAAUGUAUAAAAAUUAUCAAAUAAUAUGUGAGAAAUAUAGUUAUUUUUGUUGUAAUAUUAAUGCAAUAAACUUUUAUCGUAUCAUAUCGGCAUGUUUAAAGAGGAAAAAAAAAACUCAGAGACUCAAAAAUUCCAAACUUUAAUGUGUAGCUGGCAUUUAUUUGUAGGCUCAAUUGAAGUACAGAAGUCACAAUUCCAAACAACAAACAAGCUAUCAUCACUAAUCCACCAAAUUGGAAAACAUCCUCAAUUAAAUUAACCACCGCGCCUUUCCAGCUUGAGUUUUUCCAAUGCUGAUAGUCCUUCUAUUGAGGAUUGGUUAUUGUAAAUAUCUUUUAAGGUAAUUUCAGGAUAGAGCGGAGGAUUUUCUUCGGAUAGCAACUCUUUAAUUGGACCAUAUUGUCUCGAGCAACUGUUGUUCAUAAAAAAACUUUCGAUUGAAAUUCUUGAGCCUUCCUUUUUUGAUAACACUCUGUGAUAGGCACUUUUGAACUUGUCAUUGGUGAUUAGCUGCAUAAACACACAAUAAAAAAAUCCACUAUAAUUAAGUUACAUGAUGGAUUAAUAAUAGUCAAAGUGAUGCAUAACAUGUACUUGCCUGCAUCAUGUAACCGAAGUUUACAACUAGAGCUCCGGGAACUGGGGUAAUUACGAUCUGCAGUUUUCUAAUUUAACUCAUGCACGCUCGAGGCUUUUGUUUACCCUAGUUUUCAGUAUGAAAAGAGGCGCGCAUCACAUAAUACGGCGGCAAAGAAUUAUCAUUAGAAAAAUUGGAGAGAAAAAGAAGAAGAAGAUCAUAAUUCAAGGGAACAGCUGCAACAUCAUUGAAGAAUCCAGCAGAGUUAUUUGGAUUCACUUUUUGUCGUUCUCGACUUAUACCUUUCUUCUUUCUCUAACUAAUCUAAUGUAUCUCAUGAACAAUAUGUUGCUGAUUGUUUAUCUCUUUCAGAAUAUGAACUAAACUCGCUUGUAUUUGAGUGACAAACAAUCUAAUGGGUUCUUGACUGUUCUUAUGAGUUGCUAUGUCAUUGCUGUAGCAUUUUACUCUAGUAGCUAUUAUUAUAACUUUUAUUUUGGUUGACCACCCAUUUAAUGGUUCAAGUUAAGAUAGGACCAUAAAAGGGCAUGUCUUACUGGAUAUUAUUAUAGUAAUACUUGAUCUUAAUUUAAGUUUCCUAGAUUACGUUUAUCUUGAAUCCCAUAAGGGCCAUACUUAAAGUUAAGAUUUGUGAUAAACUAGACAUAAGUAUUCACCUUGUAGGGUGGAGAGAAUGGAUGUUCAUAAUGUCAUGCCAUAGGUAAAAUAGCAACUGGCCAUUGUUAAGAUGUUUACGGGUAUGAGACUUCCAAUAUGCGACAACUGAGGAUGCAAAUUAAAUUCUGUCCAGUGCUAUAGAAAUUAUUGUAGCAACUGGUGUUAACUUGAUGAAAAGCAGUUAACCCAUAAAAAGAGUUUGAUCAUUCAACUACCUUAUUCUCAUUUGAUUCUUCGACGCAUUUUAUUUAAUUUGUUUCAUUACUACAUUGUUUAACUUUAUUCUCUCACAAUUAUCAAUUUCAAUAGUAACCAACUUUACAUUUGUUAAUUUAGGAAUCAAGUUAGAUUACACUAUCGUGAUUGCUGUAGCAUUUCUAGUAAUAUCAAUCCUUGUGAAGACGAUCUUAAAUAUUCAUCACUUUAUUACUUGUUCUGUACACUUGCACAUUGACAUAAAUAAAAUUUGAUAAAAAAUACCAACAAUGAGAUAGGGGUAAACUUCAGGAUGUGCUGCGCUUUUUAAUUGUUGUGUAGAUUCUUUUGAUUCCUAUCUCUAGUGGAGAACCAGAUGUGAUUUUGUGAGACCUUUCUCCUGAUGGUAGUUUUUCUUUGAGGACUGCUUCAAAUAUUGUGCAUUGGACAAUGCCAAGUGAUGAGGCUUUUUUUGUUAUUUGACAGCGACAUCUUUUCCUGGAUAUCUUUUUUUCUCUAGAGGUUGUGACACAAAUUCUUGACCACAGAUGAUGCCUCGUGUUCGGGGGAUUUCUGCAUAGUUUCUUAGUAUCUUUGUGGUCGGGCUUAUGAGACUUCUAGGUAUUUUCUUUCUUGGUUGCCCUCGAGUUAGGCCAGUUUGGGUCCAUUUUCUAUGUACUCUUGGUUUGCGCUAUGUUGCUUUUCUAUUCCCCCGUACUUUAUUUCUUAAUUGGUAGUGAUGUGCCCUUUCUUGGAGCCAUAUUCGAGUUCUUCUUCCUUGUUUCAUUUUGUGGCGAGUUUAGAAGGCCUGUAAUGCAUUGAAGUUUGACUCAAUGGCCUUUUUUGUUGAUGCUGUUAUUUAUUGGGCAAUGUUGGAUCUUAGGCUUGCUGGUUCUGCCUUUGGUCUUAAACCAUCCCAACUGUGAGGAGUUCUAGGUUCUCGAUUUGUAAAGUUCUUGAGAGUUGUUGUUUCAUCCAAGAGGCUGAUUCUUUUAGUUUUUUGGCAGUGGUCACCACCUGGGGCGGUGAAGCUGACUAUUGAUGGUUGCUUUAGGAGUAAUCCUAGGAUGGCUGCUUCAGAUAGUAUUUUACGUGAUGAUUAGGGUGUGGCUUUGGCUGCUUUUGGUUCCUUCCUUGGGCGCUCACUGAUCUUUCAUGCAGAAUUCAUGGCUGUUUUUUAGGGGUUAGAGUUGGUGCUCAGCUCCAUUAUUCUGUGCUUGACGUAGAGUUGGACUCAACCAUGGUGGCUUCUUGGAUUCUUUUCUAAGGCCUUGUUCAUACGGACUAUACCUAUUCUUUGCAUCGGGUGUGUAGUUUGACAUUUUCUUCUACUUCGUGGUUAGUCAUGUGCUUCAGAAGGUUACUUCUACUGCUGAUUUCUUUGGCCUGCACUCUUCAAGGUCAUUUGUGUUUCUUGGGUUCUCAGGAUAUAUUUGCUAGCUUAUCUAAUAAUCUCCGUUUGGAUAUGUGGGUAAUUUCUCGUAUCAGGCAAUAGGAUUGCUUAUUUAUGUAUUCCAUUUUUUAUCUUGUAUUUUUCUCUUUUCCAUUCUUAUGUUCUUGCAAUUGCGGUUUUGAUUUAUAUUCACCUCCUUAUGUAUUUGAUUCAUUCUAUGAUUUAUAUGAAAGAUAGGAGUUCCACCUAACCCCACCUUUUUGUGGUUAAAAAAAAAAGAUCAGGAAUUCAACCUAGAUCAUCAAGGUAAAACAUCAAAUAGGUUGUAAAUUUAACAUAUGAACGUAAAAGCUUAACAAAACAUUUGAAGUUGCUUGACAACAUAGAAAUACAAGCAAAAAGAGAUGCUAAACAACACAAAAUUUUGAUUGGGUGGGAGUAUUGUUCAUGCUAGCAUAAUAAUGAGGUGCCUGAGAAUACCUAAGACUUUCUUGAUAAAUAAUAUCAUCUAAAAGGUUAGGAAUCACAGAUAAUUGUCCACGUAUGAACAAACCUAGCUCAAAAUGUGAAAUGUGUUAAGAUUUUCAAACAUUUAAAUUAAUAGUUAAUAAUUUCAGACAAAGGAUUCUUGGAGACCUUAAAGUUCACUGAUUCUAUCUUAUGGCUCAUUGUCUCUCUCAACAAUUUAAUUUCUAGAUUAUUUGGCUCCUAUCUAUUAAAAGACAACACCGUUACUAAAAUUAUAAAUUAUAACAGUUAAACCUAAACCUACGUCGUUUAGCAAUUUACGAAAGAAAAAAAUAUAACAAAAGCCAAUUGUUGGAGUAGCAACGUGCCAACGAGAAAACCUCAAGCCAUGUAAUAUCAUGUGUCAACAACUAAAGAAGAACAAACCACCACCCUCUAGGUCGUCGCUGCACUAACGCUGGGCCCGAUUUGAAUAGUUAGAAGUUGUAACAUUAAUUAGGGAAUGAGGGCAAAAUUUUGGACUUCGAUUUAAUAAAAUUGAUUUAAAUGAGUCCCAAUAGAAAUAUGAUUAUAAAUAUAUCAAUAAAAUUAUGACAUGUUUAAAAGAAAAAAAUUAUUUUCACACAAAACAAAAAACACAACCCUUGGAUGUGGGAUGUGUCUAAAAAAUAAUAGGGUGGAAAAAUUAUCACCCUCAAAUUAGAUAUAUAAAUAUUUAAUGUUUUACUCUUAUAAUUUUAUAAUUGUUUUUUUAAAUAUUAGUAAGAGAAAGAUAGAAAUUAAUAUAUAGACAAAUCGAGUCCUUUAUUUUAUUAUUCAUAUCCAUAAAAAGUAACCACUAUGCUAGUCCCACGAACUUAGCAUAAGACGGUAAUUUAGAAAAAAGAAAAAAAAAAAGGAACGUUUUUAGACACCAAAACAAAAGCAAAACAAGCACAAAGCGAGACAUACAAACAAAUUUUAUGCUACUGCAUAGGGGUGUUCGUGGAUCGGAUUUUACGGAUUGGAUAUCAAUCCAUAUCCGAUCCAUGAUUUUGCAGAUUAUAAUUUUUCAAUCCAAUCCAAUACACAGAUUGAUAAAAUUCAAUCCAAAUCCAAUCCAUACAUCUGCGGAUCGGAUGCGGAUUUGACUCAAUCCAUAUCCAAUCCAUACGUCUGCGGAUCGGAUGCAGAUUUGACUCAAUCCAUAUGCAAUCCACCAUUUUGCGCAUUAGUUUUCGAAUUAAAAAUUUUUAGUUCUCUCCAACUAAUGAAAUAAAAAAAAUCUAAUAUAAAAAUAAUUUUGCUACUAAUUAAAUUUAAAAUUGAAUAAAAUUUAAAUAAAUUAAUUGUUUAAAUAAAGCUAAAAUAAUAUAUUUAAAGUUUUAAAAUAUAACACAUCGAGACUAAUUAUUCAAAUAAAGCUACAAUAAUACGUUCAAAGUUUCAAAAUAUAACACACAAAGCUUAAUUGUUCAAAUAAAGUUACAAUAAUACGUUAAUAUAACACCAAAAUUAAUUAUUCAAAUAAAGCCACAAUUAAUUGAAAAUGGCGAAGUUUUGGAAACCAAACACAGUUUGAUCCUUCACCAAGGCUGUUGUGCCUGUCGAAAAGUGGUGAUUACGGAGCCAUUCACGAUGGGAAUCAGGAGAAGCCGUACGGGUGGCGAUCUUGAAGGUUGUGAUUGUGAAAUUGUUCAAUUGGAACCAAUGAAUGUGAAGUGGCUCGAUGGACUUGGGAAAGAAGAUGGCUUGCUCUCGCCAGAAUCGCGCAGCCGAUGUCCUUUAAAUCCGUGUCGAGAGUGUAUCCAACCAGUAUUAAGUGUUGCUAGUGUGUAUGACGGUGGGGAAGUUUAGGGUUUUUUGUUUGUAAAUUGGUUGUAACUUUACGUUAUGUUACUUUGCUUUUGCUAGUGCGUGUGACUUUGCUUUUAUUUUGUUUUACAAUUUUUACAAGUUAUAUUUGUAUAUUUGAUUAUUUAAUUAUUUUUCAUUUUAUAUUAUUAUUAGGUAAUGGCUAAGAUAUGUUAUAAUGUUUAGUAACUAUGUAAUGUCAUAUUUAUAAUUUUUUAAUUAUAUAUAUAUAUAUAUAUAUAUAUUUUUUUUUUUUUUGCGGAUUCACAGAUUUCUGCGGAUUUACAGAAGUAAAUCCAUAUCCAAUCCAUCGACUGCGGAUUUUUAAAUUUUCAAUCCAUAUCCAAUCCACCAAUCCACGGAUCAGAUUUAUACGGAUCAGACGGAUUGAGCGGAUCGGAUUGGAUUCUGAACACCCCUACUACUGCAUUCAAGCAGAAGCCACCAAUUGUUCACGACGGCGUUUGAAAACAACCAACAUUUCAUCCUGAUUGGGAAGGUUUUCUUCAAUUAUAGGGACUUGCUUGAAAGUUCAAGCCACGCAUGCAAGCGAGGGAAUUUGUGUGAUACAAAUAUUUUAACUCCUACUACAUCUUCAAUGACUUGCAACCAAUAAACAAUUGAACCAAAUGCUAGGUCCACUAAGCCAAUAUUGUCUCCGUUGAAAAAUUUCUUCUCUCCCAAGCCAUGCUCUUCAACGUUUUGUAGCAUUUCCAAGGCUUCCUUCGCUGUGUUUUGUAGUUCUUGUCCAGUGCUACGAAACAUUUUCCAAAUGGCAACACCCUGCCACAAAUAUUUUUACAUCAGAUUUUAUCACCGACAUGAUUAAUUAAUAAUAUGUAUAUAAAAGCGAAAAAUCGUUAGACGAUAUGUACACGUGUCACAAUAUCCUUAAAUUAGAGGUUUAAUAAGUUAAUUAAGAGAGUUCAACCACUGAGUUGUAAAAUCUGUCAUUAGCUAGUAAAUUCACUUUUUCCCAAUGCUUCAAAAGUCAUCAAAAUUCCCCGUGAAGUUAAAAACGGUUGUGUUAACUUUAACUUAUUACAUCUUUUCAUAUUUUAGGAUAAAACAGUGAAGACACCAGAAAUUAACAGUUUAGAGAACGUUUAACAAAUAAAUAUGAAAAAGACCCCUGGGUGGCUGGGCUCGACUGGCUAUGAAUUCACUUUCACUUUGCGCCAUCACCCGAGUUCGAGUACAUAUAGAGAAUAAGAGUUGCUGUUUGGCGGGUGGAUUUUCUUAUCCUCGUCACCUCAUCUAGAUCUUAAAAUAAAUCAAUAAAUAAACAAAUUUGAAAAGAAUGAACUUAAUCAUAAACGUGUUUGCCAGAGUUGUGAGCGAACCUUGUCUUCAGCGAAUUUGAUCCAGAAUCGAGCAAGAGCCCUAUCAUAAGGAUUAUUUGGCAUCAAGGAGGGAUUCUGUGGCCACGUCUCUUCGAUGUAUUUGAGAAUAACCAUGGACUCACAAACUGGUUUUCCGCCAUGGACGAGCACUGGGAUCUUCUUGUGAACUGGAUUAUACUUCAAAAGCAAUGCACUUUUGUUUGAGAGAUCUUCGGAAACAAAUUCAUAUGGCACGCCUUUCAAUUUCAGAGCCCAAAUCGCCCUGUAAACAAAUGGACUCGGCAGGGCCCCAUGAAGCUUCACUGCAGCCAUGAUAAUUCUAAGAUUGAAUUUGAAUUAUCGGUUUUUCUGAUCGAUGUUGUGUAUGGCUGUUAACUCAUUACAUAUGUUUCUGAAUUUAUAGUGAUUUAUGGAAUGCACUUUCUUGAGCAGAAAGCUUCAAUUUUCCAUUAAUAAAACGAUUAAUGAUGAAUUCAAAGAACUAGUGCAAUGACUUUAAUUAAAUAUUUUUUUACGUUGUGUGCAACCGCUUUUUGAGGUUAAUAUAAAGGAUAUUAUUUUCUCCUGAUCAAAACUUUUAUAUAAAAAAAUAUAAUUAUGUAAUUGGUAGUUAUUAAGUAGAAAUAAAAUAAAAAAUAAAUUUUGACCGUAAAUAAAUAAAAGUUCAUAUAUGUUAUAAAGAUUUUUUAAAACUCAAAUAAGUGCACCCAAUUCCUAAUUUAAAACGCUAGCCAAUGAGAUCAAUAAUUUGGUCAACCAGUCAGAGAUAACCAUACAAUAAUUAAUCAAAAAUUUGCCAUUUGUUUUACAUUUAAGACCUUUGCGUCAUGCAUGAUGAUCAAUUGAUCAUGGAUCAAUUAGUCAACAAGACAUUUGCCUUUUGUGAAUGUGUUCACAUUGGACGCAAAUAUAAUUUGUUAUAAAAAAAUUGGACUAAAUUAUUUUUUAAUAUUUUUUUAAAAAUAAUACAUCUGAUCCUCGAGGGCCUGUUAUUUAGUUCGUGAAUCUUAUAACAGGACCCAUGAUUUAUUUAUUUUUUAAAUCUUAUGGGUCCCCUAUUAUUUAAUUUGUGGAAUUGACGGAGGUAACUUACAGUUUCAUUUUUGUAAUUUACAGCUUUCAAUAAAUUCAGAUAAUAUUAGGCGGUAAAAGUAGGCCAGGCUGGAGGAGUAGAUCUAUAAAAUUUGCAAGCACUUUGCACUGUCUGUUUGGUGCCCAGAAACACACAUAUUUAUCAUCCACUUUUUAUUUAACGCUGGGUUUUUUUCGACCCAUAAUAAUUUCUCUUUGCACAUCAACUUUUUAAUAAAAACUUUUAUUGUCAAUAAAUUGUUAGUAAUUACUUCACUAAUCCUCCCUUUUUUUUUUGGGCCAAUUUCUCUUUCGCAACUGACAAAAUUUAAUUCACAUCAUGUGAUAGUAUGAUUGCAAAUAAAUUUGAAGUUAUCUCUCGAAAGUUGUUCACAUAUCUUGUGUAUAGAACUAAAGAACAAUAGCAAAACCACUAUCCUCUAGCCGAUCGCUGCUAUUAGGACGGCAAAAUUAGUUGUAAAUAUGUAAAUUUGUCUAAACCCAUCUACAAAAAUCUGUCCACUGCCAAUAAUUUUGUAGGUUGCGGAUAAGUUUGAUAUUUUAAAUUUAAGUUCGUUGCAGGUUACGGAUGGAUUCAGUAUUGAAAAAAAAUUGGCGGGUAUCUGCCGACUAGCAUUUUUUUAAUUAUUUAUGUUUUUAAUUUUAAUCACAAAGAUUGUCUUAAAAAAAUUUAAUCAAAAAAUAUAGUAGUUAAAGUUAUUACUCUAAUCUUCCAAAUUCCUAAACCUAACCUAACUCAUGACAGUUGCACACCCUACUCCUUCAAGUAUGUAUGUAUGUAAAUGUAUACACAUGCACACACACACAAAAUAAGCUUUUAAUAAGUAGAUUUAGUAUUUUUCAAGUUUAAUAUUAAUGAUAUGUUAAGUUAAUUUAAUUACUUUUGUUUGUUUCUCUUUAAUGACUUGAACUUAGUGAUUGCUGGCUAAGAUUUGAUUUUUAUUUAUCUAAUUAAUGGUCAAUAGUUGUCCAAAAUAUAUUUGUUAUUAUUAUUGACAAUACUUAUAUAUUGACUAAAAGAUAGAGUAAGGCAUUAAUUUUAGUAAUAAUUAUUUGCCUACAACAAAAAUAUUUUGUGUUAGAAUGAUAUAUUUUGUGUAUUUGUUUUAAUAUUGAAACUUUAAUUUCUCUUUUACAUUGAUGAAAUCUAAAGUUGAGUAGUUUAUGUAGAUUUUUUAGUCUGUUACUAUAAAGUUAUAUUUUGAAUUAUAUAAUUUAAAUUAUUAAAUAUAAUUUUUUAAUAUUUAUGAUUUUAAAUAUAAAAAUUUAUUAAAAAAAACUACUACAUGUUAUGGGUGGAUUUGCUAAUUAUUAAAAAUUAUAGCGAACGAACUAAAAAAAAAAGAAGCAACCGGUUACGGGCGAAUUUAAUAAUGGCAAACUCAUAAUAAGCGAUACCAUUACCAUCGGCAGCUUCUAUAACGCAGGGCCGGGGGCGGUCUUGAAUUGUUAGAAGUUGUAACAUUAAUUAGCAAAAUUUUCAGCGGCAUCCCUGAAGUUUAGCAUAGAAUUAGAUAUAUCCCCUUGUUUUCAAAAUUAGUCUCUGAUUCCCAUGUUGUUUACUUUAUUAUUUUUUGUUUUCAUUUCAAUUGGAUUUAUAACUUUGUAAUGUUGCGCCUUGUAAAAUGUAUGCUUAAAACGCGUGCUUCUUAUUUUUUAUAUACUGCUAAGAGAAUUUGAGAAUAGAAAUAUAUAAAAUGGUGUCUCAUUUAUUAAUUAUUUAUAUCCUCUAAAUAGCACCUAACAUGCAGCUCACUUCAAUGAUAAAAUUAAUUAAACAAAAUAAAAAAAAAGCAUUUUUAACACCAGUACAAAAACAUAACAAGUGUACAAGAAGACUCAUUAACUUAUUUUAUGAUAUUAAAUUCACGCAGAUACCACCAAUGUUUCUCGACCAUGUUUGAAAGAGACCACCAACUCAUGCUGACUUGGAAGAUUUUCUUUAAGUAUAUAAGUGAAAGUUAUUACUCUAGUCUUCAAAAUUCUUAAACCUAAUCUAACUCAUUACAGCUGCAUGCCUUGCUCCUUUUAUUAUAUGUAUAUAUUUUAAGAUGAAUACAAUAACUUUUUAAUAAGAAGAAUUUUAUACUUUUCAAGCUUAAUAUUAACGAUAUUUUAUUUUAUUUUAAUUACUUUGAAUUGUUUUGGUUUAAUGACUUGAACAUAUUGAUUGUUUGCUAAAGUUGAAUUUUUAUUUGUCUAAUUAAUUGACGAUAGCAAUUGUAUAAAAUUUACUUAAAAAGAUAAAAUCUUAGUAGAUUACAGAAAGAUUUAGUAAUGACAAACAUGUAGCAGCCAAUACACAUUACCAUCCCCAACAGCUGUAAUAUGGCCAUGGGCAGUCUUAAUUGUUAGAAGGUGCAAAAUUAAUUAGUAAAAUGUUCAGCGGUAUCCUUGAAUUUUAGCAUAGAAUUAGAUAUAUCCCCUAGUUUUCAAAAUUUGUUUUUGAUUCCCCUAUUGUUUAAUAUAUAUAUAUAUAUAUAUAUAUAUAUAUAUAUAUAUAUAUAUAUAUAUUUAUUUAUUUAUUUAUUUAUUUAUUUCACUUGGAUAUAUAACUUUGUAAUGUUGCGCCAUAUAAAAUGUAUGCUUAAAAUGCAUGCUUAUUACUUUUUAUAUGUUGUUAAGAGAAAUUGAGAAUAGAAAUAUGUAAAAUGGAGUUUCAUUUAUUAAUUAUUUAUAUCCAUUAAAUAGCACCCAACGUGCAGUUCGUCUCAAUAGUAAAAUUAAUUAAACAAAGCAGAAAGAUUUGUUUUAGCAUCAGUAAAAAAAAAAAAAAAAAAGCACAAAGCGAGAAUCACAAACUUAUUUUAUGAUAUUACAUUCACGCAGAUGUCACCAAUGUUUCCCGAUGACGUUUGAAAGCGAUCACCAUCUCAUGCUAAUUUGGAAGAUUUUCUUCAAUUACAGGGACUUUCCUGAAAUUUUCAAACCACUUAUGCAAGCUUGGGAAUUUGUGAGAUUCAAAUAGUUUCAUUGUUAUAGUGCAAUUUAUGCACUAGUUUUGCAUUGUUUACUUCCCUUAAUAUCGAUGUUUUGCACUUAAUAAUAGUGAUUUACUUGUGUUUUACUUUUGUAGGUGCAAUUCUAUUGAUUUGUGAUAAAAUUGAGCUAUAAGAUGAUGUUUAAAGAUGAUUGUUCUCUUGGAGAAAUUUAGGGCGUCAGAAGAACUUUGUUGACAAGGCGUGGGCGCGUGCUGUCAACUGCGGACCUGCAAUUUUUAGUUUAACGUGUUUUGUAUUUUUGGUUAUUUUUGUAAUUAUGAAUUUAAUAUUUCAGAUAUUAGUAUUUUAUUUUAAAUAGAACUCUAAAAGAGAAAAGAGAGAGAGUAUUUAAGGGAGGAAUCUAUUGUGAAAACGAAGAGAUUGGGGGAAAAAGAAAGAAACCCUAGAUCUAAACUUUUCUCUUCUCUCUAUGAAGAACUAAACUUAUUUUUCUGGUUGAAGGUUAAUAAAGCUUUGAUUCAUCACUACUGCGAGAUCUUUCUUAUGCUUUAAUUGUUUUAUUACUUUUUGGGUAUUUUUUUUAUUUUCUGAAUUAUUAUUAUGAUUAUGUUUGUUAAUUAGAUAAUUGGCCACUAUUUAAAUAUCAACUUAAUCUAUUGUCAAUUAAAUGAUUCAUCGUAUGAAGAUUUUAAUGUUUGUGACAAAUAACAUAGCAGAGAGUUGUGUUGUGAGAAUAAACAAUCUAAUUUAAAUGAACCAUCGUAUGUGUUUGUUGAUUAGGAUUUGGGUCUCUCUGGUUUUUCAGGCUGUCAAUUGAUUAAAUCCUAUGAUCGUAUCUAGGGUUGUCUAUUGAUUAGGGAAAUAACCAACGGUCGUACCUUGGUUAUCGACUAGUUAAGGAGAGAUUGGCUAUUAGAGGGUCUCAGUAGCUAUAACCGGUCUAUUCAUAAGAAAUAAUAAUUUAUAUUUGAAUCAAUGAUCAGUAGUCGAAUCAAGCUGAGUUAAUUCCUUUAACCAGAGCUUUCUCCAAUUUGAAUUACAACUUUAAUUUGCAUUCUUGUUAUUUUAAUUUGAUUUUUAUUAUUGUCAACAAAACCCCCAUUUUAUGUUUUACGUUUCAAAAGGAUUUAAAUAAUUACCGAUCUCUGUGGACAUGACCCUACUCAAUCACUGUACACAAUUUAUUUAGAGUAAGUAUUUAUUUUUGUUGGCUUCGACAACCAUAAAAUUUUGGCGCCGUUGCCGGGGAUUGGUGUCAUUUAUUUAAUCUUUUUUACGUUUUACUUGGUGUAUGGUUCGUUCUUCUCGUACAGGUACACUUUCGUUUGAUCCUGAAAUUGAGAAGACAGCUCGCCAGCUAAGACAGCAGACGAAGCUAGCUAAGUAACGAUCCUCGUCGCCUUUGAUUUCUGAAACAGAUACGGUGCCUGAUUUGGUUGAAUCAUCUAGCGAUUCAGAAGAACAAGUGAUGGAUAGAUUUGCACCUGUAGAAAGAACUCUUAGAGAGUUAGUUGAACCAGACUUGAAUCAGCAACCACUUUGCAUUCAAUAUGUAGACUUGGAGGUAAAUUUUGAAUUAAAGUCUGGUCUCAUUCAUUUAUUACCCAAGUUUUAUGGUUUUGCAAGUGAAGAUCCUCAUAAACAUUUCAAGGAGUUUCAUGUUGUAUGUUCAAGUAUGAGACAACAAGGCGUGACUGAAGAGCAGAUUAAGCUGCGUGCUUUUCCUUUCUCUUUAGAUGACUAGCUAAAGACUGGUUGUACUACUUGCCUCCUGGAUCGAUUACAACGUGGAAUGGUUUGAACAAGCAGUUCCUCGAGAAGUACUUUCCUGCUUCAAGAGCUGCCAACAUCAGAAAAGAUAUUUGUGGGAUCAGACAACUUCCUGGGGAGACUUUGUAUGAGUAUUGGGAGCAAUUCAAACAAUUGUGUGCCAGCUGUCCUCAGCAUCAGAUUUCUGAUCAACUUCUUAUUCAGUAUGUUUACGAAAGACUAUCAUUAAUGGAGAGGAGUAUGAUAGAUGCUGCUAGUGGAGGCGUGUUGGUGAACAAGACCCAUACUCAAGCAAGGGAGUUGAUCUCAAAUAUGGCUGCCAAUGCACAACAAUUUGGCAGUAGGCAAGAUCCCACUUCAAGGAAGGUGAAUGAGGUAAAUAUUUUUUCUGUUAAACAACGUUUAGAUAAACUUACUUCUUUUGUGGAAAAGUUUGUUGUAGGUAAUGUGCAAUAGGUAAAGACUUGUGGCAUCUGUUACAAUAUGGGUCAUUCAACUGAUAUGUGUCCUACGCUUCAAGAAGAACCCGUUGAACAAACCAAUGCAGUUGGAGGAUUUCCAGGCAUGCCUCAGAGGAGGUAUGAUCCUUAUGCACAAACAUACAAUCCGAGGCGGAAGGAUCAUCCCAACUUUAGCUAUGGAGUUAGGCCGUCAGGAUUCCCACAACAGUAUCCACCAAGAUAACUAGCACAUCCACAGUCAAACUCCAAGUCAGGUAUAUCUCUUGAAGAAAUUGUUAAAUCACUUGCGACUAACGCUCAACAAUUUCAACAGGCAACUACAACAAGCAUUCAGAAUUUGGAGAGCCAAGUGAGUCAAUUGGCAACUACGAUGAGCCGUCUAGAGUCUCAAGUAUUAGGGAGAUUGCCUUUACAAUCUGAGGUGAAUCCCAAGCAAAACGCUAGUGCCGUCAUCCUUAGAAGUGGGAAGGAGUUGUAAGAGCUUAGUAAGAAAGUGACAGAGCAUGUAGAACCUGAGCUUGAAAAGAAUGAAUUGAUGCUUAAAUCUCAAGAUACGCAACCCACCAGAGCGAAACCCCUACCUAUUGUGAUACCUCCUCAUUUUCCAAGCCGGUUUGCAAAAUCUAAGAAGGAGGAACAAGAGAAAGACAUCCUUGAGACAUUUCGCAAGGUUGAGGUAAAUAUUCCCUUAUUAGAUGCUAUAAAACAAAUACCUUGAUAUGCUAAAUUCCUUAAGGAACUGUGCACCUCUAAGAGAAAAUUAAGAGGAGAUGAAAGAGUUCACAUGGGGGAGAAUGUUUCAGCAGUUCUCCUAAGUGCAAGGAUCCAGGUAUGUUUACUAUCCCUAGCAAAAUUGGUAGUGUUAGAGUUGAGAAGGCUAUGUUAGAUCUAGGAGCUUCUAUUAAUGUCAUGCCUUGUUCUAUCUGUUCGUCUUUGAAUGUUGGUGCAUUAAAAGAAACUGGCGUGAUAAUUCAAUUAGCUGAUAGGUCUAAUGCAUAUCCUGAUGGGGUAUUAAAAGAUGUCUUAGUACAAGUUAAUGAGUUAGUUUUUCCUGCUGAUUUUUAUGUACUUGAUAUGGAAGAGGAUAACUCCUCUAAUUCUGUCCCAAUUUUGCUAGGAAGACAUUUUCUUAAGACUGCUAGAACUAAAAUGGAUGUACAUAAAGGGACUCUUAUUAUGGAGUUUGAUGAAGAGGUUAUAGAGUUCAAUAUGUAUGAUGCCAUGAAAUAUCCCAGUGAGGAACAUUCGGUAUUUUCUAUGGAUGUUAUUAACCCUAUAGUGCAGGAAGCUUUUUAUUUGGAUGUUAAAGAUUCAUUGGUAGCUGCUUUAAAUAACAGUUUGGACCUCAAAGGAUUGCAAAAGGAUGAAAAUGAGUUUGUUUUAAAUUUUGUAUUGCAAGAGAUAAUUUAUGAAUUAAAUUCUUUGAGAACUUUAACUCAUCAUAUGUCUAAUAUUGAAUUACCUUCAUCUCAUGCAAAACUUCUUCCAUCUAUUUUGCAGGCACCGAAAAUAGAGCUUAAACCAUUGCCGAGUCAUCUAAAGUACACGUUUCUAGGAGAUGAUGAGACACUUCCGGUGAUCAUCUCUUCAAAGCUUAGUACUUUAGAGGAAGAGAAACUUAUUAGAGUGCUGAAGGAUUACAAAAAGGCUAUUGGGUGGACAAUUGCAAAUAUUAAAGGGAUAAGUCCGUCCACGUGCAUGCAUAGAAUACUGCUGGAGGAAGAUGCCAAACCUUCAAUUCAAGCUCAACGUCAUUUGAAUCAACUCAUGAUGGAAGUAGUGAAGAAAUAAAUUCUAAAACUUCUUGAGGCAGGUAUAAUCUAUCCAAUUUCGGAUAGCAAAUGGGUAAGUCCGGUACAAGUGGUACCGAAGAAAGCUGGUAUAACAAUUGUUGAGAAUUCUUAAUGUGAGUUAGUACCUACCCGAGUUUAGAAUGGGUGGAGGGUUUGUAUUGAUUUUAGAAAGCUUAAUUCACUCACUAGGAAGGAUAAUUUUCCUAUUCCUUUUAUUGAUCAGAUGCUUGAAAGGUUGGCAGGAAAAUCUCACUUUUGUUGUCUUGAUGGCUAUUCAGGUUUUCAUCAGAUACCAGUUGCGCCUGAGGAUCAGGAGAAGACUACCUUCACAUGUCCUUUUGGAACCUUUGCGUACCGACGUAUGCCAUUUGGUCUUUGUAACGCUCUCGCCACUUUUCAAAGGUGCAUGGUCAGUAUUUUUUCAGACUAUGUAGAAAACACUAUAGAGGUAUUUAUGGACGAUUUUACGGUCUAUGCUGAUUCUUUCGAUGAUUGUCUCUAUAAUCUGAAGAAAGUACUUGAAAGAUGCAUUGAAACAAACCUUGUCUUAAAUUAUGAAAAAUGUCAUUUUAUGGUAGAUCAAGGCAUUAUUUUGGGUCAUGUAGUCUCUGCUAGAGGCAUUGCGGUAGAUAAAGCUAAGAUAGAUGUUAUUAAAUCUUUACCUUAUCCCACAUGUGUGCGGGAAGUUCGUUCUUUCCUUGGUCACGCAGGUUUCUAUAGAUGAUUUAUCAAUGAUUUUUUGAAGAUAGCUUAGCCUUUAUGCAAGCUUCUUCAGAAAGAUGUGACGUUUGAUUUUAAUGAAGCAUGCAAAGUAGCAUUUGAUAAGCUCAAAGAGUUAUUGACUUCAACUCCAAUUAUACAGCCACCCGACUGGAGCCUCCCUUUUGAGAUAAUGUGCGACGCCAGUAAUUAUGCUGUUGGUGCUGUUCUCGGACAAAGGGUUGGAAGAGCUGCUCACGUGAUAUAUUACGCAUCAAGAACACUUGAUAGUGCUCAGUGUAAUUACUCAACAACGAAAAAAGAACUUUUAGCUAUUGUUUUUGCUUUAAAAAAAUUCCGUUCAUAUUUGUUGGGUACUAAAGUGAUUGUUUUUUCUGACCAUGCAGCUCUCAGAUAUUUACUCGCCAAGAAGGAAGCGAAACCGAGACUUAUCCGCUGGAUCCUACUACUUCAAGAGUUCAACUUGGAGAUCCGUAACAAGAAAGGAACAGAAAACUUAGUUGCAGACCACCUUAGUAGAUUUACCACGUGUGAAGAAGCAACACCUUUGAAGGAUGAUUUUCCAGAUGAGCAUCUCUUUGUAACUAAAGGUAUGGUUCCUUGGUAUGCUGACAUUGUCAAUUACUUAGUUACAAGAACACUACCUAGUGAUCUGACGAGGUCUCAAAAAGAUAAAAUUAAGAACGAUGCUAAAUACUAUGUUUGGGAUGACCUUUACUUAUGGAAACAUUGCUCUGACCAAGUCAUCAAAAGGUGCGUGUCUGAGUUUGAAAUUCCUUCUAUUCUUCAGUUUUGUCACUCAUAUGCAUGUGGUGGUCAUUUUGGUCCCAAAAGGACAGCAUCCAAGGUGUUAGAAUGUGGUUUAUUUUGGCCUACUUUAUUUCGUGAUUCAUACAUGUUUUGUAAGUCGUGUGAGAAUUGUCAAAAGACUGGUAAUUUAAGUCAUAGAAAUCAAAUGCCACUUACCCCUAUUCUUGUGUGAAAUAUUCGAUGUGUGGGACAUUGAUUUUAUGGGACAUUUUCCCUCAUCUGUUGGCAAUGCUUACAUUCUUUUAGCAGUGGAUUACGUUUCUAAGUGGGUAGAGGCUAAGGCCACCCAGACUGACAAUGCUAAAGUUGUUGUAGAUUUUGUCAAGUCUAAUAUUUUAGCCAAGUUUAGUGUACCAAGAGCGGUGAUAAGUGAUAGAGGCACUCAUUUUUGUAAUUGAGUGGUGAGGUUUUGUUCAAAAGAUAUCAUGUUACUCACCGAGUGUCUACCGCCUAUCAUCCACAGACAAGUGGACAAGCUGAGAUAUCAAACAGAGAAAUCAAGUUUAUUCUUGAAAAGACAGUUAGUCUAAAUCGAAAGGAUUGGAGUUUGCGAUUAGAUGAUGCAUUAUGGGCGUAUCGCACCGCAAUUAUUGUAACAAUGCUGAAGAGGAAAGCAUCAACUUCCAAGUCAUCUAAAAAGACACCCGUCGCAAAAAAAUCCAAGAUUGCCGCUCCCACUACGGUUCCAUGGAACACAGUUUCAGAUUUACGCCAAGCCGUAAGACAAAGAUCGAAACAUGGAAAAGGCAUGAGUGUUUUGCCACUUGCGGAAUCCAAUCUCGGAGGGUGCCUCGCAUUCGCGACUCAACAAGAGAAAAAGAGGUACAAAGAUAUUUCCAUGCGCAAAAUACUUCCAGCUAAGUAUAUUCAUUACCUGACUCUUGAAAAAUUGAAUGUUAAGGAUAAUUUUGAUUCUUUGAUAGAUAAGAUUGGGUUGCGUAAGUUUGUUGAUGUUGAUUGUUUGGGUUAUGUUGAGUUGAUUAGGGAGUUUUAUGCGACUUUUCAAUUUAAUAUACCGAAUGAUUUUACUUUGCAUAUCCUGGAUGUCAUAAAGUUUAGGUUAAUAGGACGAAAUUUUUCACACUCUAUCACGGAUUUUAACCUAGAUUUAGGAUUCAUUGAUGAUGAUUAUUCUUUUAGUGAUGCAUAUUUAGGAACAACUUGUGACUUUAGCGAAAAUUUUGAGCCUUAUGGUCUUUAGUGUAAUUUAUUUGUUGAUCACAAUGCCUAUGACCCGAGUAAAUCAAAGAGUUCUUUCUUACGUGAUCCUGUUUUGAAAUGUGUGCAUCGAUUCUUAGCAUAUAAUUUUUUAGGAAAGAAAGAUCACUUAGUAGUUUUCUCUAAAACUGAAUUUUAUUUUAUCUGGUGCAUGUUAAAUGAUGUGAGGCCUAAUUUAGGUUUUUGGUUAGCGGAUCAAUUUCAAAGUGUGCUUAAACGGUAUAGGACUUUAUUUCUUGGUCCAUACAUUACUCUGUUAGCUAUAAACCUAUGUGUGCUUGAUCCUGACAAUAAUGAUUUGCAUCCUGCUUGCAAAAAGGAAUUUUUGGAUAUGUCUGUGUUUGAAAAAACAGGUGUGGUCGAAUUCAAGGAGGGGAGAUUUCAGUUUACUGAACCAGGACCCACUCAACCUCCAAAGAAGCUUUAUGCUAGGAGUGGUGCUACCUCUGAUGACGAGUUUGACGACGACACUGCUGCCCCGCCAACUAUUCAUUCUACAUCCGCACCACCUUUGAGCAUUCAGUUAGAGAAAAUGGAGCACAAGCUAAACAAGAUGGAGCAGAAUUUGGCCGCAUACUUCAAGAGUGUGGGAUUUAUCUCACCAUUUCCGCCAAGCCCAUAGAUGUUAUGUGGAUCAAAGUUCACAAUUCAGGGAAGUUUUUUUUUGCCUUUAAUCUUUUAUCUUUACGCUUUAAUUUUUAUGUGAGCUUUGAUUAUCUUACAUUAGGGACAAUGUAAGUUCUUGGUGUGGGGGAGGGAUUUUUGCAUUAUUGAUGUCUGGAAAUAUUAUUUUCACUCUACUCAUCCUUAAAUGAGUUUGGAGUUAGUAUGUUUCAUAUAAUAUUAUUUUUCUUUUGUUUUCUUUCUCACUACUCUUUUUCCAUCUAUCUCAAAUUAUUUACAUCUAUUUUUUUUAUUCUAUCAUACUCUUUCAUACUAACAUUUUAUCUUCCACUUUUUAUAUUACUACAUACAUCUUUCUCACUUCUUAUCAUUUUUACCUUUCCUUUUAUAUAUCACUCCUACCUUCUUCUCAUUCUAAACCACUAUUGAUGGUUGAUUCAUUUGAAAAGUGUACAUGAUUUGAUGGCAAAUUUACCAACUUUGUGAGGAUUUUAGCCUAUGAGCAACCACUUUGCUCUAAUAUUUUUGUUAUGUGAAUAUCAAUCUUAGUUUGUUUAUUCUAGAACUUGCUUUGUUAUGCAUGUUGAAGCCGUAUUACGGGAUUUUAUGCAUUAAAAUGAUAACGGCAAACCAUUUACAUUUUUCUAUUCUCGCAUUUUCUUUUUUUUUUCUCUACCCGAAGACCUUUAUUUACUAUCUUUGUUUGAACCUUAACCAUUACCCAUCUAAUUCUCUCCGUCUACUUAACCAUGUUUCUUCUUUUUUGAGCUUCAAUUUAAGGAGAUUUUGGGACUCAUUGUGUGGAUAUAUUUUGUUGCUUUUUCUACCUUGUAUUAAAGUUUCUCAAUUAGAUCAACAAGCAUUAUACUUGAAUUAAAUUGUGCAAGGUUCGUUUCUUUUGUUUGAAAAAAAAAACAAAAAAGAAAAAGAAAAAGAAAAGAAAAAAAGAAAAGGAAAAAGAAAAAAAGAGAAAAAGAAAAAUCGAAAAAAAGAAAAAAAAAAUGUUUACAUUCUUGGUGACUUGAGUAGAAAUAAGCAUUUUGAUAUCAUAAGUUCAUUCAAUGAGUUCAUUCUUCUCAUUUUGAUCUCUUUUUCUUUCGUAGACCUUUCUUUUUCAUUUAACCUAUUUAACCCCAUUACAACCUUUUUAAGACUCUUAGAUUUUUGCAUUUUAUUCAUGUUUUGUGGAUUGUGAUGUGAUAUAUGAGCAAGCUUAUGGUAAUAGCAUUCUUUGAUUUGAUUUGAAUGCAUAAAUGAUACCCUAAACACUUUGAGUGCAUGUAACUAUGGCCAAUGGGCCGUGCCGGCUGUCGGCCCACAAUGGCUCGUGGGCCGGCACGGCACGACCCACCAAUUUGGUGGGCUGUGCCCACCUUUUUUCCAGUUGAGCCCAGCACGGCCCACGGCACGAACCCGCUCGUGUCGUGUCGUGGGCCGUGCCCAAAAAAAGCCCACCAACUUUUUUUUUUAGUGUGCUUAAAAAAGUCCAUGUGCCUAGCGUGCUUUAUUCAAGCCCACGUGCCUGACGUACUUUUUUAUGCCCACCAACAUAAUAAUAAUAAUAUAAUAUUCACAAUCAUAAUCAUAUUAAUUUUUAUUAAGAGAGCAAUUAACAUUUUAUUAUUAGUUUAUCACAAUUUCACAACUAUAUAUUUUAUUUCACAAUAAUCAAUCAUAAUUCAUAACACAACAAUACAUAAAUUUAAUUAAAUUUAAUUCCAUAGAUCAUAAUAAUAAUUAAUUAAAAUUAAAAAUACAAUCCUCGAAUAAUCAUUACAAUAAGUCAUAACUACGAAAUAUUAAUAUAACAAAUCAUAGGUCACAACUUAAAAGUUACAACUAUAAAACACGAACUACGAUCAAUUGACGAAUAACAAGCACGAAAAAAACAUUUAUUAAUCACAACUAUGGAUACGGGAAACGAGCAAGGUUAAUUCUAUCUCAGCUGGUGGCGAGCUAAACAAUUUGACACGUGCCGACGUAAACCCAAGGUGCCGUGGCUGUUUGAAUAAAUAACUUCUCGAUGACAAUAGUUGCACCUCAAGAUCAUCCGCUUGUAAGGACGACGCAAACUAUUAUCUAUUAUUUCCUCCCUUACUGUAGUAAAAUUUUGAAAAAGCUCAUUUAGAAAACGACUUCUGGGCUGAUUUAGCCUAGCGUUUUGUUGAGGUCCAACUACAUUAACACCGUAUUCUUGAGGGUGUUGAGGUUCUUCUGCAUUCAUAUUAUGUUGCUGCGGAUUCAUAAUGAUUUUGGCUUUUAGAAUAUUGGAAAGUUUGAGGAAAAAGAAGAAGAAUAAGAAUUGUGAAGCAUCAUAGCAUAAUGGCGUGUAUAUAUAAUAUUAGAUAGUAAUAAAAAGACAAAAAUUAAUUUUAUUUACUUUGUCGGUGGGAGUAAAAAGAGUAAGUAAAAAAAUAUUUAGUGAAAUAUAAAUAUAGCCGUGAGGCAAGUGCUUGGUUGGCAUGUGGGAAACAAAUCUUAAAUUAUUUAAAAAUCUGCAAUUUGCACGUCUGCAUGUGCACUAUAUGACAAGCUGACAACUACCGUGUUGAAAAUUUGAGUUGAGAAUUUAAAUUCAAAGAAAUAAAGUACUCUACAUAAUGAAUGCAAGCUCCUCCCGUACUACUAGUUUGUUAUUAUAAUAUUAUCUCAUCAACACACUUGUGAUAAGAUUUAUUAACAUUGUGAUAGUUGCGUGAUUCUCUUGUAACAAUGAACCAUAAUUUUUUUUAAUUUAAUAUGUUGUUUUGAAAAAAAAUUAAUUACAAAAAUUAUUUUUAAAAAUAAAUAACAACGGUGCACUUAGAAAAUAAUUUUUUCUAAUUAUUAAAUAAUAAAAAAAUUCUAAAUUAAUUUUAUUACUCACCCAACGGAUAAAAAAAAAUUUGAAUUAAUUCAAUUAAAAAAAUUCUGAAUUAAUUGAAUUACUCACCCAACGGACAAAUUUUUUUUUGAAUUAACAGUAAAAUUGAUAUGACUACUCAAUUUUACAGUAUAAGCAGUCGGACUCUGAUUAUCAAUUAAUGUUUUCUGAUUUUUAAUGACAAAAAAAAUUUAAAUCAAUUUCAUAUUUUCAUUACUCACCCAACGGACAAAAAAAAAUUGAAUUAAUUGAAUAAAAAAAAUUCUGCAUUAAUUGAAUUAAUAAUAAAGUUGAUAUGCCUUUCCAAAAAAAAAAAACAAUAAAGUUGAUAGACUUGACUAGUCAAUUUCACUUUCACAGCAUGGGCAUUCAUGACUCAACAAUUAGACUUAACUAGCUUACAGAAUUUAUAAGCUAUAGACUGCAGCAUCAGCCGUUGGAUGUGGAGUGAGAAACUAAACAAUAGACAAUCGAAUGGUGGGAAUGGGAUGACGGGAGACGUUUGUUACAGUCUUGCAGAAUCGGUACCAUAGAGUCAUAGACAGAUCCCUCAACAAUUAAUUUUUAAUAAUAAAAAAUUCUAAAUUAAACCAAUUGCUCACCUUACAAUUCCAAGUUUCCAACGGACAAAAUGAAUGAUAAAAUGUAACUGUUUAAUUUGCUGCAGCCUUGCAGAGUUGCAGGAAGCUUUGCAGUUGUAGACUUGUAGGUUCGCAGCUUGUUUGUUCGUUUUUGACCGUUAAAAUGUUUACUUUUUUAUUUGCCCGUUUCUAACCGUUAAUAUGUUUACUUUUUUAUUCUAUUUAAACGAUUAAAUUAUUUUCGAAUUCAUCUCACAUUCUCACUUCUCAAUUUCUAAUUCUUUAUCUCCUCGUUAUCUCUCUUAUCUCAUCAGUCAUCUCUAGUCUCUGCUUGCCCAAUCUUCUUUACUACAAUUCCAACGCCUUUAUUUACCAAAACACUAAUUAUAUAAAAUGUCUCACUCUCAUUUCGAGUUAGAUGAGAAUUUUAAUUUUGUUGAAGAGCGAGAGGAAGUUGCAAAUGAAGAAAUUGCUGCACCAGAAUUUGAUCCAAGUAAUAUAUUUAUUGUCCCACCUAAACGAUUGCCACCUACUUCUCAAGCAAGUCAAAGUGGUUCUACUUCUUCAACUGCCUGUCCUACUACUACCUCCAAACGACAAAGAACAUCGAUUGUUUGGUCAUGUUUUACUUUGGAAAAACAUCAAAUCAAAAAAGGUGAAAUGGUGGAUCAAGCAGUGUGCAAAUAUUGUCAAUCUGCUUUAAGUGACAAAAGCAAUGGUGGAACUAGACAUCUUAGACGACAUAUGGAAACUCGUCAGACAAAACACGCGCCACAAGACCCAACACAAACCCAACUCUCACAAUAUGGUUCUGGAUCUUCCGGUAUAACAUCAUUCAGAUAUUCACAACAGAACAUGCGAGAAGGAUUGGCUCGGUAUAUUGCUGUAGCAGAACAACCUUUAACAUUUUCAGAAGAUGAACGUCUAAUAAAUUUUUUGCAAAGGUAUGUUCAACCUCAACUUAAGAAAGUGCCUAGAAAUACAUUAAAACGUGAUUUAACUAAAAUUUUUCAUGACAUGAAAAAACUUUUAAUUAAUACUUUUAUCAAUUUUAAUGGUGUUAUUUCAAUUUCUUCUGAUUGUUGGACUGGUAUUAAUAUGGUUGGUUAUUUUUGUGUGACUUCGCACUCUAUACAUGAGAUUAAUGGUAAAUGGAGGUUGGAAAAAAAAUUGCUUGCAUUUCGUGAAUUAGAAUAUCCUCACACUGGUUCAGUAAUUUAUGCAGCUAUAAUGUCUGUUUUAAGAGAAUAUGAAAUUACUGAUAAAUUGUUUAGCAUAUCAUUUGAUAAUGCAUCUGCCAAUACAGUGGCAAUUGAUAUGUUUUUGCGGAAUAUUUCUACUCUCAUGCCUGCACGUGGUUCAAAAUUUUUUCAUUUGAGAUGUGUGUGUCAUAUUAUUAAUUUAAUUGUUCAAGCUGGUAUGACUCAUAUAAAUCAUUAUUUAGAAAAAAUUAGAGCAUCCAUUUUAUAUAUUAGAGCACCUUCAAGACGUCAACAAUUUUUGGAGACAUUGAAAAUUUUUGGAUUGAAAAGGAGAAAAUUCAACCUUGACAUGAAAGUUCGUUGGAAUUCUACGUAUUUAAUGUUGCUUUCUUGUCAAAACUAUUCUGAAGCAAUUUCUAGUUUUUACAAUGCGAGAAUGAAUGAUGAAGAUUAUCAUAUCACUGAUUAUGAUUGGAAUGUUGCAUUUAAAUUUAUGAAUUUUUUAAAGGUAUUUUAUGAUGCUACUCUUGCAUGUUCUACUGUUUAUGAGCCUACUUCAUGUAGAGUGUUAAUGCACUUGUACAAUAUAAGUUAUACUUUUAAGACUUUUAGAGAGAAUAUUAUGUUUAAAAAUAUUUGUGAUACCAUGGAGGAAAAAUUUCAAAAAUAUUGGAAAGAUAUUCCCCACCUAUUUAUUUUUGCAGUAGUGUUGGAUCCUACAAUCAAGGAAGUUGGUGCAAAACUUUUAGUUGAGGGUAUUAGUGAAAAUUUACAAACCGGACUUGAUACAAAUUUUGAUACAAUUAUGCCCUCUAUGCAUGAACUUUUUAAUUUUUAUCGAAAUAAAUUCGAAUUAAGCAAUACAUAUUCUAAUGUUCAACAAGCAUCGACUUCUUAUAAAAAUCCAGCUCACCUUUUGUUACUCAAAGGUAAGGGUGUUGCCUCUCGUAUUGAUACUAAUCGUAAUGAAUUACAAAGAUAUUGUUAUGCCAAUCUUGAAGAUUUAGCAACUCCUUCACAAUUGCAAAAUUUUGAUAUUUUAGAUUUUUGGAUGGGUAAGAUAUAUUUUUUCCCUAUAUUAUCCAUUAUGGCCCGUGAUCUACUAACCCCUCCAGCUUCAACUGUAGCAUCAGAAUCAGCUUUUAGUACAUGUGCCAGAAUUCUAGAUGAACAUCGGUCAAGAUUGUCAUCAGAGACAUUAGACUCUUUGUUGUGUUUGAAAGAUUGGGAAGAUGCUGAACGCCGAGUGCAACAAGAUUGGCAAAAUGCUUUAAUUAAACAAAUUGAGAGUUUGAAUGUUGAUCAAGAUGAAGUGGAUCCAGAUUAUGCAGAGUACUGAACAUUGAAGCCACUUCCAAAUACUAGAAAUUUUUUUUUCUUGUAACUUUUUGAUACAAUUUUUAUUAGUGAGAAGGUUGUAAAUUUGCAAAUGAUAGAUGGUUCAGUAGGUGCCAACCUAGUUGGGAUGUACUGUUAACUGUAGUGAUGCAAAUUACACCUAAUUUUAUUUGAAUUACUAAUAUUAUAAUUGUACUUUAACUUCAUUUAAUGAAAAUGUAAUUUUUAAUUUAUCAUAAUUUUUCUUGUGUAUAAAAUGGAAAAUAUUUCAUUCACAAAUGAAACGUAUCUCUAUUAAAUAUUAACUAAGUUAUGAUUUAAUAUUAAUAUGAAAAAUAUUUCAUAUAAAAAAUAUUUUAUUAUUAAUUUUGUAAAAAAAUUUAUUUUUUAUUUAUAAUUUAUAAAUUUAUUAUAUUUAUAAUCUUAUUUAUUAAAAUCAUGAUAUUUAGUUAUUUACUUAUUCAUUUAAUAAAUUAUAAACAUAAAUAAAUAAUUAAAUAAAUAUCAUAAAUAACAUUAUUCAUUUAAUAAAUAUCAUAAAUAAAAUUAUGAUAUUUAUAAUUUUAUUUAUUAAAAUCAUGAUAUUUGCUUAUUCAUUUAAUAAAUUAUAAACAUAAAAGAUUAGAAUAUUUAUUUAAACUAAGAUUUAAUAAUUUAAAAUAAUUUUUAAAAGUCUAUGCUAAAAAAUAUAUUAAAACAUUUAAUUUCAAGAUAUUGUACUUUAAUUUCAUAACAUUUUAUAUUUACUUUUUGUUAAAAAAAAUUACUUAGAUAUAUUUUGGCCCACGUGCUAUUAAUGGCUCACGGGCCGCGUGCUAGCCCACUAAUGAACCGUGCUUAUUACGUGCUUUUUCGCGUGCCGUGCUUUGGCCCAUCACUAAUCGUGCCGUGCUUUAAGGCCCGUGUGCCUAAAAUUCUAGGCCCGACACGGCCCACGUGCAUGCCAUGCCGUGCCUCUGCCUCACCGAAACGUGCUCGUGCCGUGCCGUGCCGUACGGACACGUGCCGUGCCACGUGCCGCCCGGCCCAUUGGCCAUCUUUAAGUGCAUGGAGUGAAGUCAAUGAGAGGGCUAUUAAAUCUUGUUGCACUUGAAUUUUGAAUGGAUCUUCUUGGUGGUUGAAGGUUUUUAUUCUAGCUUAUGAGAUUCUAUGCUUUAAAAUCCUUGCCUCUCAAAUGUUGAUUAACUUAAAUUCUUGAGGCAUGCUUGCUUAAAAUUGUUUUUGGAUGAGUUGAGAUGAGAAUUGAGUGGAGAUUUGGGAUUAGUCUUGAGUUAUAUGCUUGAGGACAAGCAUCAUCUUGGUGUGGGGGAAUUUGUUAGAGUGCAAUUUAUACACUAGUUUUGCAUUGUUUACUUCCCUUAAUAUCAAUGUUUUGCACUUAAUAAUAGUGAUUUACUUGUGUUUUACUUUUGUAGGUGCAAUUCUAUUGAUUUGUGAUAAAAAUGAGCUAUAAGAUGAUGUUUAAAGAUGAUUGUUCUCUUGGAGAAAUUUAGAGCGUCAGAAGAACUUUGUUGAUAAGGCGUGGGCGCGUGCUGUCAACUGCGGACUUGCAGUUUUUAGUUUAACGUGUUUUGUAUUUUUGGUUAUUUUUGUAAUUACGAAUUUAAUAUUUUAGAUAUUAGUAUUUUAUUUUAAAUAGAACUCUAAAAGAGAAUAGAGAGAGAGUAUUUAAGGGAGGAAUCUAUUGUGAAAACGGAGAGAUUGGGGGAAAAAGAAAGAAACCCUAGAUCUAAACUUUUCUCUUCUCUCUAUGAAGAGCUAAACUUAUUUUUCUGGUUGAAGGUUAAUAAAGCUUUGAUUCAUCAAUACUGCGAGAUCUUUCUUAUGCUUUCAUUGUUUUAUUACUUUUUGGGUAUUUGUUUAUUUUCUGAAUUAUAAUCAUGAUUAUGUUUGUUAAUUAGAUAAUUGGCCACUAUUUAAAUAUCAACUUAAUCUAUUGUCAAUUAAAUGAUUCAUCGUAUGAAGAUUUUAAUGUUUGUGACAAAUAACAUAGCAGAGAGUUGUGUUGUGAGAAUAAACAAUCUAAUUUAAAUGAACCAUCGUAUGUGUUUGUUGAUUAGGAUUUGGGUCUCUCUGGUUUUUCAGGCUGUCAAUUGAUUAAAUCCUAUGAUCGUAUCUAGGGUUGUCUAUUGAUUAGGGAAAUAACCAAUGGUCGUACCUUGGUUAUCGACUAGUUAAUGAGAGAUUGACUAUUAGAGGGUCUCAGUAGCUAUAACCUGUCUAUUAAUAAGUAAUAAUAAUUUAUAUUUGAAUCAAUGAUCAGUAGUCGAAUCAAGUUGAGUUAAUUCCUUUAACCAGAGCUUUCUCCAAUUUAAAUUACAACUUUAAUUUGCAUUCUUGUUAUUUUAAUUUGAUUUUUAUUAUUUUCAACAAAACCCCCAUUUUAUGUUUUACGUUUCAAAAGGAUUUAAAUAAUUACCGAUCUCUGUAGACACAACUAUGCUCAAUCACUAUACAAUUUAUUUAGAGUAAAUAUUUAUUUUUGUUGGCUUCGACAACCAUCAUUCACUCCCAUUACAUCUUCAAGGACCUGCAGCCAAUAAGCAAUGGCUCCAAAUGCUAGGUCCGCUAAGCCAAUAUCGUCUCCAUUGAAAAAUUUCUUCUCUCCUGGGCCAUGUUUUUCAACGGUUUGAAGCAUUUUCAAGGCUGCCUUCAUUGCAUUCUCCAGGUCUUGUCCAGUGCUGAAAAACAUUUUCCAAACAGCUACUCCCUGCCACAAGAUUUUAUAUCUAAUUCUUAUCACCACAUGAUUAACAAUAUAAACGAGGUAAAAAGAAAUUAGAUAAUAGGUACACACGCAUCAAAGUAUCUUUCAAAGCCUAGACGUUUCAAACUGUCAAAGUAUCUAGAAGAGUUUACCCACUAAUUUUUAGACUAAUUUAUUAUAAUUUUUAGAGCUUAUUCAAGUAGAAUUUUUGUUAGUAAAAUUUAAUUGUUAAUGAAAAUUUUCAUUAAUUUUUUUAAAUAACUUUAAUAGACAAGUUUAUAAAGUAAAGUUAUGAAAUAAAUAAAUAAAAUAAUAUUAUAAAAUAAAUGAUGAACAUUUUAAACUAUUUAACUUUUUAAAAAAUCCUCAAACUUCUAUUUCCAAAAAAUUAAAUUUAAAUUUUUACUAGUAUAGGUAAAAGAAUUUAUUUAACCCCAAAAGUUCUAAAAAUAAAACUAAACAAUAAUAAAAAUUUGAAAUGAGAUUUUUUGAUUAAAUAAACACUUAUUAGUAAUAAAUAAGUCAUAUCAAACAAAUACUUAAUGAUAUAAAAGGAAAAAUAUUAAAAAAAAAUCCUCUUAUUGUUUUAGUAAAUUAUAAUUUUGCUUUCAUGUUUCGAAAGUCCUCAAAAUUCCCCCUAUCGCUAAAACAAUUAUAUUUUAAUAUUUUACCCUUGAUGCAGUAAAAUCCACGAUUAAUUAAGAAAAAUUUCUAAAGGUAAAAAAUUUAAAGUAAUUAACCGAAUUUUUUUGAUAAUUUUCUCUAAUGUAAAAUAAAAGGUUCAUUGAGCUUAGUCGGCCGUGAAUGCAUUUUGCACAUGCGAGGACAUUAGUUUGAGCAUUAAUAGUAGAUAAAAAUUAAUGUUUAGGGAGUCAUGUUUCUCAUAUACAAUGAAAAAUUAAAGUAUAUAAAGAAACCCGACAAGAUUAAUUAAAUUUAUAAACGUGUUAGCAAGAAAAGUUGUGAUGCGAACCUUGUCUUCGGCAAAUUUAAUCCAAAAACGAGCUUGAGCUCUAUCAUAAGGAUCACUUGGCAUCAACGAGGGAUUGUGUGGCCACAUCUCUUCAAUGUAUUCGAGAAUAACCAUGGACUCGAAAACUGGUUUUUCGCCAUGAACGAGCACUGGUAUCAUCUUGUGAACUGGGUUAUACUUCAAAAGCGAAGCACUUUUGUUGUAGAGAUCUUCUUCAAUGUAUUCAUACGGGAUGCCUUUCAAUUUCAGAGCCCAUACUACCUUGUUGCUAAAUGGACUCGCCCAUCCCCUGUGGAGCUUCACUUCAGCCAUGUGUCUGAGAUCGAAUUUGAAUAUGUGUGUGGUUGUUUUGCUUAGCUGAUGAGUUAUUGCAUACGUACAUCUGAAUUUAUAAUGAUUAAUAUUGGAAUAUCGAGUGCGCUUGCUUGAGCAGGGAGCUUCAUAUCUCCAAUUUAUUUAAUAAAACGAUUCAAUCAAGUUGAAUUCAAUGAACUAAUGCUGCGACAUUUUAACAAUUCUGUUAUAUAUUCAACGAGAAGAGGUAUCGUAUUUGACGGGAAUCUCUUGAAACAGUGCUGAAUUAACAAGUAAUCUUAUUUAAUUUGGUCAACUGGUCAGAUAUGGAUUAAUUAUAUAUUUGGCGUUUGUUUUAGGUGCCCAGCUAGCCCUGCUGCUGUGUUUUUUAUAUUAUGAUAUUCUCCUGAGAACUUUGGAGGACUCAUUUACUUUACAAUUUUAGCAUUUUAGGCCCAAUAACUUCAUAUAUAUGACGUUUUGUCCCCCGGCUCCUCCUCUUCUAUAUAAAUCCGAACACCUGAAAAAUGACCAGACCGGAACAACUCUCCGUCUUAAGUCUAUGCAAAUUUUACACACAAGAGAAAGAGAGGGAGAGGGGCGGCCAUGAGAGAUAAUGAUACAGAAAAGAAUAUGGAAGAGAGUUUAUUAAUACCAAAAGAAAGUUUAUCAUCAACAUCCACAACAUGGGAUUUGUUGAGUGGAGAAGUGAAAAAGCAGGGUUACAUAGCAGCACCAAUGGUGGCUGUCACUUUAUCACAGUAUUUGCUUCAAGUUUUUUCCAUGAUGAUGGUUGGUCAUCUUGGUCAACUUGCUCUUUCUAGCACCGCCAUGGCCAUCUCUCUAGCUAGCGUCACCGGCUUCAGCGUCCUUGUAAGUUCUAUAAUCCAUAUAUAGUUAUUUACAAUAUCAAGAUCGUGACACAAGCUUGUUUGUUCUUUCUUUUGAUAGGUAUUUGCAUCAUUGCAUGUGGGAUUUAAACAAACAGAUAUGCCAAAUUUCGGAUGUUAAAAAACGUGCAAUUAACUAAUACCCUGUUUGUAAAAAUGCCAUUAAUUUUUAAAGGACUUGAUUUACUCUUUUUUUAAAAAAAAAAAAAUUCUACAGCUAACUUGAAUUGUGUAAUAUUGUCUUUGAAACAGUUAGGAAUGGCAAGUGCUCUGGAAACAUUAUGUGGGCAAGCAUAUGGAGCUCAGCAAUAUCAAAGAAUUGGAACUCAAAUUUACACUGCAAUAUUUUGUUUAUUCUUAGUAUGUUUUCCGCUUUCCUUUCUAUGGAUUUACAUGGGAAGGCUGCUAGUUUUGGUAGGCCAAGACCCCCAGAUUUCACAUGAAGUAGGCAAGUUUAUAAUCUGGCUUCUUCCAGCUCUGUUUGCUUAUGCAGCAAUGCAGGCGCUUAUUCGAUAUUUUCAGUCUCAAAGUUUGAUCAUUCCCAUGUUCUUAAGCUCCUAUGCCGCUCUUUUUUUGCAUAUUCCCAUCUGUUGGGGUUUGGUAUUCAAGUCUGGACUAGGAAACCUUGGAGGAGCAUUGGCAAUUGGUAUAUCGUAUUGGUUGAAUGUAACUUUCUUGGCAAUUUACAUGAAGUUCUCCACUGCUUGUGCAGAAUCCAGGGCUCCAAUUUCAAUGGAGUUGUUCCGAGGAAUUGGAGAGUUCUUCCACUUUGCUAUCCCUUCUGCAGUAAUGGUUUGGUAUGUUAGUUAUCUUCUGGAGCUUCAUUUUCCCUUCUCAUAGACAUCGUUGACACGUCAUAAAUUUUCAUGCUUCUUUUGUUUAUAAUUUUGCAGCCUAGAAUGGUGGUCAUUUGAAUUGCUCAUUUUAAUGUCAGGGCUGCUGCCUAAUCCACAGCUUGAAACUUCAGUCCUAUCUGUAUGGUAUGUUGACAUAGACUUUGUAUGUGAAAGUUCUAUACAGAGAAGCACCUACCAAAGGAAAUAGAUUUUUUUUCUUUUUUUCUCUUUUUUCCCGACUGCUCAUUAUUUGUCAACUUCUCUGGGCAGUCUCAGUACUAUUCAAACCCUCUCUGCAAUCCCAUAUGGACUUGGUGCUGCAGCGAGGUUUGUUCAUAACAAUCACUUAAAUAAUAAUUGUUUUAUAUCAACUAAUUAGCAGAUUAACCAUUAUUUCCUUCUAUAGUACUAGAGUUUCAAAUGAACUAGGAGCUGGGAAUGUGCAAAGAGCCCGUGUAGCUGUCUAUGCUGUGGUCUUUAUGGCAGUCAUGGAGACUAUCAUAGUAAGUGCAUCUCUCUUUGCCAGCCGGCGUGUUUUUGGUUAUGUUUUCAGCAAUGAGGGACAAGUUGUGGAUUAUGUCACAACCAUGGCUCCUCUGGUUUGUUUGUCUGUCAUCAUGGAUAGCUUACAAGGAGUCUUUUCAGGUUAAAUUAACUUCUUCAACUCUGUCAAUUGCUAAAUAGUUCUCUUUAAGUGGAAAUAAAAUUUUUCAGGUUUCUAAAUUCUUUUUAUUAUUUUUAAGGUGUUGCAAGAGGAUGUGGGUGGCAGAAUAUAGCUGCUUUUGUGAAUCUUGGGGCUUAUUAUUUGUGUGGAGUCCCAACUGCUGCCAUUUUGGGUUUCUGGUUAAAGUUUAGAGGAAGGGGCCUAUGGAUUGGGAUACAAGCUGGUGCUUUUACACAAACACUUCUGCUUGGCAUCAUAACAACAUUUACAGAUUGGGAAAAACAGGUCUGUUUCUCAACAUUUAAUCCCUUAAAAAUUAGAGAAGCUUAUUGGACUAUAUAUGUAAAUAUGUAGCAAUUUUUUUUUUUCCCAAUACGUAUCUGAUACCUUUUGACUGAAAGUUCAAGAUUAAAAUCACUCAGCUUGAUCUGAAAUGGUUAGUAUUAUCAUCUUCUGCAGAAAUGGUUUUGCUCAUUGAGAAAAUGAUAUUCAAUAACACAAAUGCAAACUCAUUUGAAAAUUUUGCCAUUGAGAAAAUGAUAUUCAAUAACAGACAUGCAAACUCAUUUGAAAAUUUGCUUUUUUGCAAGAAUUAUAACCAUUUUCUAGUUUGUUAAUUGUUACAUCUUCUGUGUUUCUAAGGGGUUUCUCAUGUUGCAGGCAAGUAAAGCAAGGAAAAGAUUAUCAAAGGGAAGAUCUUUAGAAGAAAAUAGAAUAGUUUGUGAGUGAGCAGAGUCAAUCAAUGAGCUGAUAUAUACAUUUUCCAGUUGAAAGAGAUAAUCAUUGCUUGAGAAAAUGAGCUGAUCAUAUGUCAAUUGUGUUGAAAAGUCAGAAGCAAAUGCCAACUUUGCAACUGUUAGCAUGAAGGCUUUGGAGAAGCGAAAUCCAAUUUGGUUUUUGUUAGCCGAAAAGAAAGAAUGGAAAAAGGGGAUGUAUUGAAAAUAAUAAUAAUUAUUUAUUAUAUUUUCAAUUAUUUUAUUCUUUGCAUAGUGCCAACAUUUUUCCUAUAAAUAGCUUAGGAUUUCAUUCAUUUGAAAUCAUCCUAAAAUUGUUAAGCUUAUAAGUUUCUAAGCUUUUGAGAGAAGUGAGAGAAGUGUGUCUGGGGAAUUUAUCUUUCCUGCAGAGUGUGAGAGUACUGGGUAUAUUUGGGUUUCUGGGAAGUGAGAUUCGUUACUCAAAUAUUGUAUUCUAUUAAUUGUUAAAUAAACAAUUAUUCUUUCUUGCCUCCGUGGAUGUAGGUUUAAUUACCGAACCACGUAAAUUCUUGUGUCCUUUAUUUUUCGGUAAUUUUUGGUGCGCUUGAUUCCGCAUUCCGCGCACAACAAGUGGUAUCAGAGCCGACGGUUCGUACUUGGGGGGAUACGGUAUUGUUCACGUAUAUGGUACUAUUCCCGUAUACGGUACUGUUCACAUACGGUACUGUUCACGAAUACGGUGGAGACAACCAUUUGUACUUGGGAGACAGUCUAUUGUAAGUAGUGUGUAUUUUUGCAUGUCUAGGAAAGUUCUGUCAACAAAGGCGAUAAGAGUCUAAGGAUUCUGGUUUUUAAUUGGGACCGAGUUCCCGUCCAGUUUCCUGGGAACUUUCCUGGUGCAUUUAUUCACGCGAAAUUAACAUCAUAGAGGCUGUUUUUCCAGUGGAAAUAGUUCGUUGAAAAAAUGGUAGAAGGUGAAACUUCCAGAAUUGGGGAGAGAUCUACCGAGACUAUUUCAGGAGACACUUCAGGUGGGAGGCGAGAUUUGUCAAAUCGCUAUUCAGCACCUAUUAUAGGAGGCCAGAAGAUCGAUGUUGAAAAGUUUGAUGGGAAAAUCAACUUCGGCAUGUGGAGGCGCGAAGUUAUGGAUGCCCUUAUUCAAAUCGAUCUCGAUGUUGUCCUGAAAAAUAAAAGACACUUGUAUGAUGAAGAAAUUUGGGAUCGUAUGAACGAGAAAGCCUGUGGUCAGAUCAGAUCUUGUUUGACCAAGGAGGUGAAAUACUUGGUGAAAGAUGAGGAGUGUGCAGUGACUUUGUGGCGUACAUUGGAAGAGAAGUACCUGGUGAAAAGUCCUGAAAAUCGUCUUCAUGCAAUGAGCCAAGUAUAUGGCUUUCGAAUGAAGUCUGGGGUGUCAAUGCACGAUCAUGUUUCAAGAUUUGAAAAGUUACUUGCUGAUUUGAAGAAUCUUGAUGAAGAUAUUAAAGAUGAAGUCAAGGCUAUGAUUAUGUUACACUCACUACCAGAGGAAUAUAGCCAUUUUGUGACUACUUUGAUAUAUGGGAAUUGUGUGAUCGUCUUUAAAGAUGUUUGCACAGCAUUGACUAGUUUGGAGAUUCGGAAUAAUGAUAAAAAUUCUGAACGAGCAUCGUCUGAAGCUUUGGUGAGCAGAGAUUGGGCGAUGGAGAAACAGAAGAAGCGUGGUGGAAAGAAUUCUUGAUCCAAAUCGAGAAGCAGAAAUAUAGCUCGAGAUGAGUGUGCCUUUUGUCAUGAAAAGGGCCAUUGGAGAAAAGAUUGUCCAAAGGCUCAAAAGAGAGAUGGGAAGAAACCAGCAGCAGCAAACAUGGCACGGAAAGAUGAGAACUCUGAUUAUUCACUAAGUAUUACUCCUGCAGCAUAUGUGGCUAGUUCGAGUGAGUGGAUACUUGAUACAGGAGCAACCUAUCAUUUGUGUCCUAUUAAGGAAUGGUUUACGAAUUUUCGUAAUCUGGAAUCCGGUGCAGUUAUGAUGGGGAAUAAUCAACCUUGUCGCACAAUGGGGAUAGGAACAAUUCGGCUCAAAAUGUUUGAUGGAAUGGUCAGAGAACUCAAAGAGGUUAGAUUUGUUCCAGAGAUAAAGAAAAAUCUAAUUUCUGUGGGUGCUUUGGAAGCUAAAGGUUACAAAGUUACCAUUGAAGAUGGCACAAUGAAGUUUACACAUGGGGCUAUGGUGAUUCUGCAAGGGGUUCGGCGUCACAAUCUGUACUAUUUGAAGGGAGGUACAACUGAUGAAGCAAAUGUUGUUGAGGCGCACAGUGACACCACCAAGCUAUGGCAUGUACGACUGGGACAUGCAGGAGAGAAGUCUUUGCAAACUCUGAUGAGGCAUGGACUCUUAAAAUGUACCAAAACUUGUAAAUUAAAUUUCUGUGAGCAUUGUGUAGUAGGCAAGAAAACAAGGGUCAAGUUUGGUACAGCUAAUCACGAUACUCGUGAGAUCCUUGAAUAUGUUCAUAGUGAUGUAUGGGGACCAACCAAGACUGCAUCAAUUGGUGGAAGCCAUUAUUUUGUUAUAUUUGUUGAUGAUUUCUCUAGACGUGUAUGGGUGUACACCAUGCGAGCAAAGGAUGCGGUUAUAGAGAUUUUCGUGAAGUGGAAGAAAUUGGUGGAGACUCAAACUGGCAGAAAGAUCAAAGUAUUACGAUCUGAUAAUGGGGGUGAAUAUACUUCUGAUCCAUUCUUGCAAGUAUGCCAGAACGAGGGUAUUAAAAGACAUUUCACGGUGAGACAUACUCCGCAACAGAACGGUGUGGCUGAGCGUAUGAAUCGUACUUUACUGGAGAAGGUACGAUGUAUGUUAUCUAAUGCUGGUUUAGAUAAAAAGUUUUGGGCUGAAACUAUGAGCUACGCAAGUCACUUGGUAAAUCGGUUGCCUUCUGCUGCAAUUGGAGGUAAAACUCCUAUGGAAAUGUGGUCUGGAAAGCAUGCACAAGACUAUGAUUCCCUUCGUGUAUUCGGGUGUCCAGCUUAUUAUCAUGUCAAAGAUGGUAAACUGGAUCCUCGUGCUAGAAAAUCUAUCUUUGUGGGAUUCAAAGGUGGAGUAAAGGGCUUCAAGCUUUGGGAUCUCGAAGACAAAAAGUUUGUGUGUAGCAGAGAUGUCACAUUUGAUGAAGCUUCAAUGAUAAAAGCUUCAAGUUCUCAGCAGGUGGAGAACAAGACCACAGAGGUAUUGCAGCGGGUGGAGUUUGAUGCAACUCCAUAUGUACCAGUUAGUUCUACAUCAAAGAAUGGUUCAACUAUGGAGGUGACACCUAAAGUUGAAGAAGAGGUUGUUUCUUCUGAUGUCCCACAAAAUGAAGAAACAAUUGAUGAUGUAGAUGAUGAUGAUUUUAUAGCAACAAGGAGGCCAAGAAGAGAGAUAAAGAAACCCGGAUGGCUUACUAAAGAUAUGGUGGUAGCCUAUGCACUUCCAGUUAUUGAUGAUGACAUUCCCAAUACUUUCGGUGAAGCAUUACGCAGCAAUGAAAGUGAUCAGUGGAAGCUAGCCAUGGAGGAAGAGAUGAAAUCUCUCCAUCAAAACCAGACUUGGGAUCUUGUAAAGUUACCAAAGGGGAAAAGGGCUAUUGGCAAUAAAUGGGUCUACACCAAAAAGCAAGGAUCUCCGAAUCAAACAACUCCUCGAUACAAGGCAAGGCUCGUGGCAAAAGGUUUUGCUCAAAAGGAAGGCAUUGACUACAAUGAAGUUUUCUCUCCAGUUGUAAAACAUACUUCCAUUCGUAUCCUACUUGCCUUAGUUGCAGAAUAUGAGUUAGAGUUGGCUCAGUUGGAUGUUAAGACGGCGUUCUUACAUGGAGAUUUGGAGGAGGAAAUCUAUAUGAUUCAGCCUUGUGGUUUCAGAGUUGCUGAAAAGGAGAAUCAUGUGUGUAGGUUGAUUAAAUCUUUGUACGGACUGAAGCAAUCGCCAAGGCAGUGGUACAAAAGAUUUGAUCAAUUUAUACAAGGGCAGAAAUUCACCAGAAGUGAACACGAUCAUUGUGUUUACUUUAGAAGACUAUCAGAUGGAGCUUUCAUCUAUUUGUUACUCUAUGUCGACGAUAUGCUUAUAGCUUCGAAGAAUAGAGAUGAGAUCGAAAGAUUAAAGAAGCAGCUGACUUCUGAGUUCGAGAUGAAAGACUUGGGUGAUGCACAAAGAAUACUUGGGAUGGAGAUUCAUAGAGACAAGAAGAAUGGGAGCGUAUGGUUGACUCAAAAGUCUUAUUUGAAGAAAGUGCUAGAAAGAUUCGGUAUGGAUGACAAAACUAAACCGGUAUGUACACCUCUAGCUCCUCAUUUCAAAUUAAGCUCUUCUUCAUGUCCUAGAUCUCAAUAGGAGCGCGAUUACAUGGCUCGUGUUCCAUAUGCUAGUGCUGUGGGUAGUCUUAUGUAUGUUAUGGUAUGCACAAGGCCCGAUAUAUCUCAAGCAGUGAGCAUGGUUAGUAGAUACAUGCACAAUCCGGGUAAAAAUCAAUGGCUUGCGGUAAAGUGGAUUCUCCGAUAUCUGUAUGGGACAGUUGAUGUUGGGUUAUUGUUCAAGAAGGAUUGUGGUCAACAAUGUGUUGGGUAUUGUGAUUCUGAUUUCGCUGGAGACCUUGACAAGCGAAGAUCAACAACGGGCUACGUAUUCACAUUGGGUGGAGGUCCAGUUAGCUGGAGGUCGAUUCUACAAUCGACAAUUGCUUUGUCCACUACGGAAGCAGAGUAUAUGGCAGCAACUAAAGCUGUAAAAGAAGCUAUCUGGUUUAAAGGCUUGUUAGGUGAUUUGGGAGUAAUCCAGGAGAACAUUGCGGUCUUUUGUGAUAAUCAAAGUGCGAUAUUCCUUGCGAAGAAUCAAACAUAUCACGCUCGGACGAAGCACAUAGAUGUGAAAUAUCAUUAUGUGAGGGAGAUUAUCGAAGGUGGUGAUGUGUUAUUGAAGAAGAUUGAUACCAAAGAUAAUCCAUCAGAUAUGUUGACGAAGGUAGUUUCUGGAGUUAAGUUUCAACAUUGCUUGAAACUAAUUCAAAUCCUUCGAUUGUGUUAAGAUAUGUCCUUCGGGAAUUAUGAACUACGGUUGGCUUGAUCCCAAAUUUUGGGUACGUAGGCAGUCGGAUAGAUGCAGUCAAUGUGGAUCCUUUUGAGGAUCAUGUGAGGGGUGAAGUUUGGCGGAUCAUUGUCAAUCGGCUCAGAUUUGGAUAAAUUUUCGCCGAGGUGGAGAAUUGUUGAAAAGUCAGAAGCAAAUGCCAACUUUGCAACUGUUAGCAUGAAGGCUUUGGAGAAGCAAAAUCCAAUUUGGUUUUUGUUAGCCGAAAAGAAAGAAUGGAAAAAGGGGAUGUAUUGAAAAUAAUAAUAAUUAUUUAUUAUAUUUUCAAUUAUUUUAUUCUUUGCAUAGUGCCAACAUUUUUCCUAUAAAUAGCUUAGGAUUUCAUUCAUUUGAAAUCAUCCCAAAAUUGUUAAGCUUAUAAGUUUCUAAGCUUUUGAGAGAAGUGAGAGAAGUGUGUCUGGGGAAUUUAUCUUUCCUGCAGAGUGUGAGAAUACUGGGUAUAUUUGGGUUUCUGGAAAGUGAGAUUCGUUACUCAAAUAUUGUAUUCUAUUAAUUGUUAAAUAAACAAUUAUUCUUUCUUGCCUCCGUGGAUGUAGGUUUAAUUACCGAACCACGUAAAUUCUUGUGUCCUUUAUUUUUCAGUAAUACAACAAGCGCACCAAAAAAUUGAUGGCCAAGAAGGUUCCCCAAUCUGAUCUACGGAGCAUGGCAUUUCAUAAAACUCUGUUUCUAGAGAAAAAAAAAAAAAUUAACAGCUUCUUAGGAUUGGAGCAUCAGGUGACUUAGCAUUUCCAGUAUGAAUGAAUUAUAAGAUAGAUGAUGCUGCAAAAAUGAAUAGAGAUAAAAUUAAGCAAGAGAAAAUGUUUGAAUGUUAUUAUUGAAACCUUUUCCAGUGAUUGUAGAGAUAAUUUUCUUUGUAUUGAAACUUUCAGCAUCUGAAAGAUAAGGAAAAUAUUAAAAGAAAAAAGAAAAUUCUUAAAUCUUUUCCAUGUCACUCCAGCAAAGUUGAAUUGUGAUUCUAAACCCUACACCAAAGUGUAAGGUGGCCUGUGGCCUAUAGGUAAUACACAAUUUGACAACCCCAUAUAUUUAGUAAUCUAGGUGGAUGCCAUUAAUUUUUUUUUUUAAAUUUUUGUUCAUUUUUAAUGCAAACAACGCCUCUUUCAUUGAGGCAUUGGAAUAUAUAAAGAUUUGUAUACUGAUUUUGGACCAUAAUUCACAAAUAAUGCGACGCAUAUCUUUCUUUCAGUACUUCUUCAGGAGGAUAAGAUACAGACAUUGUUGUCUUUUUACCUGAAGCAAGUGCAUGUGCAUGAAUUGUUGUUGUCUGUUAAUCUGCUGCCACUUUGCUGCCAAAAAACUUGAAAAAUAAACCAGGAAAAUUUUCAAUAAGCAAAGCCAAACAACUAACCCCUGUUUUAAGUUAUUUUCCUAAGAAAACUUUUAAACACUCAAAUAAAGCACAUAAGUAAAGUAUUUCUGUCACAUUAGCUUUCGAGUGAGGUUUGAUUUACAUUUAUAUCAUAUAUACCAAGUGUUUUUUAUUCUUUUAAUUAAUGUAUAUCACAGCUUGGAAAUUCUAAAAAUUAAUCAUGCUUAAUCUUGAGCAACAAUAUCUGUAAUCAUCAUACGAGGUCAAAAGUGAGGAAAAAAAAGGAAAAGAAAAAGGAAAGAGUUAGUUUUAUGUAUAAAAGUGAAAGGAUCUGUUAUAGACUAUUUCUGUUGCAUGGUUUUCGGAGGCAUAGCAUUGUCCACAGCAUUUGGGCUUUGCUUCUGAUUCAAUGGCAUUUAGAAUUUGGUUUCAUCUGAGAUCAUAUAUAGCUUGAUCCUGAUAUCUUCCAUUUUGGAGGCAUUCAGUUAAAUUGAAGAAGUUUGAUGUUCCAGUUCAAAUUGGGAUUGCUGAAGAUAAUAUAUAUAAUUCUGUAGAGGUUUUCUAAUUUUUAUUUUUAGUAAUGUAUUCAUGUCCUGUCAUUCUUCUUUCUGCUUAAAUCCAAUUGCCCAUGUUGGAAUUUCUUUUCAGCUUUUGUAUUCUUUUUCCUUUUUGUUCAAUAAUGCUAUAGACGAUGCUCUACCAUUUAAAAGAUAUAAAUAACAAAUUUUAUAAAUUUUUACUUCGUCAAGGUGUGAAACCUUAUAAAAUUUAUAAAUUUAACUUAUGAACAGAGAAGCAUAAAAAAAAUGUUUGGAGUUGCUUAAUACCAUAGAAACAAAAGCAGAAAGAGAUGUUCAAGAACAAAACCCAAAAAUUUUCAUCAAGUGGAGCAUCGAUCAUGCCAGCAUAAUAACAUAAUUACAUAAUGCUCGAAGAGCACGCAUGACUUUCUCAAAAAAUAAUAUCACUUAAAUGAUCAAAAAACAGAAAUAAUUAAUUGAUUAUCCAUAUAUAUAAACAAGCCUAGCUCUCAAUGUGAAAUAUAUUAAAUCAGCAACUAUAAGAUUUUCGGUGAUGAUAUUUCCACCCCAUAAAUUUUAUAAACCCACCCAUUUUUUUUAAAAAAAAUUAUUAUAAUAAGUUCACAUCAUUUUUUUAAAAUUUAAAUUAAGAAGAAAUUAAAAAAUUAAUCAAUUAAAUCUAUAUUCAUUUCUUUUUUUUUAAUUAUGUUUCUUUAUUAAAUUUCAUCAAUAAGGUUGCUUUAACAUAAAUUAAUAUGACUAUUUUACCCUUAUAAGGUAAAAGUACCAAAAUAUCUAAAAAUUCACUUUAACUUUAAUAAAAUUUUAUGCAAUUUUUUUUAAUAUUUUAAUGAUAUAUAAGUAAUUGUUAGUACAAUUAUUGUUUCUCCACUAAACUAACAAAAUAUAAUUAGGACAUGUGGUGGAAUGAAAAUAAUUAAAUUUUAUAUAAAAACCUAAGCAAUUAGUUACGAUAAAUAUAUAUAUAUAUAUAUAUAUAUAUAUAGUAAUUUGGUUAUUUUAUAUUAUAAGGGUAAAAUAGUCAAAUUAAAUUUAUCUUGAGGCAACCUUCAAAAGUUAAAGAUUGUUAAAAGCUUAAGUCCAAAAAAUAAAAAUAAAAAUAAAAUUAUAAAAUUGAUUUAAUUAAUUAAUUAUUCAAAGCUUUUAUUAAUUUGUAAUUUUAUAAAAUAAUGUAAAUUUAUUGUAAUUAUUUUAUGGAGGUGGAGGGGGUUUAUAAAAAUAGUGGGGUGGAAAUAUUCACACCCUUCAAUUAAUAGUUAGGAUAAUUUUUAGAUACUUCCCCUAAAGUUUGGCUUUGCUUCACUUUUAGAUCAUUUUUAGAGAGAAUGUAUCAAUCUAUUGAUAAGAGUGAUGAUACAACCAUAAAUUUUUAUACAAAUUUAUCUUGUAUAAAUUUAUUUGUCAUUAAUUCAUUGGUUGAAUAAAAAUGUAAAAUAAUAAAAAUAUAUCACGUGGGUCAAGAGAUAUUUAAUUCAAGUAAUUUUAUCAUAUCACAUUAAUUUAUACAAAAAUUUAUAACUAUAUUAUUAUUUAAUUGAUAAUAUACCCCUUGUCCGUGUAUAUAAGGGUUAGGCACUGAUUAAGUAGUUGCAGUAUUUUUUUUUAAAAAAUCUUACAAAAGCUAUUAUACUGUAACUAAUCAGCUAGUGAAACCCGAGGGGAUAGUAACCCAUUUUCAUUGUCAAUGCCUAGCUUCAUUUUUUUUUUUUUUUCUCACUUGAUGAGUGCUUACCUUCAUUUCGAAGGUCGUGACACCAACUGAUUUUAGCAAAAGCAGAGAUACUUUGUGAUGCAGUAAGCUAACAAGUUUCUGAAAUCAACUAUGUUUUGAACCAAAUUUCGGCGACGACCAGCAGCUGAAAAGCCGGUGAUUAAAGGGCACACUAGGUGCGUAAUUCUAUCAAAUCUUAAAACUGAAGUUAGGUUUUAUUAUUUUCUUGCAUUUUGUUGAAAAUUGCUGUUAGUUAGGUGCUUUAUUCUUUGUUCCCAUUAAUUGAGAAAAAUGUUUAGGGUUUAUAGAAAUUGAAGUAGUGACCGAAUAUAUCUGAAUUGAUUUUUGAGUUGAUAGUCAUUCGAAAUGUUGUGUAAACCAUGCAAAUGAUUUAUUUUUUGAUGAUUUUGGACUGUGGGUUUUGAAUGCUCACUGAAAUUUGCUUGAUAUGUUCUUUAAAUUGAGAAAAAUCCAAGCUUCUUCUAAGAAUACAGAGGUGUUGCUGAGAAAAUGCUUAUGGUGUUGUUUUGUUUCUUUUUUUAUUUUACAAGUGGGCAGUUCAUGUAAGAUUGAGACAGUUGCUCUUGUUGCUUUUUGAUGUUUUGUAUAGACUGAUUCCAAUCACUGAUUUCUGUUGGUAAAUGGAUGCUAUUUUUUUUUUUUCCUUUCUUCACAUAAAAAUUUGUACUUCCCAACAUAAAAUUCAGAUGCUUGCCUAUUGUUUUUUGAGGUUCUCAUUAAGGUGUAAGAGAUAAAUUAAUUAUAGAGCUUGUAGGCAGUUGGUUUAUUGAAGAACCAGUACAGUUGAGAAAGUGUCUUUUGGGACAUCCAUUUUAAUACAAAGAUUAACAGAUUUAAUUACAUAAACACAAGACUUCAUUUGUUUAUCAAAGUAGUACUUCUGAUGCUUUCGUAUAAUGAAUGCCAAAGAGAUGACAUUUGCAAAAAGGCCAUUUGAAUGUACCAAUUGCUAUCCUUGUAAACCUCUAUUGUGAUUCUGUUAUCAUUAUAUGUUGUUUAAUGAUCUGAUGAUUUUGAGAUAUCAAGAUGAGUUUAUGGUAGUACAUGUUCAUUUAGCUACUUUAGGUACUAAUACAUGCAUUUAUUGUAUAAUGCCUACUUAGCAGCCAUAACUACACUCAUUGUUGAAGCUACAGCAACACAAAUGAGAAAAAACAUGCUGAGGAACAACAUUGUCUUUAUAUAAUUGCAUUUUACUCCAUUUUGUUGUGCUUUUUGCAUCAGUGACUUCAAAUCCAUCAUAUCCUUUUGCAUACUCAUCAGCAGUUCAUAAUUUGCUUGACAUGUUCCUAAACCAGCAAAUAUAACGCCUCGAUCGAUAUCAUUUGAGGAUGGCAUCCAAAACUUGAAAUAGCCACAACCAUUUUUGCUAUCCAUACAGCAAUAACAUAGCUUGUUUGGGUUGUCAUCUGAUUCCGCUACCUUCAUAGCAGCUCUUUUGUAGCAUUUACAAAUCUUGUUUGAAAAUCGAAUGAAUUUAAAAUAUUAUCAUUUAUUUUUUUUUGUAGCAUUUACUAAUCUUAUGAUAUUCAGUAUUGUUUUUAUAUAAAUUAAUUUAAAAUAUUAUCAUUUAUUUAUCUUAUUAUGUGAUUUUACACUAUCAAAUUAUUUGUUUUAAGGGGCAUUUUGGUCUUUUCAACACUCAUUUGAGUUUUGUCUUAUUAUAAGAAUAUGUAAUGUCAACAGCAAUUAUCAUAAGGGUAUAAUGGCCUUUUCACUGCUCUACAAACCCCCCCCCCCCCCCCAACCCCGCAGCCAAAAACAAUUUCGCCCCAAAUAUAAAGAUCAUCUACCGUGUCCAAUAAUUUUGGCAUUCAUUGAAAUGUGUACUGAAGGGCAUUAUUGUAUAUUCACUCAACUACCUAACGGGUGCCUAACCUUCAUACAUGGCCAGGGGGUUUAUUGUCAAUAUAUGGAUACAUUCUCUCUAAGUGUGUCAAAGCCAAACCUCAGGAGAGGUUUCUAAAAGUUUUCCUGAAUAGUUAAUAAUUUUGUACAACAGAUUCCUGGAUACCCCUCAGGUUCACUGAUUCUACGUUAUGGCUGACUUUCAAGAAAUUAAAUUCUACAUUAUGACCCCCAGUGAAACAUUGUUGCCGAUAAAAUUAUAAAAUAUAUGUGUAAUACUAGUCAAACCUAAACCUACGUCGUUUAGCAAUUUACAAAAUGAGAAAGACGACAAAAACCGGAUGUUGGACCGGCAACGAGCCAACGAGAUAAGCUCAAGUUCACUGUGUUUUUUAUGAACCCUCUGAAGACCCAAAACUCUAGGUUUGUUUUUUACGUUCCCUAACUGUUUGACUACAUUUUUAUUCUUUGCUACGUUCGUUAUGAACUGUUCAGGCUAAGUGCUCGACGAAAUUCCUAAGUGAGUGUGUAUAAUGGUUUGCUCUUGUAUUUAUUCUGUUAUAGAAGGUUUUGCUUUGGGUGGUUAAAUAGAUGAGACUAGACAUUGAACUUUAUGCACUUGUAUGUUUUCAAGUAAUUGGUUGUUCAGGCACAUGUACUUUGAAUUGCUUCAUUCAUCUUCAGAGAUAUCAUAACUUUUGUUGUUAAUUUGUCUAAAGUGAAGGCUUUUUUAACUUUUAUUUCUUUGAUUUAUUUAUUUAUUGGUGUAUCGAGGUUCUGUGUCUAAACUUUUAUUUGAUAAGUUCUUUCGGACUACUAAUUAGAAGAAAAAAGUGCUAGAGAGUGAGUAUGAGAGGGAAUGAUGUUUGGGCAAGGGGUGAUUGGUUCACUUGGCUCAUGAAGAACCCCAACUAUAAUGGCAUGUAUCAAUUUCGCAGCCUAAUUGGCAGGUAAGCUCAUUUCUUGAUUUCCUUCAUUUUUCACUUCCAUUUUACUGUUUUCAGGUAGCAGGUAAUUUAAAUAAAAGUAAAAUCAGUAGUGAUUUGCUUCAAGUGCAUGUGGAUAGUAUAUCACAUGUGAGAAGAUUGUAUUUGUUAUAUGAAAAUCCUUAAUAACUUUAAUUAAAAAAUAUAUUCUCAAACCUGAUUGUGGAAUGUACUAUUUCUUAAUAUCUGAGUUUGGAUCAACACAUUUUUUGCCAUGCAAUUUGACAAGUUGUCAUGUCCUCAUUCUGCGCUAUUAUAAGUUUUGCCAAUCUGCAUAGGUAUUUUUAUAGAUUGAGUUAAUCUAGUUUCGAGAACAUGCCUUACUAAAGGGCGUUGAGUUUCUAAGUGAAGGCAAGUGCAACUAUAAUUAUCUAUUUCAUAUCCUCCUUGUUACCUCUAAAUUCUUUCAAUAACUUGGGGACGUUAAUCCUAUUAACGACAGCCACAUAUUAUAAGUCGAGAAAACUGAUUUUUUGAUUAUUGAAAAAUUAAAUUUUUUGUAUUAUUCUAUUGUGAUCUCAGUAACCUACCUGUUGCGGUUGUCUUGUAUGGAUCAUUGUUUCUCUUUUAAGCUGUUAUAUUGACAAUUUUUAGCUCUUAUUGCAGAUCUUAAAGUCAUUGCAAGCACAUGCUCCAUUGAUCUCCAUAAAUUCGGAUACAUAUGUAUAGUUAGCUAUUCAAACAACCACACUGGUAUUCAACUUCAAUAUUCAGAAACAUGGCUGAAGUGAAGCUUCAUGGGGCAUGGGCGAGUGCAUUUUGUUACAGAGUGAUAUGGGCUCUGAAAUUGAAAGGCAUAGCAUAUGAUUACAUUGAAGAAGAUCUCUCUAACAAAAGUGCUUUGCUUUUGAAGUAUAAUCCAGUUCACAAGAAGGUCCCAGUGCUUGUUCAUGACAAAAAAUCCGUUUGCGAGUCCAUUGUUAUCCUUGAAUACAUUGAAGAGAUGUGGCCACACAAUCCCUCCUUGAUGCCAAGUGAUCCUUAUGAUGGAGCUCUGGCUCAUUUCUGGAUUAAAUUUGCCGAAGACAGGGUUCGCUUCAGAACUCUAGCUAAUGCGUUUAUAAGUUCAUUAUUUUCAUGUUUAUUUGUUAUUAGAGAAAAUGAUCAGUCCUCCAUUGUAUGUCAAAAUUAAUCAUUUCUUCUUUUAUGUUUUAAAACCUAUCAAAAUCUCCAUUGUUGUUCAAAAAAUUCUGUUGACUUUCAACUUUUUGUGUCUUUUACUAAUUUACCUCUGGAAAAAUUUUUAUUAUUAAGAAGUUGAAAGUUUAUUAGAAUUUUUUUAAUGGCAGGGGAAAUUUUGAUGGCUUUUGAAAUAUGAGGGAGAAAGGAAUUGAUUUACCAAAACAGCAUUGGGGUUUUGUUGUUCAUUUCCCCUGUCAUUUGAUGUAGUGGUUAACCUUUGGUAUAAGGAUGCUUGACAAGGGUAUUUAGGUCCAAGUCUUUUAGCUCAUACGUAUUAUUAAUCAUGUGGUGAUAUUUUGGCAGGGAGCUACUGUUUGGAAAAAGUUUUGUAGCGUACAAGAUCAAGAGAGUACAAUGAAAGAAAUCUUGGAAAUGCUAAAAACCGUUGAAGAACAUGGCUUAGGAGAGAAGAAAUUUUUUCAUGGAGACAUUGGCUUAGUGGACAUAGCAUUUGCUUCUAUUGUUUAUUGGUUGCAAAUAAUUGAAGAUGUAGCAAGAGUGUAACUAUUUGAAUCUCACAAAUUCACUAGCUUACACGUUUAGUUUGAAAAUUUUAAACGAGUCCGAGAAAUUGAAGAGAACCUUCCUAAUCGGGAUGAACUGUUGGGUUUUUUCAAACGUAGCCGUGAAAAGUUGGUGGCCUCAUCCUCAUUGCAUUAGCACAAAAUUUGAUCAUGCAAUUGUAUUGUUGUCAAGAGGCCGCGCUUUGCUUAGUUUUCUAUUGUCUUUUGUGCUCAAUUGGGAGGCCGCCGGUUUGCUGGGUGCUUUCAUAUGGAUUUGAGUUAUAAAAGGGACUUGACUUUAUAUUUAUGAAUUAUUGCAUGUAUUUCGUUAAUUAUUAAUGGACUAAUAGCGGUUAUGUAUUGUUUGGAAGGAAGUUUGAAUGCUAAGAUGUACUAAUGACUUAAUGACGUGUGGCAAAAAAAUCAGUUAAGUAAAGUCAACUUGAUUGAACGAAUGAUAAUAUAGCUCUCAAAAGUUAGAAGAUAAGCUCCCUAUGGAAAAAGAUAGUUUUGGUAAUAUGUCUAACAUUAAGGGGUAUUAUCGAAACUUAAAUUUUAAUGGUUAGACCCAGUAUGUGAACAGUGUGCCAUUAUUUUUAGGGUUAUAUUUUGCUAAGAAUAACAAGCCAAUAGAACUUUAGAGACUUUUUUCUAGAUCUAAUUUCUUGAGAGACUUCUUCAUCUUCUUCAUCCUCUAUUUUUAGGGUUUCUUUCUCCAUUUUAACACCACCAUAGAAAAUCUUAACCAUCUUAUCCCCCAAAGAAACCUCUUCCCUUACUCUUAUCUUGGAAAACUCUCUAAUCUCUAUGAGACUCAUAUCUCUCCCAUGUCAUUAUUCCUCAGAAACAAUCUUUAAUAAGAUUUUGUCAAUAUUACAAUGCAAAUUAUGUAAUACUUCAUUUAUAUAGUGGAUUGGAUAUGAAUUACUCUUAUGGAUGUAGAUCAAAGGGCCAACCACCUAAAAUCUUGUGUGUUCUUUAUUGUUUAUGCUUAUUUUCUAUUUAUUAGGAUGAUGAUAAUGCUCAGAUCGUAUUUCAUAUAUGAGCUCACUAGAGGCAUACCACGAGCUCUAUUGAGUUCCCCAAAUAAGCUCUCUAGUUAAAGCUAUCCUUAAAUAUGCUAGAGCUACUCCCUAAACUCUCUUGAGCUCCGCAAAUCAACUAUUUAAACUAAAUCCCAUGAGCUACACAAAGCUUACCUCCCAACAGCAAAAUACCAAGCUUACCUCAAUUCAUCUUCCAGAUCACCUCAGUUAUUUCUUUUAUCCCUAACAGUAGAAAAACACACUUAGAUUUUUACUAGCUCAAUCUCACCUCAAAUAUAAAUUUAAUUAUUUAAAUUGUCUUUGACCUAGAUCUAGUGAGGACAAUGAUUCAAAUCAGAUCCUAGAGGAAAUCCGGUCAAAACAUGUAUCUAUGUAUAAUAUUGAACAUCAUCCUAACGAUCAAUCCGAAUGCACUUGGAUUUGUUCUUAAUAGUACACAAAAGUGGAAAAAGCAUAGCAAGCAACACUUGCACACACGAGGCUCAAUACAAGUACGAACGUCACAAUUCCAAGCAACAAACAAUGAUCAUCAGUACUAAUUUUUUCUGCAAGCCACCAAAUUGGAAAAUACCGCCAAGUAAUUAAUUAACCACUCUGACUUGCCAGCUUAAGCUUAUCCAAUGCUGAGAGUUCAUUAUUCUUCAAGGAUUGGUUAUUGUAAAUGUCUUUUAGAGUAAUUUCAGGAUAGAGCGGAGGAUUUACUUCUGAUAGCAACUCUUUAAUUGGACCAUAUCGUCUCGAGCAACUAUUAUUCAUGAAAAAACUUCCGAUUGAAAUUCUGGAGCCUUCCUUAUUUGAUAACACUCUAUGAUAGGCACUCUUGAACUUAUCGUUGGUAAUCAGCUGCAUGAACACAAACAUGUUGGUAAUCAGCUGCAUAAACACACACUUCAUAUAAACGACAAUUAAGUUAUCUGAUAGAGAUUCAUGCUCAGGUGUAGACGUUCACAUGAAAUUUCGUGAGGACGAUUCUUUCACAGUAUUGUGAAAGUGUGUGUCCGUACAAGAUUUAGUGCGAAUGUCGCACCAGAGAAUUUUCAAUUCGAUGGAUAGUAUUUCUUAAUAAGUUAUCUAACACACACUUGCCUGCAUCAUGUAGCCUAAGUUUACAACUAGAGCUCCCGGAACAGGGGCAAUGUCAAACCACUGAUCUUCGUGAAAGACUUGGAGGCCACCAAUUUGAUCUUGUAUGAGCACAGUGACAAAUCCAGGGUCAGAAUGUGUUGCUAUGCCGAUGGACAAUUCUGGUUGAGGGCAUUCAGGGUAGUAACUAUUCCCAAUAGUCAUUUCCUCUACACAACCUAUGUUUUCCACAUUAGGUUGUUGUAUGUGAUCAUUAUCUCUCUGCAAAUUAAUAAAGACAAAAAAUAAUCACUACUAAAAGAAAGGGAGAAUGACAUUUCGACUUUUAGAAAUUGUUUUUUUAUUGGGUUAACAUCUAGAUGAAAUGAGAGUAAUAAAAACUUAUUAGGAACCCAAGUGAUGCAAAAAGUUCUAAGAAAGAGGCAGGUGUUAUCCACUGUAAAAGAAAUACAAUCUAUUGGUCAUCGUCCACAUACCUGCAAGCUUCAGGCAAAUCUUCAGGAUUUGAAAAAUCGCGACCCAUAACACAACUCAAAGUAUCUUUCCAAAAGAGAGUUGGUGCACUAUACAAAUUUAAAUUUGAACAAUAUUUAAUUUUUUUGGAGUAAUCACGAGAAUAAUAUUUCUGCUUAACCUCAACAUCUUGUUCAAAAAACCUACGGAUCCCAUCAAUGGCUUGAUCCAAAAUGCUUGUUGGGAUUCCAUGAUUGAUCACUUGAAAGAAACCCCACGCCUCACAAGCACUUCUAAUUUGGUCAAUUACCUGAGAACGCAAGCUUGAAUCCUUGUUUAUUCUUUGAAGGUCUAUGAUUGGGAUGCUGAUUUUGGGGUCCCUGCAGAUUGGCUUAUCAUCAAACUUAUAUUUAGUGUGAUGAUCUUGAAUGAAGAUCUGUGGAAUGGUUGUGAUCCCAGCAUCUACGAGUCCCUUAACACCAGCUUUCGUGUCAUCAAAAGCUUUCAACUCGCUAACUCUGUCACAAGUAAUGCUUCCCAUUGCUUGGUGAAUUAUCUAUUACUCGGUGAAUUAUGAAGUACAAGUGCUGACUUGCUGAUGAUUGCUUUUGGGAGAUACCAUUUAUAUGAUUGCUAGCUUGCCACGUGCAACAUGUUGACAUAUAACGUCACCACGAUGAUAUGGAAAUUUGUAAAUUUGAUUCUGCAUUAUUUAUCAUGAUUAAAUUAAUUAUAAAUUAUCAAUAACAGUCAAUUCCGGGGAUCACCAACCAGUGGGUGGCACAGCACAAUAAUAGACUGGGCUGUGGCUUUGUUUUAUGUGGACAAAAUUUCAAUUAGCUACAGGAUAUUGCUGCUUGAUAGUUAACGUUUCACCUUCUCCAUUUGGACAUACUAUUAUGGAUUUACAGUGUUGCUUAAAAGCUAGAUCUUAAAUGAAAAGAAAGCUUUAAUGGUGAAAUAAAUAUUAAAAAAAAUGAUAAAGAGACUAAAUGUCAACAAAAAUAAUGGUAAAAUAAACCUGUUUUAUCAUGUUAAUAAUAGUGGUAUAUAUUUAACUUUAAUAAAUUUGGCCAUUUCGAUUUUUAAUUUGGCACCUUCCCUGCUCAGUCAAGAAAAAGAAUACUAUAAAAAUUAAAAUAGAAAAUUUGGUAAGGACAUAUCUGCAGAGAUGUUAUAUAUCAAAGCAAUGUCAAAGUUAUAAUACUUCCCUUAUUAAUGAGAAGAGCACUAGCAUAUACAAGAUCGACAAUCACUUAAAUCAAAGCAAUGUCAAAGUUAUAAUACAUGGGAUCUAAUGCGUACAAGCAAUGGUUUCUGGUCACAGCAGCUUUAGGCUUUCAGCUACAGUAUAAAGUGAAACUGUCGCUUGAAAAUAAAAUUCAUGUUCAGCAGCCUCAUUUUAGAUGGCAUCGGCAUCUGUAGUAUCGUUUGUCUGUAGUCCCUCAUUAUCUACAAUCUGAUCGCUCCCUAUAGUAUUGUUUGUCUGUAGUCCCUCAUUAUCUACGAUCUGAUCGCUCCCUAUAGUAUUGUUGGUCUGUAGUCCCUCAUUAUCUACGCUCUGAUCGCUCCCUAUGUAGAGAAUCGACAACAGCAAAUUGUAGCACACGUUCACAGCACUAAUAACUGUUAAACUCUUAUAGUACUUGUCAAGCCUACUAUCACCCAAGGUUUCGCCAAACUCGCCUUUGUUUGCCAAAAUGCAAAAGAUGUUAAAAAUGCCUCCAAUUCCGACGAAAAAAUAACUUGUUGCUGAUACAUGGUACUCCGUCCGUUCAGGAAAAUGAGAGCUCGAGUAUUCAUCACAACCAUGCCAAGCAAGCCCUUCCAUAAGCCCCAAUAGACAGAAUUGUGGAACAAGCCAAAACAUGCUCAUAUGGGGUUUGUGUUGACAAUUCAAACAUUUAUCUCGCCCUUCCAACCUGCGAACCUCAACCUGCCAUGCCACUAUACAGCACACUGUAGACAUCACCAUUCCAAUGAAUGUUCUCAAUACUUGAGCUUGUCUCUGCUUAGUUUCCAGAGCAAUUUUGGAAAUUAAUUUUUUCAACAGAUAAGAGAUCGUCGCACAAAUUAUGGCUUCAAAAGUUAGAAGAAAGAUUAAGAAUCUUUCAGAAAUCAUGUUAGCUCCCUGCACAGGAAAUAAUGUAUUUCCUGCAGAUAGAACCAAUCCAAACACAAUGAAGCUAGACCACAAUGGCAGCAAUUUAAGAAGAGACUUUGAGUCCCUGACCUGGGCCACAGUGCAAAGUGUGCCUGCCUCUUCUUGUUCUCUAGAAGUACUUGAUGUCUCUAUAAUUGCCGCUUUGUCUAUCCAUCUGCAAUUCAAACAAUUAAUUUAUUGGUAAUUCUUUUUAGGAAAAUAGAAAGCGACAGCUCAUGGUUUGGUAGAAUGAUCACACAAACUCUUUUAUAAAUACACCCUUUUGGACAAAUCUUGGAGCAGAGUGACCAUUUCUAAACACAAAACGAUAUCAGUGUGUCCAUAAAGAGGUCGAUGUAAUUAUUACUAAAAAUAAGUGGGUCUCCCCGACAAUUUUGCCAGACCACGGCCGGCUGUGGGUGUAUACAUGUUAGGUAUAUACCUGAGCAAUUUGAUUCUGGGUGACAAGUGUAGUACGUUUCCCUCAUCAUUACUGAAGAACUGCUCCGGAGAAAGAGGAUAAUUGAGAUGCUUUUUCUUCAGGGAGGUUUUAACAACACGGAUUAUAGCAAAACGGUCAACAGGAGGUAUUUUUGUACUAUGAUAGAAAGGAAUACCCAACAGCAGGAGGAUCAAACUGCCCCCCAUAAACAACAAUGUGAACAUGAAAGUCUUCUUCCAUGUCUUAAUAUUAUUUGCAUAGAAUGCCGCAGCUACACCACAGCACCAGGCAAGCCGCCACCACACUCUUUUCUGAGCCAUUACUUGAUUCUCAUCUGGAUUGACUGUUCUCCCUCCAGCACCAUGUGCUCUUAAUUGAUCGGCAAGAAAUGGUCCCAAGAGAGGCGCCACUCCAACUUUACCCACUGCUAACAGGAUAAUUCCUAUCACGUUGAGCAGCUCAAAGUUGGUUUCCGAAAAUUCUCUCGCUGUAUAGAACAAUAGCCCCAAUGCCUGCAGUAAACAUUGUUGGAACUAAUUGUACAGCAUAACAUUAUGAUCCUAAAAUUGCUUUUCUUAAUCAUUAUUAUAAUCAGGAGUGGAGCCAAAAUGAACAAAUGCCGCAUCAAUUAUAACUUAACUAUUGGGAUCUCUAUCAUUAUUUUUAUACGGGAAUGUCCUCUUAUUACUUUUUUUUUCUACAUGCUGUGAAAUUUAACAUAUACUGCAAAAUAAUAAUUUUUAAAUUUAGCUUAAAGUAUUACAAAGUCCUGGGUCCGCCCCCGGAUAUAUUUCUUGCAGAUGAUAGACAUAUGUUUUAAUUUUUCCUCUGUUUGGAAGUUUAGCAAAUUAAAAACAUAUUAACUUACAAGGACGUAGGAGGCAGUUGAAAAUAUGAGGAUUCUGAGAGGAUGGCUGGUAUAACAGGAAAUCCAGGCGGCAACAACCGCAAGAGUUGCUGAUAUUCCAUCCUGAAUACUCGUAAAUAUUGCAGCUUUCUGAAGAGUGGAUACUUUUGAAAAUUCGGCGUCGGAGAAGUAAGUUAUCAAGACGCCCUCUACAGCCAAGUCUACCAGUUUGUGGCUUAUCAACAAACCUGGAAUCAAAAUAUAAUCAUUAGAAGAAAUGUUCGUGCUCACUGAAAAAAAGCAUACACAUGAAAACUACAAGAACAACAUAAGAACUGUUGCCAUGUUUUUAUAAUUUAGCCCAACCUAAUCAAAGAUCUUAAGACAUUGUUGUUAAAGUGAGGAUAUUAAUAAAAUACAAAAAAAAAAUUAGUUUUCAAUUCUAAAUAAAUACAUUUUUAAAAGAUAUGAUUACCUGACAUAAAUGCAGCAGACUUACAAAAACAGACGUAAUAUCGUACCCAAGUUAUGAACAUGUUUUGAAGCUUCAACAACUGAGAAAAUGGAAACAUUGUAGUUUCUGAAACUGCUUCUUUUAUCUGCAAAUACUUGUGAGCUGUGAAUCCUGAGACGAUGAAGAUUUUGUAAGUAUACCAAAGUCUUCGCUAGUCUUCUAAAAAGUAGACCACCUAUCUGGUCACAUAAUAAUGAAUUACUGUACAGCUCAAUAAUUUUAGGUGGUAUGAAACACGUUUGAUGAGACGGUAAUAAUUAAACUGUACCAUGAAUGAUCCUCAUUGAGUAUAUAAUCCGUUUCUUUUUUCAAACAAGAUUUAUGCUUUAAUUUUGGGAGGUUUGCUAAGUUCUUUCUUUUUUGUAAUGGUUACGGAGACUGACAGUUUUCUAUUGAAGUUAUUUAUACAUGUAUUUAUUUUUCAACUUAUAUGUAAUACAUUUUGGAAAUGAGUAAUGGUACAGUACAAAUACUUUUAGACAAAAAAUGAUGUACAGAUUUAUGUAUGGUACAGUACAAAUACUUUUAGACAAAAAAUGAUGUACAGAUUUAUGUAAUUUUGAAAAAAAGAUACUUUCAUCCUUAUGAUUUGGGAAAAAUUUAUCUAGAAUUUAAGUUUUCAGUAAGGGACACUAAAAUUUAUUUUGAUUAUAAUAUUCUCAAUAGAUAGCAACUAAAAUUAUCGACUUCAAUUUUUUUAAUAAAUAUAAGUAUAAUUUAAAUAGUUUUAUUUGUCCGGUCGACCAAUAAUAUUAGAAUGUUUCUUAAUAUAUAAAAUAAUUUUUAAAAUGUAAAAUAUUAUAUUUAUUUCUUUAAUAUAUUUUAUUUAUUAUAAAAUUUUUAAAUAAAUCUAUAGGCUAAACAGAUUUACGUUUAAUAAAAUACAUCUCAUGUACUAAUAGAAUUAAAAUUAUUUUAUAUAAUAUUGAAAAUAAUUUAAAUUUGAAAUUUUUAUUUUAAAAUUAUGUUUUGAUUUAUUCUGAAAUUUAGUUUAAUAUAAUUUAAUAUUGUAAAGUAUUAAAAUAUUUUAAAAUUAUUAAAAUAUUUUAAAAUUAUUAAAAUUAUUUUAAAAUGUAUAUAUUGUUACAUUUAUUUGAAUAUUACACUUCUAUUUAUUAUAAAACAUUGAAAAGAAAAUUUUAGUCAAAAGAGAGUUUUAGUUGCCCUUACUAAAAAAUGGAGUACAUAACCAUUUCUUUAAACUUUAAGAAGUGUACAUAUUGUUUUUCCUAUUUUUUUUUUAUAAUCACUUGAGUUAAAAGAAUCAUGUGGCCCAAAUAAAUUAUUUUUAUUUAUAUUUUCGAUCAGCAGAUAAUAUGUCAUACCGGUUUGUAUAAGUGUUUAUGAACAGGAAAAAGCGAGGUCAGGCACUAGACGGGUUGGCGAUCAAGCCCUCCAACCCAUGUAUAGUGCUAGUUGGGUAAGUUGGACUUUUCUCAAAGACCCAUUUUCUGUCUUUGAAAUAUUAGUAUGAAAUUAAAAAAAUUAAAAAAAAAUUUAAUUGAAACAACUAAAAACAGAAUACAAAAUUACAAAUAAUAACUAUCCCUCUGACUUCAUUGUUCAUAAUAUAUAUAUAUAUAUAUAUAUAUAUAUAUAUAUAUAUAGGAGGCUGUUCCAAUCCGGAAUUCCGGAUUGGAACAAUAUACGGGAUAUUAAGAGUUGGGUUGAAAAUUUUCAACAUCAAACAAAUACAGUUGGUUUUCUCCACCCCUAAGAAAUUAGGAGCUGGCUUUUUACUUGAUUUUAAGUAGAGAAAAUGAUCAAAACGACCUUAUUGUUUGUUAAAUUUAAUCAUUUCUCUUUUAUAUUUCAAAAUCAAUUAAGAAACCUUUAUAUAUAUAUAUAUAUAUAUAUAUUGAACAUAUGGCAUCUUUCACUAUCUUAUCCCCAUAAAUUUUUUAAUCGAUCAACAGUGGGUAAAAUAGUGAAAGCUGCAAUAAGUUGAAAGCAAAUAAUUUUCAUCCCUAGAAUUUUUCCACCAAAUCAUGGUAAAAGAAUAAAAAUCGCAAUUUUUAUAACAAGGCAGCAAAAUAAGAUGAUUUAGAUGGCAUCGGCAUCUGGAGUAUUGUUGGUCUGUAGUCCCUCAUUAUCUACGCUCUGAUCGCUCCCUAUGUAGUGAAUCGACAACAGCAAAUUGUAGCACACGUUCACAGCACUAAUAACUGUUAAACUCUUAUAGUACUUGUCAAGCCUACUAUCACCCAAGGUUUCGCCAAACUCGCUUUGUUUGCCAAAAUGAAAAAGAUGUUAAAAAUGCUUCCUAUUCCGACGAAAAAAUAACUUAUUGCUGAUACAUGGUACUCCAUCCGUUCAGGAAAAUGAGAGCUCGAGUAUUCAUCACAUCCAUGCCAAGCAAGACCUUCCAUUAGACCUAAUAGACAGAAUUGUGGAACAAGCCAAAACAUGCUCAUAUUUUCCAAUUGUUUGAGCUUUUCCAAUCUGCGAGCCUCAACCUGCCAUGCCAUUACACAGCAAACUGUAGUCAUCACCAUUCCAAUGAAUGUUCUCAACACUUGAGCUUGUCUCUUUUUAGUUUUUGGAACAAAAUUGGAAAUUAAUUUUUUUGACAGAUAAGAGAUCGUUGCACGAAUUAUCCCUUUAAAAGUUCGUAGAAAGAUUAAGUAACUUUCAGAAAUCAUGUUGGCUCCCUGCUUAGGAAAAAAUGUAUUUCCUGCUGACAGAACCAAUCCAAACACAAUGAAGCUAGACCACAAUGGCAACAAUUUAAGAAGAGAUUUUGACUCCCUGAUCUGGGCCACAGUGCAAAGUGUGCCUGCCUCUUCUUGUUCUUUAGACGUACUUGAUGUCUCUAUAAUUGCCUCUUUGUCUAUCCAUCUGCAAUUCAAAGAAUUAAUUUAUUGGUAAUUUUUUAGGACAAUAGAAAGCGACAGCUCAUGGUUUGGCAAAAUGAUCACACAGACGCUUUUAUAAAUACGCCCUUUUGAACAAAUCUUGGAGGUCCGUGUGACUAUUCCUGAACACAAAAGGGUAUUAAUGUGUCCAUAAAGAGGUGUAUAUAAUUAUUAAUAAAAAUAAGAGGGUCUCCCCGACAAUUUUGCCAGACCACGGCCGGCUGUGGGUGUAUACAUGUUAGGCAUAUACCUGAGUAAUUUGAUUCUGGGUGACAAGUGUAAUACGUUUCCCUCAUCAUUACUGAAGAACAGCUCCGGAGAAAGAGGAUAAUUGAGAUGCUUUUUCUUCAGGGAGGUUUUAACAACGCGGAUUAUAGCAAAACGGUCAAUAGGAGGUAUUUGUCUACUAUGAUAAAAGGGAAUACCCAACAACAGGAGGAUCAAACUGCCCCCCAUAAACAACAAUGUGAACAUGAAAGUCUUCUUCCAUGUCUUAAUAUUAUUUGCAUAGAAUGCCGCAGCUGCACCACAGCACCAGGGAAACCGCCACCACACUCUUUUCUGAGCCAUUACCUGAUCGUCAUUGGAAUUUUCUGUUCUCCCUCCUUCACCAUGUUCUCUUAAUUGAUCGGCAGGAAAUGGUCCCAAAAGAGGCGCCGCUCCAACUUCACCCACUGCUAACAGGAUAAUUCCUAUAUGUUGAGUAGCUCAAAGUUGGUUUCUGAAAAUUCUCGGGACGCUGUAUAGAACAAUAGCCCCAAUGCCUGAAACAAAAAUUGUUGGAACUAAUUGUAUAGCAUAACAUUAUGAUCCUAGAAAUGCUUUUCUUAAUCAUUAUUAUAAUCAGGAGUGGAACCAAAAUAAAUUAGUGUCACAUCAAUUGUAACUUAACUAUUGAGAUCUCUAGCAUUAUUUUUAUAGGGGUAAGGCUCCUAAUAUCCUCUUAUUAAGUAUAUAUAUAUUUUUUACAUGCUGUGAAAUUUAACAUUUACUGCAAAAUAAUAAUUUUUUAAUUUAACCCAAAGUACUACAAAGUCCUGGGUCUGCCCCUGAAUAUAUGUAUUGCUUGCAAUGGUAGACAUAUGUUUUGAUUUCGUCUCUGUUUGGAAAUUUAGCAAAUUCAAAACAUAUUAACUUACAAGGAUGUAGGAGACAGUUGAAAAAAAUGAGGAUUCUGAGAGGACGAAUGGCAUAACACGAAAUCCAGGCGGCAACAACCGUAAGAGUUGCUAAUAUUACAUCCUGAAUAAUCGUAAAUAUUGCAGCUUUCUGAAGUGUGAAUACUUCUGAAUAUUCGGAGUCGGAGAAGUAAGUUAUCAAGACGCCCACUAUAGCCAAGUCUACCAGUUUGCGGCUUAUCAACAAACUUGGAAUCAAAAUAAUCAUUAGAAAAAAUGUUCGUGCUCACUAAAAAAAGCAUACACAUGAAGACUGCAAGAACACGUGAGGGAACUGUUGCCAUGUUUUUAUAAUUUAGCCCAACCUAAUCAAAGAUCUUAAGUACACCUCUCUUAACUGAAAUUAAUCGAGGGGAUUAUCUAUUUAGGAAUCUCAAAGUUCAUGAGCUCUUAAUACACACACAGUAUAUACAUACAUACAUCAUCAUGUUGUUAAAGUAAUGAUGUUAGUAAAAUACAAAAAGAAUAUACGUGCAUGCUAUUAAAUUGUAUGAUUUAAUAAAAUGAGUACAGAUAACUAAAUUACAUGAUUUUAUAGUAUUGAAAAUUAAUUCUAUUAAAUCAUACAAUUUAAUAGUGUGUCUAUAUUAAAAAAAUAAAUAAAGACCCCAUAUAUAUGUAUACAAGUUUAUAUUCUAAAUAAAUACAUUUUUAAAAGAUAUGAUUACCUAAGGCCCCACGUGCAAAAUUACCUGACAUAAAUGCAGCAGCCUUACAAAAACAGACGUAAUAUCGUACCCAAGUUUUGAACCUGUUUUGAAGCUUCAACAACUGAGAAAAUGGAAACAUUGUAGUUUCUGAAACUGCUUCUUUUAUCUGAAAAUACUUCUACUUGUGAGCUGUGAAUCCCGAGACGAUGAAGAUUUUGUAAUUAUACCAAAGUCUUCGCUAGUCUUCUAAAAAGUUAGUUUAUUCAAAUUAAAAAAUAAUAAGUCGCACUUCAAGACCAGCUAUUGGUCACAUAAGUCAAAAUAAUGACUUACUGUACAGCUCAAUAAUUUUAGGUGGUAUGAAACACGUUUGAUGAGACGGUCAUAAUUAGACUGUACCAUGAAUGAUCCUUAUUGAGUAUAUAACCCCUUUCUUUUUUCAAACAAGAUUUAUGCUUUAAUUUUGGGAGGUUUGCUAAGUUCUUUCUUUUUGUAAUGGUUAAGGAGACUGACAAUUUUCUAUUGAAGUUAUUUAUACAUGUAUUUCACUUUUAGAUAAAUAAUGUUGUACAAACUAAUGUGAUAUUUUUUAGAAAAAAGUAUAUGUAUAUCCUUAAGAUUUUAAAAAAUGGUCAUAUACAUUCUGAAUUUUUAAUAAGGGACACCAAAACACUUUUUUACUAUAGUAUCCUUAAUAGAUAGUAACAAAAAAUAUUGACUAAAUAUUUUAAUAAAUAUAAAUAAAAUUUAAAUAGUUUAAUUUGUCUAGUAGACUAAUAAUAUUAGAAUGUUUCUUAAUAUAUAAAAUAAUUUUUAAAAUAUAAAUUAUUAUAUUUAUUUUAAUAAUAUAUUUUUACUUAUUAUAAAAAUUUUAAAUAAAUCUUUAGGUUAGAUUUUAAAUUUAAUAAAAUACAUGUCAUGUACUAAUAAUAUUAAAAUUAUUUUAUAUAAUAUUGAAAAUAAUUUAAAUUUUUAAAAUUUUAUUUUAAUAUUAUAUUUCAAUUUAUUUUGAAAUUUAGUUUAAUAUAAUUUAAUAUUGUAAAGUAUUAAAAUAUUUUAAAAAUAUUGAAAUUAUUUUAAAAUGUAUAUAUUGUUACAUAUAUUUUAAUAUUAUACUUCUAUUUAUUAUAAAAUAUUAAAAAUAAUAUUUUAGUCAAAAGGGAGUUUUAGGUGUCUCUUAUUGAAAAAAUGGAACGUACAUAACCAUUUUUUCUAAUUUUUAAGGGUGUACAAGUCAUUUUUCCUACUUUUUUAUAAUCAGUUGAAUUAAAAAAAGUCAUGUGGCCACAUAUAGUAUUUCUUACUUAUAUUUUCAAUCAGCAAAUCAUAUUGUGUCAUAUCUGUUUGUAUACGCAUUUAUGAACAUAAAAAAGUAAGGUUAGGCACUAGUCGGGUUGGAAAUCAACCCAUCCAACCCAUGCAUAGUGCUAAUUGGGUGAGUUGGACUUAUCUCGAGACCCAUUUUCUGUCUUUGAAAUAUCAAUAAGAAAUUAAAAUAAUUAAAAAAUAAUUUAAUAGAAACAACUAAAAAUAGAAUACAAAAUUACAAAUAAUAACUAUCCCUCAAACUUCAUUGUUAAUAAAAAAAAUUAUUUGUAUAGGAUACUAAUCACACCAUAAAAAGUAAUAGGGUGAAUUCAAGAGUUGGGUUUGAAAAUUUUCAACACCUAGGAAAUAUAGUGCAUUUUCUCCACCCCUAAGAAAUUAGGGGUUGGCUUUCUACUUGAUUUUAAGUUGAGAAAAUGAUCAAAACUACCUUAUUGUUUGUUAAAAUUAUAGGUUGAAUUUAAGAGUUGGGUUUGAAAGAUGCAAUGUGUUCAUAUAUAUGGAAUGUGCUUUCUUUAGCACUUAGCCGAAAGCUUCAAAUUUCCAUUAAUAAGACGGUUAAUGAUGAAUUCAAAGAGCCAAUAAGAUUUCAACAAAAUACAUUUUUUCAACUUUGUGUGCAAAUUAAUUACGUCUGUAUUUGGAUGGUUAAUAUAAACUAGUCAUAUAAUUAACCACGCAUUAAUUAAUCAAAUUUUUAUUAUUUAAUAUCUUUGCAUCAGAUGAUCAUUGAUCAAUUAACAAGAUAUUUUCCUUUUGUGCAUGUAUCCACAUUGGACGUCAAUAUAGUAAUUUGUUAUGAAAAAAAAUUCAAUCAAAAUUAUUUUUAAUAUUUUUAAUUUUCUAUCUAACUUAGUGCUUGUUUAGUAUAAAAUAUCUAACGCCCAGCAGUAGGAUAACUCCAACAAUUUCCCUCACACAUCGGGCCUUGGGUCAAAAGAUAAACACUCGUUCUCUUUAUUAGAUUGUUGGGCUGAGAUUGUUGAUGAAUGUGGACUCUGAUACUAGUGUUAGGUAGUCUUAAACUUCUCUCAACCCCAAAAGUAAGCUUAGGGGUGAGAUUUUCCUGACAUUUAUAAAAUCACCAAUAGCCCUUUUCACAACCCAUGUGGGACAACUUCGAUAGUUUGAUUGUAUUUUGAGUAUAACUUUUGAAGAUUAAAUAAAUUAUUUUGCUUCUAUUAGUAAAACCUUAAAAAUUAGAUUUUUGAGAGUGAUGGUCAUAGUACUUAAAGAAUAAAUUGUGUAGAAUAACGUUUUAUAUAUUUAAUGAUCUUAUUCCAUUCCUUUUAUUUUUUUGAUUUCUUUUAUUUUUUAACCUAACAAAAACCUAGUCCCUUCUCCACCCAUUUGAGUAGGGUGCGAAUCUCAGAUCUCUUGCUUUCAACCAGAUGAUACCCAUAAAUUAGAUCAAAUCCUUUUCAUAAUAUCACUUGCCGCAAUAGUAAAAUUAAACUAAGCAAAAGUACUCUUUUUAACACCAAUACAAAAACAAAACAAUCAUAAAGCGAGACACAAAAUAUUAAAAUAAAAAUCAUAAUAUUGCAUCUAUCCACAUGCCACCAACAUUUUCCAUCAACUGUUUGAAAGAGAUCCUCCAUCUCAUCCUGCUUUGGAAGCUAUUCUAAGGAGACUUGCUUGAAAAUUUUAAACCACUCGUGUGUAAGCUAGGGAAUUUUUAAGAUUCAAAUAGCUUCACUCCCUCUGUGCCUCCAUUUUGUAUAACUUUUUAAAUAGAGUUUAUUUAAAUAGGCAUUCAAUUAGUAGAGUUUUUACAAAUAGAUCUUUUACCAAAAAAAAAAAAUUGUUUAGUUCAUCAGUUGUCCAAAGAGAUUUUAUUAAAAAUUAAAAAUUAAUUUCAAUGUACAAGUUUUCUAAGUUAUGUUGUGAAAUGGAUACGAAUAAAAUAAGAAUAUAAAAUAAAUAAUGGGCAUAUUAGAUAGUUUAAUAAUUUAAAAAAGCUUUCUAAUCUCUACUCCAAAAAAUUCAAAAUUCAAAUUUUUGCUAAUAGAGUCAAUAUAAUUUAUUUAAUCCCAAAAACUAAAUUCAAAAUAAAAUAUGACCAUUAAAUAAGCUAAUACUAAACAAGCACUAUACCUUUGAAGGACUUGCAACCCAUCAAAACUCUAGGUCCACUAAGCCAAUAUUGUUCUUGUCCAGUGCUAAAAAACAUUUUUCCAAACAGCUCCACCCUGCCGCAAUAUAUAUAAAUAAUAUGGAUAAGAUCCUCUCUUUCUUUCUUUUUUUUUUCCCCCCUCUCAUAUUCUUCAACAAUGUUGAAUUAACAAGUGAUCCUAUUUUUAAUUUAAAAAAGGAGUCAUGUUUUUAUUAAUUUUCAAAUUACAUCUAUGUUUUGAUUAAUUAAAAAGGCCAGCUAAUGAGAUCAUUAAUUUGGUCAACUACUCAGAUAACCGUGCAUCAAUUAUACAAUAGGCAUUUCUUUCCCAAAAUAAUAUAUUUGCGUCAUGCAUGACGAUCACGGAUCACUUGUAUUAGAGAGCUUAGGUGCCCAGCAAGUCAAGUUGCAAGCUGCUGUCUUUGGCCAUACCUUUGAAGCACAAAUACUUCUUUUUAUUCCUGUUUGAUAGUACGGUUAAAAUCAAGGCAUCAAUCAGGAAGUUGCGCAGCAAGUCAGGUUGCCCAGCCGCUGUCUUUGACUGUACCUUUGAAGCACAAGUACUUCUUUUCAUUCUUGUUUGAUAGCACGGUUAAAAUCAAGGCAUCAAUCAGGUGGGUGCCCAGCAAGUUAGGUUGCCGAGCUGCUGUCUUUGACUAUACCUUUGAAACGCAAAUACUUCUUUUCAUUUUUGUUUGAUAGCAUGGUUAAAAUCAACGCAUCAAUCAUGUACUUAUUGUGAAUCGUUGAAGUAGAUGUACAAUGCAUAAUAAGUAAUAUUUAUUUAAAAAUUGAAGCUUCUAGAUAAUUUCGAUAUAAAUUAAGUUCAGUUUUUACUUCAUCAAGGUGAAACAUCAUAAAGCUUGUAAAUCUAACACAUGAACGUAAAAGCUUUAAAAAAAUUUGAAGUUGCUUGAUAACAUAGAAAUACAAGCAAAAAGAGAUGCUAAAGAAUACAGCCCGAAUUUUUCAUUGGGUGGGAUUAUUGAUCAUGCUAGCAUAAUGAUGAGUUGCCCGAUAAUACCCAAGACUUUCUCGAUAUUAUCAUGUAGAAGGUCAGGACCGCCCACCUACAACUGUUGUUCAGCACUCAGAGAGACUUUUCACCCAGUUCUUAUGGGGUGACUCUGAGACUGGGCAAUAGAUUAAUUGUUGUGGAUGGAUGGCAGUUUGUUAUCCAGUUGAUAAGGGAUGCCUGGGUAUACAAUCUUUUAAUGAUAUGGUUGAGGAUUUUGAGCUUAAGCUUUGGUUGUGUUUUUAGGAGCAGCUUUCAUUAUGGGCUUCUUUUAUGAAGUCUAAGUAUUGUACAGCUGCACAUCCGAGUAUGGUUUAGUUUUGAUAUCCUACCUACCCUCUUUGGAGGCACCUAUGCUUGAUUCAAUAUGUUGGUGAGCUUCAUGUGUGUUGGCUGUUUGGCCGAGGGUUGUUUUUGGUAUGAUUGUUAGCUGGGCUCUUGUCCUUUGGCCUUUUAUAAUCAUGUGGUGGCUUUUCUAGGGCCGAUUUCGAGAUUAUUAGCAAGAUACAGUAUGAGAUAGGGGUAAGCUUCAGGAUGUCCUGCCCUUUUUAAUUGUUGUGCAUAUUCUUUUGAUUCCUAUCUCUAGUGGGGAACCAGAUGUGAUUUUGUACGUGGGACAUUUCUCCUGAUGGUAGUUUUUCCUUGAGGACUACUUCGGAUAUUGUGCAUUGGAUAAGGCCGAGGGAUGAGGCUUUUUUUGUUAUUUGGCAGCGACAUAUCUCUUCGUGGAUAUCCUUUUUUUCUCUAGAGGUUGUGACACAAAUUCUUGACCACAGAUGAUGCCUUGUGUUCGGGGGAUUUCUACAUACUUUCUUAGUAUCUUUGUGGUCGGGCUUCUGAGACUUCUAGGCAUUUAUUUCUUGAUUGCCCUCGAGUUAGGCCGGUUUGGGUCCAUUUUCUAUGUACUCUUGGUUUGCGCUAUGUUGCUUUUCUGUUCCCCUAUACUUUAUUUCUUAAUUGGUAGUGAUAUGCCCUUUCUUGAAGCCAUAUUCAAGUUCUUCUUCCUUGUUUCAUUUUGUGGUAAGUUUAGAAGGCUUGUCAUGCAUUGAAGUUUGACUCAAUGGCCUUUUUUGUUGAUGCCAUUAUUUAUCGGGCGAUGUUGGAUCUUAGGCUUGCUGGUUUUGCCUUUGGUCUUAAACCAUUCCAAUUGUGAAGAGUUUUAGGUUCUCGGUUUGCAGAGUGCUUGAGAGUUGUUGUUUCAUCUAGGAGGCCGAUUCUUUUAGUUUAUUGGUUGUGGCCACCACCUGGGGCGGUGAAGCUGACUAUCGAUGGUUGCUUUAGGAGUAAUCCUAGGAUCUCUGCUUUAGAUAGUAUUUUACUUGAUCAUCGAGAUGUGGCUUUGGCUGUUUUUGGUUCCUUCCUUGGGCGCUAACCGAUCCUUCAUGCAUAAUUCAUGGUUGUUUUUAGGGGUUAGAGUUGGCUGCUCAGCUCCAUUAUUCUGUGCUUGAGGUAGAGUCAGACUCAGCCAUGGCGGCUUCUAGGAUUUUUUUGUAAGGCCUUGUUCAUUCGGACUAUACCUAUUCUUUGCGUCGAGUGUGUAGUUUGACAUUUUCUUCUACUUCGUGGUUAGUCAUGUGCUUCGGAAGGCUACUUCUACUGCUGAUUUCGUUGGCCUGCACUCUUCAAGGUCAUCGGUGUUUCUUGGGUUCUCAGGAUAUCUCUGCUAGCUUAUCUAAUAAUCUCCGUUUGGAUAUGUGGGUAAUUUCUCAUAUCAGGCAAUAGGAUUUCUUAUUUCUGUAUUCCAUUUUUUAUCUUGUAUUUUUCUCUUUUCCAUUCUUAUGUUCUUGCAAUUGCGGUUUUGAUUUAUAUUCAUCUCCUUAUGUAUUUGAUUCAUUCUAUGAUUUAUAUGAAAGAUAGGGGUUCCACCUAACCCCACAUUUUUUGUGGUUAAAAAAAAAGAUCAGGAAUUCAACCUAAGUAAUCAAGGUGAAACAUCAAACAGGUUGUAAAUUUAACAUAUGAACGUAAAAGCUUAACAAAACAUUUGAAGUUGCUUGACAACAUAGAAAUACAUUAUAAAAGAGAUGCUAAACAACACAAAAAUUUGAUUGGGGGGAGUAUUGUUCAUGCUAGCAUAAUAAUGACGUGCCUGAGAAUACCUAAGACUUUCUUGAUAAAUAAUAUCAUUUAAAAGGUUAGGAAUCACAUAUGAUUGUCCACGUAUGAACAAACCUAGCUCAAAAUGUGAAAUGUGUUAAGAUUUUCAAACAUUUAAAUUAAUAAUUAAUAAUUUCAGACAAAGGAUACUUGGAAACCCUAAAGUUCACUGAUUCUAUGUUAUGGCUCAUUGUCUCUCUUGACAAUUUAAUUUCUAGAUUAUUUGGCUCCUAUCUAUUAAAAGACAACACCGUUACUAAAAUUAUAAAUUAUAACAGUUAAACCUAAACCUACGUCGUUUAGCAAUUUACAAAAGAAAAAAUAUAACAAAAGCCAAUUGUUGGAGUAGUAACGUGCCAACGAGAAAACCUCAAGCCAUGUAAUAUCCAGUGUCAACAACUAAAGAAGAACAAACCACCACCCUCAAGGCCGUCGCUGCACUAACGCUGGACCCGAUUUGAAUAGUUAGAAGUUGUAACAUUAAUUAGGGAUUGAGGGUAAAAUUUUGGACUUUGAUUUAAUAAAAUUGAUUUAAAUGAGUCCCAAUAGAAAUAUGAUUAUAAAUAUAUCAAUACAAUUAUAACAUGUGUAAAAGAAAAAAGUUUAUUUUCACACAAAACAAAAAACACAACCCUUGGAUGGGUUGUGUGAUGACUCUUCUGCAAAAAUUAUUUGAUCUCUCACUUUAUGAAGUACGAUUUGUCAGGUUUAAUUAAACCUGUUCCACUCCUUUUAUGUUACCACUUUAUUUUAAAAAUCCCAAAAAAUCUCCUAUCAAGUUUAAUUGCUUCCAGUGGUUUCUUCCUGCUCUGACUUUUGAAUUUCAAAACCAAUCAAAUUUUUUCAACUGUAGGCUUCACGUCUUUUUUUUUUUUUUUGACAACUGGACGUUUUCAUUCAUACUUUAUUCUCUUUCAUUUUGCAAUCCCCAAAAAAAAAAAAACUUUUUCUCUUCCUCUUCCAAUCUCUAACGCCCCCUCAUCUCCCUUUUUUAUUUUUUUUUUAUUUUGUCUUUUGCUUCUUUUUCCUUUGGCUUUAUUUCUCAUUACUUUUUGGCUUCGAAUUUUUCUUCAGCUUCUCAUAUUCUCCUGGGCGCCAUUAUCAUUCCACAAACAGGUAAAAGAAUCUUCAUUUACUUCUCUUUUUCCUUUCUUCUUCAUGGCCCACCAUUAUUCUUUCUUUUCCUUUUUGCUUUUCUCCCUUUUCUCUCCUCUUGGCUGGACUUCUUUUUUUUUUUUUUUUUUCUCGGCUGGACUCCUUCUCCUCUUUUUUUUUUUUCCUUUUUCUUUCCUCUUGGCUGGACUCCUUCUGGCAUGAUUUCCGGCGAGAUUUCUGGCGGUUGCCGCGGCGGUCUCCUGUACCCGAUCCGUCUGGUAUGCGGUCGCGUCUUGCGGCUCCCGGUGGGUUUGGCGCGGUGCUUCUCCGGUUCUCCCCGCACAUUGUUUUCUUUACUUCUUUUUCUUCCUCUCUGCGUUUUCUUUGGCUUUCCUCUUUUUUUUUUUUUUUUUGACUUCCUCUUCUUUGCUUUUUUUUUUUUAUCUCCAGGCUUCUCCCUUUUUUUUUUUGUACGUCCAAGCUCCUUCCUCUUUUUUUUUUUUAUUAUCUCUAACAUGUUUUAUUGUGUCUAUGACAGCCUCUGCACUGCUCCAUCUUUUGAGCAACUUUUGGCGAUUUGUGACUUCUCUUGGCGAUUUAUAGUCUAAAACUUACUUAUUGGCGACUGAAAUUUGCUACUCUCGGUGAGAUAUAGGUAUAAAAUUUUUCAUACCUAUUUUUGACUUCUUUAUUUUGAAGAAUGAUGUUGUGGCUUUGUUUCUGGUUUUCAUGCAAAGUGUUGGCAUUUUCCUUUUUUGUUUAUGCUUUUAUUGGUGGAUGUUGGUGUUUGGCUUGUGAUGGAUGAGGUCUGAAGUUGUGGGGGUAUAUUUUGAUGUGGAGUUUUUCUUUUUCAACUUGUGUCUUGUGUUUUUAGGAGAACAAGAUGGGGAGAAAAACUGUUGGGAAAAAGGGUCGUAAUGUGGUCAGGGAGCCGGGGGAGUCGAGUGAGGAGGCUCCCCUUUCUGAUUCAGCCCCUCAUAUAUCCCUUAGUGACGAUGAUGGGUCCCCUUCGGCUAGUCCCAAGUUAUCUCGAACCAAAACUAGUAAAAAAUUAAAGAUUAAAGGCAAACACCCAGCCAAGUCAGCCCAUAGAAAAACUCGUGCAAAGACAUCCAUACCCAAAUCUCCUAUUCCUGUUAGCAUUCCAGAACCUCCCCUGAUCUCUCCCUCUGUCUCUGUAGCUCCUAAGCUCUAUGCACUAGGGGGUAGGCUGGCUACUCCGAGAGAUUUAGAAAGGGUUAAAGCCAAAUACAACAUACCUCAUUCUGUCCACCUUAGGGUACCUCGCAAGGGCGAGCGCCCCGAGCACCCUCAUUCUGAUGGUGUUGCCCUUCAUACCGACCUUUUUGACUUAGGUCUCCGUUUACCUCUUCAGCCAUUUUUUAGAAAAAUGUUCACUGAGAUGAAAAUUGCUCCCGGACAGUUAUCCUUACCCGGUUGGAGAUUGCUCACGAGUCUGGAGGUUUUGUGGCUAGAUAUUUUUGGGGAGGAUAUUUCUUAUGGAGAUUUGAGGGGGCUUUAUCAGUUGAAGAAGCCCAUUGGUUUAUCCGUAGCCUAUUUUGCUACUUGGGGGGUUCAUGGUAAUUUGGUGAGACCGGAUCCCUUGCUGAAAAAGGGCUACAGAUAUGGGUGGUUUGUGGCUGAGGGCGAGUGGGGGAAGAGCAUUCCAGCGGGGAAUGAAGUUGUGCAAGUUCGAAACUUCUUCAAUGAAGAUAGUAUGUGUUUCUUUUCUCUUCUCUCCCUUUCUAUGUAUAUAUACACCUCUUCGCAUGAAUUUUCUUCUUAUUCGUUGUUUUUUUUUUUUUUUUGGAUUUUUGCAGACAUCACUUGGAUCAAAGGAACGUGCCCAAUCCAUGAAGUGGGGAGGAAAAUGAAUGGUGUUAUAGAGAAGUUCCAUAUUUUGCAGAGUGAGGGUGAUGUUCUGUGCACUUCCCGGUUGGCGAGAGCUGGUCUAAUUAAGGAGAGUUUUCAGUCUUCUUCAGGAGGCGAUUCACGUAUGGCUAUGUGGUGUUGCUGGGGUACCCCGCCUUCAUUGGUUCUGUGGGGUGCCCCCAUUAUUUGAACAAACUUUUUUUUUUUUUUUUAUGCUUUGGUGGCCAUCUCUUAUUUUUUCUUAAUGUGCCUUUUUACCAAUGACGACUCUAUUGUUUAUUUUCCUGAUUUGUCUCUUUGUCUUACCUCUUUUUUUUUUUGUUGGAUAGGCAUGGACCCUUUUGGCGAAGAUUUUGAUGCCUUCUUCAGUCGCAUGAGCGGCAGCUCCUCCGGUACCCUGGGUACCUCCGUAAAAGGUGACCGACCUCCCGUCGUUCCAGGCGGCAAAGGCAAAUUGCCCGUCUCCUCUCUUGGGGGUUCUCGGGGUACCCCGACUACCCACAAGAGAAAGCUUGGCUCUCUUUUCUCAGCUCCUAGAGACCUUAUGGAGGGCGAGCUGGAUCCGGUGGCUAACAAGCGGAUAUCGCACCUGACUGAUUGCUUCCUUCAUUCCUCUGAGAGUAUUUCCACAGACAUGGCAAUGGAGGCGGAUAAAUUAGAUUUAAAUGAGCGCUAUAGCCGAGCGCUCAAAGCUUGUCAUGACGUGAGCGCCUCUCACUCUUUUCUUUUCCUCUUCUUUUUUUUAUAUCGUCCUGACUCCUUUUCAUUUUCUUUAUUAUUAUUUGUGUAGGCGGCUUUCUACCUUAGCCACGGUCUCCGAGACCUUAGUGGUAUCUCGGCUGCACAGACCGAGGUAGAGACACUGCGAGGUGAGGUUAGGCUCGGCCAGUCUCGGGAAGAGAAGCUAGGAGAGGAGGUCAGGGCUUUGCAAAGGUGCUUGGAUGACCACGCCCGGGAGAACAAUCGAUUGUCUAGGAAGUUGGAAGAGGUGGAAUCUAAGCACGGCGAGCUACUAUCUCGCCAACCGGAGAUGAUGGACAAGGCCUUCACUCUUAUCAUGACUGAGGUCUAGAGCGUUGAGCCUGAGUUGGUGGUACCCCGGGUGGAGAAAUGAGUGGACAAGUCGGCCAUCCUGAAAGCGAUAGAGGAUAAAAGGGCUACCCAAGCUCCACCAUCCUAUAGCCCGCAGCAAUCUUCGGGGGUACCCCAGGUGCCCCAGGCACCCCAGGCGGAUCUCCCUUCGGCUAGCGCUAUUCCUAUAGAUAGUAGCUAUUUGGCCGCGAGUGUUCCUAUUGACGCCCCCGUUGAGGGGAACGGUGGGGAGGAUGUCCCCCCUUCUUCUUGACCUUACUUGCUAUUUACAGCUUUAUCUCGAGAUGUCUUAGUGACUUUCUUCCUUUGCUUCUGUACCUUUGUAGUAUGAUAUCAUCCUUUUGAUGUAUUGGGAUACUUGUCUUUUGGAAGGUUGCCUCGGUAAUCUUGCUACUUAUUUGUAUUAAACUUUUGCAAUAGACUUUAUUCGGCUUACCAUUGAAUUCCUUGCUUAUGAUUGAUUUGUGUAGACUCGUGGGGGUUCCUCGGGUACCCCAGGUACCCCCCUGAUGUAUUUUUGGCACUUGCAUGGUGAUUUCCGUAGAUGUGCUCACUGCUCGUCUUAAUAAAGAUCAUGGCGUAUCUCAAAAUGAUUUAAUAAUUUGCACAUUAUCAUAAGAUAAAACAAAAUUCAUAUUUGGCGCAACUAGGAUUAAAUAAAGAUUAUGGCGUAUCUCAAAUAAACUUGUGGAGUUUCUUGGGUAUCCCGGGUACCCUUUUUUUUUUUCGAGGACUUUUUUGGCCCCCUUUCUUGCAUAAAUGGUAAAAAAUAUGCUUAUUUUGCCAUCCGCUUCUAGUCAAUAUUUAAUAAAAUAAUGCGAAUAGAGGGGCAUGCUUGCCUACCUCGUUUCGUUUAUCUAUUCUUUACUUGGCUCAAGCAAAAGAAUGGAGGUGUGGGCGUGUGCAUACCGUAACGGAACCUCAUGGCACUAGGGUAUGCUGGUUUACCUCGCCCUCGGGCCUUCUCUGACCCUCCCUCUUUAAAUUUGUUGUAUUAUUUCUUAUUGGCGUUGACCUCGAACAGAUCUUCACGAUCGAAUCGAGUCAGAUACCUCAGGUUCCCCUAAUUAUCUUGAAAUGGAGUAAUUAUAGUUGAAUAAGACAUGGCGUAAUAAGAGAGAGUCACAUUAAUGGCAAAAAUUUAACCAUAAUCACAUUCGGUAAUCAAAAGGAGAACAUUACAUAAAAUUGACUCAUUGUCCCAAUGAGAAUAGGAAACCAUAUAGAUAUCCACUCUCUAGGACUUAGGGAAUUAAAAAUUUCACUUGCACAUGUGGGGUACCCUAAGUACCUUUCAUGGCUUUACCACAUUGCACACAUAGUAAAGAAAAUAAGAGAUAGAUAAAGUGAACGAUAAGGUUUAAGACACUGUCCUCAUGUUAGUAGUACUUCCUCAGCAUUGCGGCAUUCCAGGGAUGCUUGACGAUUGUUCCAUCCAUGUGGAGUAGUCUGUAUGCCCCUGAACCUACCGGCUUGUCUAUGCGAUAUGAGCCUUCCCAAUUGGCUCCGAAAGAGCCCUCCGAGGGUACCCGGGUAUUCUGAGUUACCCUUCGUAUGACUAAAUUCCCUUUCUUGAAUGAUCUGGGGUGUACCCUCUUGUCAUAUAAAUCUAAAACGCGGUGCUGGUAUAUUGCAACCUUCAAUUCUGCUUUAACCCUUUUUUCUUUAACAAAAUCAAGAUUGGACGCAAUCAAAGAGGCAUUCUCGGCUUCAUCGAAGUAUGCGGUUCUGUGAGAGGGUAUCCCGAUUUCAGCUGGAAUGACUGCAUCAGUCCCGAAAGCCAGAGAAAAUGGGGUUUCCCCAGUUGAAAUAUUCUGAGUUGUCCGAUAGGCCCAAAGAACGCCGGGUAACUCGUCUACCCAAGCUCCAUUUCUUUCCUCCAGCCUCUUCUUUAGGAUACCCUUGAUGAUUUUGUUGAUGGCUUCCACUUGUCCAUUAGAUUGCGGGUGAGCCAGAGAAGCAAAUCGGUUGGCUAUCCCAAGCUCCGAGCAAAAAUUCUGAAAUUUUUCAUUAUCGAAUUGCUUCCUGUUGUCGCUGACAAUUGCAUUAGGGAUACCAUAUCUGCAUAUGAGGUUCCUCCAAACAAAAUCAGUAGUUUUUCUCUCCGUAAUGCUUGCCAACGACUCCGCUUCUACCCACUUUGUAAAAUAGUCAACGGCUACAAUUGUAUACUUAGCUUGUCCUCUACCAGUUGGUAGUGGGCCAAUGAGAUCUAUGCCCCAAACAGCAAAUGGCCACGGAGAAGACAUGACAGUUAACUUUUCUGGUGGAAGGUGGGGUACCUUGGCAAAUCUCUGGCACUUGUCACAACUCUUGACCAUAUUUUUGGCAUCCUCCCGCAUCGUAGGCCAAUAAAAUCCUUGACGAAGGGCCUUCUGUGCCAAUGAUUGUGCUCCAUAGUGGUUACCGCAUAUCCCUUCGUGUAUCUCUCUCAUGACAUAUUCGGCAUGUUCAUUGCUUCAUUCUUGUUUGAGGGCAGAUCCCCACUUCUGAGGUAUCCUAUGAUUGGUUGCAUUCAGGGUACCCCAGCAGUUAUCGACCCUAUUUCUUCUGGCUCAAAUAGAUUAACACUUGGUGUAGGUACGUACUCAGCAGUGAUUGGACCAACCGACUGAGUUGCACCGAAGGAAGCCAUUUUGGCGAGGUUGUCAGCUUCACAAUUUUCUAAUCGUGGAACUCUUUCCACCUUGACCUCAGCAAAUUGAGAUAUUAAUUCUCUUGUUCUCCCGAGGUACCCCUUCAUAUUUUCUUCCUUAGCGUGAUAUUCUGAGUUGAUCUGACCGACCACCAACUGAGAGUCACUCUUGAUGUGGACUCUUUUUGCGCCUAAGGCCUUCGACAUCCUUAGCCCCGCUAUCAUAGCUUCAUACUCGGCUUCGUUGUUUGAGGCCUUGAACCCGAAUUACAAGCCAUAACAUAGCUUCACCUUAUCCGGAUCGAUGAUUAUUACUCCCGCACCGCUUCCGUGCGAGUUGGAGGAACCAUCCACAUAAAUUUCCCAGACAUGCUCUUCUUCAAUAGCUGAUGUAGUUUCGCCCGGGUACCCCGAGAUCUCCUCACCCCCGGAGUCAUUGGCGAAUUCUGCAAUGAAAUCGGUGAUGGCUUGGGCUUUAAUAGCUGAGCGUGGCUUGAAGAUGAUGUCGAACUCACUCAAUUCAAGAGACCAGCGAAGAAGUCUUCCAGACAUGUCUAACUUCUAGAGGAUUUGUCGAAGGGGAAGGUUUGUUACAACGGCAAUGGUGUGGGCCUGAAAAUACGGCCGCAGUUUCCUCGUAGAGAUUACCAAGCCAAAACCAGCUUCUCUGUGGCGGGGUACCUCUUUUCCGCAUCCACCAUUGCCCUACUAGUGUAGUAAAUAGGCCGUUGCACCCCGUCUUCAUCUUCUCUAAGCAACAUUGAGAUAGUGGCGUGCUCAGAAACAACGAGAUACAACAGAAGCACUUCUCCAUGCUUAGGCUUGGCGAGCAAUGGUGAAUUAACGAGAUACUCCUUUAGCUUCUGAAAAGCCUCUUCGCACUCGGCGGUCCAUUGGAGCUUCUUUCCCGCUUUCAAAGCUUUAAAAAAUGGCUUGCACUUGUCGGUGGCCUUGGAGAUGAAACGACUCAAGGCGGCUAUCCGGCCAGCUAAGCUCUGGACUUCCUUAAUGGUACUUGGUGACUUCAUCCCAAGAACCGCCUGGAUUUUAUCGGGAUUAGCCUCAAUUCCCGCUGUUGUACCAUAAAUCCAAGGAAUUUACCCGAAGUCACCCCGAAUGCACAUUUCUUAGGAUUUAGGCGCAUCUGAUGCUUUCUCAAAAUAUUGAAGGUAUAUCUGAGGUGCCCCGAGUGAUCACUGGUGUACACCGACUUUGUUAUCAUAUCAUCGAUGUGCACCUCCAUGGUACGACCGAUUUGUUAUUUGAAGAUCUUGUUCACCAAACGCUGAUAGGUGGCGCCUGCAUUCUUCAAACCAAAAGGCAUAACCUUGUAGCAGUAUAACCCACGGUUGAUGAUGAAGGCCGUUUUAUCUUGAUCAGGCUCGUACAUUGGAAUUUGGUUGUACCCGGAGAAAGCAUCCAUGAAACUAAGCAUCUCGUGCCCAGCAGUAGCAUCGACCAGCUGGUCUACCCGGGGAAGCGGGAAGCUAUCCUUAGGGCAAGACCUGUUUAAAUCCGUGAAAUCUAUACACAUGCGCCAUUUUCCGUUAGACUUCUUAACCAAUACAACAUUUGAGACCCAAUCGGGGUACACCGCCUCCCUAAUAAACCCCGCUGCUAGUAAUCGGUCCACUUCUUGUUCAAUGGCGUCAUAGCGUUCCUGGUUGAAAGCUCGACGUUUUUGCUUGACAGGCCUAUGAUGUGGAUCGACAUUGAGCUUGUGACAGGCGAUAGAAGGCGGGAUACCCGGCAUGUCCGCGUGAGACCAAGCGAACACAUUUAAGUUUUUCCUUAAGAACUCAAUAAGCUGCUCUCGGUGUUAGUCAGAGAGGUUGGAGCCUACCUUGACCAUCUUGGUUGGGUCCUUAUUGCAGAUCAAAACAGACACAAGAUCCUCAGCCGGUGUUCCUCGCUUUUCAUCUUUCGGUACCCGGGGAUCCAGGGGUACAUUGACUUCUCCCAUUGAUGCUGAAUUGGGACUUUGGGGCACCAGUGGUGCCCUGGGAGCUACCACGUCCACUUCCAUUGGCCCAGCUUCAUACGGCGCUUGGGGUACCUGGGAGUUCGUGGACCGUUGAGCUUUCUUACGUGCAACUCUCCGGCGUCUAGCCAGUGCCCGCUUGGAUAGGCUGGUAAAUGAACUUGUGCUGACGGGGUACCCCUCCAGGAACAUAUUGGUGGCGAUUUGGUAGCUUACUUUCGAUGCGAUCGAGUAGCACCCUCGAGCCGAUUGCUGAUCCUCUUUGAUCGUGAUAAUUUCUCCAGCGGUUGGAAUCUUCAUGGCGAGGUAAUGCAUGGAGAUUGCCGCCUUAGUUGUUGCUAAGAAUGGUCUUCCCAAGAUGAUAUUAUAGGCACCUGGGUGAUCCACAAUAAGAAAAUCAAUCAUAUGAACAAUACGGUGAGGUACCUUACCAAGUGUAACGGGCAGCGUAAUGAUGCCCUUUGGGAUAACCAUAUCGCCGGCGAACCCAAUAAGAGGUGUAGCACAUGGGGUGAUCUUUGGCGAUUCAAUCAAUAGUUGAUCCAAGGCGCUUUUGAAAAUGAUAUCAACGGAGCUGCCGGUGUUUACAAGAGUUCUUGCUACCUUACCAGUAGCAACCUUCAACGUUAUUACUAAGGCGUCGUCAUGGGGGUACGAGACAUCUUCAGCAUCUUGCUCUGUGAAAAUGAUAGAUGGGGGAUGGUGGGGUACCCCAGAUACCCUAAGUUGAUUUUGACAAGUGAGGUUCACUUCUUUUCCAGGGCGAUCCAAAAUUGGUGGCUUGCUGUAACGUUUGAUGGCCCGUCUAGAUUCCCCAGCGAGGGUAGGACCCCCUGCUAUCAUUCGAACAUACACGUCUUUCUUAGACCCCUGGGGUAUCUCAGCUUCUGGAUGAGGGUUAGCAACUUGUUUACCAUUAUCUUGCUCCGAGAACUUCAUUGCCUCACGCAUAUCAGCCACAAAUUCCUUGAGAUACCCACUCAGAAUCAAUGACUCAAUUUCUUCCCUCAAGUGAAAGCAUUCGGCGGUGCUAUGGCCGAAAUCUUCAUGAAACUCACAAUACUUCAAGCUACGCUUCAUAUUGGGGUAUUUCCGAAUUAGCUUAGGUGGGCGAAGCAUCCCCGUAUCCCUAAUAUGGUAAAAAAUUUGUUCUGGAGAUUGAUUCAAAUGGUAGAAAGAGUCAUAUCUGGAUUUUUGUGGUGCUUCCCGUUGUUCUGGCGGUAGCGGUGGGCUAUGUACUCGGGGUGCUCGGGAUGGUACCUGAGGUACCCGGGGUACCCGGGGUACACCAGGGAUAUUCAGUCCUCUCCCACGUGGGGUUGGACGAGGUGGGCUGUGUACCCGGGGUGCUCGAGAGGGUACCUGAGGUACCUCGGCUCUCUUGGGUUUCUCCUUGUUUCUCACAACUUCGACUCUGUCUUCCUCUCGCUUUAGGUUACACUUCUCAUCCAUUUCUAUUUGUUGCAGGGCUCGAGAACGAGCUUCCCCAUAUGAAAGAGGGCGGUGUUUUUGAAAUGACCGCCAUAACUUCCCCAAACGCAAAUUCUUUUCAAAAUGAGUGAGAGUAUGUUGGUGACCAAAUGUACCGGUACGCAACACCUCUUGGUGGAAGCGGGUUACGUACUCGGCUAAAGACUCCGAAUCCCCUUGUUUGAUGAAAGCAAGCUUGGAGGAUGUUAUAUCUUGGGCGGAUGCAUAACCAAACUCAUGAACAAAAUCUUUUAGGAGCUGGUCUAGGGAGGAUACACUACCUGCCUUCAACGAUCGAAACCAUGACUUGGCUGGUCCGGUGAGGGUAUGUGGGAACAUCCGGCACAUAGCAUUGUCGUCCACUCCUUUAAUCAUCAUCUGGUCACGAUAUAACUCAGCAUGUUCCACGGGAUCCGAGGUACCCGAGUAUUGUUGUAUUUGAGGCAUGGUGAACGCUUCCGGGAGAACCGCUGUCCGAAUCUCCAUGGUGAAUGGCGAGUUAUGCACUGCUGGCGCUAGAGCAUUGGUGGGGUUUUGUUUUUCAGAAAGGAGCUUCACUUGGGCUUCGAGGUACUCCAUUUUUUCCAGGAACUCGCGGGGUACCCCAGGUGCACCUGAGGAGGCCGUUGUUGUCGUUCAACUUGUACCGGAGAUCUUCAUGGGCUUUUUGUUUGCGUUUGGUACCCUGGCUACUACGGGAAUAACAAGAGGCAGUAGAGCGUUCUUCCCGGGAGCCGGCGGCUUGACACUUUGAACGGGUGCCCGAUGGCCCAUGCUUUGGUCUACUUCCCUCCGGUAUUUCAAAUCUUGGUAUGAUCUGUUUCUCACCUCGUGGAGGCUGGACAUCUUGAGUUACCGGAGAAGUAGCUGCUUCGGGUACCCGAGAUCCUACUGCUCUGAGAAUCGCAUGAGCUAAAUCCUCAGUGUUUAUGAGUGACGGGCUCCUCGUCAGGUUGAAUACCAGCUGAUUGCUUAACUGAUUUGCCUUUCUCUAGGCGGGAUGCCCUUCUUGUCGAGUCACCCCUCUCAUCACCGCCGUGGUCCUCUGCUCCAUCAUGACCUAGCAUUUGGUUAUCAGCGGGUACGUCAGGUGCCAUGGUUUUGUAAGCACACGUACCGACAAGCUUAGCACCGUGUGGAGGCUUUUUGCGCGCUCCCCACAGACGGCGCUAAUUGUUUGUGGCUGAUUUUGGGUCAAUGAAUAAAAAACCACAAAACCAACCCAAGAGCAAUAAAUUUAUAUUUUGUCGGGGAGCGGGGUACCUCGCUUAUUCGGCACGUACGGGCUAUUUAGGCUUUUUGUGGAGUGAAGGAGGAUUGAGCCGACGGUGGUUAUGGAGGGGAUCUGACUUCAGGUGCGGAGGGCUGGUGCAACUCGCCUUAAACCUGCGAAACAACCAAAAAAGAGGUCAGAGAUGGAGCCGGGGGUGGCCGGCGACCACACUCCGACGCUCAAGUCAGAGUUGGGUUAUCUUAGGUUAGAGAGCUUGCAAGCUCUCGGUAAUAGAGGUUUUGAGGUUGAAGAAACCCUAGUUUUUUCUGGUGAGUGUGUUUCCUCCCUUGAUAAAAAUCAAACCUGAGUAUUUAUAUGGUGUACCCCAGUCGCCGUGCCACCUGGCGCUAUUUUAGUGGCGUUCCCUGUUGUCAUGUCAGGAAUAUUCUUAUUUUUAUGCGUAAGGUGGCUUAGACGUUUCAAAAAUAUCAGUGGAGAGCAAGUUUGUGGCGUAUUCACGUGCUGGGCGUAGUGGAGUGGUCCCGCGUACCUCUGCAAUUCCGUUGUAAUUUUGUAGGUGUAGCAGGAAAAGCUGGUGGUCCCAACUGUCACAAUAUCACACUUUUGGCGGAUUCGCUGGCGUGACAGGCGGCAGUCUUCUCUUUUGCGGCACAAGAUUUCCUUAUUUUUCGACACGUAUCAAACCGAUCUUUUUUAGAUUCAGGGCCCACAUAUCCCUUCACAUAUUUACUAAGAUUUUUAUAUCCUUUCAUGGUGUACCCGAGGUACCCCCGAAGUCCUUAGAGUAGCCGGGGUACCUAGAGUACCCGAGGUACCCGAGACAAAUUAAUCUCUUAAAUAUCGACACGUGGCGCUUCAUCAUUGGUCUCAUAUUUCCUUCCCAAACAACCACCUUGUUGCUAAAUGGACUCGCCCAUCCCCCGUGGAGCUUCACUUCAGCCAUGUGUCUGAGAUCGAAUUUGAAUAUGUUUGUGGUUGUUUUGCUUAGCUGAUGAGUUAUUGCAUACGUACAUCUGAGUUUGAGCAGGGAGCUUCAUAUUUCCAAUUUAUUUAAUAAAAUGAUUAAAUUAAGUUGAAUUCAAUGAGCUAAUGCUGCGACUUUUUAACAAUUCUGUUAUAUAUUGAUGAGCAUAAUUUAUAUACAUAUUUUACCCUUAAUUAUAUAAUUACUAAUUAUUUUUAUUUGUUAUUUUUAAUUAAUUAAAUUAUUUUAUUGAAUAGGGGAUUAAUUGAAGAUUAUGGAUAAAAAAGGAUAUAAGGGAGCUCAAUUUUGGAAGCGUUAAUUAAUUGAUUUUAGAAGCAAUUAGACAUACAUGCAUGUGGAAGUGAAGCCGAGGAAACCGAAGCUAGUAAAUUAAUUGAUCUAGCACAUGAAGAAGAAUUUAAGCAUAACAUUGGCUUUAGCUUAGUUAAGUUACACGUGCAUGGCUUUGUAAUAUUUGGAAAGCAAUUUAAAUGGGACCCGCACUUGGCUUUCAUAAUUGGAAAAGGAAUCCUAAAGCAAUUCCAAAGGUGGUCACGUGUGAGAGCUAAAGGAAAUAAAAGGGCAAGCCUUUUGGUUUUAGGAUUUAAGAGAUGGGGCCCAUUUCAAAGAUUAUAAAAGGGAGUUUUGGCUUUUGGAGAAGGAGGCGGCCAGAGGACAGAAACAAAAGGCUGGAAGAGAGCAAUCGGCAGCAGCAAUAUUUCGGCUUCCCCAUGGCUGAAUUUAUUUAUUUUGUUGCUCCCAAUUCAAGUAUGUCUAGCUAAUUUUCUUAUACUGAGGUUAAGGAUGAAACCCUAUUCAAUGAAAUAAUUAUCUUUUUAUUUAAUUAAUUCCCUAUAUAUGUUCUUUGAUGAUUAUGGUUUUUAUUUCACAUGAUUAAUUGGAUGUUAAUAAAAUCUUUUCAUCAAUUCUGGCGUGCAUUAUUGAUUGUUAUGAUUAAUAUUCGAUUAAUUCUAUGCUUGGAUCUAUAAAGUUUAUACAUGAUUAUCUUUGAUUGUAUGUCUUUCAUUAAAUUGUUUAAAUGGAGUGCUUAGGAAACUUUGACUCUUUGUUAUUCAAUAUGUUUACAUGGGAUGCUUAGAUGUCAUAUUAUUAAGCAGAAAAAGAACCUACAUAAGAUUAAUUUUAUUUGGGCUUAAUUGUUAUAUCCAUGAGAUGACAUAGAUUGAUUUCGAGUUGUCACUCUAAAAUUGAGGAUUAAUUAAUAAUUAGAUAAUUACUAGUUGAAUAGUGGUGGAUUCUGAAACCUUGGUAAUUCUUAUCUCAUUAAAUUCUCCUUUAUUUUAAUUUCCUUAGUUUAAUUGGUUUAAUUUUCUUAAAAAUUCAAUUUGCUCAACUAGGUUAGAAUUAAUAUUAAAUUUUAGAUUUAAAUUAGACUUUUUAAUUUAUAACAAUCCCUGUGGGAUCGACCUCGUUACCACUAUUCUAUUUCUAGAUUCGUGCGCUUGCGAGUAUAUUAAAAUUUUCACAACAAGUUUUUGGCGCCGUUGCCGGGGAUUGUGCUAGAAAGUCAGUUUAAUCUAGGUUGAUUUGAUUCUUCCACUAGUUAUAAUUUAGGUUGUCUUUUAUUUUUUUUAAUUAAAAAAAAAAACAACAACACAAAAAAAAAAACUUUUAUUUGUCUUUAAAUUCAUUGUUUAGUUGUUUGAUUUCUUUUAUUUUUAAAUUUCGUUUAUUCUCAUUUUUGUUGGUUUAUUUUAUUUUAUUUUUUUUUCUUUCCUUGUCUAGUUAGUUUAUGAGUGUUUGGGAACGUGAUUCAACAAAUCGUUUGGUUAAAAGAGAGUCGAAAAUUGAUAGUAGUCAAGCUAGUUCUUUAGAAGUGAUGGAUGACCCAAAUAGAUUAUUACCAAUACUUCCACCAGUGCAAGCAGAGAAAACCCUUAGAGAAUACUUUUCACCACUUGCAGCCAACCAACCAUCUUGUAUUGUGUUGCCACAAACUACAGCAACACACUUUGAACUUAAGCCCUCAGUCAUUCAACUUUUACCAUCUUUCCAUGGGUUAGAGAGAGAGGAUCCAUAUUUGCACAUUAAGGAAUUUCUUGACAUAUGCUCUACAUUUCGUUUUCAAAAUUUUAACGAUGAGUCAAUUAGGAUUCGUAUGUUCCCUUUCUCAUUAAAAGACAAAGCAAAAGCUUGGUUGAAUUCACUUCCUGCUGGGUCUAUUAGUACAUGGGAUGAAUUGAGUAAUAAGUUUCUCACCAAGUUUUUCCCUAUGUCUAAAACAAAUGCCCUUAGGAGAGAGAUAAGUGAUUUUUAUCAAAGAGAGAGUGAGCAAUUUUACGAGUGUUGGGAAAGAUUCAAUGAUUUACUCCUCAAGUGUCCCCACCAUGGUUUUGAAAAAUGGAGACUUAUACAAUGCUUUUAUAAUGGCUUAACCAUGUCAAAUCGUCAUAUGGUAGAGUCUAUGAAUGGUGGGAGAUUUUUGAACUUACAUGAAGGGGCAGCAUGGGAUUUCUUUAAUUCACUUUCUGAAAAUUCUCAACAGUGGGAUUUUUCAAAUCAAAGGGAAAAAUCAUCUCAAGUUUCUAGAAAGGGGCUAUAUGAAGUUAAGGAUGAUUUAGAUAUGAAAUCCACUCUAGCUACACUUUCUAGGAAAGUAGAUGCCUUAGUUAUGAACCAAUCCAUAAAUCAUCAUCCCAGUGUAGCUAAUGAGGUUUGUGCUAUUUGUUCUAACUUGUCUCAUACAGCACAAAAUUGUCCAUCAUUACCAGUCUAUCCAGAUGCUUAUUCUGAGCAGGUACAUGCCUUACAAUCAUAUGAGAAAACCUCCAAUAGUCCAUAUUCAUCCACAUAUAAUCCUAAUUGGAGGAAUCACCCUAAUUUUUCUUGGAAACAAAAUCAACCUUUGUCAAACCAAGGAGGGCAACAAUUUAACAUGCCCAACCAACAAUUUGUCCCUCCUAACCAAGUAUAUCCUCAUGCCCAACAACCUAUGUCUCAAUUUGUUGCACCCCAACAAAGAAAGCCUUCUUUAGAGGAUACACUUCAAAGUUUCAUUCAGUCAACCCAACAAGCUUUUCAAUCAAAUACUCAAGCUAUUCUGAAGCUUGAACAUCAAUUGGGUCAAUUAGCAACUACUGUAGCGGAGAGAGAAAAAGGAAAAUUCCCAAGUCAACCAAUUCCCAAUCCUAAAGGAGUGCAUGAAGUUGGAUCGAGUUCAAGCCAUCUGCAUGAAGAAGCAAAAUCUGUUAUGACCUUGAGAAAAGGAAAAUUAUUUGACAACAAAGUGGAGGUUCCAACAAGGAAGAUAUCUGAGCCUACUUCUUCAGAUCCAGUUCCAUCACAAGAGUCGUCAACAAAUGAUCCAGAAGAGAGUGGCCCGCCAGCUUACAUUCCUAAGGCUCCUUUUCCUCAAAGGUUAGCAAAGGUAAAGAAAGGGACUUCAACAGGUGAGAUUAUGGAAAUCUUCAAGCAAGUAAGUAUAAUUAUCCCUUUACUCGAUGCUAUUAAGCAAGUUCCUUCCUAUGCCAAGUUUUUGAAAGAUUUAUGCACUAAAAAGAGAAAUUUGCAUGUCACUAAAAAGGCGUUUUUAACUGAACAAACUAGCAACUUACUCCAAUGUAAAAUGCCACCAAAAUUUAAGGAUCCUGGUUCUCCUACUAUCUCAUGUGUUAUAGGGAACCAAUGUUUUGAUAAAGCAUUAUUGGAUUUGGGUGCUAGUGUUAAUCUCUUGCCUUAUUCUGUUUACAUGCAACUUGGAUUAGGUGAGUUAAAAUCAACUCCUAUUAUUUUGCAACUUGCUGAUAGAUCAAUGAAAAUACCUCGUGGUAUUAUAGAGGAUGUGUUGAUACAGAUUGAUAAAUUUUAUUAUCCUGUUGAUUUUAUUGUUAUUGAUACUCAGCAUGUACAUGAUCCUAAGAAACACACCCUAGUUAUUCUAGGUCGUCCUUUCUUAGCUACAGCUGAUGCUCUUAUUAAUUGCAGGAAUGGAAAUAUGCAGCUAUCUUUUGGUAAUAUGACCAUGGAAUUGAAUAUUUUUAAUGUUACCAAGCAGCCACAAGAAGAAGAUGAAUUUGUUGAAGCAAAUAUGAUAGAGGAAUUAGUAGAAGAUUCAUUCAUUUCUAACCAUACUGAUGAUCCAUUAGAGGCAUGUCUAACUCAUCCUGAUUUAUCUUUUAAUGAUGACAGUGCAAUUGCAGAAGUCAGCGCUUUACUUGAUGCACCUCUAAUUACGGACACAACUAAAUGGAAGGCAAAGUCAGAAUUACUGCCUCAUUCUGAGAAGAAAAUUGGCCCAUCUGCGGAGGCACCACCAAAAUUGGAACUCAAAGCACUGCCCGACACUUUGGAAUAUGCAUUCUUGGGAGAAUCUGACACUCUACCUGUUAUUAUUUCUUCUUCCCUCGAUCUUGAGCAAAAAGGUAAGUUGUUAGGUAUUCUAAAAGAGCAUAAGGAGGCAAUAGGAUGGACCAUCGCUGAUAUUAAAGGUAUUAAUCCAGUAGAUUGCAUGCAUCGUAUUCAUCUUGAAGAAAAUGCCAAACCUAUUAGGGAGAUGCAACGUAGGCUAAAUCCUAACAUGAAAGAAGUGGUAAGAGCUGAAGUAAUCAAAUUAUUAGAUGUAGGAAUUAUUUAUCCUAUUUCAGAUAGCUCUUGGGUUAGCCCUGUGCAAGUUGUUCCUAAGAAAUCUGGUGUUACAGUAGUUACUAAUGCUAAUAAUGAAUUAAUUCCCACUAGAGUAACUACAGGUUGGCGUGUUUGCAUUGAUUAUAGAAAAUUGAAUUCAUUCACAAGAAAAGAUCAUUUUCCUCUUCCAUUUAUUGAUCAAAUGCUUGAUAGACUUGCAGGUCAUGAUUUUUAUUGUUUUCUAGAUGGAUAUUCAGGUUAUAAUCAGAUCCCUAUAGCUCCAGAGGACCAGGAGAAAACUACUUUUACUUGUCCCUUUGGAACUUUUACAUAUAGGAGAAUGCCAUUUGGUUUAUGCAAUGCACCUGCUACCUUUCAAAGAUGCAUGCUUAGUAUUUUUUCUGAUAUGGUUGAGAGAUUUCUUGAAGUAUUCAUGGAUGAUUUUUCUGUUUUUGGAGAUUCUUUUGAUGAAUGUUUGCAGCAUCUAACAUUAGUUUUGCAGCGAUGUAAAGAAAAGAAUUUGGUUCUAAAUUGGGAAAAGUGUCACUUCAUGGUAAAACAAGGUAUUGUUCUUGGUCAUAUAAUUUCCAGCAAAGGUAUAGAAGUCGACAAAGCUAAGCUGGAUUUAAUUUCUAAUCUUCCACAUCCCAAAUCCGUAAAAGAAGUAAGAUCUUUCCUUGGACAUGCUGGUUUUUAUAGAAGAUUCAUUAAAGAUUUUAGUAAAAUUUCUAGACCCUUAUGCAAUUUACUUGUUAAGGAUGUACCUUUUAUCUUUGAUGAAUCUUGUCUUGAUGCUUUUGCAAAGCUUAAGAAAUUAUUGACUUCUUCACCUAUCAUUCAGGCACCUAAUUGGGAUUUGCCUUUUCAAAUUAUGUGUGAUGCAUCUGAUUAUGCAGUAGGAGCAGUUUUAGGACAAAGAUUAGAUCGUGUGCCUUAUGUGAUUUAUUAUGCUAGUAUGACACUCAAUGAUGCACAGUUGAACUAUUCAACUACAGAAAAAGAAAUGCUAGCUGUGGUAUUUGCACUUGAUAAAUUCAGAUCUUAUCUUAUAGGUUGUAAAGUGAUUAUUUUUACUGAUCAUGCUGCUUUAAAAUAUUUGUUUACUAAGAAAGAUGCUAAGGCAAGAUUGAUUCGUUGGGUGUUGCUUUUACAAGAAUUUGACAUUGAAUUUAGAGAUAAAAAAGGUUCUGAAAAUGUUGUGGCGGAUCAUUUAUCUCGCCUUGAUCUUAAAUUUAUUCCAGAAUCUUUACCUUUGAAUGAGUCUUUCCCAGAUGAGCAACUUAUGAGUGUAAAUGUUGUACCAUGGUUUGCUGAUAUAGUUAAUUACCUUGCUACAGGUCAAAUCCCAGAGCACUGGACUAAGCAAGAUAGAACAAAGUUCUUAUCUAAAGCGAAAGACUUCUUUUGGGAUGAUCCCUAUUUAUUUAAAUAUUGUGCUGAUCAGAUUAUUAGGCGAUGUGUUCCCGAUAAUGAAAUUCAAAGUGUUAUCUCAUUUUGCCAUGAACAAGCUUGCGGAGGCCACUUUAGUGCUAAAAAGACAGCAACAAAAAUUUUACAGUGUGGUUUUUAUUGGCCUACUCUUUUUCAUGACGCUUAUGUUUUCUGUUCUUUGUGUGAUAGGUGCCAACGUAUGGGUAGCAUUUCAAAGAGGAACAUGAUGCCACUCAAUCCUAUUCUUGUGGUUGAGAUCUUCGAUGUAUGGGGUAUUGAUUUCAUGGGACCUUUCCCUCCAUCUUUUGGUUAUCAAUAUAUAUUGGUUGCAGUGGACUAUGUGUCGAAGUGGGUUGAAGCUAUUCCAUGCAAAACCAAUGAUCAUAGGGUUGUAGUGAAAUUCUUGAAGAGUAAUAUUCUGUCUCGUUUUGGUUUUCCUAGAACAAUCAUUAGUGAUGGUGGUACCCAUUUUUGUAAUAAACCUUUCAAAACUCUUUUGGACAAAUAUUCCAUUACACAUAAGGUUGCCACCCCAUAUCAUCCUCAAACCAGUGGCCAAGUAGAGAUUUCUAAUAGAGAGAUCAAGCAGAUUCUAGAGAAAACAGUUAGGCCAGAUAGAAAGGAUUGGUCUUUGAGACUUGAUGAUGCAUUGUGGGCAUAUAGAACUGCUUUUAAAACACCAAUUGGGAUGUCACCUUAUCGACUUGUGUAUGGAAAAGCAUGUCAUCUGCCAGUAGAGUUGGAGCAUCGUGCAUAUUGGGCUAUCAAGAAAUUCAAUUUUGACAUGCAGCAAGCUGGGUCCAAGAGAAGAUUACAACUAGCAGAACUUGAAGAGAUCAGGAAUGAUGCAUAUGAGAAUGCCAAGAUUUAUAAACAGCGAAUGAAAGUCUUUCAUGACAAACAUAUUUUGAGAAAAGCCUUUACACCAGGUCAGAAAGUACUUUUAUAUAAUUCCCGAUUGCAUCUCUUUCCAGGUAAGUUACGUUCUCGAUGGUCUGGUCCUUUUAUAGUUCGUACUAUCUUCCCUUAUGGAGCAAUUGAAAUUGAAAAUCCUAAAAAUGGUGAUUUAUUUAAGGUGAAUGGUCAAAGAUUAAAACCAUUUUUAGAAUUAAAAACACCAGAAGUUGAGGAGAUACUUUUAGAUGAUCCUGUUUAUCAGGAUUAAUUAAGUUCAUCUUUACACUCUUGUUUUAUUUUAAUAGUCGGUUUUCUUUUCUUUAUUUAUUUUCUUUUCUAAUAUAUAUAUAUAUUUUAAUGUUUUCUUUUCAUUUGGCAUUUUCUUUUAAGCUUUCCCAGCCCAUCCAGGUGUGUUCUCUCCAACUUUCUUUUUAUUAUUUAUGUUUAUUAUUAUUAUUAUUAUGAUUAUUAUUAUUAUUUCUCUUUCAUUUGUUUGCAUGCAUAUCUUUUGUUUAUGAAACAUUGAGGACAAUGUUCCGAAUAAGUUUGGGGGUGGGAAUAGUGUGUGCUUUGUUUGUUAUUAAAAAAAUAAAAAAUUAAAAAAAAAAUUUCGUGAAAAGCCAAUGAUAAGAACUUGAUUGACAAUGAAUAUAGUUUUUAGAAAGGGUUGAAUAUUGUCUUAGUUUAUACUUGAUUCUUGUGUUAGUUCCUCUUGAUUGAGAUUCUUUAAACCAUGAGCACUAAUAUCAGUUCUUUCAUAAUUUUAACUUGAAAUUUGAGAUUGACGCAGCCUGAGUUGAAAAUUUUAGAUAGAGUAAAUGACUGUUUGUCUUGAUUCUUAUCUCCACAAUACAAAAUAGUAUACACGGGCGCCAAAGUCAGAAAUAGCUACCUAUAACCCUUAAGAGUGAAGCUAUCCUUGAGUAAUUUGGGCCUAUGUACCACAAGUAUGUAGAGGAUAAUCUACCAUGAGAAGAAGGCUACCUUAAGGGGUAGAGUGAAAGCUCCUGACUAUGGUUAAAAAAAAAAAAAAAAAAAAAAAAAAGAGAAAAAGAAAAAAAAAUCAAAUCAAGUGCAUGUGCUGAAAAAAAAAAUCAAAGGAAAGUGCACAUAAAAGCCUGUGAGAGAAAAAAAAAAUUUUGGAGAUCAAGAUGAUAAGAUUAGUUUGACCUACUCUGUUCUUUGUUUGAGGCGAAGGCUGUUGAUGUUGAAGAUUUUGGGAAUGGAUUUGAUUGAAUUGAUUUCACACACACACUACAAGAAUCGAAAGAGAGAUGGGAUUGAUUAUUGAAUUAAAGUUAGAACUUUGCCAAUAUUUGAAAUUUUCUUUGAGCUAUAUAAUUUUUGCAAUCUUUGAGGCUAUUUUGCAUGUUUUAUUUAAAGUUUUUCGUUCUUUUGAUUUAAUUUAAUUUAUUAUUAUUAUUAUUAUUUUUAUUUUUUUUUUUAAAUGAUGUUUGUGGGUAUCAUCACUGAAGCCCUCACGAGACUAUAACUCGUCCACUAGGGCCGCCUAGGGGUUUAAAGGCUUGUUGCAUACGCUAAAUGCAAUCGCGAUUACCUGCGAAAGUGGUUUAGUUCGGAUUUACUUUUUGUUUCAUUAUUUUUAUUUUUUUUUUAUUUUUUUUUUGUUUUAGUUUUGCUCGAGGACUAGCAAAAUCUAAGUUUGGGGGUAUUUGAUGAGCAUAAUUUAUAUACAUAUUUUACCCUUAAUUAUAUAAUUACUAAUUAUUUUUAUUUGUUAUUUUUAAUUAAUUAAAUUAUUUUAUUGAAUAGGGGAUUAAUUGAAGAUUAUGGAUAAAAAAGGAUAUAAGGGAGCUCAAUUUUGGAAGCGUUAAUUAAUUGAUUUUAGAAGCAAUUAGACAUACAUGCAUGUGGAAGUGAAGCCGAGGAAACCGAAGCUAGUAAAUUAAUUGAUCUAGCACAUGAAGAAGAAUUUAAGCAUAACAUUGGCUUUAGCUUAGUUAAGUUACACGUGCAUGGCUUUGUAAUAUUUGGAAAGCAAUUUAAAUGGGACCCGCACUUGGCUUUCAUAAUUGGAAAAGGAAUCCUAAAGCAAUUCCAAAGGUGGUCACGUGUGAGAGCUAAAGGAAAUAAAAGGGCAAGCCUUUUGGUUUUAGGAUUUAAGAGAUGAGGCCCAUUUCAAAGAUUAUAAAAGGGAGUUUUGGCUUUUGGAGAAGGAGGCGGCCAGAGGACAGAAACAAAAGGCUGGAAGAGAGCAAUCGGCAGCAGCAAUAUUUCGGCUUCCCCAUGGCUGAAUUUAUUUAUUUUGUUGCUCCCAAUUCAAGUAUGUCUAGCUAAUUUUCUUAUACUGAGGUUAAGGAUGAAACCCUAUUCAAUGAAAUAAUUAUCUUUUUAUUUAAUUAAUUCCCUAUAUAUGUUCUUUGAUGAUUAUGGUUUUUAUUUCACAUGAUUAAUUGGAUGUUAAUAAAAUCUUUUCAUCAAUUCUGGCGUGCAUUAUUGAUUGUUAGGAUUAAUAUUCGAUUAAUUCUAUGCUUGGAUCUAUAAAGUUUAUACAUGAUUAUCUUUGAUUUUAUGUCUUUCAUUAAAUUGUUUACAUGGAGUGCUUAGGAAACUUUGACUCUUUGUUAUUCAAUAUGUUUACAUGGGAUGCUUAGAUGUCAUAUUAUUAAGCAGAAAAAGAACCUAUAUAAGAUUAAUUUUAUUUGGGCUUAAUUGUUAUAUCCAUGAGAUGACAUAGAUUGAUUUCGAGUUGUCACUCUAAAAUUGAGGAUUAAUUAAUAAUUAGAUAAUUACUAGUUGAAUAGUGGUGGAUUCUGAAACCUUGGUAAUUCUUAUCUCAUUAAAUUCUCCUUUAUUUUAAUUUCCUUAGUUUAAUUGGUUUAAUUUUCUUAAAAAUUCAAUUUGCUCAACUAGGUUAGAAUUAAUAUUAAUUUUAGAUUUAAAUUAGACUUUUUAAUUUAUAACAAUCCCUGUGGGAUCGACCUCGUUACCACUAUUCUAUUUCUAGAUUCGUGCGCUUGCGAGUAUAUUAAAAUUUUCACAACAUAUAUUCAACGAGAAGAGGUAUCGUAUUUGACGGGAAUCUCUUGAAACAGUGCUGAAUUAACAAGUAAUCUUAUUUAAUUUGGUCAACUGGUCAGAUAUGGAUUAAUUAUAUAUUUGGCGUUUGUGCUUUUGACUUUACGAUGGGGUGGAGUCGUGGGGAUAUCAUCAUCCCAACUGAAGACAUAUUAUGAUAUUCUCCUGAAAACCUUGUGAGACUCAUUUACUCUACAAUUUUAGCAUUUUAGGCCCAAUAACUCCAUAUAAAUGACGUUUUGUUCCCUGGCUCCACCUCUUCUAUAUAAAUCCGAACACCUGAAAAAUGACGAGACGGGAACAACUCUCCGUCUUAAGUCUAUGUAAAUUUUACACACAAGAGAAAGAGAGGGAGAGGGGUGGCCAUGAGAGACAACGAUACAGAAAAGAAUAUGGAAAAGAGUUUAUUAAUACCAAAAGAGAGUUUAUCAUCAACAUCCACAACAUGGGAUUUGUUGAGUGGAGAACUGAAAAAGCAGGGUUACAUAGCAGCACCAAUGGUGGCAGUAACUUUAUCACAGUAUUUGCUUCAAGUUGUUUCCAUGAUGAUGGUUGGUCAUCUUGGUCAACUUGCUCUUUCUAGCACCGCCAUGGCCAUCUCUCUAGCUAGCGUCACCGGCUUCAGCGUCCUUGUGAGUCCUACAAUCCAUAUAUAGUUAUAUACACAAGAUUGUUUAUUCUUUCUUUUGAUAGGUAUUUGCAUCAUUGCAUGUGGGAUUUAAACAAAUAGAUAUGCCAAAUUUCUGAUGUUAAAAAACAUGCAAUUAACUAAUACCCUGUUUGUAAAAAUGCCAUUAAUUUUUAAAGGACUUGAUUUGCUCUUUUUUUUAAAAAAAAAAAAUUCUACAGCUAACUUGAAUUGUGUAAUAGUUUCUUUGAAACAGUUAGGAAUGGCGAGUGCUCUGGAAACAUUAUGUGGGCAAGCAUAUGGAGCUCAGCAAUAUCAAAGAAUUGGAACUCAAAUUUACACUGCAAUAUUUUGUUUAUUCUUAGCAUGUUUUCCGCUUUCCUUUCUAGGGAUUUACAUGGGAAGGCUGCUAGUUUUGGUAGGCCAAGACCCCCAGAUUUCACACGAAGUAGGCAAGUUUAUAAUCUGGCUUCUUCCAGCUCUGUUUGCUUAUGCAGCAAUGCAAGCGCUUAUUCGAUAUUUUCAGUCUCAAAGUUUGAUCAUUCCCAUGUUCUUAAGCUCCUAUGCCGCUCUUUGUUUGCAUAUUCCCAGCUGUUGGGCUUUGGUAUUCAAGUCUGGACUGGGAAACCUUGGAGGAGCAUUGGCAAUUGGUAUAUCGUAUUGGUUGAAUGUAACUUUCUUGGCAAUUUACAUGAAGUUCUCCACUGCUUGUGCAGAAUCCAGGGCUCCAAUUUCAAUGGAGUUAUUCCGAGGAAUUGGAGAGUUCUUCCACUUUGCUAUCCCUUCUGCAGUAAUGGUUUGGUAUGUUAAUUAUCUUCUGGAGUUUCAUUUUCCCUUCUCAUAGAUAUCGUAGACACGUCAUAAAUUUUCAUGCAUCUUCUUUCGUUUAUAAUUUUGCAACCUAGAAUGGUGGUCAUUUGAAUUGCUCAUUUUAAUGUCAGGGCUGUUGCCUAACCCACAGCUUGAAACUUCAGUCCUAUCUGUAUGGUAUGUUAACAUAGACUUUGUAUGUGAAAGUUCUAUGCAGAGAAGCACCUACCAAAGGAAAUAGAUUUUUUUUUCUUUUUUUCUUUUUUUUCCCGACUGCUCAUUAUUUGUCAACUUCUUUGGGCAGUCUCAGUACUAUUCAAACCCUCUCUGCAAUCCCAUAUGGACUUGGUGCUGCAGUGAGGUUUGUUCAUAACAAUCAUUUAAAUAAUAAUUGUUUUAUAUCUGUUACAAAAUCAUUGUAAUCCAUCUCCUAUAAUUCCUCUUCUCUGUAUAUUUUAGUUCUAUUUGUAUACGUUACUAGUUGUACACGAUAGACUAGAAUAUUUUGUAAUCCUAGAUUAGAAGUCUGCACUAUUUAACUCCCACGAGUUGGAAUAAAAGAAUUGAGCUGAGUAUUUCCUUUGAAUCUUAUUUCCUCUGUACCAUUGUUUUCUACUUGGUAUCAGAGCUUUGCUCUUAUUAUCGUAUCCGAAUUCUCAUCUGUUCUUUGUACCAUGGCCGAAAGUAAAUCUGAAUCGUCUACACCAAUCAUACAUGUUCAAUAUGAAAACUCAGGCCUCAAAGCUGGUGUUACUCUUACUGAAACUAACUAUGAUGUGUGGUCCCAAAUCAUGGAGAUGCACAUUGCAGGACGUGAAAAACUUGAAUAUAUUAUGGGUGAAACAGAUCAACCAUUGGAGACUGAUGCUUUCUAUACAAAGUGGUAUGCAGAAAAUCAAAAAGUCAAGGGAUGGUUACUGACAUCCAUGUCACCUGAAAUCAUGAAACGUUAUCUCAGAUUACGCACCGCAAGGGAAAUAUGGAAUGCUUUGGCUAAAGCUUUCUACGAUGGGUCAGAUGAAUCACAAAUCUUUGCACUAAAUCAACGAGCUUUCUCUACUAAACAGGUUGGACGUCCCCUAUCAACAUAUUAUGGUGAUCUUGUAGAGAUUUUUCAAGAGCUAGAUUAUCGUGAUAAGGUCAUAAUGAAAGACCCCGAUGAUGUCACUGCAUAUAAAAAAUCAGUUGAACGCUUGAGAGUGUACAUCUUCCUUAAUGGACUAGAUGCAGAAUUUGAACAACUCAGAGGAGAGAUCCUCAGGAAGGAUCCGGCACUAGACUUUGAAGAAACAUAUGCAUAUGUGCGGCGUGAUGCUAUGCGGAGGACAACAGUAAAUGAAGAACUUGAUCAUCAUGAGUCAUCUACCCUGAUAGCUCGUCGAAACAAACAGGGGCGUAAUAACCAACAACUAAAUUCUAGCUCUUCAAAACAGAUUAUUGAUCAACAUCAAUCAUCUGAAACGCAAAAUCGUAGCUAUGAAAUUGGAACGUCAAAAUUAGAGCGUCUGUGCACGUAUUGUGGUGGAACUAGACAUACCAAGUCAAGGUGUUAUGAACUGAUUGGGUAUCCGGAAUGGUGGGAUCCUACUAAAGCACCCAAACGGAACUCAAAGACAAAAAAUCAAGCUUCUCCUGCUGUGGUUAAAUCUUCGAACAACCCUGAGGAAUCUUCAUCUUUAAUUGCUACUUCAGGUAAUAUUGGUAAGACUCUUAAUACCUCUACACCUGAUAGUAAUAGUGCUUGGAUAAUUGAUUCAGGUGUUACGGAUCACAUGACUUUUGACACUGAUCAUAUUUUGUCUAUGAAAUCAUCCAAACAAACUGUAGUAUCCACAACCAAUGGUACUCCCUCUCCUGUCAUGGGAGAAGGUUCAAUUACUCUUACAAAAAAUUUGAAUUUGGAAUCAGUUCUUGUUGUUCCCUCUCUUAACUAUAACCUAUUAUUUGUUGCUCAAAUAACACGUGUUUUGCAUUGUAUUGUGAUUUUUUGGCCUAACCUUUGUGUUUUUAAGGACAUCCGAACUCGAAGGACAAUUGGUUAUGGUACUAGAAAGGGGAAGCUCUAUUAUCUUGAUUUGACUACAGCAAGUUCAGAUCAAUUAUCUCAAGCAUUCACAACUGAAAGAUCGGGCAAAGCACAAAGUUCUGAAAUUUGGUUGUGGCAUAGGCGAUUAGGCCAUGCUUCUUUUGGAUAUUUAAAAAAAUUAUUUCCAAAGUUGUUCUCCCAUUUGGCUAAUUCAAAUUUUAAGUGUGAUAUUUGUGAAAUGGCUAAGAGUCACCGUGUCUCUUUUCCACCUAGUAUGAAUAAAAGUCCAGCACCUUUUAUGAUUGUUCAUUCAGAUGUAUGGGGUCCUGCAAAUGUUUCCUCUUUAAAUGGUGCACGCUGGUUUGUUUCAUUUAUUGAUGAUCACACACGUAUGACUUGGGUUUGUUUGAUGAAGUCAAAAAAUGAAGUUAGUUCUUUGUUCCAGAAUUUUCACAAGAUGAUAGCAACUCAAUAUCAAUCUCACAUAUAGGUUCUCCGCACUGAUAAUAGUGGAGAAUUUGUUAAUCACGAUUUGAAACAGUACCUCACUUUACAUGGCAUUGCUCAUCAGACAACUUGCUCGUAUUCUCCUCAACAAAAUGGGCUUGCGGAGCGCAAGAAUCGUCAUCUUCUUGAAGUCGUACGUGCAUCAUUAUUCGGUGCCCACAUGCCUAAGAGUUAUUGGGGUGAAGCUGUUACAGUUGCAGCCUACCUCAUUAAUCGUGUUCCGUCAAGUUCAUUACAAUUUCAGACUCCUCUCCAUGUACUUCAUGAGACUAUAAGUGUUCCCACCAUGCCGAAUCAGCAACCUAGAGUAUUUGGGUGUGUAGCCUUUGUACAUCUUCACAAAUCCUUGAGAAAUAAACUAGAACCUCGAGCUGUUCGGUGUGUAUUUGUCGGCUAUGGUUUGUAUCAAAAAGGCUAUAGAUGUUAUCACCCUCCAUCUCGUAAAACGUAUACUACACUUGAUGUUACAUUUCAUGAGGAUGAAAUGUAUUAUUCUAUCCCUGAGACUUCAUUUCAAGGGGAGAAUAGAGUUGAAUUGCAGACUCCAGAUUUUUUAGAAGAUUUUACAAGCAAUAGCUAUCGGGAGAAUUGGGAAACUCAAAAUGGAGUAGCUGAUCACACUUUAGAUGGUGAAAAUCCAAUGGAAGUAGUAACGCCAGCCUCUACAUCACCCGAAGUAACGACUUCCUCUCCUCAAUCUGUACCAUUUAACCAAUUGUCUCUCCAACCCGAAUCAAUCUCUGAAACUCAGGUACACUUUGAGCCUCAGCCCCAUUUAAAAGUGUUGCCUGAUCGAGUUACUAGAGGAAUACCUCGACUAAAUUAUGAACCUACUCUUAGCUCUAAAACUAAAUAUCUUAUGAGUAAUUUCGUGUCUUAUCAUAGGUUGUCAAAGGAAUGUGAAUCUUUUGUGAAUCAAUUAUCUGUACUAUCUAUUCCUAACAGUGUGCAGGAGGCUUUGAAAGAUCCUAAGUGGAAGGAAGCAAUGAAUGAAGAAAUGAACUCUCUCCAAAAGAAUUCUACAUGGGAGGUCGUUGAUUUACCCGAAGGAAAGAAACCUGUAGGAUGUAGAUGGGUCUUCACUAUUAAAUACAAAGCUGAUGGAAUUGUUGAAAGGUUUAAGGCCAAGCUUGUCGCCAAAGGGUAUACUCAAACUUAUGGGGUCGAUUACAUGGAAACAUUUGCUCCAGUUGCAAAAAUCAACACUGUUCGUGUUCUAUUAUCUCUAGCCGUGAAUCUUGACUGGCCACUGCACCAAUUUGAUGUAAAAAAUGCAUUUUUGCAUGGAGACCUCCAAGAAGAAGUAUAUAUGGAAUCGCCUCCAGGAUGUAAAAUGCAAGUUGAAGGAAGUAAACAGGUUUGCAAAUUGCGAAAAUCUCUGUACGGCCUAAAACAAUCUCCUAGAGCAUGGUUUGGAAGAUUUACUAGCUCUAUGAAGGCUUUUGGAUAUCAACAAAGUAAUUCAGAUCAUACCCUCUUCUUGAAAUAUAAUAGAGAAAAAAUCAUUGUUCUUAUCGUAUAUGUUGAUGAUAUGAUAGUAACAGGAAAUGAUCCGGAAGAAAAGGCUGCACUACAAGAUCAUCUUGCUCAAGAAUUUGAGAUGAAAGAUUUGGGUUCGCUGAAGUAUUUCCUAGGAAUUGAAGUGUCAAGAUCAAAGAAAGGCAUUUUCUUAUCUCAGCGAAAAUAUGCCUUAGAUUUAUUAAAUGAAACUGGGAUGUCCGCUUGCAGUCCAAUUAGCACUCCUAUGGAAGAAAAUUUGAAGCUAAGCACAGAUCCAAAUCAAGUUCCAGCUAACAAGGAACGAUAUCAGAGAUUAGUAGGCCGACUAAUGUAUCUUGGGCACACCCGACCAGACUUAGCGUAUGCAUUAAGUGUGGUCAGCCAAUUCAUGCAUUCUCCAAAGGAAGAACAUAUGAAUGUUGUUAUUCGCAUUUUACUGUACUUAAAAUCAUCUCCUGGAAAGGGUAUUGUGUUUACAAAAGGCGAUAACUUGGAUAUUAAAGGGUAUACGGAUGCUGAUUGGGCUGGAUCAAUUGAUGACAGGCGUUCUACAUCUGGUUAUUUCACAUUUGUGGGUGGAAAUCUAGUUACAUGGCGAAGCAAGAAACAAGAUGUUGUAGCUAGGUCGAGUGCUGAGGCUGAAUACAGAGGGAUGGCCAAAGGAAUAUGUGAAUUACUAUGGAUCAAUAAUUUAAUGCAAGAUUUACGUAUUCAACAAGUCAGUCCCAUGAAGUUAUAUUGUGAUAAUAAAGCAGCCUGUGAUAUUGCACAUAAUCCAGUUCAACAUGAUCGAACUAAGCAUGUUGAAGUUGAUAGACACUUCAUCAAGGAAAAGCUGGAAGCAAAAAUCAUCGAGAUUCCUCAUGUCCGGUCGAAAGAUCAACUCGCGGAUGUGCUAACCAAGGCGGUAUCCAUCCAAGCCUUUAAUAAGUGUCUCAACAAGUUGGGCAUGUGCGAUAUAUAUGCACCAACUUGAGGGGGAGUGUUACGAAAUCAUUGUAAUCCAUCUCCUAUAAUUCCUAUUCUCUGUAUAUUUUAGUUCUAUUUGUAUACGUUACUAGCUAUACACGAUAGACUAGAAUAUUUUGUAAUCCUAGAUUAGAAGUCUGCACUAUUUAACUCCCACGAGUUGGAAUAAAAGAAUUGAGCUGAGUAUUUCCUUUGAAUCUUAUUUCCUCUGUACCAUUGUUUUCUACUAUAUCAACUAAUUAGCAGAUUAACCAUUAUUUCCUUCUAUAGUACUAGAGUUUCAAAUGAACUAGGAGCUGGGAAUGUGCAAAGAGCCCGUGUAGCUGUCUAUGCUGUGGUCUUUAUGGCAGUCAUGGAGACUAUCAUAGUAAGUGCAUCUCUCUUUGCCAGCCGGCGUGUUUUUGGUUAUGUUUUCAGCAAUGAGGGACAAGUUGUGGAUUAUGUCACAACCAUGGCUCCUCUAGUUUGUUUGUCUGUCAUCAUUGAUAGCUUACAAGGAGUCUUUUCAGGUUAAAUUAACUUCUUCAACUCUGUCAAUUGCUAAAUAGUUCUCUUUAAGUAGAAAUAAAAUUUUUCAGGUUUCUAAAUUCUUUUUAUUAUUUUUAAGGUGUUGCAAGAGGAUGUGGGUGGCAGAAUAUAGCUGCUUUUGUGAAUCUUGGGGCUUAUUAUUUUUGUGGAGUCCCAACUGCUGCCAUUUUGGGUUUCUGGUUAAAGUUUAGAGGAAGGGGCCUAUGGAUUGGGAUACAAGCUGGUGCUUUUACACAAACACUUCUGCUUGGCAUCAUAACAACAUUUACAGAUUGGGAAAAACAGGUCUGUUUCUCAACAUUUAAUCCCUUAAAAAUGAGAGAAGCUUAUUGGACUAUAUAUGUAAAUAUGUAGCAAUUUUUUUUCCCAAUAAGUAUAUGAUGCCUUAUGACUGAAAGUUCAAGAUUAAAAUCACUCAGCUUGAUCUGAAAUGGUUAGUAUUAUCAUCUUAUGCAGAAAUGGUUUUGCUCAUUGAGAAAAUGAUAUUCAAUAACACAAAUGCAAACUCAUUUGAAAAUUUUGCCAUUGAGAAAAUGAUAUUCAAUAACAGACAUGCAAACUCAUUUGAAAAUUUGCUUUUUUGCAAGAAUUAUAACCAUUUUCUAGUUUGUUAAUUGUUACGUCUUCUGUGUUUCUAAGGGGUUUCUCAUGUUGCAGGCAAGUAAAGCAAGGAAAAGAUUAUCAAAGGGAAGAUCUUUAGAAGAAAAUAGAAUAGUUUGUGAGUGAGCAGAGUCAAUCAAUGAGCUGAUAUAUACAUUUUCCAGUUGAAAGAGAUAAUCAUUGCUUGAGAAAAUGAGCUGAUCAUAUGUCAAUCGAUGGCCAAGAAGGUUCCCCAAUCUGAUCUACGGAGCAUGGCAUUUCAUAAAACUCUGUUUCUAGAGAAAAAAAAAAAAAUUAACAGCUUCUUAGGAUUGGAGCAUCAGGUGACUUAGCAUUUCCAGUAUGAAUGAAUUAUAAGAUAGAUGAUGCUGCAAAAAUGAAUAGAGAUAAAAUUAAGCAAGAGAAAAUGUUUGAAUGUUAUUAUUGAAACCUUUUCCAGUGAUUGUAGAGAUAAUUUUCUUUGUAUUGAAACUUUCAGCAUCUGAAAGAUAAGGAAAAUAUUAAAAGAAAAAAGAAAAUUCUUAAAUCUUUUCCAUGUCACUCCAGCAAAGUUGAAUUGUGAUUCUAAACCCUACACCAAAGUGUAAGGUGGCCUGUGGCCUAUAGGUAAUACACAAUUUGACAACCCCAUAUAUUUAGUAAUCUAGGUGGAUGCCAUUAAUUUUUUUUUUUUAAAUUUUUGUUCAUUUUUAAUGCAAACAACGCCUCUUUCAUUGAGGCAUUGGAAUAUAUAAAGAUUUGUAUACUGAUUUUGGACCAUAAUUCACAAAUAAUGCGACGCAUAUCUUUCUUUCAGUACUUCUUCAGGAGGAUAAGAUACAGACAUUGUUGUCUUUUUACCUGAAGCAAGUGCAUGUGCAUGAAUUGUUGUUGUCUGUUAAUCUGCUGCCACUUUGCUGCCAAAAAACUUGAAAAAUAAACCAGGAAAAUUUUCAAUAAGCAAAGCCAAAACUUUUAAACACUCAAAUAAAGCACAUAAGUAAAGUAUUUCUGUCACAUUAGCUUUCGAGUGAGGUUUGAUUUACAUUUAUAUCAUAUAUACCAAGUGUUUUUUAUUCUUUUAAUUAAUUUAUAUCACAGCUUGGAAAUUCUAAAAAUUAAUCAUGCUUAAUCUUGAGCAACAAUAUCUGUAAUCAUCAUACGAGGUCAAAAGUGAGGAAAAAAAAGGAAAAGAAAAAGCAAGAGUUAGUUUUAUGUAUAAAAGUGAAAGGAUCUGUUAUACAGUAUUUCUGUUGCAUGGUUUUCGGAGGCAUAGCAUUGUCCACAGCAUUUGGGCUUUGCUUCUGAUUCAAUGGCAUUUAGAAUUUGGUUUCAUCUGAGAUCAUAUAUAGCUUGAUCCUGAUAUCUUCCAUUUUGGAGGCAUUCAGUUAAAUUGAAGAAGUUUGAUGUUCCAGUUCAAAUUGGGAUUGCUGAAGAUAAUAUAUAUAAUUCUGUAGAGGUUUUCUAAUUUUUAUUUUUAGUAAUGUAUUCAUGUCCUGUCAUUCUUCUUUCUGCUUAAAUCCAAUUGCCCAUGUUGGAAUUUCUUUUCAGCUUUUGUAUUCUUUUUCCUUUUUGUUCAAUAAUGCUAUAGACGAUGCUCUACCAUUUAAAAGAUAUAAAUAACAAAUUUUAUAAAUUUUUACUUCGUCAAGGUGUGAAACCUUAUAAAAUUUAUAAAUUUAACUUAUGAACAGAGAAGCAUAAAAAAAAUGUUUGGAGUUGCUUAAUACCAUAGAAACAAAAGCAGAAAGAGAUGUUCAAGAACAAAACCCAAAAAUUUUCAUCAAGUGGAGCAUCGAUCAUGCCAGCAUAAUAACAUAAUUACAUAAUGCUCGAAGAGCACGCAUGACUUUCUCAAAAAAUAAUAUCACUUAAAUGAUCAAAAAACAGAAAUAAUUAAUUGAUUAUCCAUAUAUAUAAACAAGCCUAGCUCUCAAUGUGAAAUAUAUUAAAUCAGCAACUAUAAGAUUUUCGGUGAUGAUAUUUCCACCCCAUAAAUUUUAUAAACCCACCCAUUUUUUUAAAAAAAAAUUAUUAUAAUAAGUUCACAUCAUUUUUUUUAAAUUUAAAUUAAGAAGAAAUUAAAAAAUUAAUCAAUUAAAUCUAUAUUCAUUUCUUUUUUUUUUAAUUAUGUUUCUUUAUUAAAUUUCAUCAAUAAGGUUGCUUUAACAUAAAUUAAUAUGACUAUUUUACCCUUAUAAGGUAAAAGUACCAAAAUAUCUAAAAAUUCACUUUAACUUUAAUAAAAUUUUAUGCAAUUUUUUUUAAUAUUUUAAUGAUAUAUAAGUAAUUGUUAGUACAAUUAUUAUUUCUCCACUAAACUAACAAAAUAUAAUUAGGACAUGUGGUGGAAUGAAAAUAAUUAAAUUUUAUAUAAAAACCUAAGCAAUUAGUUACGAUAAAUAUAUAUAUAUAUAUAUAUAUAUAUAUAUAGUAAUUUGGUUAUUUUAUAUUAUAAGGGUAAAAUAGUCAAAUUAAAUUUAUCUUGAGGCAACCUUCAAAAGUUAAAGAUUGUUAAAAGCUUAAGUCCAAAAAAUAAAAAUAAAAAUAAAAUUAUAAAAUUGAUUUAAUUAAUUAAUUAUUCAAAGCUUUUAUUAAUUUGUAAUUUUAUAAAAUAAUGUAAAUUUAUUGUAAUUAUUUUAUGGAGGUGGAGGGGGUUUAUAAAAAUAGUGGGGUGGAAAUAUUCACACCCUUCAAUUAAUAGUUAGGAUAAUUUUUAGAUACUUCCCCUAAAGUUUGGCUUUGCUUCACUUUUAGAUCAUUUUUAGAGAGAAUGUAUCUAUCUAUUGACAAGAGUGAUGAUACAACCAUAAAUUUUUAUACAAAUUUAUCUUGUAUAAAUUUAUUUGUCAUUAAUUCAUUGGUUGAAUAAAAAUGUAAAAUAAUAAAAAUAUAUCAUGUGGGUCCAGAGAUAUUUAAUUCAAGUAAUUUCAUCAUAUCACAUCAAUUUAUACAAAAUAAAUUUAUACAAAAAUUUAUAACAUUAUUAUCUAAUGGAUAAUAUACCCCUUGUCCGUGUAUAUAAGGGAUAGGCACUGAUUAAGUAGUUGCAGUAUUUUUUUUUAAAAAAUCUUACAAAAGCUAUUAUACUGUAACUAAUCAGCUAGUGAAACCCGAGGGGAUAGUAACCCAUUUUCAUUGUCAAUGCCUAGCUUCAUUUUUUUUUUUUUUUUCUCACUUGAUGAGUGCUUACCUUCAUUUCGAAGGUCGUGACACCAACUGAUUUUAGCAAAAGCAGAGAUACUUUGUGAUGCAGUAAGCUAACAAGUUUCUGAAAUCAACUAUGUUUUGAACCAAAUUUCGACGACGACCAGCAGCUGAAAAGCCGGUGAUUAAAGGGCACACUAGGUGCGUAAUUCUAUCAAAGCAUAAAACUGAAGUUAGGUUUUAUUAUUUUCUUGCAUUUUGUUGAAAAUUGCUGUUAGUUAGGUCCUUUAUUCUUUGUUCCCAUUAAUUGAGAAAAAUGUUUAGGGUUUAUAGAAAUUGAAGUAGUGACCGAAUAUAUCUGAAAUGAUUUUUGAGUUGAUAGUCAUUCGAAAUGUUGUGUAAACCAUGCAAAUGAUUUAUUUUUUGAUGAUUUUGGACUGUGGGUUUUGAAUGCUCACUGAAAUUUGCUUGAUAUGUUCUUUAAAUUGAGAAAAAUCCAAGCUUCUUCUAAGAAUACAGAGGUGUUGCUGAGAAAAUGCUUAUGGUGUUGUUUUGUUUCUUUUUUUAUUUUACAAGUGGGCAGUUCAUGUAAGAUUGAGACAGUUGCUCUUGUUGCUUUUUGAUGUUUUGUAUAGACUGAUUCCAAUCACUGAUUUCUGUUGGUAAAUGGAUGCUAUUUUUUUUUUUUCCUUUCUUCACAUAAAAAUUUGUACUUCCCAACAUAAAAUUCAGAUGCUUGCCUAUUGUUUUUUGAGGUUCUCAUUAAGGUGUAAGAGAUAAAUUAAUUAUAGAGCUUGUAGGCAGUUGGUUUAUUGAAGAACCAGUACAGUUGAGAAAGUGUCUUUUGGGACAUCCAUUUUAAUACACAGAUUAACAGAUUUAAUUACAUAAACACAAGACUUCAUUUGUUUAUCAAAGUAGUACUUUUGAUGCUUUCGUAUAAUGAAUGCCAAAGAGAUGACAUUUGCAAAAAGGCCAUUUGAAUGUACCAAUUGCUAUCCUUGUAAACCUCUAUUGUGAUUCUGUUAUCAUUAUAUGUUGUUUAAUGAUCUGAUGAUUUCGAGAUAUCAAGAUGAGUUUAUGGUAGUACAUGUUCAUUUAGCUACUUUAGGUACUAAUACAUGGAUUUAUUGUAUAAUGCCUACUUAGCAGCCAUAACUACACUCAUUGUUGAAGCUACAGCAACACAAAUGAGAAAAAACAUGCUGAGGAACAACAUUGUCUUUAUAUCAUUGCAUUUUACUCCAUUUACAAAUCUUGUUUGAAAAUCGAAUGAAUUUAAAAUAUUAUCGUUUAUUGUUUUUUUGUAGCAUUUACUAAUCUUCUGAUAUUCAGUAUUGUUUUUAUAUAAAUUAAUUUAAAAUAUUAUCAUUUAUUUAUCUUAUUAUGUGAUUUUACACUAUCAAAUUAUUUGUUUUAAGGGGCAUUUUGGUCUUUUCAGCACUCAUUUGAGUUUUGUCUUAUUAUAAGAAUAUGUAAUGUCAACAGCAAUUAUCAUAAGAGUAUAAUGGCCUUUUCACUGCUCUACAAACCCCCCCCUCCAACCCCGCGGCCAAAAACAAUUUCGCCCCAAAUAUAAAGAUCAUCUACCGUGUCCAAUAAUUUUGGCAUUCAUUGAAAUGUGUACUGAAGGGCAUUAUUGUAUAUUCACUCAACUACCUAACGGGUGCCUAACCUUCAUACAUGGCCGGGGGGUAUAUUGUCAAUAUAUGGAUACAUUCUCUCUAAGUGUAUCAAAGCCAAACCUCAGGGGAGGUUUCUAAAAGUUUUCCUAAAUAGUUAAUAAUUUUGUACAACAGAUUCCUGGAUACGCCUCAAGUUCACUGAUUCUACGUUAUGGCUGACUUUCAAGAAAUUAAAUUCUACAUUAUGACCCCCAGUGAAACAUUGUCGCCGAUAAAAUUAUAAAAUAUAUGUGUAAUAGUAGUCAAACCUAAACCUACGUCGUUUAGCAAUUUACAAAAUGAGAAAGACGACAAAAGCCAGGUGUUGGACCGGCAACGAGCCAACGAGAUAAGCUCAAGUUCACUGUGUUUUUUAUGAACCCUCUGAAGACCCGAAACUCUGGGUUUGUUUUUUACGUUCCCUAACUGUUUGACUACAUUUUUAUUCUUUGCUACAUUCGUUAUGAACUGUUCAGGCUAAGUGCUCGACGAAAUUCCUAAGUGAGUAUGUAUAAUGGUUUGCUCUUGUAUUUAUUCUGUUAUAGAAGGUUUUGCUUUGGGUGGUUAAAUAGAAGAGACUAGACAUUGAACUUUAUGCACUUGUAUGUUUUCAAGUAAUUGGUUGUUCAGGGACAUGUACUUUGAAUUGCUUCAUUCAUCUUCAGAGAUAUCAUAACUUUUGUUGUUAAUUUGUCCAAAGUGAAGGCUUUUUUAACUUUUAUUUCUUUGAUUUAUUUAUUUAUUGGUGUAUCGAGGUUCUGUGUCUAAACUUUUAUUUGAUAAGUUCUUUCAGACUACUAAUUAGAAGAAAAAAGUGCUAGAGAGUGAGUAUGAGAGGGAAUGAUGUUUGGGCAAGGGGUGAUUGGUUCACUUGGCUCAUUAAGAACCCCAACUAUAAUGGCAUGUAUCAAUUUCGCAGCCUAAUUGGCAGGUAAGCUCAUUUCUUGAUUUCCUUCAUUUUUCACUUCCAUUUUACUGUUUUCAGGUAGCAGGUAAUUUAAAUAAAAGUAAAAUCAGUAGUGAUUUGCUUCAAGUGCAUAUGGAUAGUAUAUCACAUGUGAGAAGAUUGUAUUUGUUAUAUGAAAAUCCUUAAUAACUUUAAUUAAAAAAUAUAUUCUCAAACCUGAUCGUGGAAUGUACUAUUUCUUAAUAUCUGAGUUUGGAUCAACACAUUUUUUGCCAUGCAAUUUGGCAAGUUGUCAUGUCCUCAUUCUGCGCUAUUAUAAGUUUUGCCAAUCUGCAUAGGUGUUUUUAUAGAUUGAGUUAAUCUAGUUUCGAGAACAUGCCUUACUAAAGGGCGUCGAGUUUCUAAGUGAAGGCAAGUGCAACUAUAAUUAUCUAUUUCAUAUCCUCCCUGUUACCUCAAAAUUCUUUCAAUAACUUGGGGACGUUAAUCCUAUUAACGACAGCCACAUAUUAUAAGUUGAGAAACUGAUUUUUUGAUUAUUGAAAAAUUAAAUUUUUUGUAUUAUUCUAUUAAUGAUAUCAGUAACCUACCUGUUGCGGUUGUCUUGUAUGGAUCAUUGUUUCUCUUUUAAGCUGUUAUAUUGACAAUUUUUAGCUAUUAUUGCAGAUCUUAAAGUCAUUGCAAGCACAUGCUCCAUUGAUCUCCAUAAAUUCGGAUACAUAUGUAUAGUUAGCUAUUCGAACAACCACACUGGUAUUCAACUUCAAUAUUCAGAAACAUGGCUGAAGUGAAGCUUCAUGGGGCAUGGGCGAGUGCAUUUUGUUACAGAGUGAUAUGGGCUCUGAAAUUGAAAGGCAUAGCAUAUGAUUACAUUGAAGAAGAUCUCUCCAACAAAAGUGCUUUGCUUUUGAAGUAUAAUCCAGUUCACAAGAAGGUCCCAGUGCUUGUUCAUGACGAAAAAUCCGUUUGCGAGUCCAUUGUUAUCCUUGAAUACAUUGAAGAGAUGUGGCCACACAAUCCCUCCUUGAUGCCAAGUGAUCCUUAUGAUAGAGCUCUGGCUCAUUUCUGGAUUAAAUUUGCCGAAGACAGGGUUUGCUUCAGAACUCUAGCUAAUGCGUUUAUAAGUUCAUUAUUUUCAUGUUUAUUUGUUAUUAGAGAAAAUGAUCAGUAUCCCCCAUUGUAUGUCAAAAUUAAUCAUUUCUUCUUUUAUGUUUUAAAACCUAUCAAAAUCUCCAUUGUUGUUCAAAAAAUUCUGUUAACUUUCAACUUUUUGUGUCUUUUACUAAUUUACCACUGGAAAAAUUUUUAUUAUUAAGAAGUUGAAAGUUUAUUAGAAUUUUUUUAAUGGCAGGGGAAAUUUUGAUGGCUUUUGAAAUAUGAGGGAGAAAGGAAUUGAUUUACCAAAACAGCAUUGGGGUUUUGUUGUUCAUUUACCCUCUGUCAUUCGAUGUAGUGGUUAACCUUUGGUAUAAGGAUGCUUGACAAGGGUAUUUAGGUCCAAGUCUUUUAGCUCAUAUGGAUUGCUGGGUACUUUCAUAUGGAUUUGAGUAAUAAAAGGGACUUGACUUUAUAUUUAUGAAUUAUUGCAUGUAUUUCGUUAAUUAUUAAUGGACUACUAGCGGUUAUGUAGUGUUUGGAAGGAAGUUUGAAUGCUAAGAUGUACUAAUGACUUAAUGACAUGUGGCAAAAAAAAAUCAGUUAAGUCAACUCGAUUGAACGAAUGGUAAUAUAGCUCUCAAAAGUUAGAAGAUAAGCUCCCUAUGAAAAAAGAUAGUUUCGGUAAUAUGUCUAACAUUAAGGGGUAUUAUCGAAACUUUAAAUUUUAAUGGUUAGACCCAGUAUGUGAACAGUGUGUCAUUAUUUUUAGGGUUAUAUUUUGCUAAGAAUAACGAGCCAAUAGAACUUUAGAGACUUUUUUCUAGAUCUAAUUUCUUGAGAGACUUCUUCAUCUUCUUCAUCCUCUAUUUUUAGGGUUUCUUUCUCCAUUUUAACACCACCAUGGAAAAUCUUAACCAUCUCAUCUCCCAAAGAAACCUCUUCCCUUACUCUUCUCUUGGAAAACUCUCUAAUCUCUAUGAGACUCAUAUCUCCCCCAUGUCAUUAUUCCUCAUAAACAAUCUUUAAUAAGAUUUUGUCGAUAUUAUAAUGCAAAUUAUGUAAUACUUCAUUUAUAUAGUGGAUUGGAUAUGAGUUACUCUUAUCGAUGUAGAUCAAAGGGCCAACCACCUAAAAUCUUGUGUGUUCUUUAUUGUUUAUACUUAUUUUCUAUUUAUUAGGAUGAUGAUAAUGUUCAGAUCGUAUUUCAUAUAUGAGCUCACUAGAGGCAUACCACAAGCUCUAUUGAGUUCCCUAAAUAAGCUCUCUAGUUAAAGCUAUCCUUAAAUUCGCUAGAACUACUCCCUAAACUCUCUUGACCUCCGCAAAUCAACUCUUUAAACUAAAUCCCAUGAGCUCCACAAAGCUUACCUCCCAACAGGCAACAGCAGAAUACCAAGCUUACCUCAAUUCAUCUUCCAGAUCACCUCAGUUAUUUCUUUUGUUUCUAACAGUAGAAAAACACACUUAGAUUUUUACCAGCCCAAUCUCACCUCAAAUAUAAAUUUAUUUAUUUAAAUUGUCUUUGACCUAGAUCUAGUGAGGAAAAUGAUUCAAAUCAGAUCCUAGAGGAAAUCCGGUCAAAACAUGUAUCUAUGUAUAAUAUUUAACAUCAUCCUAACGAUCAAUCCGAAUGCACUUGGAUUUGUUCUUAAUAGUACACAAAAGUGGAAAAAGCAUAGCAAGCAACACUUGCACACUCGAGGCUGAAUACAAGUACGAACGACACAAUUCCAAGCAACAAACAAUGAUCAUCAGUACUAAUUUUUUCUGCAAGCCACAAAAUUGGAAAAUACCGCCAAGUAAUUAAUUAACCACUGUGACUUGCCAGCUUAAGCUUAUCCAAUGCUGAGAGUUCAUUAUUCUUCAAGGAUUGGUUAUUGUAAAUGUCUUUUAGAGUAAUUUCAGGAUAGAGCAGAGGAUUUACUUCUGAUAGCAACUCUUUAAUUGGACCAUAUCGUCUCGAGCAACUAUUAUUCAUGAAAAAACUUCCGAUUGAAAUUCUGGAGCCUUCCUUAUUUGAUAACACUCUAUGAUAGGCACUCUUGAACUUAUCGUUGGUAAUCAGCUGCAUGAACACAAGCAUGUUGGUAAUCAGCUGCAUAAACACACACUUCAUAUAAACGAUAAUUAAGUUAUCUGAUAGAGAUUCAUGCUCAGGUGUAGACGUUCACAUGAAAUUUUGUGAGGACGAUUCUUUCACAGUAUUGUGAAAGUGUGUCCGCACAAGAUUUAGUGCGAAUGUCGCACCAGAGAAUUUUCAAUUCGAUGGAUAGUAUUUCUUAAUAAGUUAUCUAACACACACUUGCCUGCAUCAUGUAGCCUAAGUUUACAACUAGAGCUCCUGGAACAGGGGCAAUGUCAAACCACUGAUCUUCGUGAAAGACUUGGAGGCCACCAAUUUGAUCUUGUAUGAGCACAGUAACAAAUCCAGGGUCAGAAUGUGUUGCUAUGCCGAUGGACAAUUCUGGUUGAGGGCAUUCAGGGUAGUAACUAUUCCCAAUAGUCAUUUCCUCUACACAACCUAUGUCUUUCAGGUAAUUGGGGUCAAGCCCUAAAGCUUCGGAUAAAAGUUCAAACAGAGUGCCCCCUGUUUUCCACAUUAGGUUGUUGUAUGUGAUCAUUAUCUCUCUGCAAAUUAAUAAAGACAAAAAAUAAUCACUACUAAAAGAAAGGGAGAAUGACAUUUCGACUUUUAGAAAUUAUUUUUUUAUUGGGUUAACAUCUAGAUGAAAUGAGAGUAAUAAAAACUUAUUAGGAACCCAAGUGAUGCAAAAAGUUCUAAGAAAGAGGCAGGUGUUAUCCACUGUAAAAGAAAUAAAAUCUAUUGGUCAUCGUCCACAUACCUGCAAGCUUCAGGCAAAUCUUCAGGAUUUGAAAAAUCGCGAUCCAUAACACAACUCAAAGUAUCUUUCCAAAAGAGAGUCGGUGCACUAUACAAAUUUAAAUUUGAACAAUAUUUAAUUUUUUUGGAGUAAUCACGAGAAUAAUAUUUCUGCUUAACCUCAACAUCUUGUUCAAAAAACCUACGGAUCCCAUCAAUGGCUUGAUCCAAAAUGCUUGUUGGGAUUCCAUGAUUGAUCACUUGAAAGAAACCCCACUCCUCACAAGCACUUCUAAUUUGGUCAAUUACCUGAGAACGCAAGCUUGAAUCCUUGUGUAUUCUUUGAAGGUUUAUGAUUGGGAUGCUGAUUUUGGGGUCCCUGCAGAUUGGCUUAUCAUCAAACUUAUAUUUAGUGUGAUGGUCUUGAAUGAAGAUCUGUGGAAUGGUUGUGAUCCCAGCAUCUACGAGUCCCUUAACGCCAGCUUUCGUGUCAUCAAAAGCUUUCAACUCGCUAACUCUGUCACAAGUAAUGCUUCCCAUUUGCUUGGUGAAUUAUCUAUUACUCGGUGAAUUAUGAAGUACAUGUGCUAACUUGCUGAUGAUUGCUUUUGGGAGAUACCAUUUAUAUGAUUGCUGGCUUGCCACGUGCAACAUGUUGAAAUAUAACGUCACCACGAUGAUAUGGAAAUUUGUAAAUUUGAUUCUGCAUUAUUUAUCAUGAUUAAAUUAAUUAUAAAUUAUCAAUAACAGUCAAUUCCGGGGACCACCAACCAGUGGGUAGCACAGCACAAUAAUAGACUGGGCUGUGGCUUUGUUUUAUGUGGACAAAAUUUCAAUUAGCUACAGCAUAUUGCUGCUUUAUAGUUAACGUUUCACCUUCUCCGUUUGGACAUACUAUUAUGGAUUUACAGUGUUGCUUAAAAGCUAGAUCUUAAAUGAAAAGAAAGCUUUAAUGGUGAAAUAAUUAUUAAAAAAAAUGAUAAAGAGACUAAAUGUUAACCUAAUGUUAACAAAAAUAAUGGUAAAAUAAACCUGUUUUAUCAUGUUAAUAAUAGUGGUAUAUAUUUAACUUUAAUAAAUUUGGCCAUUUCGAUUUUUAAUUUGGCACCUUCCCUGCUCAGUCAAGAAAAAGAAUACUAUAAAAAUUAAAAUAGAAAAUUUGGCAAGGACAUAACUAUAGAAAUGUUAUAUAUCAAAACAAUGUCAAAGUUGUAAUACUUCCCUUAUUAAUGAGAAGAGUACUAGCAUAUAUAAGAUCGAUAAUCACUUAAAUUAAGCCUUAUAAUACUAAACUACAUACAUGGGAUCUGAUGCGUACAAGCAAUGCUUUCUGGUCACAGCAGCUUUAGGCUUUCAGCUACAGUAUAAAGUGAAACUGUCGCUUGAAAAUAAAAUUCAUGUUCAGCAGCCUCUCUAUAUCUGAGCUCCAAUUUUAUAACCAGGCAGCUAAAUAAGAUGAUUUAGACGGCAACGGCGUCUGUAGUAUUAAUUGUUUGUCUGUAGUCCCUCAUUAUCUACUUUCUGAUCGCUUACUAUGUAGAGAAUCGACAAGAGCAAAUUGUAGCACACGUUCACAGCACUAAUAACUGUUAAACUCUUAUAGUACUUAUCAAGCCUACUACCAUCCAAGGUUUUAGCCAAGUCGCCUUUGUUUGCCAAAAUGAAAAAGAUGUUAAAAAUGCUUCCAAUUCCGACGAAAAAAGAACUUAUUACUGAUACAUGGUACUCCAUCCGUUCAGGAAAAUGAGAGCUCGAGUAUUCAUCACAUCCAUGCAAAGCAAGCCCUUCCAUAAGACCCAAUAGACAGAAUUGUGGAACAAGCCAAAACAUGCUCAUAUUUUCCAAUUGUUUGCUCUUUUCCAACCUGCGAACCUCAACCUGCCAUGACACUACACAGCAAACUGUAGACAUCACCAUUCCAAUGAAUGUUCUCAAUACUUGAGCUUGUCUCUGCUUCGUUUCUGGAACAAACUUGGAAAUUAAUUUUUUCGACAGAUAAGAGAUCGUCGCACGAAUGAUGGCUUCAAAAGUAAGUAGAAAGAUUAAGUAACGUUCAGAAAUCAUUUUGGCUCCCUGCUCAGGAAAAAAUGUAUUUCCCGCUGACAGAACCAAUCCAAACACAAUGAAGCUAGACCACAAUGGCAACAAUUUAAAAAGAUAUUUUGACUCCCUGACCUGGGCCACAGUGCAAAGUGUGCCUGCCUCUUCUUGUUCUUUAGAAGUACUUGAUGUCUCUAUAAUUGCCGCUUUGUCUAUCCAUCUGCAAUUCAAACAAUUAAUUUAUUCCUAAUUUUUUAGGGAAAAUAGAAUGCAGCAGCUCAUGGUUCGGUAAAAUGGUCACACAGAUUCUUUUAUAAAUACACCCUUUUGGACAAAUCUUAGAGGUCAGUGUGACCAUUUGUAAACACAAAAGGAUAUCAGUGUGUCCAUAAAGAGGUCUAUGCAAUUAUUACUAAAAAUAAGAGGGUCUCUCCGACAAUUUUUGCCAGACCACGGCCGGCUGUGGGUGUAUACAUGUUAGGUGUAUACCUGAGUAAUUUGAUUCUGGGUGACAAGCGUGGUACGUUUCCCUCAUCAUUACUGAAGAACUGCUCCGGAGAAAGAGGAUAAUUGAGAUGCUUUUUCUUCAGGGAAGUUUUAACAACUUGGAUUAUAGCAAAACGGUCAACAGGAGGUAUUUGUCUACUAUGAUAAAAGGGAAUACCCAACAACAGCAGGAUCAAACUGCCCCCCAUAAACAACAAUGUGAACAUGAAAGUCUUCCCCCAUGUUUUAAUAUUAUUUGCAUAGAAUGCCGCAGCCACACCACAGCACCAGGCAAACCGCCACCACACUCUUUUCUGAGCCAUUACUUGAUUCUCAUUUGUAUUUUCUGUGCUCCCUCCUUCACCAUGUUCUCUUAAUUGAUCGGCAAGAAAUGGUCCUAGAAGAGGUGCCACUCCAACUUCACCCACUGCUAACAGGAUAAUUCCUAUCAUAUUGAGUAGCUCAAAGUUGGUUUCUGAAAUAUCUCUGGACGCUGUAUAGAACAAUAGCCCCAAUGCCUACAACAAAAAUUGUUGGAACUAAUUGUACAGUGUCAAGGAAGCUCAUGUGAGUCAAAUAGUCAGCAAAGCAGAGGAUUAUAACAGCAGCAGCUCACAGCUACGAGUUGAUGAUUUGGAUUGCCAGCUGGCACCUGGUGGUUACAUAAUUUCUUGUACUCGUGAUUGUUAGUUACAGUUAGUUAAUAAGCUGCUGCAUGAUUAGCAUGUGAGAUUAGUUUUAGCUAAUAUUGUUGAUUAGUUACGUGAGUAUAUAAAGCAAAGGCUGCACAUUUCCUCUGUAAUCUUGUUGAAUGAAAUAAAAAACAAAUUCUCAGAUUCUUAUCAUUUUCUCUCAAUAUUUCUUAGUUAUCAAACAAGUUGUUUUCUCACUUACAGUUUAACAUUAUGAUCCUAAAAAUGGUUUUUUUAAUCAUUAUUAUAAUCAGGAGUGCAGCCAAAAUGAAUACAUGCCACAUCAAUUAUAGCUUAACUAUUGGGAUCUUUAGCAUUCUUUUCAUAGGGGUAAAGCUCCUGAUAUCCUCUUAUUAUGUAUAUUUUUCUCUACAUUCUGUGAAAUUUAACAUAUGCUGCAAAAUAAUAAUUUCUAAAUUUAGCCUAAAGUACUACAAAAUCCAGGGUCCACCCCAGGAUAUAAAUUUCUUGCAGAUGAUAGACAUAUGUUUUAAUUUUGUCUCUGUUUGGAAGCUUAGCAAAUUUAAAACAUAUUUACUCACAAGGAUGUAGGAGACAGUUGAAAAUAUGAGGAUUCUCAGAGGACGGAUGGCAUAACACGAAAUCCAGGCGGCAACAACCGCAAGAGUUGCUAAUAUUCCAUCCUGAAAACUCGUAAAUAUAGCAGCUUUCUGAAGUGUGAAUAGUUCUGAAUAUUUGGAGUCCGAGAAGUAAGUUAUCAAGACGCCCACUACAGCCAAGUCUACCAGUUUGCGGCUUAUCAACAAACCUGGACUCAAAAUAUAAUCAUUAGAAGAAAUGUUCGUGCUCACUGAAAAAAGCAUACACAUGAAAACUACAAGAACAACAUAAGAACUGUUGCCAUGUUUUUAUUAUUUAGCCCAACUUAAUCAAAGAUAUUAAGUACACCCUCUUAACUGAAUAAAUACAUUUUUAAAAGAUAUGAUUACCUAAGGCGCCUCAAGAAGCAAAAUUACCUGACAUAAAUGCAGCAGCCUUACAAAAACAGACGUAAUAUCGUACCCAAGUUAUGAACCUCUUUUUAAGCGUCAACAACCGAGAAAAUGGAAACAUUGUAGUUUCUGAAACUGCUUACUUUUUCUGCAAAUAUUUCUGCUUGUGAGUUGUGAGUCCUGAUCCCCGAGAUUCUGCAAAUUUGGCGCAUACCAAAGUCUUCGAUAAGUCUUCUAAAAAGUUAAAUUAAGACGGCGUAUACUCGUAAUGAGUGGUGCAACUUGCAUGCCGUACAUAUGACGAGUGACGUAUGAGGGGAAAGAAAAUGAAAGGGACGGAAAUAGUUUUUUUAAUAUUGUAAUUAUAUAUUAAUAACAAAUACAUUUACGUAAAAACCCCCCACCAUCAAACACUAUGCAAAAUGUCUUCACACACACGAACUAAACGCUCGCGCAUUUAACACACAAACAAAACACACACGGAUACAACUUGAUAGAAUUACAAAACACCAGCCUAUUAACAAACUACCAAGAACACCAACUACCAGAUCUAGAUCUAGAGUCAAGAUCUAUUAACAUUCAAUUCCAGAACCUAAAACAAUUAACCCCCAAAAUCCAUAAAGAGCUCUGCCCUGUCUCUUGAGAGCGUAAACGACAUCCAUCGCAGUCACGGUCUUUCCACUGAACGCGGGUUGCUGCCACUGAUCGCGCUGCCAGAAGCUGCUGGUACUGCUUGCGAUCGAAACUGCCGCUGGUGCAUCCUCAAAUCGAAAACCACCGCUGCAGGUGCUGCUGCUCGUUGCCGCUGUAAGCUGCUGCUCGUCAAUUCGGUAAUCCUCUGUGGUGAUCAGAAGUCGUCUUUGUAUCCAGGGUUUUAUACGAUGAUGAUGGUGGUCAUAUUUGUUUUUGCUUUCGUUUUUCGCUUUUAGUUUGUAAGAUUAGUAAAAAAAAUGAUAGCAAAGAAAUGUAUUGAUGAUGAAAGUAGAUUAUUAAUUUGUUUUUAGUUUUAUCCGGUCGAAUGUUGUAAUGCCUCGGAAGGUGAGAGUUUGAUUCUGAGAUUGAAUAAAAGUAACCGUACAGACAAACUGUCCAGCGUAGUUUGACUGAGAACUUCAAAUUAGUGGAUAACAAAAUAUCUAGAAUAUUUGCAUGUUGACAGCAAAGAAACUGUCCUAUUUUAUUUUAUUUAUUUGUAAAAUGAAAUAAAGUAUGGUUAAAUCUUUAGGUACCAAUAAUGUAUUCAUUUUGGAGAGAAAUUUUAUGGUAAGAUAAUUGAUUUUAAUAUAUGGAUUUAUAUUUUAUAAAUUAAACUGUGGUAUUUGAAAAAUAAAUUUAAAAGGAUGUUGGAAGAAUUUUAAAGAAGUGUUAAAAGUUCCACCCUUAAUUCAAAGAGUUAGUAUGCAAAAGUGAAAAUAUAAGAAACACUCAUUGACACCGUUAGGCCUUUGGCCUGAUGGUAAAGAAUCUAUUGAGGGCACUUGUUUAAGUAAAAACAUAAGGAUUAAUAGUAUUUGACCCCCUUGAUUUAUUUCAAUAACACCCACUAUUCAAUUAUCUUUAUGUAUUUUCAAAAGUACCCUUAUUCAUCUGUUUGGAAUAAGUGCAAAAUGUUACAUAGAACGCUCUAGUCAGCUACCAUAUGCUUUGAGUACUUUAUUUUUUACGGAGAGCGGAUGCAUGGAUCGUCUCACUCUUGUGUCCCAAUACUACUCUUACUAGGCGAAUCAAGUGCCAUUGCAUCAUCAUCGACCAGAAUUUUUAACAUCAUCUUCAUCAACGAUUUUUUUUAUUUUUUAUUAACAAUCUAAUUUCUUCUUAAACUUUCUUCAUUACUCUAGAGUUCUUAAAAAUUUAAAUUAUUUUGGUGGGUAGUUUAGACAUUUCAAUUUAAAAUAGAAAAAGUGGGGAUUAUUGAGUUAAAAUGAAUGAGUCAAAUUCACUACUCAAUCACACUAAAAAAAAAGGGCCGAUCUUCGAGAAUUUAAAUUAUUUUGGUGCAACAGCCAACAAUACCCUAUCGGUCAUUCGGUCUGUCUUCAACUCCAACAACAACCCUUUCUGUAGAACUUAGUUUUCACGCUUAUCUUCGAGAAGCUCCUUACUUCGUAUAAUCACACAGAGAUGGAAACUACAGUAACACUAUUUUUAAAAUUAUAUUUUUGCCUAAAACUUUUAGUAAUUUGACUAUGGCCUAAAAUGUUAUAAAACUUUACAAAUAGAUCCAACUUCAGAAUUUCUAAAAAUUUCCUGGAAUUAUGCUACGGCACAAAACUUUAAAAUAUUUUUCAAAAAAUUCUUUUUCAUAAUUUUACCAUAAUGCUUAUUGAUUUCAAAGUUCUCAAAACUUUUUCAAUUUAAUCCAAAUUCCUCAAAUCCACAAAAUAUUUUAUCUUAUAAAUAUAAAACAUUUUGGUUUAUGAAAAGUAAUGAUUUAUUAAAUAAAAGCUUGAGCUUCUCAAAUUCUAAACCAUGCAUAUAAUAAAUCAUACUGGCUUUACAAGAAUUUGUCGCAAUAAUGACUCCGUUGGGCUAAACUUUGUUCUUGAUCACGCCAUUGUCCGUUGAGUGUCUUAAGCUUAAUUUCACGCGAUUCACUUACAUAAAUAUUAUCCUUCAAGAACUAAUGAAAAUAUGAAAUACAAUAUUUAUCAUAUUACUUAAGACAUAUGUUUGUUAUCUUCAAAAUUACAAAAUAUAUAGCCCUUUAGGCUAAUAAGAUGGUGUUGAUAGAUUACUUAGAUUAUUUUGUGACAAUAAGCCCACAGUGCUGUAUUCUAAUAACAAUAGGAGCUUGACGAAGUCGAAGUAUAUAGACAUCAAGUUCCUAGUUGUUAAAGAAAGAGUUCAGAGUAGACAGUUGUUUAUAGAGCACGUCAGUACAAACUCCAUGAUUGCGGAUCCACUUAUUAAGGGAUUACUACCCAAAAUGUUUACCACCCAAACUUUCGAUGCAUUCUCUUAAUUCUCAAUUUCUCGGUCGAAGGUAGUACCAAUACUAGGUCGCUCUUUUGAUUUUGAUUUCUCGAAUCCAGAGAUUCAUGAAUCGGGAUCCUAAUGCAUAUAGAUACAAAUGGUCCAAUGGUUAAAAUGUUUCAUGAGCAUGUUGCUCGUAUGAGUGUCGCGUUAUUAAAGGAUAUUCAGUUUUAGUGAGAGUUUGUGAUUUUAGAUGCUCUUGUAAUAUAGACAUUUUUUCAGUUAUUUCAAUUUUUGGAUAUUUCAGCUUGUUUUCUGUAGAAAUAAAGUUUUGGUUUACUCACACUUUGAUUUUAGUAUGGUUUGAUCCACUAAGUUUUAAGAUGGACCAGUUGGAAAUAGACAUGUUAAGAUCACAUUACAUGAAAUUUCUAUACUACACAUUCACAUUAUGAUUCAUGUCAUUCAGUUUUGUAUUGACAUAGUGACCAUUGAUGGGUCAAGUUAUGAUAAUUAUAAAAAAGGCCGCUUUGAUCCGAUGUUGAUAUGAUUGAUGGAUCAAAUUGGCUGUAGAUACAUUUCAGUAAUGACAGUAAGGUUGUGCUCAUACAGUUAUUUUUGCAGAACAUAAUUAUAAGGUUACACAUAUAGCCCAAGUGGGAGAUUAUUAGAUUUUUUAAUCCAAUAUUGUUGGAUCCUUAAUUCAACGUUGAGCUUAUAUGUAAAUAAUUAUGUGUUACAAACUAUCAUAUAAGGUUAAACCCAAUUAAAGGUGAAAAUCUAUUAAGGUUUUCGGUAUAAUGAGCUUUAAUGUAUCUAACAGGGUGUGAGCCUUUAAUAUUUAGAGAUCUAAUGGUAUUCUAAUUCUAUGAUAGACAAAAUUAAGAAUACAUAAUGACAAAAGAAAAAAAUUAUCUAUAUAAGUGGUUAUGGUCCCCAGGUCACAUGUAUUUUUCCAUUCUUUCUUAUAUCCCACCAUCAGAGAGAGAGUUCGCAGAGAGAAUUAAAAAACUCUUUAGGAGAACGUAUUGAUCUGAAAGGUCAACCACGCAUUCUUAGAGAAUAAUUAAGCAUUAUAGAUUUAGGUACGCUUUCACAUAAUUUUAUUAUUAAUUUUUGAUAAUACAACAUGAAUAAAUUAUCCAAGUUCCACUAAUAAUCUUCAAAGUCGGCUCACCCGAAAGGGCCACCACUGUUGCUUGCUUUUUUUGCUUUUCCAGAGGGACGGCUAGCUGGUUAGAGAUGAAAUUCGAUGGAAGGUUAUUAAAAACGGAUCCAAAAACGGCCACUUGAUGAUACGGGUCAAAGGCUCAGAAUCAGGUGAUGUGGCACCUUCAGAACCGUCAACUUGGAGUAAAAUCAGUGGCCAAAAUAGACUGAUCAAUCGCGUUAAAAACAUAGGCGGGUCAAGCGGCCCGUUCUUCAGAGAUCGCAAUUUCGAGCGGCCAGGUCUACGUUAGGUCGCAUACAACAGUCAAUCAACCUUUGGUCAACAUGAAAGUCAACGAGGAUGCCCCAUGUCUCUGCGGAGUGCAUUACAUGAGAAUGCAAUCUACCUCCAAAAAUCCAUUUUCAAUCCUAUCUCUAACUUAACUUAGUCCUGGUUGUUAACUAUUUUAAUAUUUUCGACCCUCCGAACCCAAAAAUAAGACCCUUUCCCUCAUUUAAAAAUUCAAAAAUACUAAAGCAAUGAUUUUAUCCCUCAACCCAUUAUUGAAGGUUUGUAACAAACCUUAAUACAUAUUACACAUUUCAAACUUUGUAAGUGGGCAGUCUGACUAACAUGAGACUACAUUAUUUCAUGCUAAGUAGCUCCAUAAGCCAGCAUAAUGGUGUACAAUGCACACAUAAUACAGCAGCUGCCGUGUUGACCCCAGAGGGACCCUGAGUUUGCUUAGCAUUAGCAUUUUUUUUUUAAUUUCCUAUUAAAUAAAAAAAACCCAGAAAUGCUUCCUGCUCUGAUACCAAGUUAAAAGUCUAAAGGAAUAAAAACUACCAGAAGAAUUGCACUGGGAGAAUGGUUUAUCAUUGCUGUGUAACUUCUUGGUAUAGAGUUUUGCUAUUUAUAUGCAGGGCAAGAUACAUCACAUGGUAAGAAUCACUACUUAAUUGUGCAAUGAUUUCAUGAGAUUAUUCCUUUCAUUUUCACAAUCUUAUUGAUCUCUUUCCUUCCAUACAGAUUCUUGCUUUGUAUUCAGGAUUACUGCUUGACAGAUUUUACACGAUUAUGUGGCAUCUGAUUCGGACUCUCUUUUCUAACUCCUAAGAUAAGGACUGAUCAUCUUCCAUUUACUUUUUAAUAUGUAGGAAGGAAUCGAGGUAAAGAAUUUUGAUACUUGGCUUGUCCAAAGAUUUAAGAUUCUAAUUAGUGUGAAAAAUACUACACUUCUCCACACACACAUGCAUAAACUACUACAUACCCUUACCUAAUAGAUCAACUUAGCCAACAUGGAUUCUACUAUUUCCAUUGAGUUUGAGGAAGCUCCAUCAUUGGGCAGCAAAGCCGCGAAUCAGUCACAAACGGAUCCAAAGUUGUUAAAGGCUGCAGCUGAUGGCAAUGCUGAACCCUUCAAAGAUAUGGCAAGAGAAGUAAUUGAGAGCUUGUUAACAUUACAGACUAGGAACACAAUCCUGCAUGUCAACAUCAUAUGUCAGGAAACAGAAAAUGCGUCAACCAAGUUCGUAGAAGAGAUACUUGAGAUAUGCCCAGCACUGCUAAUACAAGUUAAUGCCAAAGGCGAUACUCCGCUCCACGUUGCAGCAAAAUUCCGCCAUUCUGAUAUAGUGAGAGUUCUUAUUGGCAGAGCAAAACUAGCUCAACAUGGAGAUGAAGAGCCAGAGAGCAGGGUUGAAGCUGCAAGGCAGAUGAUUAGGAUGGUGAAUAAUAAGAAGAAUACAGCACUGCACGACGCAAUCUUUCCUGGCAACAUGGAGGUGGUGAAAAUACUGACGAGAGAAGACCCGGAUUAUCCAUAUUCAGCAAAUGAUUAUGGCAAAACACCGCUCUACAUGGCUGCUGAGUCUGAGUCUUCCGAUAUGGUGCUUACCUUGUUAGAAAACUGUACAUCAUUGUCCCAUGAAGGCCCCAACGGAAAGACGGCUUUACAUGCUGCAGCUAUGUACUUUGAAUUCAGUAAGUUUAAUUAAUAGUGGGAAUUUGAUUCUUGAUAUCUUUUCUUGUAAGUUUGUUCAUGCUUUUUUAUCACUCUUGGAGUGUUGUUUUAAUUAAGUUUGUAGUUGGCCCUGAGGCCUGGCAGAAUGAUUUUCAUGUAAUUAUAUUUAGCUGGCUAUCGGAGUUCAAAUCCUCCGAGGUGGUGGUUAAAAAUUCAAUUCGAAUUCUAAUUUUAUUUAUCUUUUGUCUCUGUAUUCUCAGAAGGAGAUCAUCAUGCGAUGCGACAAUUAUUUGGAAGAAAGAAGAGUCUGCUUAAAGUAACAGAUCAAUAUGGGUGGACUCCGAUUCAUUACGCUGCAUAUCAUGGGAAGUACUGGAUAAAUGAUUUAUUAGAAAUUGAUCAAACUGCUACAAACAUUGCUGACAAAGAUCGAAAGAUGACAGCUCUUCAUUUAGCAGCGGGCCGAGGACAUGCCCGAACAGUUGAAACAAUUCUUUCUCUUGCUCCAGAAUGUUUUGAACUGGUCGAUAACAGGAGAUGGAAUUUUCUUCAUUAUGCUGUGGCCAGUUUUCAAUUGCAAGAUUUAAAACCUCUUCUAAGAAACCCGUUUGCGAGGAUCCUUAUAAAUGAGGGAGAUGCCAAGGGGAACACUCCUCUCCAUGUGCUUGCUGCCGUCCGUCCGAGUGAAUUCAAUCGCUAUAUGAGUAGGACGACUCAUGCCAACUAUCAAGCUGUCAACGACCAAAAUGUUAGUGUUGGACACAUUAUGAAAUAUGGCUAUCCUGAGCUCCGGGUAAUUAAUUUGUCAAUUCUUUCAACUUAUAAAUCCAGCUUUUUCAUUACUUGUUUUUUUACGCUGUUAAUUAAUAUUCAAGUUCAAAUUACAGGAGGAAAUCAGAGAGUUAUCCACAGAUGUUGGCAGAGGACAAUAUCCUCAUGGUGCCAUAUCCAGAGUAGCAAAAAUAUGUUUGUAAGACCAGAUCCAAAUGCAGUGGCGUGUGGUGUGGGGACUAGACCGGGCUAGACCAAAAAAUUACUCAAUAUCCCUUAAAUUUUAUGUUACUUUCAUUUUUAGUUUUUUUUUUUCUCAAGUUUGUCCUGAAAUCAAUCUUUAUUAAAAUAACUAAAAUAGUAUUUAUAAUUAAGUUAUUCUAAUGUUGGAACCUUUAAAAUUCAAUAUCAAAUAGUAAUUUAUUUUUUUAAUUACUUCCUUUAGAGCAAGUUCAUUGAUGUUGCAGUACCUUUUGAAUAUUUUUUUUGCUAUGUUCACGCAUAACAUAUUCAAUAAAUUCAUAAAUUCCUUAUUUAACCCUGCCUAAUUAAAAUUUCUGGGUCCACCCCUGUCAAGAUGAUUUGCAAAUGAAUUAUCUUGAUGAUCCUAAAAAUGACUAUAAGGAUGUGAGAUCGCCAGAUGUUUUGGUAUAGGGAAAAUUACCCUUUAGGACAAUGAUUUGCACAUGCCUUGAGGAAUUUUCUCUGAGUCGGUAUUUGUUGGUCGGAUGAUAAAUUCAUAGUUGCAGGAAGCAACUAUUUGGUUCCCGGUUGCAACCACAAGGUUAUGAUUGCAACCUUCGUUGUUAAAUAACAAAGAAUACUGUUGUCAGUCUACUGUUUAUCACCGUUCAGUUUGUCGAUGGGUGUUGUUGUUCUGGCUGAUCUGGUCUUUCAAAAAAGUUAUUUUGUCUCAUAUUUCCAACAUAAAUAGCCCAACAAAUUUGUGCCAUUCUGUAUAUUUAUUAAUAUGAAAACGAUUCAUAAUUGUUUGACUUGUCUUUAUGUUUGAUCAAUGGAUAUGUUCCAAAAAUUACUUGAGAAAAAGAAGAUUUAACAUUUUUUUCUGGGCAAGCCGGCUGCUUCUCGAAAAAUUACUGACACUGAUAUCUGAGGUUUCUCGGAAGGCUCUUCUCCUUUCGUUUAUAUUGGAGUUCCAAUUUUCAAGGGUUGUACAAUAUUUUGUUUCUUGCCGGGCGAGUUGAGCAAGUUAAUACCGUUGACCCUAGCGGUUGACCUAAUAAUUAUUUUUUUUUUCCCUGUGACAACACUACAUCGUCUUGCCUUUGCUUUUCUCCGGGAUCUGUCACCCCAUGGUUGAUUUAACAUUUCUCUUAUCAAUUAAAAGAGUAAAUAAAACAUUAAAAAAAAAGUAGUUGUUAAAUUUCAUAAUUUUGUAACAUACAUCAAUCAAAUAGUUGUUAUUAAUAUAAAAAAUAAAAAUAAAAAUUAUAUGUGUAAAAAAAAUUCAGCUCAGGAAAAAGUCAACAGAUAGAUGCAUAAGAAUUCUAUUCUUCUCCGCAUUAACAAGUAGCAUUCAUAUACGACCCUUCAAUAAUGAAGUUACUGUUUUCAAGCCAUUGUUCAUCAUUAUUGUGUUUGCUAAUUGGUAUCAUUGUUCAGACUGAUUUAGGCUUUCAAUGAAACUAUAUUGAAUUAUAUUCCCAGCAAAUGGAUCCUGAUCUCAAAGCCGCAGUUAUGGCAAUAUAAUACUGAACCUUUCAAGGAUAUGGGAAGAGAUGUAACUUUGAACUCGGGCAUCAGAGGACUUGAGACUGAUUGUGUAAAUAUAUUUUGUACAAACGGAACAAUUGUGACACUUUGAGGUUGUCGGAUAGGAACUGCAUAAUAAGAUUGUCCCAUUGGAACCAUUGUGAUGCUCGCGUAAAUCAAUUAAAGGUUCCAAGAGGAAUAAAGAACACGUAUCAAAAUAAGGUAAAAUAAAAAGUAUAAAAGUCUAUAGUUAUUACAUGAAUGACACAUCCGGCAUUAAGCCAAGUUACCCAACAAAACUUUCAAAGAUUAAUGGAAAUACUCCAACAGCAAGACUUCCAGUAGUAAUACCCUCUUCCAGCGGCAAUACUCUAAUAGCCACGUACCCAGUAACUCUCCAACCCACUGUAAUUCCAGCCACAUACCCACCAUCUUCCAACACCAUUGCAAUUCCAGCCAUAUACCCAGCAACAUUCCAAACCAAACCCAGCAAACCAAUCUAUUCAAAAUCAAUCAAAAUACCCAAUGUUAUCGAAUGCAUAACAUGCACACUACAACCGUUAACAGAAACUACUAUAAUUUGACACUGCAACUUUAAUUUCAACAAAUUGCAACAUAAAAUUUUUUAAAAUCAAAGACCUAGUUACAAAAUGUACUUCAUGCAUUCGGUCAGCCAACGAAAGUAAUAAACUAGGAAAAGAAUAAAAAUCUAUUUAGUAGCAUAGUCCCUAUAAUCCACAAAAACAUAGAAAUGUUGAACCUACAACAUAGAUUUCCAAAUAGAAAAGCAGACUAUAUAUAAAUCGAACCUUGAGGAUAGAUGGGCAUAAGCAGGAGCUGGAAAUAAUAAAUAAGAACUAAAAAGCUCAAUAUAUACCAGUGUAAUGUGUUCCAAAAUUCCUUAAAAACACAGGAACAUUUCCACAACAGCAGCACAAAAAAUUGGGGGAAAAAAAGAAGACUAUCUGAACUUCAUGUGCCUGUGUAACAUAAAUAGAAAUGAGAGUGAGAUAAGAGACAAAAACACUCAAGUCCCUCAAGAUAAAUAGCCUUCACAUUCCUAUAAAAUUUGAAACACGCUGCCAUCACUGCAACAAAAUAUGGCAAAACAAAAAACAAAGUUAAAGACCCCCCCCCCCCCCCCAUUCAGCAGAGUCACUGUUAUUCCACAAAAGUAGAAACAUCUCACUAUCACUGCAACACAAAAUUUGCACAAAUGAUAACCAAAUUACAAGUUGAUUUUAUGUGUCUACACAGCUAGAAAGAGGAGUAAUAAACUAGAAGAUUUAAAAACUCAAUAGAUUAACCAAAUUACAAGUUGAUUUUACGUGCCUAAGAAAAGAAUAAAAAUCUAUUUAGUAGCAUAGUCCAAUAAUCCACAAAAAUAUGGAAAUGUUGUCCCUGAGGCAUAGAUUUCCAAAUAGAAAAGCAAAUUAUAAUUUGAACCUUUAAGAGCAAGAAAUAACAAAUAUGAACCAAAAAGCUCAUCGUGUUCCAAGAUUCCCCUAAAAACACAGGAACAUUUGCACAACUACAGCAUAAAAAAUUGGGGGAAGACUAAUAUACUAUCUGAACUUUAUGUGCUGGUCUAACAUAGAUAGAAACGAACAUGCCAAUCACUACAAUAAAAAUUUGAAAAAAUGAAAAACCAGAACAUAACCGCAACUUUAUAGAUUUCAUGUAUUCAAAGAUACAGGUGCAAACUAAGAAACAAUCUGAAAAACUCACCCAGAAGCCGAGUACUGCAAUCCCAAUACUCCUCAAGAACUCGGACCAUUUCUUUAACACAGUAGCAUAAAGCUUUACAACAGGGACAUGACCAACAUACACUCUGCUUUGGAAGGAUUUAAGUGGUUAACUAAGAAAAGGUAAAAAAUAACUCUUUAUAGACACCUUCCAGUAGGGUAGUUCCAUUACUCAUCAAAAACUAACCAUUUCUCUUACCCUGCAACAUAAAAAAUAUUUCUCUAAAGCAUUCAUAAUAGAAGAGAUAAACUAAAGAGUGGUAGGGGAAAAAAGAAACACAUUACAGAGACCCCAAAUAGCAGAGUCCGGAUACUCUACAUAAACUACGAACAUUCCAACAUCAUUGCAACAAACAUUUGCUAAAUAAUCGUUAUUGUUAAUACUAAUAUUAUUUUUAGAAGAGAUUAAUAAACCAUCUAAAUAUUUUCUUUCACUAAUAUGAUUAGAAUCUGCAGUAUUUAAUUAGAGAAAAUACCAAAUUACUUUUACGUGGUAUCAACCAAAAAAAGAAAAUGAGUGGUAAAAGCUACUUUCGGCUAACAAAAAGAACAUAGAUAAAAGAAUAUCCUAAACUAUUAAAGUGCCAAAAACUUGCUUAGGAUAUACUCAAAACGGAUCCAGACCAAUAAAACACUCACCAUAAUUACAAAUCCAAACCAUAAAUCUCAAACACUCGCCAAAAUAAGAUAAAAAUUAAAUAAAUUAAAUAAAAAAAUAAGAAUUAAAGAACAAAUAUUUAAAAUUGGCCAUUGGAAGCUUCCGUUGAGUUCAUUUAUACAAUCAAGUACAAGAUAAGAUACAAAUACAAAAGGGAAGUAAGAGAGAAAACCAUUUCAAAGACGAGCUCCCCCGUUAGGGUAAAGUACUCAAAAGAAGGAUAAAUUUAACCAAGUCAUCUAACCUGGCAGAAGAAGAAGAAGAGUGAUGAAUCAAGAAUCACAAAUGAAGACCUGGUGAGGCAGCCUUCAAGCUUCAGAUUUGUUGAAGCACAUGUCAUCAAGAGCUUCACUACGGUACCAUUUGCAUUUGGGGUUCUGCGAACACUCAGAUCUUGACCCCAUUUUGUUGCAGCGUGGGAUCCGGUUGCUGUUCCUAUGAACUGCCAAUAGGCUUCGAUACGAUGAAGAAGAGUCGGCGGCUGAUAAUGAUGAAAAUUGGUAAAGCGUUGAUAGCAAGACGACGAAGAUUAGCACCAUAAAUCUAUAGCUCGUUGCCAUGAGACCCAAGGCGAGUCGAUGCGCAAAAUGAGCACAAUUGGCCAUUGGAAGCUCACGCCGCUAGUCCGUGACAACUGCAACCAGCAUGAAACACGCUUUGUUGCCACUGUAUUGCUUCUUUUUGUGGUCAUCACAUACCGUCAGCCCAUACUGGAGCCUCACGUGCAACUAGUAGAGCCAUGAGCACCGCCACACUUCCGCUACACCAAGAAACACAACCCGAUUCGAACGCUUCCGCCAUGGUGGCUAUGGAUGUGAGCAUCUACCUAGGUCGAUUGAGAGUGGCUGUAAGGAGGCUAGGGUUUUAGGUGGUUUUAUGAGAGAAUCGUUUGGUGUGAGAAUGGGUGGGAACCUCAACACUUAGGAAAGCAAAUUGAGGGUUUCUUUUUAAUUUUAACUUUUUAUUUUUAUUUUAAUAGCUUUUUUAUUUUAUAAUAAAAAAUUUUAAAUAUUUAAUAUUUAUAAGCAAAACAUCAUCGUUACAACUUAAGUAAAACGACAAUGUUUCUUGAUUCAUAUAAUAUUUUAUUUCAAAUAAUACAAAAAAAUUCAAUCAAAGAAACGCUAAAAUCAAGUAAACAUUAAAAUUCUAUCAUGAAUUCUUGAUGUAAUAUAUUAUAUCACAAAGUCGUCACAUAUUAUUGACAUAAUUUAUUUCUAUCAUGAGUCCAUCAUGAAUACUUGAUAGAUACAAAAUUUAUCACGACUCUAUCAUACUUUUAUGACAUACGCCAUUUCCGUCACAAAAUGUUUGUCAUCUAUUGUCAGUUUUCUUGUAGUGCAGAGACUUUUUCAUAUGUCUAUUUAACUAUAUCCAAAAUUCAGAAUUUUCUCCUUAAUAAAUCUGAAGUUAUAAAAUUAUAACUGCUUGAAAGUUAAGAAUGACAGCAACUAGACAAAUUUUCUUCCAACUUCAUUCAAAUUCUAAGUCACUUAUUCAAUACUAAAAUCCAUGAGAAUUAAACUAACCAUAGUUUAACAUGUGAUUAACAAAUUUAAACUCAAAAUACAUCAAUCAUUGUUAAGUCCAUUAUUUAUAGAGUUGUUAUCUUAUGGCAAGUCUAAUUAAAUUAUAAUUUUAUUUAUUGCAUAUCUUGUAAUAAGGAUUAAAUUAUUAAUUUCUUAAUUUAGUGAAAUUCUAAUUUAUUAGGAAUAUUUGUUUCCUAAUUUAAUUAGAUGUCUAAUUUAGUAAGUCUAUUAAUGAUGAGAUUCUAUAAUUGGCGCUUAAGAUUUAUUUAGAGCAAGAAGUUAGUUCAAACAAGAAGUUUAUUAAAUGUUGUAGAUAUUUCUUGGGAGACAAGUAAGGCAAGAAAAUCAGAUUUAUUUUUAUUCUAGUUCAUAAGAAUUAUAAGAGGAAAGAAACUCUUAUUUUGGAAAGAAUUCAAGUUUUUUAAGACUUGCCAUUUUUGUGAAAUAUUAGUGCCUAUGUAAAGAGAGUAUUUCAUAAUUGAAGAGGCACAAUACAGAGCAUAAAACAAAGAAGCAAAAUUCAGUCUCCUCUCUAGAAUCCAAAUUUGGCGCAUAACGUUGUGUUGAUUUGUUUUCGUAUCUUCUUCAUUCAAAGUCUCGUAAUGAGACUAUUUCUUUUCAUCUUUAUGGAGAGUCUAUGUGGAUCUUGGAUUACUAGGCAUUGAAGAAUUAAAGAAUUGUUAUUAAUCACUUUGCAAAGUGCCUUGAGGAUCGUGGAUCAAGAGAGGUAGUAAUUAUUCAAGAGAAACAAAUUCAAUCUAAGGUUUAGUAAGUUGUAUGGUGAUAAAUUAUAAGUAAGAGUUUUAAUUUUAGUAAAUCCAUAGGUUGUAACAUUUCAACUUAAUGAAUUGCUUUUCAUCUGGGCGUGGCCUCGUGAAUAUAAGAUUGAUUAAUUUGAACCACGUAAAAAUCUCCGUGUCAUUUAAUUUCUGUAAUUUAUUGUGUUUUGGAAAAUCAAUAUUUUUUAUGCUGAUGAACAGUAACUGAUGAACAGUAAUAUUGAACAGUAUUCUCUAAAAUUAAUUAAAUUGUUAAUUCUAGGGUUUUAAUUGCCUACAUCUAUUUGCAAUAGAUCUAAAUUCCUUUCAAUUUGUAUUAGAGCAGGGCAUUAAUCGUUUAUAUGGUGAGAAUUUUGGAACCUAGAUCUAUUUUGUAGGUAUGAGUUUGUAAAGAAUGGGAGGCUCUUUGGCUCGUCCACCUAUAUUAGAUAAGACAAAUUAUGCUUAUUAGAAGCAAAUUAUGGAAAUUUAUCUGUAGUUAUUAAUGAAAGAGUUUGACAAUGUGUACUUAUAGGAUAUACUUCACCCACCAUAACUAAUGAAAAUGGUGUAGAAUCUCUAAAACCAGUCAGAGAAUGCACUAAUGAUAAACUCGAUGUAUUUGGUUAUAAUGCAAAAAGACGUAAUGCUAUUGUCAAUGGAGUUGAUGUGUUUUAACACCAACUAAUUUCUACAUGCAAGACAUCCAAAAUUGCUUGGGAUAUACUCUAAAGUACUUUUGAAGCCGAUAAUACAAUAAAACAUUCUAGACUUCAAAAACAUACAUAUGAAUUUGAGAACUUGAAAAUGCAUGAACAUGAAACCACAUUUGAAUUUAAUUCUAGAAUCCUUACUAUGGUAAAUGAUUUUUUUAUUUUGGAAAACUUAUUUCUAAGGAGGAAAUUUGUAGAAAAAUUUUAAGAUCUAUCCAUCAUUGAUAUCAUCCUAAAAUUUUGGUCAUUGAAGAAUAUAUUGAUAUGUCUACCAUGACUUGGAGUUCACUUAUAAGAAAAUUGAUGGUUUAUGAAAGUAACUACUUGAAUUUAAAUCCCAAAAAAGAAAAAGGUAUUUCUUUUCAGGUUGAAAUGGAGGCUCCUGUCACCAAACCCAAUGAGGAUGGUGAUCCAUAUGUAUAGUGGACAAUUCUUUUGUAUUUAUUGCAAAAAUUUCAAUAAGAUAUUGAAAAAAAGAAAGAACUUUAACAAACCAAAGAAAACUUCUACAUCAGUUGCUCUAACAGCUCGAAAAGGUUCCUCUAACCCUAAUCCUAAAUUGAUUUAUAUUAACAAGCUUAAGGGUAUUCGAUGUAGAGAAUGUGGAGGCAUAGGGCACAUACAAGCACAAUGUGCUAACACUCUCAUGAAAAAGAAAGCAAUGAUUCAAAUGAUAGCAUUGAUGAAGAGGAUCUUGUUGGAGGACUUAUUGUCUAUGAUAAUGUGUCAAAACAUACUUACUAAUAAUAAUGAAUAGGAAUUAAACAUCCGAGGAGCAUCCACAUCUAAAGUCUUGCAUAGAGCUCCUUGCAAAGAAAACACUAAUUGCCAUCUUGACACAAUUGUGCAACAUGGUAACAAGAAUAAUGAUUCAGAUAGUGACAUUAGUGAUAUUGAUAUAAAUGACAACGAAAGUUUUUCAUGAAAGCUACAAAAUGAAGUUGGGAUGAUCCUUCUAUUCCGGAUUGUAUGUUUGUGCAUAAGGAUCAUACCUCCUCUGAGGCAUGCCUGGAAAUCCUCCAACCGCUGCCAAAUUGUUGUGCGUUGGCAGCCAUAUUUGAUAUCAGCUCCCUUGCUUGAGUAGGGGUCUUGUUCACCAACACGCCUCCACUAGCAGCAUCUAUCAUACUCCUAUCCAUCAAUGACAGUCCUUCGUAAAAAUAUUGAAUAAGAAGUUGAUCAGAAAUCUGAUGCUGAGGACAGCUGGCACACAAUUGUUUGAAUCGCUCUCAAUACUCAUACAAAGUCUCCCCAGGAAGUUGUCUGAUCCCACAAAUGUCUUUUCUGAUGUUAGCAGCUCUUGAAGCAGGAAAGUACUUCUCGAGGAAUUGCUUCUUCAAACCAUUCCACGUUGUAAUUGAUCCAGGAGGCAAGUAGUACAACCAGUCUUUAGCUAGUCCAUCUAAAGAGAAAGGAAAAGCACGCAACUUAAUCUGCUCUUCAGUCACGCCUUGUGGUCUCAUACUUGAACAUACAACAUGAAACUCCUUGAGAUGUUUAUGAGGAUCUUCAUCUGCAAAACCAUGAAACUUGGGUAAUAAAUGAAUAAGACCAGACUUUAAUUCAAAAUUUACCUCCAAGUCUACAUAUUGAAUGCAGAGUGGUUGCUGAUUCAAGUCUAGUUCAGCUAACUCUCUAAGAGUUCUUUCUACAGGUGCAGCUCUAUCCAUCACUUGUUCUUCUGAAUCGCUAGAUGAUUCAACCAAAUCAGGCACCGUAUCUGUUUCAGAAAGCAAAGGCGACGAGGAUCGUUGCUUAGCUCGCUUUGUCUGCUGUCUCAGCUGGCGAGCUGUCUUCUCAAUUUCAGGAUUAAACAAAAGUGUACUUGUACGAGAAGAACGAAUCACACACCAAGUAAAACGUAAAAAAGGAUUAAAUAAAUGACACCAAUCCCCGGCAACGGCGCCAAAAUUUGAUGGUUGUCGAAGCCAACAAAAAUAAAUUUCUACUCUAAAUAAAUUGUGUAUAGUGAUUAAGCAGGGCCGUGUCCACAGAGAUCGGUAAUUAUUUAAAUCCUUUUGAAACGUAAAACGUAAAAUGGGGGAAUUGUUGACAAUAAUAGAAAUCAAAUUAAAAUAACCAGAAUGCAAAUUAAAGUUGUAAUUCAAAUUAGAGAAAGCUCUGGUUGAAGGAAUUAACUUAGCUUGAUUCGACUACUGAUCAUUGAUUCAAAUAUAGAUUAUUAUUACUUAUGAAUAGACCGGUUAUAGCUACUGAGACCCUCUAAUAGCCAAUCUCUCCUUAACUAGUCGAUAACCAAGGUACGACCGUUGGUUAUUUCCCUAAUCAAUAGACAACCCUAGAUACGAUCAGAGGAUUUAAUCAAUUGACAGCCUGAAAAACCAGAGAGACCCAAAUCCUAAUCAACACAUAUGAUGAUUCAUUUAAAUUAGAUUGUUUAUUCUCACAACACAACUCUCUGCUAUGUUAUUUGUCACAAACAUUAAAUUCUUCAUACGAUGAAUCCUUUAAUUGACAAUAGAUUAAGUUGAUAAUUAAAUAGUGGCCAAUUACCUAAUUAACAAACAUAAUCAUGAAACUAAUUCAGAGAAUAAACAAAUACCCAAAAAGUAAUAAAACAAUUAAAGCAUAAGAAAGAUCUCACAGUAGUGAUGAAUCAAAGCUUCAUUAACCUUCAACCAGAAAAAUAAGUUUAGUUCUUCAUAGAGAGAAGAGAAAAAUUAGAUCUAGGGUUUCUUUCUUUUCUCCAAUCCAAAUCCCCAUUUUUCACAAUAGAUUCCUCCUUAAAUACCCUCUCUCUCUUCUCUUUUAGAGUUCUAUUUAAAAUAAAAUACUAAUAUCUAAAAUAUUAAAUUCGGAAUUACAAAAAUAACCAAAAAUACAAAACACGUUAAACUAAAAACUGCAGGUCUGUAGUUGACAGCACGCGUCCACGCCUUAUCAACAAAGUUCUUCUGAUGCUCAUAAUUUCUCCAAGAGAACAAUCAUCUUUAAACAUCAUCUUAUAGCUCAAUUUUAUCACAAAUCAAUAGAAUUGCACCUACAAAAGUAAAACAAAAGUAAAUCAUUAUUAUUAAGUGCAAAACAUCGAUAUUAAGGUAAGUAAAUAAUGCAAAACUAGUGCAUAAAUUGCACUCUAACACUGCCUCUGUUGCAGCAACAAAUUCUUCCUCAAUAGAUGACAAAGCUACUAUGUGCUGUAGAGUAACUUUCCAACUUAUGAGACAACUAUCUAACAUAAAUAGAUAUCCUGAGAUAGAUUUUCUUCUGUCCAAGUCACCUGCAAAAUCAGAGUCAACAUACCCUCUGACUUCACAAACAUCAUGCUUGGAUUUACCAUACAUCAAACCAUGAUCUAAGGUGCCCUUCAGGUACCUCAUGACCCAUUUCACAACAUCCCAGUGAAGCUUACCAGGGUUACUCAUAAAUCUGCUCACAACACUUACUGCAUAAGUUAUGUCUGCUCUGGUGCAAACCAUUGCAUACAUCAAGCUUCAUACAGCUUGUGAGUAUGGUAUAUAAGCCAUCUUUACCUCCUCAACAUCUGAUGUUGGAGACAUGUUUUCAGAGAGUUUGAAUUGAGCUCUCAGAGGUGUCAGUACUGGUUUCGAGUCCAUCAUCUGAAAUCUUUCCAGCACUUUGCUGAUAUACCUUGACUGACUUAGAAAUAAGGUACCAGCUGCUCUAUCUCUAACAAUGUCUAUCCCAAGAAUCCUUUUGGCACUGCCAAGAUCUUUCAUUUCAAGUUCCCCCUUCAGCAAGUUCUUGAGUUUUUUAAUAUCACUAAGAUUUGUACCAGCAAUGAGUAUGUCAUCAACAUACAAUAGAAGAUACACUGCUCUACCUGAGUUUCCACUUGAGUUUAUAAUCUCAUGAUAGACACAACUAUCAUACUUGCUCCUGUGAUAGCAAUUGGAGAUCAUAAACUGAUCAAAUCUCUUAUACCAUUACCUAGGAGAUUGUUUCAGGUUAUAAAAAGACCUUUUAAGAAGACACGCAUAAUCCUCAUGUCCCUUUUCUUCAAAACCUUCAGGCUGAGACAUUAGUAUCUUUUCUUCAAGGUUGCCAUGUAGGAAGGCAGUCUUUACAUCCAUUUGUUCAAGCUCUAGCUCAAACAAAGCCACCAUAGCAAGCAGGAUUCUGAUUGAACUGUGUUUUACCACUGGUGAGAAGAUUUCAUUGAAAUCAAUCCCCUCAUUUUGUGUGAACCCUCUUGCCACCAGUCUUGCCUUAUAUCUUGAGUCUUCAACACCUGGAAUGCCCUCCUUUUUCUUGAAUAUCCACUUGCAGCUGACAAUCUUCCUAUUCCCUGGAUUUGGGACCAAAAUCUAAGUCUGAUUCCUUAUCAGAGAAUCCAUUUCCUCCCUCAUAGCUUUAAUCCAGUUUCUGUUGUUCUUGUGUUAGAGUGCAAUUUAUGCACUAGUUUUGCAUUGUUUACUUCCCUUAAUAUCGAUGUUUUGCACUUAAUAAUAAUGUUUUACUUGUGUUUUACUUUUGUAGGUGCAAUUCUAUUGAUUGGUGAUAAAAUUGAGCUAAAAGAUGAUGUUUAAGGAGGAUUGUUCUCUUGGAGAAAUUAUGAGCGUCAGAAGAACUUUGUUGAUAAGGCGUGGGCGCGUGCUGUCAACUGCGGACCUGCAGUUUUUAGUUUAACGUGUUUUGUAUUUUUGGUUAUUUUUGUAAUUACGAAUUUAAUAUUUCAGAUAUUAAUAUUUUAUUUUAAAUAGAAUUCUAAAAGAGAAGAGAGAGAGAGAGUAUUUAAGGGAGGAAUCUAUUGUGAAAAAGGGGAUUUUGGAUUGGAGAAAAAGAAACCCUAGAUCUAAUUUUUCUCUUCUCUCUAUGAGGAACUAAACCCAUUUUUCUGGUUGAAGGUUAAUGAAGCUUUGAUUCAUCACUACUGUGAGAUCUUUCUUGUGCUUUAAUUGUUUUAUUACUUUUUGGGUAUUUGUUUAUUCUCUGAAUUAUUUUCAUGAUUAUGUUUGUUAAUUAGGUAAUUGGCCACUAUUUAAUUAUCAACUUAAUCUAUUGUCAAUUAAAGGAUUCAUCGUAUGAAGAAUUUAAUGUUUGUGACAAAUAACAUAGCAGAGAGUUGUGUUGUGAGAAUAAACAAUCUAAUUUAAAUGAAUCAUCAUAUGUGUUGAUUAGGAUUUGGGUCUCUCUGGUUUUUCAGGCUGUCAAUUGAUUAAAUCCUAUGAUCGUAUCUAGGGUUGUCUAUUGAUUAGGGAAAUAACCAAUGGUCGUACCUUGGUUAUCGACUAGUUAAGGAGAGAUUGGCUAUUAGAGGGUCUCAGUAGCUAUAACCGGUCUAUUCAUAAGUAAUAAUAAUCUAUAUUUGAAUCAAUGACCAGUAGUCGAAUCAAGCUGAGUUAAUUCCUUCAACCAGAGCUUUCUCCAAUUUGAAUCACAACUUUAAUUUACAUUCUCGUUAUUUUAAUUUGAUUUUUAUUAUUGUCAACAAUUCCCCCAUUUUACGUUUUACGUUUCAAAAGGAUUUAAAUAAUUACCGAUCUCUGUGGACACGACCCUGCUCAAUCACUAUACACAAUUUAUUUAGAGUAGGAAUUUAUUUUUGUUGGCUUCGACACCCAUCAUCUUGCUAUUCAUUGCUUCUCUAUAGCUGUUAGGUUCUUCAAUUGUAACACUUCUGCACUCAUCAAGGCAUAUGCAACCAUAUCUGCAUAUGCAUAUCUUGUUGGAGGUCUGGUAUGUCUUCUUUCUCUAUCUCUAGCUAACUGAUAUUGUUGUAAGUCAGUUGCUUGUGGUACUUCACCUUCUGUCACUUCUGCAUCUUGAGACUCAGCUUCAACAACUUCUAGUUGUAUUUCAUCUUUAUAGUCUUUAGACAACUCUACCUCAAUCUUUUCACCUUGAUCAGUUUCUGUGGUGGCUUGUGUGUCACUUGUACUAAUGUCAUUAGCUGAAGUGGCUUGAUCAGAGUUGUUGAUCAUAGCCACUUCAUUAAACUGGACAUCUCUACUAAUCAGACACUUAUUAGCCCCUCUACACCAGACCCUGUAGCCUUUGACCCCAUCUGGAUAACCAACAAAUACUCAUUUUAUAGCUCUUGCAUCAAGCUUCCAUUGUCUGACAUGGACAUAAGCAGGGCAUCCAAAUACCUUCAGGUGUUCAUAUUUUCCAGGUCUUCCUGACCAGAGUUCUUCAGGAGUUUUGAAGCCAAUUGCAGCAGAUGGACUUUUGUUUACUAGGAACAUGGCUGUAGAUACAGCUUCUGCCCAAAGAUUCCUAGGAAGCUUAGAGUUUAUCAGCAAACAUCUUAUCUUGUCAAUAAGUGUUCUGUUCAUCCUCUCAACUAAACCAUUUUGCUGAGAGGUGAAUCUUACUGUUUUGUGCCUCCUAAUUCCCUAUUUCUGGCAGUAUUGCUCAAACUCCUUAUUACAGAAUUCAAGUCCAUUGUCUGUUCUUAAGCAUUUCACCUUGAAACCAGAUUGAGUCUCCACCAAAGUCUUCCAAAUCUUGAACUUCUCUAAGGCUUGGUAUUUGGUCUUCAGUAUGUGGAACCAUACUUUCCUAGAGUAGUCAUCUAUUACUGACAUAAAAUACCUUCCCCCACUCAAGGAUGGUACUUGGGCAGGCCCCCACAAAUCAGCAUGUACAUAAUUUAAUGGUUGUUUAGAUACAUGCAUGCCCUUUGUGAAUUUGGACCUGUGUGCUUUGCCAAAGAUGCAGUUUUUACAGAAAUCUAACUCAUCUAUAUUAUCACCACAUAGCAGCCCUUGCUUACUCAGCUCUUGCAUUCCUCUAAUACUCAUAUGGCCUAGUCUAAGGUGCCAUAACAUGGUUCUAUUAACAUUAGAAAUAGCAGGCAUUGCAACUGACCCAGGCACUGAUGACCCUUCCAACACAUACAGGCCAUUCUUCGUGACUCCUCUCAUUAUCAUCUCAAUCCCCUUCAUAAUCUUUAAACCACUAUUUUCAUAUUUGAAGCUAUAUCCCAUACUAUCUAGCAUGCCUAAAGAGAUCAGGUUCCUCUUUAGCCUAGGUGCAUGCCUGACAUCACUUAGAGUUUGGAGAGUCCCAUCGAACAUCUCUAUUUUCACAGAUCUCAUACCCACAAUCUUACAAACAUUAUUGUUACCCAUCAACACUCUACCACCAUCCAUAGGUUUAUAUGUAUGGAAAAUGUUUUUAUCAGGACACAAAUGAAAUGAACAACCUGAAUCAAGAACCCAAUGACCUUUGAUAUUGUUGUUUGAAGCCACCAACAUAUCAGCACUAUGGUAUCCAUCAUCAGAGGAGUCAUCUGAGGCCACUGCUGUAUCACUAGUUCUUUCUUUUUCAUCCUUCUUUUUCUCAGCACAAUCUCUGAUGUAGUGACCUUGUUUCUUGCAGUAGAAACACAUUCUUUUCUUCAUUUUUUCUUUUACAGAUGCAUCAUCCCUUUUAGCUUGACUCUUGUUCUUCUUCUUCUGAUUUUUCUUUUCUGUUCUGGCAAAUAAACCUUCACCAUUACUAACUUCAUGCCCAUUAUUCUUCUGGAUCUCCUUAGAGCUCAAAGAGGCUUUCACAUCCUCUAGCGUUAGAGUGGUUCUUCCAUACAACAUAGUGUCUACAAAUCCUUCAUAGAUUUUAGGCAAUGAACUCAGUAGAAAGAAAGCUUUAUCCUCAUCAAUGAUUUUCACAUUUUCCACUCCUUCAAGAUAAAGAAUGAUCUUGUUGAAGUUGUCAAUGUAUUCUUGAAUCGAGACCCCUUUUCUCAUAGAAAAGGUGUAUAGUCUGUUCUUCAAGAACAAUCGAUGUGCCAUAGACUUUUUCAUACACAGAGCCUCCACCUUGUUCCAGAUACCAAGGGCAGUCUUCUCUUCAGAAAUCUCCCUUAGAAUUGAGUCACUGAGACUCAAAAUCAAGGUACUGUGAGCCUUGUUAUGUAUCUGUCUUUUCUUCUCAUCAGAGACUGAACUUGAAGCAUCCCCAUGAUCAUCUUCUUCCAGAGCUGAUUUGAGACCUUGAUGAACAAGGAGAGCCAUCAUCUUCAUCUUCCAAAGUGAAAAGUCACCACCAAUGGUGAACCUUUCAAUAUCAGGUUUUGGAAGAGACAUGUUCUUAAACCACCAAUGGCUCUGAUACCAGUUGUUAUAGCCCUAUUAACGUAUUGAAUCUAGAAAGAACUAAUCAAAGCAAGUUAAUCAAGAAAGAAACAGAAAAGAACUUGAACAGAAUACUGUUUCAAGCACACAACUUGUAGAAAGAAAAAACUGCUCUUUUAUUGAUCUCCAUAAUCGAAUUACAAGCUAAUCCUUUAGAAGCAAUUACAAGGAUCACCAAGAACCAAAUAACUAGCAAAAUGACCAAGGAAUGAAGAAGAUUACAAUCUAAUAUCAGAGGCUAAAACACACGUAUUUAUAUUAUGGUAUUUCUGGAAAGCCAUAACGAACUCAUAAUGAAUUCUGCCACAUCAACUUUAAUAUUUCAACUAGACCCUUCCAACUGAAGUCGAUAUGCACAAUGCCCCCAGACUUCUUCAAAUCUUUCAUUUAAACCCAAUGACCAGCAGUUGACCAGCAGCUUAUUUCCUCACAAACCUCAACAUCUUGUUGAAAAAACUUACGGAUCCCAUCAAUGGCCUGAUCCAAAAUGCUUGUUGGGAUUCCAUGAUUGAUCACUUGAAAGAAACCCCACUUCUCACAAGCACUUCUAAUUUGGUCAAUUACCUGAGAACGCAAACUUGAAUCCUUGUGUAUUCUUUGAAGGUCUAUGAUAGGGAUGCUGAUUUCGGGGUCCUUGCAGAUUGGCUUAUCAUCAAACUUAUGUUUAGUGUGAUGAUCUUGAAUGAUGAUCUGUGGAAUGGUUGUGAUCCCAGCAUCUACGAGUCCCUUAACACCAGCUUUCGUGUCAUCAAAAGCUUUCAACUCGCUAACUCUGUCACAAGUAAUGCUUCCCAUUGCUUGGUGAAUUAUCUUUUACCUGGUGAAUUAUGAAGUACAAAUGCUGACUUGCGGGUGAUUGCUUUUGGUAUAUGCCGUUUAUAUGAAUAUGAUUGCUAGCUUGCCACGUGCAACAUGUUGAAAUAUAAUGUUAGCAUGAAGAUAUGGAAAUUUGUAAAUUUUGAUUCUGCGUUAUUUAUCAUGAUUAAAUUAAUUAUAAAUUAUCAAUAAUAGUCAAUUCCGGGGACCACCAACUACUGGGUGGCACAUCACAAUAAUAAAUUAUCAAUAAUAGUCAAUUCUGCAUUAUUUAAUAUUUAUGUGGAUAAAAUUUCAAUUAGCUACACUACAUUGUUGUUUGAUAGUUAACGUUUCACUUUCUCCAUUUGUAAAAAUUAUUAUGGACUUAUAGUGUGGCUUAAAAGCUAGAUCUUAAAUGAAAAGAAAGCUUUAAUGGCGAAAUAAAAAUUUAAAUAAAUGAAAAAGAGAUUAAAGGUUAACCUAAUGUUAGCAAAAAUAAUUGUAAAAUAUACAUGUUUUAUCAUGUUAAUUGAUGUUUUUCCAGUAUGCACAUAAAAAAGAUCUAUUUUACAAUUGUUUCUGUUGGCGUUCGGGCAGAUUUUUUUUAGUCUAAUUAAGUAUAUCAUAAGUUAAUAAUAGUGCGUAUUUUAACUUUAAUAAAUUUGGCCACUUAGAUUUUUAAUUUUGACUCCUUCCCUAAUCAAUCAAGAAAAAGAAUGCUUUUCUCCAUAAAAAUUAAAAUAGAAAAUUUAGCAAGGACAUAACUGCGGAGAUGUUUGAUUCUGGAUUUAUAUAUCAAAGCAACAUCAAAAUUAUAAUACUUCCUUGUUACCAAGAAGAGAUAUAUCCAAGAGCACUAGCCUUAUAAAGCCUUAACAAUACUAAACUACCCACAUGGAAUCUAAUGCGUACAUGCAAUGCUUUCUAAAGUGAAACUGUCGCUUGAAAAUAGAAUUCAUGUUCAGCAGCCUCUCUCUAUCCGAGCUCCAAUUUUAUAACAAGGCAGCUAAAUAAGAUGAUUUAGAUGGCAUCGGCAUCUGUAGUAUCGUUUGUCUGUAGUCCCUCAUUAUCUACGAUCUGAUCGCUCCCUAUAGUAUUGUUUGUCUGUAGUCCCUCAUUAUCUACGAUCUGAUCGCUCCCUAUAGUAUUGUUUGUCUGUAGUCCCUCAUUAUCUACGCCCUGAUCGCUCCCUAUAAUAUUGUUUGUCUGUAGUCCCUCAUUAUCUACGCUCUGAUCGCUCCCUAUGUAGAGAAUCAACAAGAGCAAAUUGUAGCACACGUUCACAGCACUAAUAACUGUUAAACUCUUAUAGUACUUGUCAAGCCUACUAUCAUCCAAGGUUUCAGCAAACUCGCCUUUGUUUGCCAAAAUGAAAAAGAUGUUAAAAAUGCUUCCUAUUCCGACGAAAAAAGAACUUAUUGCUGAUACAUGGUACUCCAUCCGUUCAGGAAAAUGAGAGCUCGAGUAUUCAUCACAUCCAUGCAAAGCAAGCCCUUCCAUAAGACCCAAUAGACAGAAUUGUGGAACAAGCCAAAACAUGAUCAUAUUUUCCAAUUGUUUGCUCUUUUCCAACCUGCGAACCUCAACCUGCCAUGCCACUACACAGCAAACUGUAGACAUCACCAUUCCAAUGAAUGUUCUCAAUACUUGAGCUUGUCUCUGCUUUGUUUCCGGAACAAAUUUGGAAAUUAAUUUUUUCGACAGAUAAGAGAUCGUCGCACGAAUUAUGGCUUCAAAAGUAAGUAGAAAGAUUAAGUAACGUUCAGAAAUCAUUUUGGCUCCCUGCUUAGGAAAAAAUGUAUUUCCCGCUGACAGAACCAAUCCAAACACAAUGAAGCUAGACCACAGUGGCAACAAUUUAAGAAGAGAUUUUAACUCCCUGACCUGAGCCACAGUGCAAAGUGUGCCUGCCUCUUCUUGUUCUUUAGAAGUGCUUGAUGUCUCUAUAAUUGCCGCUUUGUCUAUCCACCUACAAUUCAAAGAAUUAGUUUAUUGGUAGUUUUUUAGGAAAAUAGAAAGCGACAGCUCAUGGUUUGGCAAAAUGAUCACACAGACGCUUUUAUAAAUACGCCCUUUUGGACAAAUCUUGGAGGUCGGUGUGACUAUUCCCGAACACAAAAGGGUAUUAAUGUGUCCAUAAAGAGGUUUAUAUAAGUAUUAAUAAAAAUAAGAGGGUCUCCCCGACAAUUUUGCCAGACCACGGGCCGGGUGUGGGUGUAUACAUGUUAGGCAUAUACCUGAGUAAUUUGAUUCUGGGUGACAAGUGUAAUACGUUUCCCUCAUCAUUACUGAAGAACUGCUCUGGAGAAAGAGGAUAAUUGAGAUGCUUUUUCUUGAGGGAGGUUUUAACAACGCGGAUUAUAGCAAAACGGUCAAUAGGAGGUAUUUCUGUAUUAUGAUAAAAGGGAAUACCUAAUAACAGGAGGAUCAAACUGCCCCCCAUAAGCAACAAUGUAAACAUGAAAGUCUUCUUCCAUGUCUUAAUAUUAUUUGCGUAGAAUGCCGCAGCUGUACCACAGCACCAGGCAAACCGCCGCCACACUCUUUUCUGAGCCAUUACUUGAUCCUCAUUUGAAUUUUCGGUUCUCCCUCCUUCACCAUGUUGUCUUAAUUGAUAGGCAAGAAAUGGUCCCAAAAGAGGAGCCGCUCCAACUUCACCCACUGCUAACAGGAUAAUUCCUAUCAUGUUGAGUAGCUCAAAGUUGGUUUCUGAAAAUUCUCUGGACGCUGUACAGAACAAUAGCCCCAAUGCCUGAAACAAAAAUUGUUGGAACUAAUUGUAUAGCGUAACAUUAUGAUCCUAGAAAUGCUUUUCUUAAUCAUUAUUAUAAUGAGAGUGAAGCCAAAAUGAAUUAAUGUCACAUUAAUUAUAACUUAUCUAUUGAGAUCUCUAUCAUUAUAUUUAUAGGGGUAAGGCUCAUAAUAUCAUCGUAUUACGGGUGUGUGUGUAUAUAUAUAUAUAUUUUAAUAUGCCGUGAAAUUUAACAUUUACUGCAAAAUAAUAAUUUUUUAAUUUAGCCCAAAGUACUACAAAGUCCUGGGUCCGCCCCUGAAUAUAUAUAUUGCUUGCAAACCUAGGAUCAUAACAUAUGUUUUAAUUUCGUCUCUGUUUAGAAGUUUAGCAAAUUCAAAACAUAUUAACUUUCAAGGAUGUAGGAGACAGUUGAAAAAAUGAGGAUUCUGAGAGGACGAAUAGCAUAACACGAAAUCCAGGCGGCAACAACUGUAAGAGUUGCUAAUAUUACAUCCUGAAUACUCGUAAAUAUUGCAGCUUUUUGAAAUGUGAAUACUUUUGAAUAUUCGGAGUCGGAGAAGUAAGUUAUCAAGACGCCCACUAUAGCCAAGUCUACCAGUUUGCGGCUUAUCAACAAACCUGGAAUCAAAAUAAUCAUUAGAAAAAAUGUUCGUGCUCACUAAAAAAAGCAUACACGUGACGACUGCAAGAACAAUGUGAGAGAACUAUUGUCAUGUUUUUAUAAUUUAGCCCAACCUAAUCAAAAAUCUUAAAUACACCUCUCUUAACUGAAAUUAUUUUAGGGGAUUAUCUAUUUAGGAAUCUCAAAUUUCAUGAGCUCUUAAUACACACUCUGUAGUGUUUUUGAGUGACAGAUUAUUGUACAAUCAACUCGAAACACUUGCCAAGAUCGCAAAUCAAACAACCAAGAUGUAACAAGAACCAACCCAGAACAAAUCACAGAGAACUAGGACUAUAGGAACUUAGCAGUAAAACAAGGAAAUUAACGUGGUUCAGCUAGCUUCCACUAGCUUACAUCCGCGGGAAAACCAGGACCAAGUUUAUUGAUUUAUCAACCACAAUUACAGAGAAUCUCAAGAGCUGAUUACAGAGCUUUUCCAAGAAGCUUUCUCCUAAAACUUCUCUACCCACAUUAGCUCUCACACAUACGCUCCUGUUGCAACUAGAACCAGCUGUUUAUAACAGCUUCUUCAACGAACCAGGAUGAGCCCAGAAACUCACAUGAUUGGCAUGCGUGAUAAUAGACUCAUAACGAUCUUUCAAGGGAUGGCAAAACCCCGGGCCGGGUCCGGGUAUUGCAAUGACCGGACCCUGCCCGGAUGCAACCGGUCCAGGUUAGGGUCGGGUUUUAAUUCGGGUACCCAAAUUUUAUAUUUUUUUAAUAUUAUAUGUGUAUAUAUUUUAUAUUUUUUGGUAAUUUUAUAAGUUUUAAAUUUAUUUCAAUAAAAUUUGACAUGAAAAUAUAAACUUUAAGUGUUUAAAACUUUAUAUAUGUAUAAUAAAUGAGUCAAAUAAAUAUAAAUAUUUAAAAUAAUAUAUAUUUUAUAAUUUUUUUAAUAAAAUCCGGGUUCUGGGUUUAUCAAGUGAUGCCCAAUACCGACCCGACUUCAUACCCGGGCCGGGUAAUACCCGGCUCACAACGCACGGGUACGGUCCGGGUCCGGACCGAGUGGGUAUUUUUUGCCACCUCUAGAUCUUUGAAAACAACUUAUUCGAGCACGUGAUUCUCUCGUCCAUUACUUAAACCAAAACGACAUUCAGACAAGUCGUCCCAGUGAUGAGAGAAUGCUGCUCUUCAAAACGCAACACCAGCUGGUUGUUUCAAUAUCCUGAUUUGCUUCACAACACAACACACACACAUACGUAUACGUACAUACAUACACGUACGUACAUACAUCAUCAUGUUGUUAAAGUAAUGAUGUUAGUAAAAUACAAAAAGAAUAUAGUUUUAAAUACAUUGGAGAUUUUGUCUUUUUUGUACUUUACUAACAUCGUCAUUAACAGAAUGAGGAUACCUUUAUUAAAGAAUGAUUAUAUAUAGAUAGUUUUUUUUUUCUCGUGAGCGUUCUCACAUAUUUUUUUAUACGUACACACUAUUAAAUUGUAUGGUUUAAUAAAAUUAGUAUAGACAAUUAAACUACAUGAUUUUGUAGUGUAUUAAAAAUUAAUUCUAUUAAACCAUACAAUUUAAUAAUGUGUCUGUAUUAAAAAAAAAACCAUACAUAUGUAUACAGGUUUAUAUUCUAAAUAAAUACAUUUUUAAAAGAUACGAAUACCUAAGGCCCCACGUGCAAAAUUACCUGACAUAAAUGCAGCAGCCUUACAAAAACAGACGUAAUAUCGUACCCAAGUCAUGAACCUGCUUUGAACCUUCAACAACCGAGAAAAUGGAAACAUUGUAGUUUCUGAAACUGCUUCUUUUAUCAGCAAAUACUUCUACUUGUGACUUGUGAAUCCCGAGACGAUGAAGAUUUUGUAAUUAUACCAAAGUUUUCGCUAGUCUUCUAAAAAGGUCGUUUAUUCAAAUUAAAAAAUAAUAAGUCGCACUUCAAGACCACCUAUUGGUCACAUAAGUCCUUUUUUUCUUAUUUUUAGGGUUCUAAAACGUUAGUUUAUUCAAAUUAAAAAAUAAUAAGUCGCACUUCAAGACCACCUAUUGGUCACAUAGGUCUUUUUUUUCUUCUUGUUUUUAGUCUUCUAAAAAGUUAGUUUAUUCAAAUUAAAAAAUAAUAAGUCGCACUUCAAGACCACCUAUUGGUCACUUCAAGACCGCCUAUUCGUCACAUAAGUCUUUUUUUUUUUUUUCUUGUAACUAAAGGAUCCAGCUACGGUGCAACAGGUGCACCGUGCCCCUCUUUUUCCUUUUUUGACAGCACCCCUUACUUUCUUCUGUAUUUACAGUUUAUUAAAGUAAUUUCUUUUUCCUCUUUCUUUCACCCCUCAUCUUUACAAUCUUCAAUUUUUUUCCAUUUUGAAUUAAACCUAUAAUCAACCAACUGCAAGCAAUAAGAAAGAAGUUGACAAGCUAUUUCUUUAUCACCUUAGGAUUCAUUUGCUCGAUAAUACAUAAGUAAUAAUGAAUUGAAGUUUUUAUAUAAAAAAAUCACAUAGAUGUAAUAUUUUUACACACACUAUUUAUCAUCUACAAUGAUUUUUUUGUCUUUUACUAUAUAUAUUCUUCCCCUUUCUCCUCCGUAUGCCUUUCCAUUUUCUCUUUGAAUAAUCUAACCUAAGGCUUUCUAAUAAUUGGUUUAUUGUUAUUAUUUUUAUAAGUAAACCUUCUCUUUAUUAUGUCAAUAGGUUUAUUUUUUCAAGAAAAAAAAUUCGUAAAUGACCAAAAGUGAGAGCAUUAAUAAAAAUUCAAAACCUAUCUUAAUUUUUGUUGUCUUUGUUGAUGCAUCUCGCAUGUUUGAUCUCUUAAUUAUAACUUGUGAGAGUAAAUACUGUAAUACAAUGAUAAUAAAUUGAUGAUUAGUAAUUCUUACUAAGAGUAUUCAGAGACAAAGAAGUUGGUGUAAAAUUUUAUAAACUUUGACUUUUCUAAAUUUUCACUAAACAAUAGGGAUUGCAUUAUUAAUAACUAAAUAAACACAUCCAUAACCUUGAAACUACAUUUGUGUUAGAUCCAAUGGUGACAGCACAAAAAGACAGAAAGAGGGGUAUGGUGCACCCCUUGCACUGUAGCUGAAUCCUUUAGUUACAAAAUAAUGACUUACUGUACAGCUCAAUAAUUUUAGGUGGUAUGAAACACGUAUGAUGAGACGGUCAUAAUUACACUGUACCAUGAAUGAUCCUCAUUGAGUAUAUAAUCCCUUUCUUUUUUCAAACAAGAUUUAUGCUUUAGUUUUGGGAGGUUUGCUAAGUUCUUUCUUUUUAUAAUGGUUACGGAGAAUGACAAUUUUCUAUUGAAGUUAUUUAUACAUGUAUUUCUUUUUCAGCAUGUAAUACAUUUAGGAAAUGAGUAAUUAUUAAGUACAAACACUUUUAGAUAAACAAUGUUGUACGAACUUAUGUGAUAUUUUUUAGAAAAAAGGAUCUGAACAUCGUUAAGAUUUUAAAAAAUGGUCAUAUAUACUUUGAGUUUUCAAUAAGGGACAUCAAGACACUUUUUGACUAUAGUAUCCUUAAUAGAUAAUAACAAAAAAUAUUGACUUUAAACAUUUUAAUAAAUAUAAAUAAAAUUUAAAUAGUUUGAUAUGUCUAGUAGACUAAUAAUAUUAGAACGUUUCUUAAUAUAUAAAUAAUUUUUAAAAGAUAAAUUAGUAUAUUUAUUUUAAUAAUAUAUUUUUACUUAUUAUAAAAAUUGUAAAUAAAUCUUUAGGUUAGAUAGAUUUUAAAUUUAAUAAAAUACAUGUCAUGUACUAAUAAUAUUAAAACUAUUUUAUAUAAUAUUGAAAAUAAUUUAAAUUUUAAAUUUUAAUAUUAUGUUUCGAUUUAUUUUGAAAUUUAGUUUAAUAUAAUUUAAUGUUGUAAUGUAUUAAAAUAUUUUAAAAAUAUGGAAAUUAUUUUAAAAUGUAUAUAUUGUUACAUUUAUUUUAAUAUUAUACUUCUAUUUAUUAUAAAAUAUUAAAAAUAAUAUUUUAAUUAAAAGGGAGUUUUGAUGUCUUUUACUGAAAAAAUGGAGUGUACAUAAUCAUUUUUUCAAAUUUUCAACGGUGUACAUGUCAUUUUUCUUACUUUUUUAUAAUCAGUUGAAUAAAAAAAAGUCAUCUGGCCACAUAAAUUAUUUCUAAUUUAUAUUUUUAAUCAACAAAUCAUAAUGUGUCACAUCUAUUUGUAUAAGCAUUUAUGAACAUAAAAAAUUAAGUUUAGGCACUAGUCAGGUUGGAAAUCAACCCAUCCAACCCAUGUAUAGUGCUAGUUGGGUGAGUUGGACUUAUCUCGAAGACCCAUUUUCUGUCUUUGAAAUAUCAAUAUGAAAUUAAAAUAAUUAAAAAAUAAUUUAAUUGAAACAACUAAAAAUAGAAUACAAAAUUACAAAUAAUAACUAUCCCCCAAACUUCAUUGUUAAUAAAAAUAAUUAUUUGUAUAGGAUCCUAAUUACACCAUAAAAAGUAAUAGGAUGAAUUCAAGAGUUGGGUUUGAAAAUUUUCAACACCUAGUAAAUAUAGUGCAUUUUCUCCACCCCUAUGAAAUUAGGGGUUGGCUUUCUACUUGAUUUUAAGUAGAGAAAAUGAUCAAAACUACCUUAUUGUUUGUUAAAACUAUAGGGUGAAUUUAAGAGUUGGGUUUGAAAGAUGCAAUAUGUUCAUAUAUAUAUAUAUGAACAUAUUGCAUCUUCACUAUCUUAUCCCCAGAAUUUUUGCACCAAAUCAUGGUAAAAGAAUAAAAAUUCGCAACCCGAAUCAACAAAGUAUUAUCACUAAGUUAUUCUGCAAGCCGCCAAAUUGGAAAAUAUUCCAAAUAAUUAAUUAACCACAGCGACUUGACAGCUUAACUUUUUCCAACGCUGAGAGUCCUUCAUUCUUCCCUAUUGAGGAUUGGUUAUUGUAAACGUCUGUUGGAGUAACAUGGGGAUAGUGCGGAUGAUUUUUUUCACCAUAUUGUCUCGAGCAACUGUUAUUCAUAAAAAAAACUUCCAAUUGAAAUCGUUGAGCCUCGCCUUCUUGACAAGACUCUGUGAUAGGCACUCUUGAACGCGACACUGGUAAUCAGCUGCAUAAACAUAUAAAAGAACACUAUAAUUAAGUUAUAUGAUGGAUUCAUAAUAGUCAAAGUUGUGCAUAACAUCUACUUGCCUGCAUCAUGUAGCCUAAGUUUACAACUAGAGCCCCGGAAACUGGGGUAAUAUCAAACCAUUGAUCUUCACAAAAGACUUGGAGGCCACAAUUCGAUCUUGUAUGAGCAUAGUGACAAAUCCAGGGUCAGAACGUAUUGUUACGCCAAUUGUCAAUUUCGGAUGAGGGCUUUCUGGGUAGUGACUAUUCCUAAUAGUCAUUUCCUCUACAGAACCUGUGUCUUUCAGGUAACUGGGGCCAAACCCUAAAGCUUCAGACAAAAGUUCAAAGAGAGUGAAUUAGCAAUUGGCGUGGUUGGAGAAAAAUCAGUUUUUAAAUUUUUUUUAAAAGAAACUUUUUAGGGUCGAUCUCAUACAAUAUAUAAGAAUUCGUAAUUUAGAAAUUGUACCUUGAAAAUCUGAGAAAAUGAACAAUCUUUGCUUUUUCCACUGAAGUGAAACUAGACUCCCAGAUCACGAUCCGUCACCACCACGCCUGCUAGAUCACAGUCUGUCACCACCAUGCUUGUUAGAUCACGAACUAUCACCAAUGAUCUUUCAGAUUAUGACUUAGGUUUGAUCUGCACUUGACGUGUGAGUGCCUUUAUCACUACCAAUAGCAACUAGUAGGAGAAAAUUUUUCUCUCAAGAUUAGAGAGAAAAAUUCUUUUUCUCUUAUCUGUAUAAUGUGGCCUUAUAUCUUUUCAAGAGAAAAUAAGCCCUUUUAUAUCUUAUCUAGUGGAAACCCUAAGCUCUAUAUUUUCUAUUUUUUAAUUCUAUUAACAUAAGGCCCCUUACACAUAAGCAUAUUAUAUGGAGCCUCUCAGUAAAUAAUAUAUUUAGGCUUUUAACCCAAAUAGCUAGUUAUAUUGCUUAUUAAUCCAGUAGCGGCGUAGUAAUGAGCUAACCCAAGGAUCAUUUAAGAACAUAUAAUAGUGGCUACAAUAAUUAGGCCUGUAAUCAAACUAGCUCAAUUAUUUAAUUCCAAAUCUACUCCACUAAAAGAUUGGAACUGACCUUCAUAAUUGUAUGCUUGAAUAAUAAUUCAUCCCAAGCCACAUUGGUUUCUUUACUGCACAAUCUUUUGUACCACAUCAUUAAUUAAAUCGAUAUCUCAACUGUCCAAUCAAUUUAAUUACAUCUUGUUCCUUGAUUCUUACUGGUUUUCUCUAAUGAUCAUUUUCAACAUACUAAAUAAGUCGACACACUUUGACCAGAGAAUUCUAUGAUUAAGUGCCGAAAACCCAUUAAGAGAUGUGUUGUACAAAUUCUAUAUUGUCAAUCUAUGACUAUAAUACUCAUAAUUGCUCUCAUCAAGAUACUGGGUAAUCUUGACUACAAGUAUGUGUCAUGCCCAUUGGUAAUUCAAAUGGAAUAACAAUUACAAUCAUGAAAUCAUAAUUAACUUAAGAUUAAGAUUACAAUAAAAUCAAUGUCUCUGAGAUCUAAUGAGUCUGACAGUAAUUACAAAGUUAAUUAAAUCUCAUAUGUGAUCAUGUUCAAUGUAGUCUUACUACAUUAAUAAAUUCAUAUAUGAUUAAGACAAAUCAUUCAAUGAAUUCAUUACAGUCUAUACAUAAAUAAAGUACCCAACUUUAUUUAUCAACUACGAAAUAAAUUUAUUUAAUCAUAAGAUAACUUGUAUUUAUGUCUUCUGUGAAUCCACAUGGUGAUUCUUGUGCAAAUUUAUUGAACUCGCAAGUGCACGAAUAUAUUAUAGAAUAGAUUAAUGGUGACGAGUGUCGAUCCCACGAGAAAGUAGAUUUUGAUUAUGUGUAGAAUUAAUUUUCUAUGAGAGUGCUUGGAUUUGUGGUGAAAAUGAUUUGGAAUAUUCUAAACAUUAAAUUAGAAUGGCAGGAAUAAAUUAAAGUGAAAUCUAUUGAAAUGAAGCACUUGGGUAUCUGGAUCUGCAUUAACAUGCACCAUGUGCUAAAUAUUCCUUAGUAAUGUCAAUUAAAUCAUGAGGGGGGUUUCUAUUCCUCAUGAACCACACUCUAAUCAAUAUGGUGCUAAGGGCUUAUCGUGCCAAAUAAUAAUAACCUUGUACUAGGGAGUCGGUUAAACUGGUGCGGUAUCUAGACAAGAUUAUUACUAUUUUUCGACGAAAAGUCAAAACAUCAACAAUAAUUAGAGGGGAAGAGAAAGUAAAUUUACCAAAUAAAGCCCAUGGUACAUGUUGAGACUUCACCAACCCAAGCUUGAAAGAAAAUUAACUACUCAUAAUUGAACUAAGGGUAAAAUGAGAAUUUAUUAAAUACAUAGAAAAUACAAAAUGGAGAAGGAAUUACAGAAAAUAGAGCUCAAAAAUGAAUUCAGGGAUGCCAAAUUAGGGGGGAGCCCCCCUUUAAUAGAUACACUGAGUAAAUCAUGGCCAUCAGAUUAAAAACAUUUUGGACGCUCAAGAUUGCACUACGUCAUCGGUCAACAGUACGCGGCUUGACCACGCGGUUUGGUUGUAAAUAAUCCCGUGUAUAUGCAUGUAUUGUACGCACUAUUUUUUAUCCGCUAACAUGCUGCCACAUCACCGAUCAAUAGUACAUAAGAAUUUUAGUCUAAUAAAAUCGUGACAUCUCAUCAGUCAAUGCCACAUCAUCGGUCAAUGCCACGUCAUCAUUCCAUAUAUGUGAACAGUGUCGUGAAUAGUAACACAGUACCGUAUCUGUGAAUAGUACCGUACAUGUAAACAAUGUCAUUUUUCAUUUUAAACUCCUCCUAAGGUUUUCGACUGUCCUGAUCUCAAAAGUGAUGUCCGUUUUGCUGUAUGAUCUCUCGUUCAUUGUGAAAUGACUAUGAUGCCCCUAAAAUACAUAAAACCAUAAUUAUAAUACAACACACAUAAUUAAAUCACAAGAAACUUAAAUACAUAAAAGUAGAAAUGUUAGUGAAACUUGAAGUGUAAAAUAACGAUUUUCUCCUUCAUAAAUAUAUAUUUUCUAACACUCAACAGUGAUCACAUAAAUACAUAUAAUAUGAUUAAAUGGACUUUAAUCAAAAUAUUAAUGCAAUUAAGAUAUUUGAAUAAAAUACCUCAUUUAUUUUAUUAAUUAGAAAAAUUGUUUAUUACAAUUAAAUAAACACAUGCUUUUAAAGAGCAUAUUUUCCCAACAGGCGUAUCUCAUAAAGCCAACUUCGGUGGUUGGGGUAUCCUGCUGUGCAACGCUGUAUCUCUUACAACCAACUUUUACGACUUGGACAAUUUGUAUUUUACCGAUUGUCCAUUGAAUUAAUUUGUUUUUGCGGAAAAUGAAUAUUAAUAAAAGAUUAAAAUAAAUAAAAUUAUAAAUAAUUAAAAUCACAGAUUGUCCCAGACCACCAAUAAAACCUCUAAAACUAAAAUUAUAAGCUCCUCCGUAAGAUCCACCAUUAUAUUUCUGAUUACCACUAGCAUUGUUUCAAGGAUUAAAAUGGUUUUGAGUUACAUUAGCUAACAAGUUAUGUGUGACAUCACUAGCAAUUUUACCUCUUGUCUGUUCAACUCUAUUCUCCUGAUUUAGCAGUAAAGAGUAAAAUUCAUCAAGACUGAUCUUAUCACCUCCAGCUAACACACUUAUAACUAAAGAUUCAUAAUCAGAUGAAUCUAGUUUAGUCUAAAUAUAUUGAACAAAAUCACUUAACUCAACAGAUUUUCUAGCUAAAGCCAGAUUGUCAGACAAUCUCUUCAUUUUAACAAAGUAAUCAAUCAUAGACAUUUAUCUUUUUUUGAGUGUUUGAAUAUGCAUCUUAAAGGCAUAGGCAUUAUUCUAGCUUGAGAUUGUAAAGUAAACAUACUUGUGAGUGUAUCCAAAAGCUCUUUAGCAACGAAGCAAUAAAUGAUUGGAGCGAGUAGAUUUUGCUGAAUAGAUGACAACAUCCAACUCAAAACUAAUUGAUCUGUCUUCAUCUAGGCUGUGUAUGCUGGAUUGACCUUUCUAUUUUUAGUACUAGUUGAGGACCAACUUCACUGGUGUGAGAAAUUACUCUGGACAAGUUUGAUCACCAUUAAUGAAAUUAUCCAGAUCGUUUCCUUUGAUCGAUGUUAAAACCUGAGUUUGCCAGACAAUGAAAUUAUUUUGAUCUAGCUUAACAUGAUUGAUAAAACUAUAGGAUCCAGAAAAUUGAUUAGAACUCACCAUUGUAGGCUCUGAUAUCAUGAUAGAAUUUGUAAUAUAUAUGUUUGGAAAGCAAGAAAAUUAAGGAGAAAAAGAUAGAAAGAAAAGAGGAAGAAUUUAGAAUAUGUUAAUUGUUCAGUACAUUACAAAUGUGAUUAUAGCCUUUGUAUUUAUAUUGAGUGAAAUGCUUAACUAUAAUUUGUUAUAACUGGAAUACGUGCUAAACAGUUCGUUAGCCAGAAGGCUGAGAUGGCUAACUAAUUAUUCCGCGUCAGCAAGAGCACUCAUGUAUGGUCCUCAUCCUUACUGUUAUUAUCAUACUCUGUAACAGUUCUUCUACAUCUUCUUGCUCUUCAGGACCAAGUGUACUUCGUGGCUCUAUAAUUGCUGCUUUGUCUAUCUAUCUGCAAUUCAAAGAAUUAAUUUAUUGGUCAUUUUUUUAGGAAAAAAGAUAACGAAACAUAGUUGUUUGGUAAAAUAGUCAUGUGAACUCUUUCUUCAAAACAUAUAUAAAAACAAACCUUGGAGAUCAGUAUUGUCUAUGUGAUAAUUUCUAAAAAUAAGAGGUCUACCUGACAAUUUUUUCAAACCAUGGGAUGUUGGUAUAUACUCUUUAAGUAUGUACCUUAGUAAUUUGAUUCUAGUUGACAAGGGUAAUUCAUUUUCAUCAUCAUUACAGGAGAACUGAUCUGCAAAAGAAGGAUAAUUGAGAUGCCUUUUCUUCAGGGCAGCUUUAAAAUGACAGAUUACAGCAAAACCGUGAAUAAGAGGUAAUUGUUUACUAUGAUAAAAGGGAAUACCCAACAGCAACAAGACCAAACUGCUCCCAUAACCAAUAUUGUGAACCUCAAAGUCCUCCGUCAUGUUUCCAGAUUAUUUGCAGGGAAUGUUACAACCACAUUACAACACCAGGCAAGCUGCAGCUAUACUUCUUUUUGAGCCUUUACUUAUUUCUCAUUUGGAUUUUUUGUUCUCCCUUCAUCACCAUGUGCUCUUAAUUGAUCGACAAGACAUGGUCCUAAAAGAGGCCCCAUUCCAAAGUCACCCACUGCUAACAAGAUCAUUCCUAUUACGUUGAGCAGUUCAAAUUUAGUUUCUAAGAAUUUACUGGACGCUGUAUAGUACAAUAGCCUUAAUGCCUCCAACAACAAUAGUCGGAACUAAUUGUAUGGCAUAACAUUAUGAUCCUAAAUAUGCUUCUUAAUCAUUACUAUAGUUAGGAGCGGAACAAAAUUGAGAUUUAGGGGGCCAAGUGUAAUUAAGGCAAUUAUUUCAGGAUUAGAGAGUAUUAGUUAUUUUCUGGGGUUAGGGGAUGGGGUUCACGUUUAUGAAACCACCAUAUAAAGAAAAACAACUAGUUUGAAAGUUGAAAUUACAAAUUUAUAUAGUGUGAGAUUAUUUCAACCUACUAAAAUAUUUGUUAUUUUAAAGGCUAAUGAGCUUGCGGCUUUGAAAAGGUUGGAAUGUUAUUUGGUUGGAGAGGGACUCGGUUUCAACUUUAGCUUGUCUUACAAGUACCAAAUUCAAGCCGCCGUAGCAUCUGCAUAUCAUAUAAUUGAAUUGUUUGAGAUUUAUUCGUGGAAUACACUUUGCUAGUUUACACAUCUAGAGAGAGGGGAUUCAGUGGCUGGUAGUCUUGCAAAUUUGGAGUUAAAUCUUAAUGCUCAUAAUUGGUGGGAUAAUCCUCCUAUUUCAAUUCGUCAGAGUUUGCAUGAGUAUGCUUGGGAUAUCCCUAAAUAUCAUUUCAAAUGAGUGUUUUUGCAUUCUUUCUUCUCCUUCUUUCCUUAAUAAAAUUGAGUAUCAUAAAAACAAAAACUACCAGAAUGCUUAAUAAAUGUAUUUAUUCAAUAAAUUCAUUUAAAAAAUUAAAUUAUUUUAUUUUAUUUUACCAACCAAUUUUUAGUAUUCAAUAUGUCCUUAUUUGAAAUUCACAUAAUUCUUUCAUCUUUCUCUUUCAAGACUUUUAGGCUUUUAAGGCUUUUUACAUUCGUGUCUCCCUAAUAUUCUAUUUUUCACUAUUUCAUAAGCACAUCUUUCUUUAAAAUUGUGGGCAUACUAUAUAAUUUACGUAUGUACGUAAAUUAUAAAUAAAUAGAUUUUUAAACGAUAUGAUUACCUAAGGUGCCAUAAGCAAAAUGUUACCUGAGGUAAAUGCGGCAGCCCUACAAAAACAGAGGUGAUGUCUUACCCGUCUUUUGAACCAAUUCUGAAGCUCCUGAGAACAUGGAAACGCUGUGGCUUCAGAAAUUGCUUAUUUUAUUUGCAAAUAUUUCCACCUGUGAAUCCUGAUUCCUGAUACCGUGGAAAUUUGUGUGGGCUCGAUAUACCACCUUAUUACGUCAAGGUAGUGCAUUCGAACAAUAAAAGUUUAUUAUUUUGAUAGGUUUAGUAGGUUUAACGUGGGACCCCACUUAUUUAAUUAAAAAAUAAUAGAUAUAAAAAGUAAUAGUACUACUUCAUCACCGACUGAAUUAAAAAAUAAUGAAUCUUACUUCAAUUGUCUUUUUUUUUUUAAUGAGAAUUAUUGCUCAUGAUGAUAUUUACAAUCAUAUAUAUACUAAGACUCGUUUACAUCAAUUCUGAUAUAGCACCGCUCAGAUUUUUAACCCUCUCAAAUAUUCGAGGGACGUCAACUCUCAUCCUGGGAGAAAGACUGCCUUCAUUAAGCUCUAGGGCUCCAAAGAAGGAAAUUGAAAUUAAAUCCCAACAAUGCGUUUGCGGAAGCUCGAACCACUUCUCUCACAUUUGUGAGGGAGUGACUCUGACCACUUGGGCUUAGCCCAAGUGGUUUUACUUCAAUUGUCUUUGGGACUUAACUAUCGUGGACAGACCGUGGAAGUCUACCUCCUUAUUUUUAAGUACAAAUUAAAGAAUGAAUUGUACUUACUAACAAGCCGAAAUCAUUUAUUGCACAGCUAAAUAUAUUUUAGAUGGUAUAAACGACCAGCAAUAUAUUGCCAGUUGGGUGCACAUACAAGAUCAUAUUUGGCUUAAGUAUUAUAAAUUAGGAUAAUGCCUAAGAUUUAAACCUAAGUUCGGAGAAUGUCUAAUCACAAAACACAUUUUUUUCUUUAAGGAGAACUAUUGCUUUUUAACUCUCUCAAAUAUUCGAGGGAUGCCAACUCCCCUUUUGAAAAAAAAAACUGUCUUCGCUCAAGCUCUGAAGCUCCAAGAAAGAAAAUUUAAAUUAAACCCCCUACAAUAGGUCUGCAGGGACUCGAACUACUUCGAGCACUUGUGAGAGAGUAGCUCUAACCACUUAGGCCAAGCCCUAGUGGUUCACAAAACACAAUUAUAAACACUAUAAAAUCUAAAAUUGAAAGGAGAAUAAAAGAUUCUACACAUUAAAGUCCUAUGAAAAACUAUAAAAAUUUUAAGGGACUAGCCUACCCGUCUUAGUUAUUAUAAAUAAAAACUACCUUCUAAUCAAAAGAAAAAUCCAGUACAGUGCCUGCAACAACGACAUACACUACCACUAGUACCACUAAACUAUUACCAACGUCACAAAACAACUCAAAUAUGAAUAUACAUCUCAAACAAUCACUGUUAUUCUACAAAAAUAGAGUAAAUCAUCGGCGGUUUAAUUAACAUUUAUUAAGGGCUCAAAUAAUAUUUUACAAAGGCUAUAAAGAGAGAAAAUUUUCCAUUGGGGGACUUUAGUCACUUGAGUCCCUUUAGGGCUUGAGAGUAAAACAAACAGCCAAGACAAUAUAUAAUAACAAAAUGAAUGAUUAGAAGAGUCUAUGAAUAAUAAAGCCUCGUAAGCAUUGUGGAAAAUUUACUGGGAUAUUUAUCCAUUUUCAUUGGCAACAGGUCAAUAAUACAACUGGCAACUUCACUCACAAAAUGCGAAAAUCCAAUUCAAUAACCAGUUAACCACAAAGUAAUGGACUUGCAUGCCACAUUUCAAGUAUAUGAAGCAUAUAUAUUAGAAAAGUUGACAAAACCCAAAUUAUCACUUAAUUAAUUGGCAUUUAACCCCUCUCAAACUACAAGGGGGGAAAAAAGAACUUACAAAUGUGCAUGUGAAGAUUGUUUAUCUGGGCUCAUUUUGGCAAAGUCAUCUUCGUCAAUUCGAUCUGUUUUGAUUUUGGGCUUUCUAAUUAUAUAGCCAGUUUGAGCUUCUAACAUCCCUUUAAAAUUCUUGUGAAGUCCUACUGUUGCAUUUGUAACACUUGCUUUUAAGAAAUUAUUUAAAAAGACAGAAUAAUAUGAUAGAGUUAAUUAAAAUUUAACAUACUUUUUUAAAAUAAAAAAUCUAUCAUUAGGUAAUUUAUUUCUUCAUUGUCUCAAAAUUAUUUGAGUUUGCAUAAGAAAUUUAUUAUAUCAUAAAUUAGGAUUGGUGAUUAUAUAGCCACAAACUCUUGUACAAACUUAUCUUGUACAAAUUGAUUUGACAUUAAUUCAUUGGUUGAAUGAAAACAUAAAAUAAUAAAAAUAAAUCAUGUGGGUCAAGAAAUAUUUAAUUCAACCAAUUUUAUCAUACCACAUCAGUUUAUAUAAAAUAAAUUUAUAGAAGAGUUUAUGGCUAUAUUAUUACUCAUUAGGAUUUAAAGAUGGGAUAGUUCAUAAUUAGCAGGUAUAAAGAUAUUUUAAUCUAGUUAAAUUCAUAAUUGUCCUUCUCUAGCAGUAGAACUAUGUUCACAAAAAAUGCGGAUUUACAAGGAUUUUAAAGGGGUGUGAAAAGCAGUAAUUACUCUUACACGACAUCACCCAAAUAAUCAAUUCAAACGCACUCGGCUAGAUUUGUUCCAAGAUUAGACCUUUUGACACCCCUCAAAAUUCCUCAUAAAACCCCUUGUUAAUAGAAGUUAGUUAAAUAACCAAAGAUAAAUUAAUUCAUUUCUUACUUUAACUAGAAAUCCAAUUAAACAAUUAAAAAAUUUCUAUUAAAUUUUUUUUCACCCAUCCCAUUUCAUAAUUUAUAUUUAUAUUUAUAUUUUAGUUUUUAAUUUUUUUAAAACUUAUAAGAGUUUAGAAUUAUGGAGAUAGAAACUAUAUAAUAAAAAGAAAAUAAUUUAAAUUUUAAGAAAUUUUAGUAUUUUAUAAAUAAAACUUAAAAGAAAUAUUCAUUUAGAGUUGGUAAGAUAAUUGAUUUUAAUAUAUGAAUUUGUAUUUUAUAAAUUAAACUGUGAUAUUUUAAAAAAUAAAUUUAAAAGAAUAUUAUAAGAAUUUUAACGAAGUGUUAAAAACUCCACCCUUAUCUCAAAGAGUUAGUAUGCAAAAGUAAAAACAUAAGCAAUACCCGUUAACACCAUUGGACCUUUGACCUGGUGAUAAAGAACCUAUUGGGGGCACAGGUUCAAGUUUUUGUUUUAUUUAUCCAAAUUGAGUGAAAGUAACAUCAUUGAAUCCUAUAUUACAUAACUGCAAAAUCAUAGAACUAAAAAAUUUCGAAUUAAUUCAAACAAAUAAUACAAGGGCAAUCUAGAAAUCAUAUUAUCUUGAACUAUUACUUUAUCAACUUUAAAUGAAUACUGCAACUUAAGUCCAAAAUCAGUACCAAUAAAUGAGACAUGGACAGCCUUAUUAUGCUGCUCUUGUUCUGUUUUCAGCAUAAAAAGCCAAUUCUGCUGUUCUUAAACUGUUUCUCAACAAGAUGGAACAUGAAGUUGUAUUCAAUGACACAUGGACAUUUCAUGAUUAUAAAAAAAUCUAUUUACUUCAGCUAACCUCAAGGAAAUAAUCUAGUAUUGUAGUCAGUGAUGCAUAGAAUAUAUUAAAUGAGAACAUAUUUUUCCAUAACAACGAAAAAGGAAUUGCUAUUAGAGCAGAGUACAUCAAACGGAAAGAUUACUCACAGUGAACACUGGAACUUGUGUGCCUUGCCUUCAAUUCUUUUCAAUUUAGAUUUGUUCAAGAAUGUGCAAUUGGUAUCAGCAACUUUGGGUUAUAAGAAUAGAGACAGCAAACAACUAUCAAAAAAAAAAAAUGUGGAACUUAGUUUGAAGAAAUAUUGUGGAUCAUAUCAAAUGCCAAAUGUUGGAUAAUCUUUUCCAAAUGUUGGAUAACAAGAAAAGGGAUGCACACAAGACCGCUGACUGAAAACAGAAAUAAUUGGACAAAUAAAGCCCAAACCACAGCUCAUCCUAAUCUUUAUGUUACUAAUGGAAGCUAAAAGCACAUAAGUCAUCAACUAUUUACAUUUUCUGAUAGAUACGGAUGCUUAAUACAUUCAUCAUGAUAUCCAGAAACAAUAAAAUUAAGCUAGUACAAAGAUAUCUAAAUGAAGAUGAUAAUAUCAUAGGCAAAAUAUGGUCCAAUGGAUUAGGAAAAUCAAGCUAAGGUCAUUUUUUUAUACUAAAUGCUUAAUUAAAAAGACAUCAUUAUAUGUUUUAUACAUGCACAAAUUGUCAUUAUUUGAGGCAUGUCUAAUAUUUAGUGGAGUGACAAAUAUACUUGAAAAUUUAUAAAAAUUAUCAAAUAAUAUGUAAGAAAUAUAGUUAUUUUUGUUGUAAUAUUAAUGCAAUAAAUUUUUAUCGUAUCAUAUCGGCAUGUUUAAAGAGGGAAAAAAAAAACUCAGAGACUCAAAAACUCCAAACUUUAAUGUAUAGCUGGCAUUUAUUUGUAGGCUCAAUUGAAGUACAGAAGUCACAAUUCCAAACAACAAACAAGCUAUCAUCACUAAUCCACCAAAUUGGAAAACAUCCUCAAUUAAAUUAACCACCGCGCCUUUCCAGCUUAAGUUUUUCCAACGCUGAUAGUCCUUCUGUUGAGGAUUGGUUAUUGUAAAUAUCUUUUAAAGUAAUUGCAGGAUAGAGCGUAGGAUUUUCUUCGGAUAGCAACUCUUUAAUUGGACCAUAUCGUCUCGAGCAACUGUUGUUCAUAAAAAAACUUCCGAUUGAAAUCCUUGAGCCUUCCUUUUUUGACAACACUCUGUGAUAGGCACUUUUGAACUUGUCAUUGGUGAUUAGCUGCAUAAACACACAAUAAAAAAAUCCACUAUAAUUAAGUUACAUGAUGGAUUAAUAAUAGUCAAAGUGAUACAUAACAUGUACCUGCCUGCAUCAUGUAACCUAAGUUUACAACUAGAGCUCCGGGAACAGGGGUAAUUACGAUCUGUAGUUUCCUAAUUUAACUCAUGUAUGCCCGAGGCUUUUGUUUACCCUAGUUUUUAGUAUAAAAAGAGGCGCCCAUCACAUAAUACGGCGGCAAGGAAUUAUCAUUAGAAAAAUUGGAGAGAAAAAGAAGAAGAAGAUCAUAAUUCAAGGGAACGGCUGCAGCAUCAUUGAAGAAUCCAGCAGAGUUAUUUGGAUUCACUUUUUGCUGUUCUCGACUUAUACCUUUCUUCUUUCUCUAACUGAUCUAAUGUAUUUCAUGAACAAUAUGUUGCUGAUUGUUUAUCUCUUUCAGAAUAUGAACUAAAUUUGCUUGUAUUUGAGUGACAAAUAAUCUAAUGGGUUCUUGACUGUUCUUAUGAGUUGCUAUGUCAUUGUUGUAGCAUUUUACUCUAGUAGCUAUUAUUAUAACUGUUAUUUUGGUUGACCACUCAUUUAAUGGUUCAAGUUAAGAUAGGACUGUAAAAGGGCAUGUCUUAGUGGAUAUUAUUAGAGUAAUACUUGAUCUUAGUUUAAGUUUCCUAUAUUAAGUUUAUCUUGAAUCCCAUAAGGACCAUACUUGAAGUUAAGAUUUGUGAUAAACUAGACAUAAGUAUUCACCUUGUAGGGUGGAGAGAAUGGAUGUUCAUAAUGUCAUGCCAUAGGUAAAAUAGCAACUGGUCAUUGCGAAGAUGUUUACGGGUAUGAGACUUCCAAUAUGCGAUAGCUGAGGAUGCAAAUUAAAUUCUACCAAGUGCUAUAGAAAUUGCUGUAGCAACUGGUGUUAACUUGAUGAAAAGCAGUCAGCCUAUAAAGAAAGUUUGAUCAUUCAACUACCUUAUUCUCAUUUGAUUCUUCGACGCAUUUUAUUUAAUUUGUUUCAUUACUGCAUUGUUUAACUUUAUUAUCUCACAAUUAUCAAUUUCACUAGUAACCAACUUUACAUUUGUUAAUUUAGGAAUCAAGUUAGAUUAUACUAUCGUGAUUGUUGUAGCAUUUCUAGUAAUAUCAAUCCAUGUGGAGACGAUCUUGAAUAUUAAUCACGUUAUUACUUGUUGUGUAUACUUGCACAUUAGCAUAAAUAGAAUUUGAUAAAAAAUACCAACAAUGAGAUAGGGGUAAACUUCAGGAUGUGUUGCCGUUUUUAAUUGUUGUGUAGAUUCUUUUGAUUCCUAUCUCUAGUGGAGAACCAGAUGUGAUUUUGUGGGACCUUUCUCCUGAUGGUAGUUUUUCUUUGAAGACAACUUCAAAUAUUGUGCAUUGGACAAUGCCAAGUGAUGAGGCUUUUUUUGUUAUUUGGCAGCGACAUAUCUUUUCUUGGAUAUCUUUUUUUCUCUAGAGGUUGUGACACAAAUUCUUGACCACAGAUGAUGCCUCAUGUUCGGGGGAUUUCUGCAUAGUUUCUUAGUAUCUUUGUAGUUGGGCUUAUGAGACUUCUAGGUAUUUUCUUUCUUGAUUGCCCUCGAUUUGCGCUAUGUUGCUUUUUUGUUCCCUCGUACUUUAUUUCUUAAUUGGUAGUGAUGUGCCCUUUCUUGGAGCCAUAUUCGAGUUCUUCUUCCUUGUUUCAUUUUGUGGCGAGUUUAGAAGGCCUGUAAUGCAUUGAAGUUUGACUCAAUGGCCUUUUUUGUUGAUGUUGUUAUUUAUCGGGCAAUGUUGGAUCUUAGGCUUGCCGAUUCUGCCUUUGGUCUUAAACCAUCCCAACUGUAAGGAGUUCUAGGUUCUCGAUUUGCAAAGUGCUUGAGAGUUGUUGUUUCAUCCAGGAGGCUGAUUCUUUUAGUUUUUUGGUUGUGGUCACCACCUGGGGUGGUGAAGCUGACUAUUGAUGGUUGCUUUAGGAGUAAUCCUAGGAUGGCUGCUUCAGAUAGUAUUUUACGUGAUGAUUAGGCUGUGGCUUUGGCUGCUUUUGGUUCCUUCCUUGGGCGCUGACUGAUCUUUCAUGCAGAAUUCAUGGCUGUUUUUGAGGGGUUAGAGUUGGUGCUUAGCUCCAUUAUUCUGUGCUUGACGUAGAGUCGGACUCAGCCAUGGUGGCUUCUUGGAUUCUUUUCUAAGGCCUUGUUCAUACAGACUAUACCUAUUCUUUGCGUCGAGUGUGUACUUUGACAUUUUCUUCUACUUCAUGGUUAGUCAUGUGCUUCGAAAUGCUACUUCUACUGCUGAUUUCUUUAGCCUACACUCUUCAAGUUCAUCGGCGUUUCUUGGGUUCUCAAGAUAUCUCUGCUGGCUUAUCUAAUAAUCUUCGUUUGAAUUGUGGGUAAUUUAACAUAUCAGGCAAUAUAAUUGCUUAUUUUUGUGUUCUAUUUUUUAUCUUGUAUUUUUCACUUUUUCAUUCUUAUGUUCUUGCAAUUGCGGUUUUGAUUUAUAUUCACCUCCUUAUAUAUUUAAUUCAUUCUAUGAUUUAUAUGAAAGAUAGGGGUCCCACCUAAUCCUACCUUUUUGGUGGUUAAAAAAAAAAAGAUUAGGAAUCAAACCUAGGUCAUCAAGGUGAAACAUCAAUCAGGUUGUAAAUUUAACAUAUGAACGUAAAAGCUUAACAAAACAUUUGAAGUUGCUUGACAGCAUAGAAAUACAAGAAAAAAGAGAUGCUAAACAACACAAAAUUUUGAUUGGGUGGGAGUAUUGUUCAUGCUAGCAUAAUAAUGAGUGCCUGAGAAUACCUAUGACUUUCUUGAUAAAUAAUACCAUCUAAAAGGUUAGGAAUCACAGAUGAUUGUCCACGUAUGAACAAAUCUGGCUCCAAAUGUGAAAUGUAUUAAGAUUUUCAAACAUUUAAAUUAAUAGUUAAUAAUUUCGGACAAAGGAUACUUGGAGACCCUAAAGUUCACUGAUUCUAUGUUAUGGCUCAUUGUCUCGCUCAACAAUUUAAUUUCUAGAUUAUUUGGCUCCUAUCUAUUAAAAGACAACACCGUUACUAAAAUUAUAAAUUAUAACAGUUAAACCUAAACCUACGUCGUUUAGCAAUUUACAAAAGAAAAAAAUAUAACAAAAGCCAAUUGUUGGAGUAGCAACGUGCCAACGAGAAAAUCUCAAGCCAUGUAAUAUCCUGUGUCAACAACUAAAGAAGAACAAACCACCACCCUCUAGGCCGUCGCUGCACUAACGCUGGGCCCGAUUUGAAUAGUUAGAAGUUGUAACAUUAAUUAGGGAUUGAGGGUAAAAUUUUGGACUUUGAUUUAAUAAAAUUUAUUUAAAUGAGUCCCAAUAGAAAUAUGAUAAUAAAUAUAUCAAUACAAUUAUAAUAUGUUUAAAAGAAAAAAUUUAUUUUCACACAACAAAAAACACAACCCUUGGAUGUGGGAUGUGUCUAAAAAAUAAUAGGGUGGAAAUAUUAUCACCCUCAAAUUAGAUAUAUAAAUGUUUAAUGUUUUACUCUUAUAAUUUUCUAUUUAUUUUUUUGAAUAUUGUUAAGAGAAAGAUAGAAGUUAAUAUAUAGACAAAUCGAGUCCCUUAUUUUAUUAUUCAUAUCCAUAAAAAGUAACCACUAUGCUAGUCCCCCGAACUUAGCAUAAGACGGUAAUUUAAAAAAAGAAAAAAAAAAGAACGAUUCUAGACACCAAAACAAAAGCAAAACAAACACAAAGCGAGACAUACAAACAAAUUUUAUGCUACUGCAUUCAAGCAGAAGCCAUCAACUGUUCACGACGAAGUUUGAGAGCAACCAAUAGUUCAUCCCGAUUAGGAAGAUUUUCUUCAAUCACAGGGACUUGCUUGAAAGUUUCAAUCCAGGCAUGCAAGCGAGGGAAUUUGUGUGAUUCAAAUAGUUUAGCGCCCACUAUAUCUUCAAUGACUUGCAACCAAUAAACAAUUGAACCAAACGCUAGGUCCACUAAGCCAAUAUUGUCUCCAUUGAAAAAUUUCUUCUCUCCCAAGCCAUGCUCUUCAACGGUUUGUAGCAUUUCCAAGGCUUCCUUCAUUGUGUUUUGUAGUUCUUGUCCAGUGCUACGAAACAUUUUCCAAACAGCAACACCCUGCCACAAAUAUUUUACAUCUGAUUUUAUCACCGACAUGAUUAAUUAAUAAUAUGUAUAUAAAAG